GGGUUCAGAUUGUUGUAAAUGGAAAAGAGUUGAGUGUAACACCACCACUAGGAGACUCAUAAAACUCUCCCUUAAUUCUACAAGAUGGUUUGACAAUAUGGGAUACGACAUGGAUAAUGGGAAUCUCAAUGCCUGGUAUCUCAAUACCUCUAUGUUUCUUCCCUUUGAGGAAUUGAAGAGUCUUUAUUUGUCAGGAAACGCCAUAGGUGGUGACCUUGAAAAUGAAGGUCGUGCCUUUAACUUUCCAUUAAUUACAUCUUUUAUUAUUCCACUACUCUCACCAUUGUUAAUUUGCAAUUACUUAUAUUUUAUUUUAUUUUAUUGAAGAAAAGUCACUAACUGCUUGUAUAUAUUUAAAAGAACACUUCUACAGGCUUUGGAAAACUAUCAUCCACAUUGAGUAAUUUGGAGAUCCUUGACUUAAGUUUCAAUUACUUGAAUGAUAGCAUUUUGUUAUCUUUGAGUGAGCUUUCCUCUCUCCGGUAUUUAGACCUAUCAUACAACCAAUUUGAAGGAUCAAGUCAUCCAAGAGGUAAAUUAAAUUUGGUCUGGUGUAAGUUUUUAUUUGUAUAGUAGAGUUUGAGGAUGGUCUUCUAGGCUUGGUACCUAGUUUUCCAUUCUUUUUAUCCGUUGUAAUUCCACUUUUGCUUUAGUAAAAUUUUCAUAUAGCUAAGAAAGAAAAAAACAAUUAACAAGUAAUUAUGUAUAUAUAUCAGGUUUUCAAUUGCUUUCAAGACUCAAUAACUUGGAAACUCUUGAUUUAAGUUGGAAUUCUUUGAAGAAUAGCAUUUUGUUCCAUAUGAGAAAUCUUUCAUCCUUGAAGACUUUAAGAUUGAGACGUAAUCAGUUGAAAGGAAGGCUGGAUCAUAUUCAAGGUAGACUGAUUUUACCUGUUUCUUUUCAACUUUAAAAAUCAAUAUGUAUAUUCAAGUUUGAUUUCAUCAUACGAUCAAUAUAUAACUAAUCAAUACUUGGGAUUGAAUUUUAGGGUUGAAUAAUUUGACAAACUUGAAAUACUUGGAUUUAAGUGACAACAGCAUUGAAAGCAUCUCAAACCAAGGUAUAAGUACAGUAUUUAUAUGUCAAUUCAUAUUAAAGGUAGACUGGUUUUAUAUGUUUCUUUUUUACUUUAAAACCAAUUUUUGUUUAAGGGACAGUUAAUGUUGCAAUAUUUCAAAAUAGAGUAAAUUAAGUAGGAAGGUAUCUCAAACAAAGUAUUUAUAUGUUGAAUCAAUUAAGUUUUACUUGUAAAAUGUAGCUUAUCAAUUCAUGGGAAAGCUUGUAAAUUGGCUCUUCCUUCUCAAACAAACAUUUUUCCUAGCUAUUUAUAUAUUGAAUGAUAUUAACUAUACUAAUUAUUUUCUUCCAAUGAUAGAUGGAACACAAUGGAGGCUAACAAACUUAGAGGAACUUGAUUUAAGUAAUAAUCUCUUUCGGAACAACACAAUUUCCUUUCCUCAGGGGCUUUCAAGCCUAAAGUACAACAACAGUUUGCAAGGCUCAUUAGAUACUAAAGGUACUAAAGCUAUAACUUUGUUUUUCUUGAUAAUUCUUUCUAGAACCUUUUAAAAUUAAUUGUUUCAAAUUUGAGCAUUCAGAUUUCACGUUUGAGGUUUUUCAUCUUCACUUCAAGUUUUAGAUAUACUUUUUUUUUAUUUCAUUAAAAUAUUAAGUAGAAAUUAAAAUUAUUAACAUAAUGAUUUUUUGAAUUGGACAUGGAUAUGUAUAGGAUUGAGAAAUUUAACAAAUUUGAAGAAACUCGAUUUACGUUGGAAUCAAAUUGAAAGCUUUCAAUCCUUUAAAGGUAUGCAUUUAUAUUUAACCAAUUACCUAAAUUCUUACAUAUAAUUAAAUUUUAUGCCAAUUCAUUUUAGUGAUGAAAUUAUAUAAAUCUUUUGUAGAUGGUGGUUCAAAAUUGGAGUUGACCCACUUGGAAGAGCUUAAUUUAGAUGCAAAUCUCUUCAAUACUAGUGUAUUUGCAUCCCUUAACAAGCUUUCAAAUUUGAAAUCUUUGAGCAUAAAGUUACAAUGAAUUGAAAGGAUCAAUAGAUACGAAAGGUAAAAAUAUUAGUUUUUUAACAAGAAUAUAAUAAUGUUUUAAGAGAAUAUAAUGAAGUUGAUUUGUUAAUUUUGUUUUCCUAGAUUUGGAUGCAUUUAUCAAGUUAAGGGAACUAUAUUUGAGCGACUAAUGAAUUGAAAGAUUUGGUGAUCCACCAAGGUAUCAUUUAAUUAAACUUCUUUUUUUUUCUAAUUUAGAAAUUUAGUUUUUAUCUCAGAUAUUAUAAUAACGGUUAUUGUCAUAAAUAUUAAUAAAGUUAUAUCAUAUCAUACUUGAAAGUAAAAUAUGAGUUUGGUGAAACAUUUUCUAAAUCCUCCAUUAUAAUGUGUUUCAACUUUAGUUUGAAAUUAAAAUUCUUUAAAAUUUUCUUAAUUUUAAAAUAUUAAUGUUUAUAAUUAUUUUGUUUGUAAAAAUAUAUUUUUUAAAAUAAUUUUUUUAAUUUUUAUGAGAUAAAAAAUAAUUAUAACAAUAAAAACAAUGAUAUUACAAAUAAAUAAAAACAUAUAUUUAUGAGAAAAUAUGUAAUAUAACUAUAUUUUAAUUUCAUAUUUUUUUAAUAGUAUAAAACAUAAAAAUACAUAUUAGAGUUACAUAAAUCACAUUUUUUUUGCCAAAAAUAAAUAAAUAUGAAUUUUGAAUAAUUUAAAAAAAUCUUCAAUUUUAUGAAAUUUAAACAUACAUUUAGAGGUGCUUAAACUUCCAUCGCAAACUUUUUAUAAAUUUCAAAAUGCACAUGAUAUUAACAUAUGUCUACAUACUCUUUAUAAAUUUGUAAUUUAAUUCUUAUACUUUUAUUUUUAGGAAUUUAGUCCCUCUAUUUUAAAAAAAAAAUUCAAAAUCCAAGUUCAAUAGUUAAAAUUGUUAAUUUUUUUUAAAAAUAAUUAGUUGGUGUGACAUUUUGAAAUAAAAAAACUUUGGUAGCAAUGUAACUAAAAAAUGACAUAAUGAAAAUGGAUUUAAUAAAACAAUUUUAACAGUAUUAAUAAUUAGACUUGAAUUUUGAAAUUGAGUAAAAUAAAUGGCAUAAAACAUAAAAAUACACGUUAGAGUUAAUUAAAUGGCAUUUUUUGGCCAAAAAUAAAUAAAUGUCAAUUUUGAAUAAUUUAAAAAAAACUUCAAUUUUAUGAAAUUUAAACAUACAUUUUGAGGUGCUUAAAAAUUUUUUUCCAAACUUUUUAUAAAUUUCAAAAUGCACAUGUUAUUAACUUUUUGGUUUAAAAAAUGUGAUAGGUCUACGUACUCUUUACGAAUUUGUAAUUUAAUUCUUGUAUUUCUAUUUUCGUCAAUUUCCCUCUAUUUUUUAAAAUUUAAAAUCCAAGUUCAAUUGUUAACAUUGUUAUUUUUUUAAAUUAAUUUAUUGGUGUUGACAUUUUGAAAUAAAAAAACCUUGGUAGCAAUGUAACUAAAAGAUGACGUAAUGAACAUGGAUUUAAUAAAAUAAUUUCAAUAGUAUUAAUAGUUAGACCUGAAUUUUGAAAAUUUAUUUUUGUAAAGAGAAAAAUAUGCACAUUAGAUUUAAAUAAAAAUAAUAUUUUUUUAGUUUAAAAUUUUCUAUUUUAUAAUAGAACCAUGAUUUAAAUAAAUGAAAUUUUGAAGAGUUGCCAAAAAAAACUAUGUAGGUGAAAUUUAAAUAGAGAAUUUGAGAAGCUGAAAGUCUCUUUCGGAAUUUAUAAAUUUUAAAAUUCAAAAGGAUGUAUUUUGACAAUUUUAGGGCAAUGAUUUAGUGCUUUAAAAUUUUGAUUUAAUAUGGAGAAUUUAAUUAAAAAUUUAUUUAUUAGAUUGUAAAAUAUUUCUUAACAUUUAUAAUUGAGUACAAAGUAAAUUAAGUUUAAGGGAAAAUAUUAGGUACUAUUAAUGAAACUCUUUUCUUUUAUCAAAUUUUUUUUAAAAAAAUCUGGUUUUUAAAAAAAAUCGGGGUGGUACUAUUAAUGAAAUUCUAAACUUGAUAAGUAGGAUUGAGAUAAUAACAAAUAUAUUAUAUGGUAUAAUAAAAUAUUAAAAAAAGAAAUAUUUAAAAGAAAUAGGUUACUGGCCAUUUUUUAACUUCACUUGUAGAGUUAAAAAACUCCAUUACUAGUACCAAAUACUAAUAUUAAGGAAUUAAAUGCUAAAUUAAUUUCAAACAUAUUUAAAUCUGAUAUGAAUCAAGAAAAAAUUUAUUUUGAAAUUAUAUUUUAUCUUAGAAUGCUAAAAAAGGAUUAGUUUAAUUAAUAAAAUGAAUAAAUAGUUAUGUUAAGAUUUGGACAUUCUCUAUUAAAAUUUUAUUUUAUUGAUGAAAACAAAUAUUUAUAUAUUUCUUUCACUUACAGAAAAUAAGGGAUUGAGAAAUUUGAAAGUUUUGUUUCUUUAUCACGCUUUCACCGAUGGAAGCAUUCCAUUACAAAAUUUAGUGGAGUCUUUCUCAUCAGUUAAAGCCUUUCAUCUACAAUACAAUUAUCUGAACAUGACUCUGGCUACUCAAGGUAAGUGAAAGUCAUUAUGUUCUUUUCCAAAACAGCUUACGUUUAUUAACAUCUAAUACCUCUUCCCAUCCUAUAGAAUUAAAUGUGUCGAGCAAUGUGGAGGAAUUAUAUUUUGACGGAUCUACUCUCAACACCAACAUUUUGCAAAGCAUUGGAGUAUUCGCUUCUCUUAAAACAUUGUCUUUACAUGAUUGUGGACUUAUCGGUCCCUUACCUAAUCAUGGUAAAUAAAUUUAUGGGUCAAAUUGACUUCUUUAUGAGCCUUCUGGGAUAUAAUAUCUCCUAUUCUGUUUAAUAGAUCAAAUUUAAUUAAAAUUUCUUCAAUGAAUUUAUAAAUUUUUCAGGAUGGUGUGAUCUAAGGAACCUUGAAGUGUUGGAUGUGAGUGGGAAUGCACUUGAGGGGAUGCUUCCUCAUUGUUUCAGUAACUUGACAUCUCUUCGUGAGUUACAUAUUUCAGCAAACCGUUUUCAAAUUCCACUAUCAUUCGCACCAUUUGCAAACCUUUCAAACCUCAAAGUCCUUUCCGGUGAUGAAAACAAGAUGGUAAUGGAACCUUCCUUUUAUACCUCAGUCCCAAAGUUUCAAUUGACCAGCAUCAGUUUGUCAAAGUGCAUUACAUCUCAACAACUCAAUCUUGAACUUCCUACCUUCCUUUACUACCAAUAUGACUUGAGAUAUGUGGAUCUUUCUCAUAACAAUUUCAGCGGAACAGUCCCAACUUGGUUGUUAGAAAACAACACAAAGUUAGAAGUUCUCAUCUUGAUGGGUAAUUCCUUUACUGGUCCUCUCUCAUUUUCGUCAGCUCUUAUUUCUAAUGUAUCUUCAAUUGACAUAUCUGAAAACAAAUUACAAGGUCAAAUUCCGACUAGUAUAUGUUCAACUUUUCCACAUUUGUGGCGGUUAUUCUUAUCCAAGAAUGCUUUUGAAGGUAAUAUCCCACUUUGUUUAAGUGUCAUGAAGGACUUAUCAUUUUUAGAUCUAUCAAACAAUCAAUUGUAUGGAAAAGUACCAGAAGAGUUGAUCGCGAAAGGCUCACUGACCAUUUUGAGACUAUCAAAUAACAAGCUCAGUGGAAAUGUAGUUCCUGUGGUUCUCAACUCAAAUGGGGUGCAGAAUUUAUAUUUGGAUGGAAACAAUUUUUCAGGAGAGAUGACAAAUGUUGAUUUGUCUACUUUUGAGUUUCCAAAUUCAAUAAGGGAAAUUGAUCUUAGUAACAACAAGUUGCAUGGAAAGCUCCCAAGAUGGAUAGGGAAUGCAUCGUUUUUGGAGAGAUUAGCUUUGUCCAACAGCGGUUUCGAGGGUUCUAUUCCAAUGGAAUUUUGCAAGUUGAAUAGGUUGGAAUUUUUGGAUCUUUCCCAAAAUCAUUUAUCUGGAUCUAUACCGUCAUGUUUUAAUCCACCAAACAUAGAGCAUGUCCACCUCCACGAGAAUAGACUGAGAGGUCCACUAUCACUUGCUUUUUAUAAUAGCUCCUCUCUAGUGACUUUAGAUCUUAGAGGAAACAAUUUGACAGGUAAUAUUCCAAAAUGGAUUGACACAUUUUCUUCUUUGAGUGUUCUUCUCUUGAAAGAUAAUCAUUUUCACGGUAAAGUUCCAAUUCAGUUAUGCAAGUUGCAUUCUUUAAGCAUCAUAGAUCUUUCUCAAAAUAUGUUUUCUGGUCCUAUACCUUCUUGUUUGGGAAAUUUAUCUCUUCCAAUGCAAACGAAGAAGAUUCUAGACAUUGGGAUCUAUAGGCAAUCUACAGAAGAGGAUGAAUCAACACGCAUUAUGAUAGCAAAUCUGGGACUGGAUUCUUACUACCCUUACAGCUACUUUGAAGAAGUAAUAGAGUUCACAACAAAGAGUGGGUUCUAUUCGUACAAGGGCGACAUCCUUUCAUAUAUGACUGGGAUUGAUUUAUCUUGCAACAACUUAACUGGUCAUAUCCCACCAGAAUUAGGGAACUUGAGUGAAAUCCAUUCUUUAAACCUUUCACACAAUAAGUUGACCGGAGUUAUACCCUCGUCAUUCUCAAAACUUCAUCAAAUUGAGAGUUUGGACCUUUCUUACAACAACUUGAGUGGUGAAAUCCCCAAUCAAUUGGUAGAGUUGAACUCUUUGGAGGUUUUCAGCGUGGCAUUUAACAACUUUUCAGGUAGUAUUCCCGAACCAAAAGCUCAAUUUGGGACCUUUAUUGAAAAUAGUUAUGAGGGAAAUCCGUUUCUUUGUGGAGUUAUAUUGCAUAAAAGUUGUUCCAAAACCGAUUCACCAUCAACGAUAUCAACUGUAUCAGAAGAUAAAUGAGAAGAUGGUUUGAUAGAUACUUAUGAUUUUUGUGUGAGCUUUUUGGUUUCUUAUGUAGUUGUGUUGUUGACAAUUUUUGUUGUCCUCUACAUAAAUCCAUAUUGGCGAAGAGCUUGGUUUUCUCUAGUUGGGAAAUGCAUUACCACCUGUCACUACUCAAAUGUGGGCAAUUCUUACUUAUCACAUUUUCAAGCGAUGUGUUUAGCUACUCAAAUUGCGAUUUGAUUUCCACACCUAAAUGUUUAAUUAUGCUAAGUUGAGCGAUAAUGAAUAUUUUGUUGAUUUUUGCAUUUUGAAUAAAAGCUCUUUUACCUUAUGGUUUUAUCAUUUUCAACCAACUAUUUCUUUUUUCUUCUAUGAAAUUUAAUGUAAAAUCAUAAUCCAUUAUUAUGUAUAUGUAAUAUCUCUUUAAAUUAAAUUAAAUUAAAUUAACUGCCAAGCGUUCACUAGUGCAUACUAAAAAGGAAAUCUAAUGUAAAAUUAAAUAACAUACUAGAAAAUUGAAUCUAAAACUGGAAUAUUUUAAAACCUCACAAAUAAUGCAAUUCUUUAUUCCUCUUUUCCUCUCAAGUUAUUUUGUAUCAUGUUAUAUUUUACAUAAUUAUUCGUAUCAUUGAAUUUUAAAAAAAAUUUAAUAUUUUGAUAUCAUGUUCAUAUUAUGCUUUAAUUCACAAUAUAUUUUGUAUAAUAUGUUAUAACAAUUCAAUUUAAAAAACAAGCAAUUAUCUUAUUUUUGCAUACCGUAAUAUACAUUUACAUGUUAAUAAUUCUUUGUACAUAAAUUUUGACAUGUUCGUAUAUUCGAGUCAUUAUAAUUUUAUUAUUUGUAAUAUGACAUGUUUUACUUACCCUUAAUAUUGUGUCAUGAUAAUUAUAACUCGAUUGGCAGUGUACCAAAUAUUUUUCUAAUAAAAAAUAGUAUUUUAUUCUAUUUACCAAAUCUUUAUCAACUUUAUAUUCUCACCAACAAAACAUACAUUCAAAGUUCAAAUAAGUUCCACACCCAUUUAUGCUCAUCAUCAGAAAGCUGAAAUAUUCCACUCUAAUUAACAUUAUGAUUCUGUAAACAACAAAAAAGUGUGAUCUUUUUUUAAAGCUCUUUUUUUUCUUUAAUGAAAUGGGAUUGGUAAAAAAUCCGCACAUGUGUCGUGUGUGAAGAAGGUCAGGUUGUCUAUUCAUUCUCUAAUAAGUAGCUAAUUAUAGUUGAUCCUACAAAAUCAAAAUUAAUUCAGGUAUCUAUAUAUUCUGAAGACUGGACAGACCUUAGAAGCUCCUUCAAAUUUGCAAGAACAUGUCGUGGUCCUAAACUCUUUACACCGAUGAAAUUCAAAAGUUGCUCUAUAUCCUGCAAUCACAGUAAAGAUUAUGCAAGCUUUUCAGAACGAAUAACAUAACAAGCAAAAGGCAAUCAAAAUACUGUGAUCUCGAUAAUGUUCUUUGCCGAAAAGGAACAUAAACAUAACCUGAAAACAUCAGUGAAGGCUCAUCAGAUUUGCUUAGCAACCUUACAUACACAUGUAAAAAGCUUUGCUUUUGGAUGUAAGGUGUGACUAUCAUCACAGUCUUUCCUAAUUAGCUGAUAACCCUAUAUCUAACAUUAAUCAUGGCUAAGCAAAUUAACAUACAUAAUGUAAAGGAAUUUGACUAUAAGAUCCAACAUAAAACUUAAUAAAAGAUAAUCAACAUAGAAAGUUAAAAGGCAAUGCAAACUUAUUACAAUGAUGCAAGUGGAUCAAAAGAAAGCACUCUAUAAGGAAUUUGCAUUUAAGGCAUUGUAAACAGAAAAAAAAAAUAAAACUUUUUGGAAAGUAUUUUCAAAGAGGAGACAAACAGGGUAGAAAAAAUGUUUGGUCCUUCCUUUUUCUAUUUCUACUGUGGUGAAAAAGCCUUUUUGGGUUAAAAGUGUUUUUACACUGCAGAAGUGUUUUUCCACUGCAGAAGUGACGAAGAACACAUAGCUUUUGUAGUCAAAAACCUACUGCUUUUGGCUUUUGCAUUUCGAAGUGAAAAUUAUAAAAAUACUCUUAGAUUAAUUUAUAUUUUAUAUAUUAUUAUAUUAAUUGUUUAAAUCUUAUUUAUUAUUAUAUUUAAUUUUUUUCAAAAUAUUUUAUAUAUCAUCAAUUUUAUAAAUAAUUUAAAUUAAUUACUUAAAAGGUAUUUAAAAGUUAUAUUUCAUGUAUCAUUAUAUUAAAUUAUUUAAAUAUCAUAUAACUUGACUAAUUUUUUUCUUUCUACCAUCAUGUCUAAAAAAGACAUUUUAACUUUCAACUGCAAUUUUUGGCAGCAAUGAACAACACUAAAAACUAACAAACACACUUUUCCGCACCACAUUUCAACAACACUUUUUUCUAAACGCACUUUUGAACUAGUCCUUAGUCUAUCAUGCAUCAACUCUUCAUUUUUCUUUAACUACCCAUGUCCGACUUCGAACAUGGAUAUGGAGAUAUGACCAAGUCACAGUGACAUAGUUUUUAGUUAUGGGGAAUGGGAUUCGAGUGCUGGACCUCCUUUUAGAUGCAUGGUGGGACUUCAUCACAUUUUUCAAAUUUGUUGAUAAUCCUUCACCUAAUCUGCCGGUGAAGUUUAUAGAUAGUCUUAAGUGUCUAUCACAAGAACCUAGAUAUUGUAAAUCCAAUAUCUUCCAAACAAUUCAACCAUGAUAUUAAUGAUGAUGGAAGCAAGAUUAUCCACUAUCAAUGACAUAAAAUGAGCUGUAAAUGCUGACGAACAAACAUGCACUGUUUUUCCAACCUGUGGAUUGAAGAGCAUUGACAAGCUAACUUUGCAGACCAUUUGAAUCCAAUACUAUACAUAAAAAUGCCAAAGGAGAAUAAUUCAUCUUGGAAAAAGAAUUACUAAUAUGCAAAAGCUUACCUUGUUUAACAAGAAAACAGCAUAUGCUGCUCUUGUCGUGUCUUGACCUUCUAAAAACAGCGGAAAUUCUGCCAGCUUUACAUUUGCUGAAAGUGUUGUAUCCAAUGACAAAUCAGAAGAUGCAGGGUCUAUUGAAGACGCAUGGUCAUUAAUAUAUGAGCGAGAACCACCCAAGCGCAGAGGAUAACGCAAGGGAACUUGUAAAUAGGAUGCAAUUAGUGAAACAGCCUGCAAAUGAUGAAAUAACAGGAAACAAGAAACAAUAAUAGGUAUGAUUAAAAUUAUAGCCUCAGCAUGAGAAACAAACAAUCAAGAUGCAACCCACUAUACCAUAUUACCAUCCUAGCAAUUAAAAAUUACUACAGCAUCUUCAAGCAACAAGGGAUUGUAGGUGGUAGGUCAAAAAACUUGAUAUCCACAGCUUGAUAUUAUCAGAAAAAACAAAUUCAGUAAUAAAUGAUAACUUCACAGAAGAAAUAGAACGCACAUGUGCAACAUAUCCCAAGGCAGUUGCAGAUCUCUGAACCUCCUUUUUGUCAGUGAAAAAACUCAUCUUUGUAAAAGGAAGCAAGGUGAGAUUCAGACCUAAAAUUGUCAACGAUCCUUGAUUGACGGGCUUUGAUGCAGAAGGAUUCCCUAUUGAAGACAGGAACAAAGGAACUUCAUAUCAGUACAUCACCAGACACCACCUCUUUGUGAAAGUCAAAAGAAAAUUCAAAAAAAUAUCAUCAUGAAAGUAAGAGAUAUGUAAAAAGCUCAUAAUAUUCAAGAGCAAAAAAAAAUUGUUUUGAUAUGAGGAGAAUUGAAUAGUAGAUUGCUAAAAGAGGAAUAACUGAAUACAACCAUUAUAACCAAAAGAAGAGUCAAGUGAUAGGUAAUGGUACUCCCUAAGCUGUUUAGGAAUCAUAAAAGACUUGUCCAGUCGACAAAAAUAACUCAUUUUAUUCUCCCCUAGUAAAACAUCAUAUUGGACCAACCAUAUUUGAUAUCAAAGGAUAUGCAUAUCCAGGCAUGCCAUUUAUAGAUAUUCCCAGUGUUACAAGAAGGAAUUGUUCAAGAGAAAGAAGCUGCUAUUGUUGGUAAAGUUUUCCUCAAACCAUUUUGAACAUCCAAAAUCUCAAGAACAAAAAAGAAAACGUAGGAGGAAAUAUAACAAGCAUCACAACGGGUUCUCGAUGAUAUAAGUGAGAGGAUAAAUGUUAAUUAAGAUUAUAAAAAUAAACCACAAACUAAACAGGAAAGACAUGGAUUUCAAAACGAGGAGACUGGCUGCUAAUUAAAACCAUAUGCGGCGUUGUCUAGGGCGCAAGGCACAUUCUAGGUGCUAACCUUUAUAUUGCCUCAAGCACAAGGCACAAAAGGAAGCGCUAGCCUGAGUGCAGUAAAGCGCAAUACGUAUAUGUGAGAGUUUUUGCAAGUCUGUGUGUCUAUAACAUAAAAGUUUUAAGAUAUAUGGUAAACUCUAAAGUGUGGUCUGGUUUAUCCACAAAACUUGCAAAAUUUUUAUAGGUGAAUACUUAAAUAUUGAGAAUUAUAGAGUUUGAUAUUAUCCCUUUCUUAUUAGUAAAGGUGUAUCAAAUGAAAACAGUAGAAAAUAAAAUAAAAUAUUGAGAAAUUCAACAAGGCAGGCUUUUUCUAAUGCCCAUUGCCUUACAAAAAAAGUGUGCCUAGGUGCACCAGGCAUACGCUUGAUCAAAUGGACCUCACCUGGAAGGGUCCAAGGCGUUUUGUUGUAUAAAACUAAGGCGUAGGCACGCCUAGGCGCAUGCCUUGACAACACUGACCAUAUGUUGGCUUUAUUGCAAAGCAUUAGCAAUCCAAAACUACUAGCACAUUACCUAAUCUACUACUGCUAGAAUAGGACUCAAGUUCUUGCUCCUGUGCAGGUCCAACCAAGAUCUUUACAGGAUACAAUAAUGAAACUUGUGAUAUCAUAUAUUGUUGCCUUGCUCGAAGCUUCCUUUGCACAUUUUUAAGUUUAACACAACCCCUUUCUUCAGUGAGUAAUCUAUUUGCUUCCUGUGAUAAAAACAACAUAUAAUCAAUCAUGCCACGCAUGCAAGACUACCAACCAACUAUCUAAUAAAAGAGACAAAGAAGUAGGAGAGCAAGAAGGGGAUAACCCUUGACUAUGCAAAGGAAUUCAUAGAAUGAGAAUCAUCUCAUCUAAGCCCCUCAACCACCUUCACAGGGGGUGGAGGUGCAAAGAGAGAGGUCUUAUUGAUCCGAGAGGAGAAUAUAUAACAUCUAAAGCUGAAUAAGAAGAAACCUUCAAAUAUAUCAUAAAUUCAGAAUUCAUGAUAAUAUAAAAAUGAAAUUCCAAAGCUAAUUUAAGCUAGAAUAAAAAUGCUUCACCUGUAAUCGCUUCCUUGCUACAGAAAGAGAGGUACCAGCAACCAACAAUGAUCUUACUUCAGUACUCAGCAUUUCCUCCUGUUUUUUAGCAUCCUCUGUUGCAACUUUGCAACGAGUUGACAUGUUUGCCAUAACUACUUUCCUUGCCUCUAGUCUCUCACGCAUUUCCUCAAGCUCGUUCAGUUUAUUCAAAGACUCAUUUUUUACCUGCACAGCAUGUUCCCACCCAUUAAUCAGUGGGCCAAUUAAUUAGGUCACAGAAGACAAAACUAAAUUAUCACUCACCAGGUCCCCUUGAAGUGUCAUAUGGCUUUAACAAUUCAACGUGCAAUAUCUAGUAAAAGUGAAAUAAACAUAGAAGAAUGCAAAUGCAAUUCUUAAACGCCUUUAAAUGGACAACAUGAAACAGUUUAAGAGCCCUAUAAAACAGAAAAGUGGAAAAAAAAUCUGAAAAGGAAAAAAAAUGAAUUGAAACAAUAAAUCCAUCUGGUACAAACAGCAACAAAUCUCGAAAUAAGCCUUGGCUUUAGCCCAUUAAAGCCCGGGCAUCCGGCCGAAUAAACAGUGACUGCCAUGUCAACUUUUUGAGACGGUAGAAAAGAGCUCAAAAAUCUCAAUUUCCAAAAUUAAGGACAUAAGAAGGAAAACAAUGUACUUAUUCUUACAGUAGAAGAGCAAAAUGAAACUAAAUGAAGGAUAAGGGAACUGAUGCGAAUUGACAUUGUUAUUUUUGGGACUAAAAAGAAUACGCAGAUUGAAUAUUUAAGAUUUUGUAAGGGAAAAGUUCCAUUCACCAACACAAUUAUCAUCGCCCUUUAUCCCAGUAAAGCUUAAUUGACAAUUUUUCUGUCUCGUGUUCUUGCUAAAGCAUUUGAGCAACCCAACAGAAAUCAUUAUAUGUCAAACUGAAAUGAUUGGCUUUAUCAAUUUCACAACCUAUACUGCCCAACCUAGUAAGUAAUUUAGGUGCAGACACCAGAAAUCUAUUUUCUUUGCACUCUACAACCAAAUAGCCUACCACUUAUCAAUCAAACACAGCUGAAAACUUCAGUGAGGAAACAUUAUGUAAACUGAAAAAACUAUAACUUCAACUUGAUUCAUAGCUCGGUAAGUUCAGGGAACUUGGACUUCUACCACCAUGAUCCAGUUCGAUGUGAAACAGUGAUCCAUAUCACGCAUAUCAGUUCCCGCAACAAGAGGUAAAACAGCAAAUUAGGUAAACAAUGAUCCAACUAUAUUUCAGAAUAGCAACAUUGAGCAUGAAAGCUAAAAUUAUAGCAUAUUAUGGGUCCUUGCUCCCUACAACUACAUAUAAAAUUACUAAACAAUAUUACUACAUUAAGGAUCCAGAAAAACUUGGUUUCAAUUGUUGAUCACUUGAUCCAACUAUUUUAGAAAGUUUAUUCUUCUUUUUCCUUUCCCUUAUUUUCUAAAUCAGGAAAAACAGUAGCAUAUAAACUGGAUUACUACUCCAAUUAAGUUUCUAAAAUUUCAGCAAUAUCCCUUUAACCUUUUCACUCAAGUCACUACCCCCCCCCCCCAAUUAACAAAUAUAUUCCCAGUUUCCCUUUCACUUCAAACCCCCCCCCUUUUUUUUUUCUCUACCCAAAUUCAGCUUACGUUCAAAAACCCAAAAUUGGUUUGCUAAAAAAACAUAAUUUUCAAACCCAAAGGUAACCUAAUUUUAAUCAGAAAAAAAAAAGAAGCAUUACCUGAAUUAGUGAAUGGAGUUUCUCUUGAAGACUUUAUUUUAAAAUUAUCUUAUACUAUUUGCUUUAAAUCGAUUUUUAUUAGUUAUUUGAAACUCGUUUUCAUGUACUAUUUAUUUUUUUAUCACUUAUUUAAAUUGUUUUACAUAUCUAUUUUUUAAACCCUAUUUUAUUAUAUUUUACUUAUUUUAACUUUUUUACAUAUUUCAUUAUAAAUAUUAUUAAUUAUCUAUAUUGAGUUUUUCAUUUAUGUAUUACUUAUUUAGAUAAAUAUAUACUAUUUUGUGUAUUACUUAUUUUGAUUUUCUUCUUAUACAAUAUUACUUUAAAAUUCAUUUAGAUAUUAUUAUUUCACAUAGUAUUUAUUUUUAUCUUCAUUUUUGAUCUAUUUCAAACUCAUAUAUAUUGUUUAUUUUGAAAUUUUAUGCACAUGAUUUAUUGUUUAUAUUGAUGAUUUUAAAUUUCCUUUCUUGUAUUUUUAUUUAUUUAUUUUAAAACUUGUUAUACUUUAUUUGUGUUAAUUUGCUUAGUUUUUCUUUCAAAAUUAACUUAUAAUUCAUUAGCUUUUAAUGUUAGUAUUUGCAUAAUAUGUGAUAUAAGAUUAUUGCUCUCAUGUAUUGCUUAUCUGUAUAUAUUGAUUAUUUGUCAUUCAUUAGUAUAUAUUUUGUUUUACGAAUUAUCACUUCUCGCGUUGUACAUUAUCAUUUCCAUCGCGUUUUAUUUGCUCAAAAAUUAUGUUUAAUAUGGCUUAAGUUUUGAAAUCAUUUUAUCCAAAAGCUUCCAAUAUAGCAUAACACUCGGUGUUUGGGAUUUUUGAAAAGAUCGUACUCUAACUUACGAGGUCUCGAUUUUUUGAUAAUUUCAAAUAUACGAACCUUUUUAAAAAAAAAAACAAGACACAUUUACUUAAAAAUUAUCUCAAGAAUCAAAAAAAGAUCGUGUCCCAACUUACCGGAUAUGAUUUAUUAUCUGAAACCGAUAUGAUCAAGAUUUUUAAAAAUAAAUAAAUUUUGGUGUUUAUUCUCGUUUCGGGAUUUAAGAUAUUGUGUCCUAACUCACGGGAUAUAAUUUUUUUCUCGAUUAACGAGAAAUACACCCUUCUUUAAAUUUUAACAAAAUGGUCAUUUUUUUAAAUUUCUUUUCGAAAUUUUAAUUUUUCGACAUUAAGACAUUAAUUAAUCGAUUAGGUACUAAUUUUGGGCAUGACGGGGUGCUAAUCCUUCCUCGCAUGUAACUGACUCUCGAACCCGUUUUUCUUAAAUUCCAUUGACCAAAAUCAUUGUUUUAAUAAAAUCAAAAUGUUUUAUCAAAACGAUUGAAUUGCAAGGUGAUCCAAUCACACAUAAAAAAAAUGUCGGUAGCGACUCCCUUUUUUUCAUUUUCAAAAUAAAAGUCAACACUAUUUUUGUUUUCAAAAAGUGGUUUCGACAAAAUUGUUUAAAUCUUACUUAUUAUUAUAUUUAAUUGUUUUUCAAAAUAUUUUAUAUAUCAUCAAUUUUACAAAUAAUUUAUAUUAAUUACUUAAAAGGUAUUUAAAAGUUAUAUUUCAUGUAUCAUUAUAUUAAAUUAUUUAAAUAUCAUAUAACUUGACUAAUUUUUUAAUUUCUACUAUCAUGUUUAAAAAGAACAUUUUAACUUUCAACUGCGAUUUUUAGUAGCAAUGAACAACACUAAAAACUAACAAACACACUUUUCAGCACCCCUUUUCAACAACACUUUUUUCUUAAAGUACUUUUGAACUAGUCCUUAGUCUAUCAUGCAUCGACUCUUCAUUUUUCUUUAACUACCCAUGUCCGACUUCAAACAUGGAUAUGGAGAUAUGACCAAGUCAGAGUGACAUAGUUUUUAGUUAUGGGGAAAAGGAUUCGAGUGUUGGACCUCCUUUUAGAUGCAUAGUGGGACUUUCAUCACAUUUUUCAAAUUUGUUGAUAAUCCUUCAUCUAAUCUGCCGGUGAAGUUUAUAGAUGGUCCUAAGUGUCUAUCACAAGAACCUAGAUAUUGUAAAUCCAAUAUCUUCCAAACAAUUCAACCAUGAUAUUAUUAAUAAUGAUGAAAGCAAGAUUAUCCACUAUCAAUGACAUAAAAUGAGCUGUAAAUGCUGACGAACAAACAUGCACUGUUUUUCCAACCUGUGGAUUGAAGAGCAUUGACAAGCUAACUUUGCAGACCAUUUGAAUCCAAUAAUAUACAUAAAAAUGCCAAAGGAGAAUAAUUCAUCUUGGAAAAAGAAUUACUAAUAUGCAAAAGCUUACCUUGUUUAACAAGAACACAGCAUAUACUGCUCUUGUCGUGUCUUGACCUUCUAAAAACAGCGGAAAUUCUGCCGGCUUUACAUUUGCUGAAACUGUUGUAUCCAAUGACAAAUCAGAAGAUGCAGGGUCUAUUGAAGCUGCAUGGUCAUUAAUAUAUGAGCGAGAACCACCCAAGCGCAGAAGAUAGCGCAAGGGAACUUGUAAAUAGGAUGCAAUUAGUGAAACAGCCUGCAAAUGAUGAAAUAGCAGGACAUUAGAAACAAUAAUAGGUAUGAUAAAAUUAUAGCCUAAGCAUGAGAAACAAACAAUCAAGAUGCAGCCCACUAUACCAUAUUACCAUCCUAGCAAUACCUGCAAAACUUUCAUCAAAACGGUAAUAACACUUUUGGACAAUGUGUCCUAUUUUACCACACAACUGGCAUUGGGGCCGAUUGUUUGAAAAACCACCCUCACGGCCUCAUCCUCGAUGGAAACCUCUAUUGCAUUGAAAACCACCUCUAUGUGCCUGUUUGUUCCCUUGAUAGCCACUGUUAUAAUCAUAACACUUGGUCCGAUCACCCUCAUCACAAUCUUGUUUACUAGCUAUGUUAGCUUGUUCGAGAACACUAUUCAAGAACUCAAGUUCUCGAGCUUCACAAUCAAGCAGCAUCUCAAUCAACAGACCAAGCGACACAGCAGUAGCUGAAGCUACUACCCGUACUGAUUCACACUCAACUGGCAACCUUGCAAGAAUGAUGCUAACCAUUUCUUGAUUUGAAAUCAAACAACUCGUUGCAACCAACAUAUCACACAUGGACUUGAUCUUAGACAAAUAUUCUUUAACAAACAGAUGACCCUUUUUCUGUGAAUACAACACAUGAUGCAUACUGGACAAUUUUACCGUCGACUUAGUCGCAAGCCUUUUUUUCAAUAGUUUCCCAAAUAUAAUAACUAGUACGAGCACUAGUAAGAUAGGCUAGAAUUUCAUCACUAUCAGUUGAAAGUAACCAAGAAGCCAAUAGCUUAUCUUGUUGCACAUGUAAAACAGAAUCAGAAUCUUCUACUAAUCUCCCAUAUUUAUCCACUACAAACUGUGCUAGUACACUAAUAGCACCCAAAACAAACUCAUGCAGACCGUAUCAUUCAAGGAUCAACAUAAUUUGGAGCUUCCAUAAAACAAAAUUAUACUCACCAAGCUUUAUUGUAUCGUGCUUAGGAAAUUGUUGAAGACAUCUACAACUGUUGAGGUGGGUUUUCUUUAAACAUACUCAUUCCAACAAAAAAAAAAUCUACGUUAGUAUGAUUAAUUAGAAAGUGAUUAAUUCAUUAUUUAGUUAGAAGUGAUGGCCUUAAGAAAAAAAAUGACAUUAUUUUAUUUGGCAUUGUUAAAAGUGUUAGUUACUGAAAUAAUUAAUGAGAUUAUAAAAGUGAAAGAAUCAAAUUAUGUCAAAAGUAAAGUAGAGGGUUUUAAUCCUAAAUUUGGGUAUAAUAAAGGGACUAACACCAAAUAAUUAUAAAAUUUUCAAAUAUUUUAAAAUUAAUUUUAAAUAUUAAUUAAAUACAAAUUAUAAAAAAAUAAAAUAAAAAUCCCCAGCGCAGUGAGGGACAUAUUCGAUAUCAAUAAUUAUAAAAUCUGUAGUUGUAAUAUUUAAUUGAUAUAAUAUAUAAAAUUUGAGGGUUAAAUUUGUUAUUAUACAAUUUUUUUAACUGCCGUGUCACUUUGCAAUUUUUUAUUUUAAGGAGUCAUCAAAAUAACUAAACUAUGUAAUGUGAGUGCUUAAAUUACAAAAUUUUUACUUUAAUGUGAGUGCUUAAAUUACAAAAUUUUUACUUUAAGUGUUUAAAUUUUUAAAAAAAAUUAUAAUUAAAUAACAAUCUAUAUGUAGUUUGCCCAAAAAUUUUAUAACCCAAACUACACAAUUUUAUGGCCAUCUCCCACUUUUGAUAUCUCUUUGGCCAUUAGUUAAGAUGGGAGGGGAAUGACUUAUUCAAGAUUAGUGUCAACAUUAGAUUUAAAACCUACGGAAGUCAUGUUUCAAUUUUUUUAUAUAAUAAUAUAACAUUUAAAAUUAUAUUAUAUCUAUAAAAGAACUCAUUGGAUUAGGGUUUUUUUUUUUAAUUAACUUUCCAUUUGUUAUUAGAAAACAAAACUAAAAAUGCAUCAAACAGGGCUCUGAUAAAAAAUUAAAAAAAAACCAAAAUGUUUAGGUUUGGUAUCGUUUUACUUUUACUUUAAAAUCAGUCUAAUCUGUAUCAUGCUCACACCAAACAUAUGAAGAAAAAAAAAAGUGAAAUAGUAAGGAUAUUAUUAAUUUCAUUCCAAGACAAAUUUUAGCAUACCCAAUUAGGUCCUUGGGUUAAUCUUAUGUUUUUUGUUUAGGCAUUCAGCAUUCUUGGCGUUUAGUUUAGUUAGAAUUUUAAAUUAUGAUAGAUCUGAAACUUUGGUAUUUUUGUGCAAAACUCAACCUCAAAGCUUUAUUUGUUGUCUAAAUUAUUUUAUUGAAGCCUAGGAAUUGUUGUUAUUGUUUCGGCUAAUUGACCUUAAAGCAUCAAAUGCCUUUUUUUGGAUGGUCAUAUUCCUUCCAAGGGCUGAAUUACUAAAAGCCCAUGAAGUAUCCUUCUUUUUCUUAAGUGAGCCUCUGUUUCAAUGCCGCCAAAAUUUUCUUUAUCCACAUGGAAGCUGACCUGCCAUGAUGAUGUGGUAAAAAAAUGAACAAUUUGUAUUUUUUGAAAAAUAUAACACUUAAGAACUUUCUUUCUUCUUGCCUCCCAAUUCUCACCACCAAUUCCUUAGCCCAAAUCAGUUUUGGCCUCCGACAUUGAUCAUAACAAAAGUAAACUUUCUAUUAGAAAUAAUUUCUUUUAUGUACAAAUUAAAGGGUAAGAUAUUGUUUGGGUACAAAAAAAGCAUAUGAGCUUACUUUAGAAAAGUGACAACGUUGGGCUCUUUUAGUAUUCUAUCCUCCCACCAACUUUGUCCAAUGUUUUUUGCCUUAUCACCAGACAGUAAAAGGGCCUUUGACCUUUUCAGGCUAAGCGCUGCCUGGUGCAUGUAGGGGGAAAAGGCCUUCUAAUUGAAGUUCUCUUUAAUAUCUCUUUAAUUGUUUCUUAAUUGUAACAAAGGGAUAAUAUCGAACUCUCUAUUUCUCAAUAUUUGAGUAUUCAACACCAGGCAUGGGAUCAUAUGGAAAUAUGCAUAUGGUUGACAAAAGAAAGAAAAUUUGGAAAUGUUUAUUUAAGUAGUAACUGCUGGUUUUCUUGGAUGCUUUCUUGUUAAUGACUACUGUUUGGGCAUGUUUAUUUAAGAAUUGCCCCCAAGUAGUUUCUUGAAUCAUCUAAAAUUGGAAAAAAUAGUCUUAUGGUAACUCAUUAAAGUAUUUGAAAGUAUGCACAAGCUAAUAACAUUUUAGAAAUUAAAAUUGAAGAUCGGUUUUUAGGGUAUCAUGUCCAUAUUAAGCAUCAUCUUUCCAGAUUACUGUUCUCUCUCUCUCUCCCUCUCUGUGUGAUAUAUUUCUCAAGUGAAAGGUAACCUUCUUCACUUGAUUUUGACUUAAUUUUGCAGUCACCACGAUUGUAUAAUGUGUACAAGCAAAUGGGAAUUGUAAAAUCUUUUCAGAAUAUUCUGGACAAUGUUUUCAUUCCACUAUUUGAAGUUACAGUUGAUCCGAAUUCUCAUCCUCAACUACACGUGUUCCUAAAAAUGGUGAGUUCUAUGUUCAUCGGAGAACAUACUGUGCUAUAAUAAGAGAUUUCGGAAAAUAUAGUUAAAAAAUGCUUCUUUAUUGGAAUGACCUGCAUUAUAGCAAGCUGAAUAAAUGAUGCCUUAACUUUAUUCAUUGUGUUCUCAUAAUUCUUUAAAACCAUUCGAAAAUUCUAUUGAGCCACAUUAUAUGGUUAAUUUUUGGGUCUGUACUGCAUACUGAACAUGUGUACAUCCUUGCGAUUUUAGAUGGAUGGAGUUGGACAGCAAAGCAAUUGAAAAAAACCCAAUUUAUGGUUUCUAAAUGUUAGAUCAUUUAUGGUUUCUAGUUUCAAUUUAAAAAAAAAAAAUCCAAAUCAGCCAACUAAUGAAAUUUUCAACGAUGUUAGUUAUUUUAACUAAUCCAUAACAUGUUUGCUUCUUCUUCUUUUUUUUAGCCUAGCAGCAAUGUUAGCCUCUGGACUAGUUACCGCCCUCCUUUUUCCCCUCCCUAUUAACCCUUUUUAUUUUUCUUCUCAUUCACUCCAUGAGUCUUCGUUCUUUUCAGUUUACAGAUUUAUUUUGUGAGUAUUUUUGUUGUCUUUACAAGUUGUAAUGGACAGUUGACAAUGGCUAUCAUCAUUGAAACACCACCGACCACCAACACUUUCUUUUAGAAAGUGGGUACCUCUUCGUUGACUACUUAAUUUGUUUAUAUUUUGAGAGUUUCAAAAUAAUAAAUGAUUUCAUGACUCGGUUUAGACUCAUGUUUUUUUUCCAUUGUUCAAUAAGUUUUUACUUUUAAAAGUUUUUUUCUACUCUUAUAGUAAGCUUUUUAGUCUUGCUUUUGCGAGUAAUUUUAGGGUUGGUUUUGUCGCCAUCCCCUCUAGUUUGGUGGAUGCUCAGUUCUUUUGCUGAUUUAUGCCCGCCGCUUUGGACCAUCCGGGGUUGAUUUUCUUACUAUAUUAAGUGCUUGUAAUCACUUCUGAUAUGUUGUGCUUGAGUUGUGAUAGAGCUGAUUUCAACAUGCCAUAAUGUUCUAUUAAUGUUGAAGCUAAAGCUUUUGUUAUAUUGAUGGAGCUUGUCCUUUAGCGAGUACAACAAGUGUUUGUUAUUUCCUCCCCCCCCCCGAAUUGUAUGGUAUUAUUCAUUGAAUAAAUUAAUGAAGUUGUCUUAAAAAAAACUAAUCCAUAACAUUAACAUUAAUAAGAGAACAAAAUAUAUCAAAUUAAAAAAGAAAAACUGAAUCUUUAAUUCAAUUGAGAAAUUAUAGGGAUUAAAACUAUAAAUUGAUCUAUAAUAAUUUCUCAGGCAUUAAUUGUAAGAUUAAUUCCAUAACCUAAAUUAUUGUAGGGGCUAUAUAAGCUCAAGGUUGACGCAAAAGUCAAUAGUCAGCGUCUGAAAGUUAAUGCAAUUAAUUAUGUCAUUGUUGAUAUAUUUAACGCAAAUAUAUUAUCAUAUGUGUAAUGUCAUACCAUCUUAUUAUUUCCAUAUGUUACUAAAAAUCUAGUUAACGGACUAAGGAUUGUCAUUUGUAUCAAGACUGAAAUUUUAAAUUUUGAAAAAUAUAGGUACUUAGAAUAAUCCAAUUAGAGAGUAUGGACUAAAUCAACAAUUAUACGCAUAAUAUAGGACUAGUAAUUGGUUUUAAUUAAAUUGAUUUAACUCUAUUGUUUGGAUCACAACUAAAAUUUUAAAAUUCAAAAUGUAUAGGGAUUAAAAUUGAUCAAAUUGAAGUAAAUAGACUAAAUUUACAACUUUCACAAAGAACAGUGACCAACAGCAGAAUUUAACCAAAUAAGCUCACCAAAGUCAAUAGUCAAUCUUUGAAAAGUAAUGCAAUUAAUUAUGUCAUUGUAGGAACGCUUUCCUGACAUAAAAUUCCACCAACUAAGCCUUUUGCGUAAAUAUUAGCUAUGAAAAUUCAACCAUUGAUAUUAAAUUCAAGACCCCACAAAUGACAGACAUAUAUGUUGGAAAAAUCUUUGUGUGAACAUUUCUUUCGGUCAUACUCAUGUCGUAUAAGUUAGAGGAGCACAAGUCUAGAUUCAUCCAAUUUUUGAGGAAUUAAUUAAUUAUAUAUUAGUUUAAAAUUAUAGUGAAUUAGUGAGACGCCAUAGGUCUUGCUUGCAUAUAAAUAAGAAGCUUAGGCUUCUUCAGAUUAUUUACAUAUAAAAGUUUAAAAAGUAACAUAUAGCUAAGAGAGAAGAGGAAAACAGAAAGAUGAUGAUGAUAAUGAUGGAGUGGAAAUGGUUAUGGUUUAUAAGGAUGGCAGUAAUGUUGUUGGUGUUAGAAGGGUGCAGGUGGUGUACUGCUGAUGCUUGUUUGGAGCAUGAGUCGCCUUCUUGCAUCUCAAACCUUUCUUCAAUUAUGAUAAUCAAUUGAAAAGUUGGAUUGAGGUGAAGGGUUCAGAUUGUUGUAAAUGGAAAAGAGUUGAGUGCAACACCAUCACUAGGAGAGUCAUACAACUCUCCCUUAAUCAUACAUCAUCCAAUAUAUAAAUGAAUUAAUGAAUUUACCUUUCAAAAGAGAAAAAAAGAAUUCAUAAAUUUUGAAAUACAAAAUGAACGUGUUUUGAUAUUUUUAGGGCAAUGGUUUAGUGGUUCAAAAUUUUGAUUUAAUAUGGUGAAUUUAAUUAUAAUUUUUUAUAUAUUAGAUAGUAGAAUAUAUUUUACCAUUUAUAAUUAAGUACAAUUAAGUUUAGGUUAAAAUAUUUUAUUAAAUUUUUGUACUUUUCACAAAUUUUAAAUUUAAUCUGUUUACUUUUAUUCUAGAAUUUAAUCUCUCUGCAUGUAAAGGAGGUUAUUAUGGCAAGGGGAAUUACCAUGGCAGAGGUAGCCGAGGCUGACGAAGAGAUGCUGGAUAUGCUGAAGAAAGAUAGAUGGCUGAGAAACAGAAAAACUUUAGGAACAAUAUUCAGUGUUAGAAGUAUGGGGAUGUGAAGGCAGAUUGUUGGAAAAGGGGAAACAAGCAAAUUUUGCGGAAGAUGAUGAAGAGAUUUAAAUUAUUUAUGAGCUGUCUAGAUGACACUAUAGCUUCAACUAACAUUUGGUUUCAAGGGCGUAUAUCUCAUGAUGAAGAGAUCGUCUCUCUUCUUUUUUCUCAUAACAUAUUACACGCCAUGAUAAUAAAUAUUGAUAUGCCUAUAAAUUUGAGUUUCUAUUAUUUGUAGUCAUGAUUUGGUUCACUCCAUAAGUUACAUAAAUUUAUUAUAAUAAUUCAAUUAAUUUUAGAUUAAUUUUACAUUUUUGCCCGAACUUUAGUUUUUAAUAAUUCAAUCAUCCCACCAUUAUAUUCAAUUAAAAGUGUAAUACGAUUUUGCGUCAUCCAACCAUUAUUCUUAGUGUAAUUUUUGGUAGUGAGCAUAGAAGGACAGCGAGAACAAAGAAAGAAUGUAUCCAAUAACCCACUCCCCUUAUAGUCAAUGCUUAAAAUGAAUAAGAAAAUAGAAAACAAACGUGGCAAUGCCAGCUAAUUUGUUAUUACUAUUCACCGUAUAACUAAGGACAUUACGCACCGUUUUAAUUAAAACAAACUCACCGUUUAAGACCGUUACUUCUAUGCAUCGUUUUAAUCAUAUGCGUCAGUUCGAACAAAUAGGUGAACAUGAAAGCUUUUCGCAAAGUUUAGAUGUGUGCUUAAAACUCAAACUUUGUGUUCUGUAAAAAUAUUGAUUUUGUUGUAAUUGUAGGUUGAACUUUGUGAGUCCAAUUACUUUCUUUGGCAUCGGAUAUUUCGUGGAACUUUCGUAUGAGAUAUUUACUUCAUAAAUAGAAGAUUACAAAAUUUGGAUAUUAAUAUAUUUUUCAUGAUUUAAUUUUCUUUUCCUUUUUUGGGCUAAAAUAAUUAAUAACGAAAACACGUCUUUUGCUAGCACCUAUAAAUGCCUUAAAAAUGUAAAUUAAUAUUCCACAAUAAUUAUUAAGAUGAAAAGAAUUUUAUAAUCUAAACUUACGAUUUCAUGUGAAUUUAAUGUUUAGUUAUAGUUUUAAUUACAAAGUUAAAUUGGUAUCUUUGUUAUUGCAAUAAUUAAAAAAAGAUGAGUCCAAAUGACGUUGAUUUUCUGUUUUUUAAAAGUGAAUGCAAGAUGGGACGGCUGGAAUUUUUUUUAUUAAACAGUAAGUAUGAAACAGUUAUGGUAAUUGCUUGCUCCAUCUCACUCCACUCCACUAUAUAAAAUUAUCAUUUCAUUCUUUUAUAUAUAGAAAAAAAUUAAAUAUUUUAUGAAAAUAAUCAUGUUUAAAUUUCCAAGAAUAAAAGCAAACUGAAGACUUAAAAUUUCCAUUAAUAAAACCAAAAUCAAAGAAGUAAAUUUCCCAUGAAUAAAACAAAAAAUGAAGAUCUAAAUUUUCCAUUAAUAAAGCCAAGUCAAGACUAAGUUUGUAUAAGUGUAAGAAGGGUAUAAAUGAAACUCACAAGAAAGCCACAUGAAGAAUUUUAUAACCCCAAACUACACGAUUUUAUGUCCACCUCUCACUUUUCAUAUUUUUUUGGCCAUUCGUUUUUCAAGAUUAACAUCAGCAUUCUUGUGGUCCGUUCAUCCUUUUCUAAUGAAUUUCCACCAAGAGUUUUAUUUUUCAAAAUGUUAAAUUAACUCAUGAUAUUAAUUAAAUCAAGAAAUUUUAUAAUAAUAGAGAUGAAAAAACUAAAUUUUCAAAAUCAAAACCUAAAAUGUGCAAGAAUAAAAGCAAACUGAAGACUUAAAAUCUCCAUUAAAAAAAUCAAAAUCAAAGAAGUAAAAUUUCCAUGAAUAAAACGAAAAAUGAAGACCUAAAAUUUCCAUUAAUAAAUCCAAGUCAAGACUAAGUUUGUAUAAGCGUAAGAAGGGUAUAAAUGAAACUCACAAGAAAGCCACAUUAAGAAUUUUAUAACCCCAACUACACGAUUUUAUGUCCACCUCUCACUUUUCAGUUUUUUUGGUCAUUAGUUAUUCUAAGAUUUAACAUCAACAUUUGAUUUCAAAUCAACGUUAAACCAUGUUUAAACUCUUUUUCUUAUAUAAUAAUUAUAUUAUAUUUAAAAUUGAAAAAACUAACCAGCCAAAUAUAUAUUAAUUAAUUAAUAGAAUUUUUUUUGCUCAUCGAUUAAAAUAAAUCAAGAAAGACGUUGGAACCACCAACCUCUCUUUAAGAACAACAGGAAUACAAGAACCUAUGCACAACAAGUACUAAAAUGUAUUAAGUAAAUUCAUCACCAGGCCUUAAAAAAAGAAGAUCUCGAUAUACCUGCUUUUGCCAAAGCAUCUGCCAUACCAUUACUUUGCCAGUGAAUAAUUCUGAACUGAAACUUAGCCAAUUGAGUGAUAUUAAUUAUAGAAAUGGUUCUUCUUGCAACCAUAGAUGAAACACCACUGAGACUAACAAACUUGGAGAAACUUGAUUAAAUCAAACUUAUGCAAAUUUCUUGAAUAUUUAAGUUAAGAGUUAACGUCAAAGUCAAGAGUUGAUAAGGAUUUUGUGGUCCAUUCAUAUCUUUAUUACAAUAUAUAUAUAUUCAAGAAAUUUGCAGCAAGUUGGAGUUUUGCAAUAAGGAAUUUCCACCAAGAGUUUUGGAAUAAGGAAUUUCCUCCAAGAAUUUUGCAGGAAUCAUAUCUCUAACAAAAGAAAGACCUUCAUUUGACUAAAUUUUUUAGUAUUUAUUUUAACUUCCAUUUUAUUAAAAAAAAACAGAGGUAAAAAAUAUGCCGAACAGGGUCUUUAGGUUACUUUUCUUAGAACUAUAUUAUGUUAUAGUACCGUAUAAGUUAGAGGAGCACAAGUUUAGAUUCAUCCAAUUUUUGAGGAAUUAAUUAAAUAUAUAUUAUUUUAAUAUUAUAGUAUACAGAGGCAAUGUUAGAAAAAAAUUUUGUGGAGUCGAAAUUAAAUUAUAGUUUUAAAAGCAUAUAUCUUUAUAAUUUUUAAAGAAUUAAAUCAAAUUUUUAUCAAUUUUAGGGGGUCAAUGUGCAAUUUUAUCUUUACUAAUUUAAAAUUUUAAAACAUUUAAAGGACCUAAAUAGGAAUUUUUCUAUUUUAGAGGCGUCUGAGACGCCUGUCUAGCUAUGCCCCUGAUAGUGAAUUAGUGGGAUGCCAUAGGUCCUGCUUGUAUAUAAAUAAGAAGGUUAGGCUUCUUCAGAUUAUAUACAUAUAGAAGUUAAAAAUUAACAGACAACUGAGAGAGAAGAGAAAACAGAAAGAUGAUGAUGAUGAUGAUGAUGAUGGAGUGGAAAUGGUUAUGGUUUAUUAGGAUGGCAGUAAUGUUGUUGGUGUUCGAAGGAUGCAGGUGGUGUACUAUUGAUGCUUGUUUGGAGCACGAGAGGAUUGCUCUCUUGCAUCUCAAACCUUUCUUCAAUUCUCGUGAUGAAUUGAAAAGUUGGGUUGAGGUGAAGGGUUCAGAUUGCUGUAAAUGGGAAAGAGUUGAGUGCAACACCACCACUAGGAGACUCAUACAACUUUCCCUUAAUUAUACACAAUGGGAAUUCAACGUGGAAUAUUGGUAUCUCAAUGCCUCUAUGUUUCUUCCCUUCGAGGAAUUGAGGAGUCUUUAUUUGUCAGAUAAUGCCAUAGCUGGUUGCAUUGAAAAUGAAGGUCGUGCCUUUAAUUUUCCCUCAGUUACAUCUUUUAUUAUUACACUAUUCUCACCCUUGUUAAUUUGCAAUUACUUAUAAUUUAUUUUAUUUUAUUGAAGAAAGGUCACUAAAUGUUUGUGUAUAUAUUUAAAAGAACACUCUUACAGGUUUUGGAAAGCUAUCAUCCACAUUGAGUAAUUUGGAGAUUCUUGACUUAAGUUACAAUUACUUGAAUGAUAGCAUUUUGUUAUCUUUGAGUGAGCUUUCAUCUCUCCGAUAUUUGGAUCUAUCAUACAACCGAUUUGAAAGAUCAAGUCAUCCAAGAGGUAAAUUAAGUUUAGUCUGGUGUUAGUUUUUAUUUGUAUUGGGGAGUUUGACAGUGGUUUUCCAUUGUUUUAUUCCCUCUAACUUAGUUUUUGCUUUUAUGGUUGAGAGGAAAAAGAAACAAACAAGUACUUACUCAAAUUAACUAAACAAUGGAUUAUUUUUUUUAUGUUUUGCAGUAACUAAUUCUAUGGUAUAUAAAUCAGGUUUUCAGUGGCUUUCAAGGCUCACUAAAUUGGAAACUCUUCAUCUAAGUGGGAAUUCUUUGAAGAAUAGCAUUUUUUUACAGAUGAGAAAUCUUUCAUCUUUGAAGACUUUAAGUUUGGGUGACAAUCAGUUGGGAGGAAAACUGCUUCAUAUUCAAGGUAGACUGAUUUUACACUUUUCUUGUUAACUUUAAAAUAAAUUCAGUAUGUGAUUUGAUUUUAUCAUAUCAUGAAUAUAACUGAUCAAUAUUUGAGAUUGAAUUUCAGAAUUGAAUCAUUUGGCAAACUUGAAGUACUUGGAUUUAAGUAGGAACAGAAUUGAAAGCAUCUCAAACAAAGGUAUAAGUAAUAAUUUGUGCAUGACUUUCCUGACAGACUUCAAAUGUAUUUUCUUUGUUUUUUUCCUUUUCAUAUGGUUGAGAGGAAAAAAGAUCCUUAUAAUCUUAAAGAGUUGAUAUUGAGAGUUGGUCAUGAGAGAAUGGGUCCUUAAAAUCCUUAAGACCAGGGAGUUUGUGUCCACAGUUGAGUAUUCCAUUUGAAAACUGAAAAUUAAAUAUUCUAUUGCUUUAUUUCUUUUAAAAGAAAGAUUGAGUUUGGAUCUCCGACUGCUUUAUUUUUUUCAAAGAAAGAAAUAUGUUUAUACUUUUGCGCAGAAGAUAUGAAGAAGUCUUAUUUUGUUCUCGCUUUUGUGCAAGUGAAACUUAGUUAUCUCAAAUAUAUAUAUAUAUAUAUAUAUUGUAGUUAUCAGUUCACUACACAAUAGCAUGUAAACCAGUUCCCCCUUUUCAAAUUUAUGAGUGGGAGUUGUCCAUGAUUUUCUUUGUGAUUUUCUUUUCACGUUUUAGGAUUUUCAUCUUCACUUCAAGUUUUAGAUUUACUUUUUUUCAUUUUUAUUUCAUUAACUUAAAAAAGGAAUGCUGGAUCAUAUUCAAGGUAGAUUGAUUUUACAUGUUUCUUUUUAACUUAAAAAAUCAAUAUAUGUUCAAGUUUAAGUGACAACAACAUUGAAAGCAUCUCAAACCAAGGUAUAAGUAUUUGUGCGUAGUAACUUUCUUGACUGACUAUUAUUCCAAAAGGCAAUGACAGACUUCAAAUGUAUUUUCUUUAGUGAAUUUUUAUUGCAAAAAUGGAGUAUUAUUAUUUAUUUAAGUUUUGUAGUAACUAAUUAUAUAAUAUAUAAAUGAGGUUUUCAAUGGCUCAUUAAAUUGGAAAUUAUUGAUAUAAGUUGGAAUUAUUUGAAGAAUAGCAUUCUUUAAAAUAAAUUCAUGUUGAAGGAAAAGUUGUUGCAAUAAGUCAUUUGAUUUUAUCAUAUCAUGAAUAUAUAUAACUAAUCAAUAUUUGGGAUUGAAUUUCAAAAUUGAGUAAUUUAAGUAGGAAGGUAUCUCAAACAAAGUAUUUAUAUAUUGAAUCAAUUCAUCGGAAAGCUUGUAAAUUGGCUCUUCCUUCUCAAACAAACAUUUUUCCUAACUAUUUAUAUAUUGAAUGAUGUUAACUAUACUAAUUACUUUCUUCCAAUGAUAGAUGGAACACAAUUGAGGCUAACAAACUUAGAGGAACUUGAUUUGAGUGGUAAUCUCUUUCGGAACAACACAAUUUCCUUUCCUCAAGGGCUUUCAAGCCUAAAGUCUUUGACUUUGUACAACAACCAUUUGCAAGGCUCAUUAGAUACUAAAGGUACUAAAGCUAUAACUUUGUUUUUCUUGAUAAUUCUUUCUAGAACCUUUUAAAAUUAAUUGUUUCAAUUUUGAACAUUCACAUUUCACGUUUGAGGAUUUUCAUCUUCACUUCAAGUUUUAGAUUUACUUUUUUUUUCAUUUUUAUUUCAUUAAAAUAUUAAGUAGAAAUUAAAAUUAUUAACAUAAUGAUUUUUUGAAUUGGACGUGGAUAUGUAUAGGAUUGAGCAAUUUAACAAAUUUGAAGAAACUCGAUUUAAGUGUGAAUCAGAUUGAAAGCUUUCAAUCCUUUAAAGGUAUGCAUUUAUAUUUAACCAAUUACCUAAAUUCUUACAUAUAAUUAAAUUUUAUGCCAAUUCAUUUCAGUGAUGAAAUUAUAUAAAUCUUUUGUAGAUGGUGGUAGAAAAUUGGAGUUGACCCACUUGGAAGAGCUUUAUUUAGAUUACAAUCAGUUCAAUACUAGUGUAUUUGCAUCCCUUAACAAGCUUUCAAAUUUGAAAUCUUUGAGCAUAUGGGACAAUGGAUUGAAAGGAUCAAUAGAUAUGAAAGGUAAAUAUAUUAGUUUUUUUAACUAGAAUAUAAUCAUGUUUGAAGAGAAUAUAAUGAAGUUGAUUUGUUGUUUUUGUUUUCCUAGAUUUGGAAGCAUUUAUCAACUUAAGGGAACUAGAUAUGAACUAUAAUGAAUUGAAAGAUUUGGUGAUCCACCAAGGUAUCAUUUAAUUAAACUUCCUUUUUUUUUUAAUUUAGAAAUUUAGUUUUGAUCUCAUAUAUUAUAAUAACGGUUAUUGUCAUAAAUAUUAAUAAAGUUAUAUCAUAUCAUACUUGAAAGUAAAAGUUUGGUGAAACAUUUUCUAAAUCAUCCAUUAUAAUGUGUUUGGACUUUGGUUUGAAACUAAAAUUCUUUAAAAUUUUCAUCAUUUUAAAAUAUUAAUGUUUAUAAUUAUUUUGUUUGUAUAAAUAUAUUUUUUAAAAUAAUUUAUUGAAUUUUUAUGAGAUAAAAAAUAAUUAUAACAAUAAAAAAUGAUAUUAUAAAUAAAUAAAAACAUAUAUUUAUGAGAAAAUAUGUAAUAUAACUAUAUUUUAAUUUCAUAUAUUUUUAAUAGUAUAAAACAUAAAAAUACAUAUUAGCGUUAAAUAAAUGGCAUUUUUUGGCAAAAAUAAAUAAAUGUCAAUUUUGAAUAAUUUAAAAAAAAUCUUUAAUUUUGUGAAAUUUAAACAUACAUUGAGAGGUGCUUAAACUUCCAUUGCAAUCUUUUUAUAAAUUUCAAAGUGCAUAUGUUUUUAACUUUUUGGUUUAAAAAAAUAUGAUAGGUCUACGUACUCUUUACUAAUUUGUAAUUUAAUUCUUAUACUUUUAUUUUCAAGAAUUUAAUCCCUGUUUUUUUAUAAAAAAAUCAAAAUCCUAGUUCAAUUGUUAAAAUUGUUAAAAUUUUAAAAUAGUUUGUUGGUGUGACAUUUUGAAAUAAAAAAAAACUUAGUAGUAAUGUAACUAAAAAAUGACGUAAUGAACAUGGAUUUAAUAAAAUAAUUUUAACAAUAUUAAUAAAAUAAUUUUGAAUUUUGAAUUUUAACUUAACUCUAUUUUUGGGCCAAGAUUUAAUGCUUUAAAAUUUUCAUUUAAUCCGCUGAGUUUACUUAUAAUUCUUUUGAGUUUUAUUUAUUGGUGAGUAAAAUACCUAUUUGAUUUUUUUAUAUACUAUUGGCAUCUUUAAAGGUAAUAUAAUAAUUUUAGUGUAGACGUGUUUUAUUUUAUAAAUAUUAUUUAUAGUGUAGACAUGUGAAUUUUGAAUAAUUUAAAAAUAUCUUCAAUUUUAUGAAAUUUAAACAUACAUUUAGUGUAGACAUGUUUUAUUUUAUAAAUAUUAUUUAUAGUGUUGUUGAUUGGAGUUUGAAAAUUAUACAACUUAGCUAUAUCAGUUAAUUACUUAUAUUAAAAAAUAAUAUAAGAAAAUACUAAAAAGAAAAAAAAUAGUAUAAUUAAUAAAAUGGAUGAAGAGUUAUAUUAAAGUUUCAACAUCUUCUCUCUAUCAAAAUUUAUCUCGGAUAAAUCAUGAAUAAUCUAACUCAUAAAAAAAUAUAUAUAUAUUUAUAUACUUCAUUUCAUUCACAGAAAAUAAAGCAUUCCACUUAAUAGAGGCUUUCUAUAAUGCCGUUAUCUAAUACCUCUUGACAUUGCUUAGAUUCAAAUGUGUCGAGCAGUUUGGAGGAAAUAUAUCUUGACUAUUCUACUCUCAACACCAACAUUUUGCAAAGCAUUGGAGUAUUCGCUUCUCUUAAAAUAUUGUCUUUAUCUAAUUGUGGACUUAUUGGUCCCUUACCUAAUCAAGGUAAACAAUUUUAUGGCUCAAUUUGAUUUCUUUAUGAACUUUCUGUAAUAUAUUAUCUCCUAUUCUGUUUUAUAAAGCAAAAUUUAAUUGAAACUUCUUCCAUGAAUUUAUUUAUAAAAUUUUCAGGAUGGUGUGAUCUAAGGAACCUUGAAGUGUUGGAUGUGAGUAGAAAUGCACUUGAGGGGAUGCUUCCUCAUUGUUUUAGUAACUUGACAUCUCUUCGUGAGUUAGAUAUUUCAAGAAACCAUUUUCAAAUUCCGCUGUCAUUUGCACCAUUUGCAAACCUUUCAAACCUCAAAGCCCUUUUGAUUAAUGAAAACAAGAUGGUAAUGGAACCUUCCUUUUAUACCUCAAUCCCAAAGUUCCAAUUGGAAGUCAUCAGUUUGUCAAAGUGCAUAACAUCUCAACAACUCAGUCUUAAACUUUGUACCUUCCUUUACUACCAAUAUGACUUGAGAUAUGUGGAUCUUUCGCAUAACAAUCUCAGUGGAACUGUACCAACUUGGUUGCUAGAAAACAACACAAAGUUAGAAGAUCUCAUCUUGAAGGGUAAUUCAUUUACAGGUCCUCUCUCACUUUCGUCGGCUCUUAUUUCUAAUGUAUCUACAAUUGACAUAUCUGAAAACAAAUUACAAGGUCAAAUUCCAACUGGUAUAUGUUCAACUUUUCCACAUUUGAGGCAGUUAUUCUUAUCCAAGAAUGCUUUUGAAGGUAAUAUCCCACUUUGUUUAAGUGGCAUGAAGGACUUAUCAUUUUUAGAUCUAUCAGACAAUCAUUUGUAUGGAAAAGUACCAGAAGAGUUGAUCACGAAAGGCUUACUAAUCAUUUUGAGACUAUCAAAUAACAACCUCAGUGGAAAUGUAGUUCCUGUGAUUCUCAGCGCAAAUGGGGUGCAGCAUUUAUAUUUGGAUGGAAAUAAUUUUUCAGGAGAGAUGACAAAUGUUGAUGUGUCUACUUUUGAGUUUCCAAAUUCACUAAGCGAAAUUGAUCUCAGUAACAACACUUUGCAUGGAAAGCUCCCAAGAUGGAUAGGGAAUGCAUCAUUUUUGGGGAGAUUAGAUUUGUCCAACAAUGGUUUUGAAGGUUCUAUUCCAAUGGAAUUUUGCAAGUUGAAUAGGUUGGAAUUUUUGGAUCUUUCUCAAAAUAAUUUAUCUGGCUCUAUACCGUCAUGUUUUAAUCCACCAUACAUACAGCAUGUCCACCUCCACGGGAAUAGACUGAGAGGCCCACUAUCACUUGCUUUUUAUAAUAGCUCUUCAAUAGUGACUUUAGAUCUUGGAGGAAACAAUUUGACGGGUAGUAUUCCAAAAUGGAUUUACACGCUUUCUUCUUUGAGUUUUUUUCUCUUGAAAGAUAAUCAUUUUCAUGGUAAAGUUCCUAUUGAGUUAUGCAAGUUGCAUUCUUUAAGCAUCAUAGAUCUUUCUCAAAAUAUGUUUUCUGGUCCUAUACCUUCUUGUUUGGGAAAUUUAUCUCUUCCAAUGCAAAGGAAGAAGAUUCUAGAACCUGGUUUCUAUGGGCCACCUAUAGAAGAGGAUGAAACAACACGCAGUACGAAACUAAAUUUGGGAAUGUAUUCUUACUAUCCUAAUAGCUACUUCGAAGAAGUAAUAGAGUUCACAACAAAGAGUGGGUUCUAUUCAUACAAGGGCUACAUCCUUUCAUAUAUGAAUGGGAUUGAUUUAUCUUGCAACAACUUAACUGGUCAUAUCCCACCAGAAUUAGGGAACUUGAGUGAAAUCCAUUCUUUAAACCUUUCACACAAUAAGUUGACCGGAGUUAUACCCUCGUCACUCUCAAAACUACAUCAAAUUGAGAGUUUGGACCUUUCUUACAACAACUUAAGUGGUGAAAUCCCCAAUCAAUUGGUAGAGUUAAACUCUUUGGAGGUUUUCAGCGUGGCAUUUAACAACUUGUCAGGUAGUAUUCCCGAACCAAAAGCUCAAUUUGGGACCUUUAUUGAAAAUAGUUAUCAGGGAAAUCCGUUUCUUUGUGGAGUUAUAUUGCAUAAAAGUUGUUCCAAAACCGAUUCACCAUCAACGAUAUCAAUUGUAUCAGAAGAUAAAGGAGAAGAUGGUUUGAUAGAUACUUAUGAUUUUUGUGUGAGCUUUUUGGUUUCUUAUGUAGUUGUGUUGUUGACAAUUUUUGUUGUCCUCUACAUAAAUCCAUACUGGCGAAGAGCUUGGUUUUCUCUUGUUGGGAAAUGCAUUACCACCUGUCGCUACUCAAAUGUGGGCAAUUUUCUUACUUAUCACAUUUUCAAGCGAUGUGUUUAGCUACUCAAAUUGUGAUUUGAUUUCCACACCUAAAUGUUUAAUUAUGCUAAGUUGAGCGAUAAUGAAUAUUUUGUUGAUUUUUGCAUUUUGAAUAAAAGCUCUUUUAUCUUAUGGUUUUAUCAUUUUCAACCAUCUAUUUCUUUUUUCUUCUAUGAAAUUUAAUAUAAAAUCAUAAUCCAUUAUUAUGUAUAUGCAAUAUCUCUUUAAAUUAAAUUAAAUUAAAUUAACUGCCAAGCGUUCACUAGUGCAUACUAAAAAGGAAAUCUAAUGUAAAAUUAAAUCAAACAUACUACAGAAUUGAAUCUAAAACUGGAAUAUUUUAAAACCUCACAAACAAUGCAAUUCUUUAUUCCUCUUUUCCUCUCAAGUUAUUUUGUAUCAUGUUAUAUUUUACAUAAUUAAUCGUAUCAUCAAAUUUUAAAAAAAUUUUAAUAUUUUGAUAUCAUGUUCAUAUUAUGCUUUAAUUCACAAUGUAUUUUGUAUAAUAUGUUAUAACAAUUCAAUUUAAAAAACAAACAAUUAUCUUAUUUUUGCAUACCGUAAUAUACAUUUACAUGUUAAUAAUUCUUUGUACAUAAAUUUUGACAUGUUCGUAUAUUCGAGUCAUUAUAAUUUUAUUAUUUGUAAUAUGACAUGUUUUACUUACCCUUAAUAUUGUGUCAUGAUAAUUAUAACUCGAUUGGCAGUGUACCAAAUAUUUUUCUAAUAAAAAAUAGUAUUUUAUUCUAUUUACCAAAUCUUUAUCAACUUUAUUUUCUCACCAACAAAACAUACAUUCAAAGUUCAAAUAAGUUCCACACCCAUUUUUUUACUGCAAUACUCAAGAAUAUGCUCAUCAUCAGAAAUCUGAAAUAUUCCACUCUAAUUAACAUUAUGAUUCUGUAAACAACAAAAAAGUGUGAUACUUUUUUAAAGCUCUUUUUUUUUCUUUAAUGAAAUGGGAUUGGUAAAAAAUCCGCACAUGUGUCGUGUGUGAAGGUGGUCAGGUUGUCUAUUCAUACUGUAAUAAGUAGCUAAUUAUAGUUGAUCCUACAAAAUCAAAAUUAAUUCAGGUAUCUAUAUAUUCUGAAGACUGGACAGACCUUAGAAGCUCCUUCAAAUUUGCAAGAACAUGUCGUGGUCCUAAACUCUUUACACCGAUGAAAUUCAAAAGUUGCUCUAUAUCCUGCAAUCACAGUAAAGAUUAUGCAAGCUUUUCAGAACGAAUAACAUAACAAGCAAAAGGCAAUCAAAAUACUGUGAUCUCGAUAAUGUUCUUUGCCGAAAAGGAACAUAAACAUAACCUGAAAACAUCAGUGAAGGCUCAUCAGAUUUGCUUAGCAACCUUACAUACACAUGUAAAAAGCUUUGCUUUUGGAUGUAUGGUGUGACUAUCAUCACAGUCUUUCCUAAUUAGCUGAUAACCCUAUAUCUAACAUUUAUCAGGGCUAAGCAAAUUAACAUACAUAAUGUAAAGGAAUUUGACCAUAAGAUCCAACAGAAAACUUAAUAAAAGAUAAUCAACAUAGAAAGUUAAAAGGCAAUGCAAACUUAUUACAAUGAUGCAAGUGGAUCAAAAGAAAGCACUCUAUAAGGAAUUUGUAUUUAAGGCAUUGUAAACAGAAAAAAAAUAAUAAAACUUUUCGGAAAGUAUUUUCAAAGAGGAGACAAAAACAGGGUAGAAAAAAUGUUUGGUCCUUCCUUUUUCUAUUUCUACUGUGGUGAAAAAGCCUUUUUGGGUUAAAAGUGUUUUUACACUGCAGAAGUGUUUUUCCACUGCAGAAGUGAUGAAGAACACAUAGCUUUGUAGUCAAAAACCUACUGCUUUUGGCUUUUGCAUUUCGAAGUGAAAAUUAUAAAAAUACUCUUAGAUUAAUUUAUAUUUUAUAUAUUAUUAUAUUAAAUUGUUAAAUCUUAUUUAUUAUUAUAUUUAAUUUUUUUCAAAAUAUUUUAUACAUCAUCAAUUUUACAAAUAAUUUAUAUUAAUUACUUUUAAAAGUUAUAUUUCAUGUAUCAUUAUAUUAAAUUAUUUAAAUAUCAUAUAACAUCACUAAUUUUCUACUUUCUACCAUCAUGUCUAAAAUAGACAUUUUAACUUUCAACCGCAAUUUUUGGCAGCAAUGAACAACACUAAAAACUAACAAACACACUUUUCCGCACCACAUUUCAAAAACACUUUUUUCUAAACGCACUUUUGAACUAGUCCUUAGUCUAUCAUGCAUCAACUCUUCAUUUUUCUUUAACUACCCAUGUCCGACUUCGAACAUGGAUAUGGAGAUAUGACCAAGUCACAGUGACAUAGUUUUUAGUUAUGGGGAAUGGGAUUCGAGUGCUGGACCUCCUUCUAGAUGCAUGGUGGGACUUCAUCACAUUUUUCAAAUUUGUUGAUAAUCCUUCACCUAAUCUGCCGGUGAAGUUUAUAGAUAGUUGUUGACACCAUUUUUUUGAUGAAAACGGGAUCGACUUGGAUUUUGAAAAAAGAAUGAAAACGGGAGUCGCCACCAAUCCUUUUUGACGAGGUGUGAUCGGGUCACCUCAAAAUGUGGUUGUUUUUAAUAAAUGAUUUAAUUUUAUUAAAACAACGAUUUUGGUCUACGAAAUUCAGAAAAAUGAGUUCGGGAGUCGGUUACACACGAGGAAGGAUUAGCACCCUCGAUACGCCCAAAAUUGGUACCUAGUUGAUUAAUUAGUGUCUUAGUGUCGAAAAUUGAAAAUUUGAAGAGUUUUAAAAAUACGAUCCUUAAAAGAAAUUCUGAUAACGUGAAUUGAAAUAUAAGAUUCUCUUGUUCCGAAGGAAUAUCACAUCCAGCACGUUAGGACACGAUACUCUAAACCAUCGAAACCAAGAUCAUCUUAUAGUUUAAUGAAACCACACUUUGAAGCUUUAAGAGGAUAUUUGGCUAUUUAGUCGAACGAGAAAUCGAAACCCAGCACGUUAGGGCACGUUUUCUCGAUUUUCCAAACGCGAAAUAUCGCCUUAUUUAGAAAAAUUUUCCUUUUGAUGUUUGGUGUUAAUGCUUGACAAAACAAUAACGAAUACGACAAGGUGAGCAAAGUAAAGUGAGUAACAACAAUACAAUAGGCAAAAUGAAAUGACGAGGCGAUUACAUAAACAAAGCAUACAAAUAAAUAAAUAGAACUAACAUUUAAAAAAAAGCAUAAGUGUACACGAAUAAAUAAACAAACACCAAAUAACAAUGAUGACAAUAAAUACAAUUAUGUAAAAAUGUAUAUACAUGUAUAAUUUUAAGCCAUGAAAUAAGAAACGCAUAUAAAUUAUAGAAUAUGAAAACAUAGAUAAAUAUAUACAUAUGUGUAAAAAAUAAUAUUAUAAAAAGGGUACGUAUAUAUGUAUAAAAAAAUAAAUGUAUUAACAAUGAAUAUAAUAAGGGUAAGAAAACAAGUAUAUACACAAUAUAUAUGUAACGUGGUACUAAGGAUAUAUAUAUACAAUACAGUAUUUAAAAUAAUAUUUACGUAAUAUAAAAUAUAAUAUUAAAAGGUAUAUGUACAUACGUAAUAUAUAAAUACAUAUAUAAUAUAAUGUUAAAAUAUUUACAUAAUACUAAAAUAUUUAGGUAAUAUAUGCGUAUAUUGAAAACUAGUAAUAAUAUUAUCGAGGUAUAUACAAAUAUAUCAAGUAUAUACACGUAUUAUAAAUAUAUAAAUAUAUGACAAAGCAUAAACUAAUAAAAAUAAUAAGAAUAAUAAUAAUGAUAACAUUGGAAUAUAAAAGAAACAAACAUAACAUUAAUAAAAUAUUAAAAUAAAGUGAAAUAAAAAUAUUAAAUAUGAGAAUAUAUAUAGGUAUACACGUACAUAAUAAAAAUAUAUACUAAUACAUAAUAAUAAUAAUGGUAAUACUAAUAAUACUAAUAAUAUAAAAAUAACAAGGAUAUUUAAUAAAGAUAUAAAAAUCAACAAAAAAGGACUAAAAUUGAAUUGAAAGCAAAGUUGUGGGGCCAAUUUGAAAUGAAAACAAAGAAAAAGGACUUAAUUGUAACACGCAUGCAACUUGGAGGGUCAAAAGCGCAAUAAACCCAAGUAUUAAAAACGCUGCGCAGCGUGGGGGACCAGAAUGAAUUCGGGGCAACACCAUGGAGCCAAAUUAAAAAUAAAAAAACCUUGAUUGUAAACUCCCAGAAAGGCGGAAGGGCUAAAAGUGCAAUUAGCCCUUCCAAAGAAAAAAACACGCGGAUCUUCCUUGGUGCAGGUCGGGUCGACCCGACCCGUGUUCAAAACGACGUCGUUUCAUUUAUUUAAACCGGGGGUCCAAAACGGUGCGUUUUGACCCCCUAUAAAAGUCAAAAAAACUUCAAAAAAAAAUCAUUUGUAACGCUGAGGGAAAAAAAAGAAAAGGGAGAGAGGAGAGGGGAGCCCGGAGCGAUUUCCGGCCAAGGGAGGGGUCACCGGACGGCCACCGGAGGCUCGCCGGCGUCAGCGCCGGCCACCGCACGCGGUGGCCGGAAAGGUAAAAUUUUUUAUAUUUUUUUUAUAUUUUUUUUGUUAUUUAUUCUUGGUCUUAGAAUGUAUAGAUUUUAGGUUUAUAUUAAUAAAAAAGGUAUAGAUAUGUAUAUAGAAAUCGAAAGAAAAUGGAUGAAAACAAAAAGGUAACCUUUUCCGUUUGCCUUUCCUUUUUCCCGAAUGCUUGCUAUCUCAGUACUGAGAUCUAUGUAUUUUUUUUAAAAUUUUAGCUUCUGUUUUUUUGUAUUAAAAUGCCAAAAAACAAACAAAAAGAAGAAAGAAAAAAAACCCCCUGAUACAAUUUUUGAUUCGGGUUUUUAUAACCCAUUUUCAUCUAAUUUCCUAUUGUUUCUGUUUUGUCUCUUUGCAUGGGAUGGGCACGAUGGAGGUGACAGAGGCAUGGUGGUACAGAGGAGCAGGUGGCCGACAUGGUGGCAUGGAGAGCUGGGCGUGGCAGACAAGGAGGCCACGCGAGGCAUGCGGCGCUAGGGUUUGGGGGGCAUCUUUCUUCCGAAAAUGUUAAUGUUGUCUGGGCUGGGUUUUUAAUUUUUGUUUCGGGCCAUGGGCUACAUUGGGCUUGUUAUUUUCCUUUGUAAUUGGACUGUUGUUUAUCUUGUUUUAAUAUUCGGGCCUGGGCAUAAAAUUGGGCCUUACAGCUGCCCCUCUUUGCUUGUUAUCGUGUAACGAGAACAGAGCAAAGACUAAAAAAGGCCAAUUUGGCCCGGGCUCACCGAGUUUUGACUUCUUUUGGUGCUUCCUUUCUUCAAGCCUCAUUCUAGUCCACUGCGUCUUAUGAUUCUUCGAUCUGCUCUACUGCAACUUCAGAUACGCCUUAUAGCUUCAAUCUACUCUGCUACGACUCCAUGGGGAUGAGAUUUGUGUUUUUAGUCUGCUUCACUACUACUUAGGGAGAUAAGACUGUGGUUUCGUCUGCUCCGCUACUGCUUAGGGAGAUAAGACUGUAAUCUCCGAUCUAUUCCACUGUCAAAUACAGGGAGAUAGAGUUAUCAGCUUCAAUGUACUCCACUGUAGUCACAGGGAGGUAAAAUCUGCCAUCUUUGAUCUUCAAUCUAUUCCACUGCCAAAUACAGGGAGAUAGAGUUAUCGGCUUCAAUGUACUCCACUGUAGUCAGGGAGGUAAAAUCUGCCAUCUUCGAUCUGUUUCGCUGCCAAAUACAGGAAGGCAAGAUCUGCAAUCUUCGAUCUACUUCACGCCAAUACAUGAAGAUAAGAUCUGCUUUCUUCGAUCUACUUUGCCACCAGUAUGGGAAGACAAGAUCUGCAUCGUCGAUCCACUUCCUACCAAUAUAGGAAGACAGGACCUGCUAUCUUCGAUCUACUUCACGCCAAUACAUGAAGACAAGAUCUGCUUUCUGCGAUCUACUUCGCCACCAAUAUGGGAAGACAAGAUCUGUAUCUUCGAUCCACUUUCUACCAAUAUAGGAAGAUAGGAUCUGCUACCUUCGAUCUACUUCACGCCAAUACAUGAAGACAAGAUCUGCUUUCUGCGAUCUACUUCGCCACCAAUAUAGGAAGACAAGAUCUGCAUCUUCGAUCCACUUCCUACCAAUAUAGGAAGAUAGGAUCUGUUAUCUUUGAUUUACUUCACGCCUAUACAUGAAGACAAGAUCUGCUCUCUGCGAUCUACUUCGCCACCAAUAUGGGAAGACAAGAUCUGCAUCUUUGAUCCACUUCCUACCAAUAUAGGAAGAUAGGACCUAUUUACGCCUAGUGUUUAGGAUGACAUGAUCAGAAUGAAUCAAAUGCUCCUAACUAGAUGCGUAUGUAUUAUAUUUGUAGAAUGUCAUGAGAAUGAUCCAUUUUUAAUGCUUAGGUUGUCAUUCUUCAUUGUUCAUCAAGGUUCUAUCACUGAUGCCUUCUUGUUCAGCCAGUACCUUUGACAGAAAACCUAAAGAAAUAGACGCUAUUUAGACUAUCAUUUCUCAAAUGUUUCCAACCCUUAGGUUUGGUUAGUUCUAAACAAUAGUCCUGUUUCAGGUCAUCGUAUUAUUUAGAAACUUUCAGAGUAAUAUGCAGAACUCCUUCUGCAUGUGUAUUGUCAGUCCAUUAAUCGUUAUUUCAAUGAAAAAUGCUUGAAAAAGAUUAUCAAAAUGGACAAAAUGGAAUUUUGUUGAGAGCAAAGCUCUAAACAAACAAAUCAAGAUAGCAAAUUUGCUGAGAUACGAGAUGAAUAAGAUGAAAAAGAUUAUCACAACGGAUAAGAUGAAAAUUUGCUGAGAGCAAAGCUCUGAAUGAACAAAUUAAUCAAGAUAGCAAAUGUUGCUAGAAUACAAAACGAGAAUAAAUUAAUCAAGAUGAUGUAUUUUGUCAAAAAUACAGAAAAUGAAUAAAAUGGAAAUAAGUGCCCCAGAUAUCGUAGCAUGAGCUUCUCUGCCCCAAACUUCUUAAGGACCCUUUUGAACUUGAUAUGUGUUUAGAAGUCCUAGAAGGCUUUGUUGAUGCCCCAUCUUUGAUCGAAAACUACUUUAUGCCUCAUCCUUGAUCGAAAAUUUGAAUUGCCCGUUCCUGGGUUUUCAAUUCAAAACCCCUUUGGUCUCAAGGUGCCCUUUGCGGGUUUUCGCCUUGGCCUCUCCUCUUUUUUUUUUUUAGGCAAAGUACCUCUUCACUGAAUCCGAAUUCACAGGAUUGGGCAAGCUUUUGCCAUCCAUCCUAGUUAAAAUUAAUGCCCCUCCUGAAAAGGCCUUUUUUACUACAUAAGGUCCCUCCCAGUUUGACAUCCACUUUCCUCUGAAGUCUUUUUGUAUGGGAAGGAUCUUCUUCAGUACCAAGUCCCCUUCAUGGAAGUUUCUAGGACGAACUUUCUUAUUGUAAGCUCGCAUCAUUCGUUUCUGGUAUAUUUGACCAUGACGGAUAGCUCUUAACCUCCUUUCCUCAAUCAAGUUCAGCUGAUCAUAUCGGGAUUAGACCCAUUCUGCUUCGUCUAACUUUAGUUCUGAAAAAACUCAGAGGGAGGGAAUUUCAACCUCAAUUGGUAGCACUGCCUCCAUUCCAUAAACCAAAGAGAAUGGUGUUGCCCCGGUAGAAGUCUUGACGGACGUUCGAUAAGCAUAGAGGGCGAAUGGCAACUUCUCGUGCCAAUCUCUAUAGGUCUCAGUCAUUUUCCCCACAAUCAUUUUGAUAUUUUUAUUGGCUGCCUCCACCGCACCAUUCAUCUUUGGACGGUAUGGCGAUGAGUUGUGGUGCUUGAUAUUGAAUUGACUACAAACUUCUGCUAUCGUGCUAUUAUUCAAAUUUAAUGCGUUGUCAGAUAUAAUCCUUUCGGGCAUUCCAUACCGACAUAUGAUUUCCUUCUUUAAAAACUUGCUGACAGCUGCCUUUGUGACGUUGGUGUAAGAAGUAGCCCCUACCCACUUAGUAAAGUAGUCAAUCACUACAAAAAUGAAACGAUGUUCGUUUGAAGCCUUUGGCGAUAUCGGCCCAAUGACGUCCAUGCCCCACAUGGAGAAAGGCCAUGGGGAAGUCAUGACGUGAAGAGGUGAUAGAGGCAUAUGGAUUUUGUCUCCGUAAAUCUGGCAUUUAUGGCACUUCUUAGCAUAUUUGAUGCAGUCUCCUUCCAUGGUAGACCAAUAAUAUCCAAAUCUCAUGAUUUGUCUGGCCAUUGUGAAACCGUUAGCGUGUGUUCCACAAAUACCAUCAUGGACUUCUUCCAAGAUCUGUUUGGCCUCCAUAGCGUCCACACAUCUUAACAGCACCUGAUCUUUUCCUCUUUUGUACAGGAUCUCUCCAUCUAAGACGUAAUCACUGGCCAGCCUCCUCAACAUUCUCUUGUCAUUCUCAGUUGCUUGGUUUGGGUAUUCACGAUUUUUUACGUAUCGCAAUAUAUCCUGAUACCAAGGGUUUUCGUCCUUUUCUUCUUCUUCGUCAAUGUUACAACAGUGGGCUGGAGCAUCAUAAAUGCUCAUUUGGAUAGGCUUCACAUCCUCUGGUCUAUUUACUUUGAUAAUGGAAGCCAAUGUAGCUAAAGCGUCGGCCAUCUGAUUCUCGUCUCGUGGAAGAUAACAAAAAGUGAUGUCGUCAAACUCCUCAAUCAAUUCUAGGACUAUCCUUCGGUAACUAAUCAACUUAGGUUCUCUUGUUUCCCAUUCGCCUUUGAGCUGAUAAAUUACCAAUGCCGAAUCCCCAUAUACCUCAAGUACCUUGAUUUUGCGUUCUAUAGCCGCGCGGAUUCCCAUGAUACAUGCUUCAUAUUCCGUCAUGUUAUUUGUGCAAUCAAAAUCUAGUUUACUGGUGAAAGGAUAAUGAUCACCGUUUGGAGAUACCAAGACUGCCCCAAUCCCGUUGCCCAUGGCAUUUGAGGCUCCGUCAAAAUUUAAUUUCCAAGUAUUGCCUUCUUGUGUGCUUGCUUCAGUAGUUGCCACAUACAUCAGAUCCUCAUUUGGAAAAUCAAAGUUCAAAGGCUCAUAAUCGUCCAGGGCUCUACUUGCUAGAAAAUCUGCUAUCGCGCUCCCUUUUACAGCCUUUCGAUUCACAUAGGUUAUGUCAAAUUCAGAUAGUAGAAUUUACCAUCGGGCCAUCCUUCCGUUUAGAGCAGUUGACUCCAUCAUGUAUUUCAGAGGGUCUACCUUUGAGAUUAACCAAGUCGUAUGGUACAACAUGUAUUGUCUCAAUCUUCGAGUAGUCCAAACCAAUGCGCAACAUAAUUUUUCAAUUGGCGAAUACCUCGUUUCGCAUUCAGUGAACUUUUUACUGAGAUAAUAGAUCGCUCUUUCCUUUCGUCCUGACUCAUCAUGUUGGCCGAGCACGCACCCCAUGGAAUUCUCAAAUACUGCCAAGUAUAGUAUCAAUGGUUUGUCAGGGCAAGGUGGUAUCAGUACUGGGGCGUUGGACAAGUAAUGUUUAACUCUUUCGAAAGUUUUCUGGCACUCUUCAUCCCAUACACCUGGAUUGUGUUUCCUAAGAAGACGGAAUAUGGGGUCACAUUUCUCGGUUAAUUGUGAAAUGAAUCGAGCGAUGUAAUUUAGUCUUCCUAGGAAACCCCGAACUUCUUUUUGAGUACUUGGCGGAGGUAAUUCUUAUAUGGCCUUAACUUUGUCUGGGUCAAUUUCAAUUCCCUUUUCGCUGACUAAAAAUCCUAGCAAUUUUCCUGAUCUAGCCCCGAAAGUACACUUGGCUGGGUUAAGUUUUAGCUGGAACUUCCUUAACCUCAGAAACAGUUUUCUCAGAACUUGCACGUGUUCCCUUUCUGUUCUGGAUUUUGCGAUCAUGUCAUCAACAUAAACUUCUAUCUCUUUAUGCAUCAUAUCAUGGAAUAAUGCUACCAUGGCUCUCUGAUACGUUGCUCCCGCAUUUUUCAAUCCAAAAGGCAUCACUUUAUAACAAAACGUCCCCCACAUCGUUAUGAAUGUGGUCUUCUCCCUGUCUUCAGAAAGCAUCUUAAUUUGGUUGUACCCGGAGAAACCAUCCAUGAAAGAGAGCAGUGAGUAUCCGGCCGUGUUGUCUACCAAGGUAUCGAUAUGAGGAAGUGGGAAAUUAUCUUUUGGGCUGGCUUUGUUCAAGUCUCUGUAGUCCACACACAUUCGCACCUUCCCAUCUUUCUUAGGAACAGGGACUAUAUUGGCUACCCAUUCUGAGUACUUGACCACCUGUAAGAAACCAGCAUCAAAUUGCUUCUUAACUUCUUACUUUAUUUUUAGCAAGACAUCAGGCCUCAUCCUUCGGAGCUUUUGUUGGACUGGUUUGCAUUCUUCCUUUAUAGGCAAUCGGUGUACCACGAUAUCAGUACUUAACCCUGGCAUAUCUUGGUAGGACCACGCGAAGACAUCUUUAAACUCUUGAAGCAACUCAACAAGGUCUUGCCUUGUUUCCUUGGCAAUGCAAGCGCCAAUUUUUACCUCUCUGCUCUCUUCUAAGGUCACAACUUCUACUGAUUCCUUAUAGGGUAUAAUUUGUUUUUCUUCUUCUUUCAUCAUUCUUAACAAAUUCGGAGAUAAAACGCUGUCUUGGUCACCUUUAAAAUCUUGAGGAUCAUCUAUACUCAUGUCUUGCUCAAAUAGAGACUCUGAAUUAGUAACAGAGUCGCUCAUCUCGUUGAUAUUUGAAGACCUGUUAUUGGAACAAAUGGAGGCCCAAAUAAAAGGAUCUAAGAAUACUUGUAUGCAUAUUAUGAUUAUAAAGGGAAUGAAAAGAAUGAAAGAAUACUUGCUCAAGAUGAAACUGAAUGAUAAGUUUUCACUGAAAUUAGAUUUUGAACAUGUGCAUUUUACAAAAGAUUCUUAUCACCCCCAGGCUUAGGGCAACAAGUGUUCUGAAUAUUACUCUGAAUUAGUUCUAAAUGUUACAGGGAUCUCUUCUGCAGUCCAGUUAUUCGGAACACUUCCAGGUUCGUAAGGACGAAUGCCCGAUAAAUUCCUUUCCACCCUUUCUUCCGCGGAUAUGGCAUUGAUGUCCAACCUCUCAAUCCUUCCUUCUGUAACCUCAUCCUUCUCUUCAGGGUGGACAAUUCCCCCUGAAACAAAAGUCUUAGAUAUAUGAGGAAAGGUUAUCGGUCCCCACUUGGCUUCUAUCCCGCCCAAAUGUGCUCUUCUCCUUUCUUGUCUUUUCUCCAUCUCCUUCCUCCUUUCCCUCGCAAUAGGCUUAUAUCCCAAACCAUAACGGUCCUGUUUGUUAACUAGGAUCGGUACUCCGACCCUUCCCUGGAGGUAUUUUCCAAAUCCUCUUCCAGGCAAUGCUCCCUUUCCCACCGUUAAGUUCAUUGACGUAGCUUUGGAUAUCUUAGGCUCUGGGAUUUUGCUCAUCUCAAUGACAAAUAUGGCAUUUACGAAUUCCAAUGAUCGGAAUGAACAUUCUAUCGCUUCACUAUCAGCCUCUAUGUAUGGCAUAUCAUCGGUGACUGAUGCAAUGAUGUCUUCUUCUGCACCUAUAGUCACCAAUCUACCCUCUACCACCAAUUUUAACUUUUGGUGAAGUGACGAUGGUACAGCCCCUGCAGAAUGGAUCCAAGGCCUCCCUAAUAGGCAAUUGUAAGAUGGUUUAAUAUCCAUUACCAAAAAGUCUACCUCGUAUGUAUUUGGACCAAUCAAUAGAGGUAUCUCGAUUCUUCCCAUCACUUUUCUCUCAGUGCCAUCAAAUGCUCUCACUAUAUUUUGGCAUAAUUUCAUGUGAGAACUAUCCACAGGUAGCCUGUUUAAUGUGGACAGGGGUAAAACAUUCAGGGCCGAUCCAUUGUCAACGAGUACCGCCGGUAGUAUACACCCCUUGCAACGGGCAGUGAUGUGCAAGGCCUUGGUAGAUCCCAUACCGCCUGGCGAGAUCUCAUCAUCGUUGAAGAAGAUGAAGUUAUCGGCAUUUAUAUUGUUAACCAGGCAAUCCAAUUUGUCCACUGAGAUAUCUUUAGCGACAUAAGUUUCAUUUAGCACUUUUACUAACGUAUUACGAUGUAUCUCUGAACUUAGAAGUAACUCGAGCACUGAGAUGCGAGCCGGUUACUUAUGCAGUUGUUCCACCACGCUAUACUCGCUAUGCUUCAAGAAUUUUAAGAAUUCUCUAGCCUCAUUUUCAGUCACCGGUGUAUUAAUAUGCGGUUCAAUUCCGGUCUUCGUUUUAUCUUGUUCAACCGCCAAGGCUUUUCCUUUUAUAGGCCCCCUUUUUGUAUUUCCCGGGUCGCAACGUUUUCCACUACGCGUAUAAAAGCCUGUGUCAUUACCCUCUUCUGAAGCAUUUAUCGGGUUCUCCUCUCCCGUGAUCAUCACAUUGCAGUCAUAAUUCUAAGGAACCUUUUUACUAUCCUUGUAAGGAAAGGCUACAGGUUUUUGGAUUAUGACCCUUGGCGCCAGUUGUAUUCCAGAUCCUGUGCUUGUUGGCCUUGAAAUAAUCACCACCGGGUGAUUUUGGGCCUUUCUCGUAGGCCCCUCCUCUGAGGCAUAAACUUCUCCUUUCUCAAGUCCUUUGAUCUCUUCAUAAAAUUCUAACUCUUUGUUGUUCAUCAGAUUUUGUAACAUGGCCUUGAAAUCAGUGCAAUUUUGAAUGUCAUGGUCUUCUUCAGCAUGAAACUCGCAGUACGUCUUCGUUCCUUCGGGCCUUUCUUUUGAAUCUUGUUUGAUGAGACCUCCUUCUAUCAUUUGUCUCCAAACCCAACUCAAUGGGGUUUUUAUCUCUGCAAUGUCGGUUUUGAUUCUCUUUCUCCCACCUUCGAUUAUUGCGUUUACCCCUUUAUCAGCAUGAUCGGGUAACGGAUUCGCUGCUACAUUUGGUCCUAAUGGGUUGUCAAACUUCACAAUCCCCAUCUUAAUGAACCUUUCCACCGCCUUUUUAAACCCAGUGCAGUUCUCAAUUGAGUGCCCCGGUAUCCCUGCAUGGUAUUCACAUUGGGCAUUCGCGUCAUACCAUUUGGGAUACGGAGGUUGCAUGGGCUCUAGAUAAAAUGGAGAUACUAUGUGUGCAUCAAAUAACUUCUGAUACAGUUCCCCGUAUGUUAUUGGAAUGGGCGUGAAUUAAAGUCUCUCUGUGUUAGUCCUUGUGUUAGGCCUCGUGUUGGGUUCCUGCCUUGAGGGGGCUUGGUGACUAGUGGUUAUCAUUUUUGGAGGGCCAACAGUAAUCAGUUUUGAAUGGCUCUUGCUAUAUGUGCAUACGUUGUUUACUUCGCCCUCUUUUUUUCUUCGGGCUGGUCUUUUGAAGUUUUCCCCAGUGUCAAUUUUACCGCUCCUUACCGCGUUCUCAAUCAUUUCACCAGACAUUACCAUAUCCGAGAAACUCUUGGUAGCACUCCCCAACAUGUGGUUGAUGAACAGGGCUUUCAAAGUGUUGAUAAACAACAUGGUGACCUCUUUUUCCAAAAGGGGUGGCUGGACUUGUGUUGCCACUUCUCUCCAUCGUUGGGCGUAUUGCCUGAAAUUCUCGCUAGGCUUUUUUUCCAUGUUUUGUAACGUAAUUCGAUCGGGUGUUAUAUCCAUUACAUGACUGUAUUGCUUCAUAAAAGCUUGCGCCAAGUCUCUCCAUGAACUAACUUUAGCACGACUCAGUUGGUUGUACCAUUUGGCUGCAGAUCCGAUCAAACUGUCCUGGAAGCAGUGGAUUAACAGCUGAUCAUUGUUGACGUAUCCUGUCAUUCUUCGACAGAACAUAGUUAUAUGAGCUUCAGGACAACUAGUCCCAUUAUAUUUUUCGAAUUCUGACAUUUUGAACUUAGGUGGGAGUACUAAACCAGGGACCAAACUCAGAUCAUUGACGUCAACCCCGCGAUGACAGUCGAUGUUCUCCAUGGCUCUAAAUUUUUCCUCUAACCAUCUACAUCGGUCCUCCAGUUGUUUUGGCAGGUUCAUUCUUGUUUUUUCUGUUUCUGCCACGUCAUCGAGGUCCGGGACCACCAGAUUAGUGGGAUUAUCCCCGGGAUUAAAACCCGAGCCCAUUUGAAAAUGCACUGGUACCGAGGUACCAGCCAGAUAUUGAGGUCCUAUGGUAACUGGUACCCUCUGUGGGUACACCUCUGGUUGUGCUUGGAUGUUAGUUGGGGUGAAACCUGGAGGAUAAACAGGGUCAUCGUGAUCCUCCCCAGCAUCAAUUACGGGGUCUUUUCCUUUGUUAUUCCCUCCAGCCAAUAACUGCUUUAAUUGGUUCAUCACGGUGUUCUGGGAUUCUAACAUGUCCUGCUGGAUUUUUUCCAGUCGUUCAUGCAUCUGAUCUUGCAUCUCUCGUUGCAACUGUUCCAAUCUUUCCAACCUUUGAUCCAUUGCUUUUGUUUGGCGACGAGUACCGUAGUGAUAUUUGAUUAGAUUUUUGUUGGUUUCCAGGGUAACUGUCAUAAUUUAAUUUUAUUAGGGUCAUUUUAUGAGAUGUAAUGCAAAUGUAUGAGAUGAAUGCAAAAAAAAGAGGCAUUGAUUCGAAUUCAAUUUCAUUAGAAAACUCAACUAGAAAGCAAAUUUCUUUACAUAAAAUAAAUUACAUAUACGGCUUCGCCUUUAUACCCAAAGCCUUAACCUUCCUAAGAAGCCAACUAAAUCUCGACCUCGGCUUGAUUCUGACUCAUAUUUUAAACUCAAUACAUCGGCCUGAAUUGCUAAUGUUUGCAGAUGAUCAGCCACUUCCCGCACUUGAGUCACAGCUUCGCCCAUAACGUAAUCUCUAUCUCUAAUCUGACUUUGAGAAUGAUGGAAUUGCUCUUGCCAUUGAUCAUUACUCCUCUCAAGAAGCUCCAUUCGUAGCUCAGAAUUGUGUAAUGCGUCCUCAAGCUCCUCUACCUUUCCUUUCAGUUCUUCGAUCUUAUUUAAGCUUGCUCUUAAUUCGAUCAUGGAGUUGCGACUACGGUACGAGUGAAGUGACUUUUCUAGCUCUGCCACCUUGGCCUUUAAUCCUGCCUUCUCAUUUCGGCACUCUAACAAACUCCUUUCCAAAGCGUUUUCUCGAGCUCAAGCAUCUUGAAAUUUCUUUUCCCACUGAUCGGCCCUAUUCUUUUCCUCAUUGAUCUCUUGUCGCCAUUGCUCUGACGUUUUACCCAGACCGACAGUUCUCAUUGACAAUCGCAGCUUCUUGUAAUCUAUUUUUAGACUAUCCAAAUCCUCUUCAGCCUUGUUCUUUCCCUUCUUUAAUUUCUCGGCUUCUAGCUUGUGGAUAUCGAUGUCUAAUCCCAAAUGCACUCUUUCUUCUUCUAGCUGUUCUAUCCUCUUUCCCAACUCAGAAUUUCUUUUCUCAAAGUCUCGUUUGAUGAUCUCUAAUUCUGACGGAACUACUUGUAGAUGCUCCUCUAUAGACUGAACGCAAUCUUCCCUCGGCUUAGGGAUGUUGUCAUUGACUCUUUUACUCCACCACCCAUAAUAUUCUGAAGUUGUCAUCGCUCCUACGGUAAAUCUUUUCAUUCGGUGAACCUGUUUCCAAGCGUUAGAUAUUUCUCGAGUUUUUCUCUUGUAGUUUUCAUCCUUAUAAGAAAACUCACAUUGAGCCAGCCCUUGUGUUGCUGGUAUGAACUGUCUCGAUCUAUAUUGUCUUAAUACGAGUAAAGGGGCAUAACCGACAGCUCCCCAAAUUUCGAGUAAAGGGACCCAGUCGAAAUCCCCACAUCGAUACAGGAUCUCGUCGGGUACCAUCCAAGGAGCUUUCCAUUCAACGUCAUCCUCCUGAAGAUUUUGGAGAAUCGUCAUCCACUUCUCUUCCGUGAUGUCGUCUCGUCUUGGUGUAGCAACUUGUUCCUUCAAUGGGGAAUAGUCUUCUGAGAAGACUCGAUAGGAGACAUUUUCCACCUUCCAAAAGUGACUAUGGAACCACACUAAUAGUAGCUGUGCGCAUCCGAUGAACCUUCCCUCCCCUGCUCUUCGACAUGCACUUAGAAAUCUGAAGGUUUCUGCUAAGAUUGCCGGGAUGGGCGUGACUCCUUUACUAAGCCGAUCGAACAAAUCAGAGACGGCCUCAUCUACGUGCCCUAAAGCUCUAGGGAAAAUUACCAAUCCAUAGAUACCUAGAGCGAAGACAUCCACUCUUUUCUUCACAUCAGGGUGUGCUAAUACUAAAUCUCGCAAGCUUUUCCAAGGAACGCAUUUACUGUCUCCUUUCUGUUGGAUUCGGGCAGCGACCCACUGUUCGCUCAUCCCUGUAAUGCUCAUCAAUUUUUUUAAUAAUGUCGGGACACUAGCAGCUCUAGAAUAGGCCUUGUCAAUUUGAAUCUUUGGACACCGAAGCAAGGUCGUAUAUUCUUCCAUGGUGGGCACCAAGUCCACUUUUCCAAAAGUGAAACAACUGUAAGCAGGAUUCUAAAACUGGGCUAGGGCUCGGAAUAAAUGCUUGUCCACUUUGACACCAAGUAGGUAAGGCAAGUCCCCGUAGUCACAGUAAAACAUCUGCUUGGUCCCAUCGUCCCAUUGAUCCCAUAUUUCCUUCAUUUCUCGAAGAUCAUUUUGGAUUACGCUGAUACGGGUGAAGUCCCAUAACUCUGAUACGUACCCUUCUGCAAGACUAUCGCCUUUCUCUCUCCACAUCGUCUCAGCCCACACUCGUACAGCUGCAUUGUCUUCUACUUUAUCAAGAAACCUCUUUUCCAUGAUAAGCUUUCUAUCUAUACUGAACGUGAAUCGACACCUUUUGAAAUGAAAAUGCCAUGCAAUCAUAAACAAAGCAAAUCAGAGCUAGGAUUUAAAGUAAACAAUAAUAAAUAAAGCAUCUAUUCGGUAAGCGCUAGGGUUUGGAAUAGCUCUAUCUCGGUGGGUUCUUACGGCUCGCUAUAUGUGGUUUAGUUCUAAAGUAAGGGUACCUGAACCAGCAGAUUCCUCGAUCCUCACCCAUUAUAGGCUCAUGGACCGAGUUCAGUUCAGGGGAAUACAUUUCCCUAUGGCCAUGCGGAGAUGAAAAUCUCACGAAGACAUAGGUACGGAUGUAUCCCGGAAGCGAUUCACUAUCCCAUGCGGAGGUGAAAACCUCACGAAGGCGUAGUUUCUCACUCCCACUUAAAAAGGUAUGACCAGCGAUCAUGCAAUUCAAUGUGCAGAGGUAUAAAAUAAAAUACAGAACACGAUAAAAAAUAUAACUCAAAACAAAAGAGAUGCAAUGAAAGGAUCGUAAAUUUAAAUCAAAUUUUCCACUUUCAACAAAAAGACAAGAAAUAAUCAACACGUGGCUUGACUCUCUUUCGUUCCCCAGUGGAGUCGCCAAGCUGUUGACACCAUUUUUUUGAUGAAAACGGGGUCGACUUGGAUUUUGAAAAAAGAAUGAAAACGGGAGUCGCCACCAAUCCUUUUUGACGAGGUGUGAUCGGGUCACCUCAAAAUGUGGUUGUUUUUAAUAAAUGAUUUAAUUUUAUUAAAACAACGAUUUUGGUCUACGAAAUUCAGAAAAAUGAGUUCGGGAGUCGGUUACGCACGAGGAAGGAUUAGCACCCUCGAUACGCCCAAAAUUGGUACCUAGUUGAUUAAUUAGUGUCUUAGUGUCGAAAAUUGAAAAUUUGAAGAGUUUUAAAAAUACGAUCCUUAAAAGAAAUUCUGAUAACGUGAAUUGAAAUAUAAGAUUCUCUUGUUCCGAAGGAAUAUCACAUCCAGCACGUUAGGACACGAUACUCUAAACCAUCGAAACCAAGAUCAUCUUAUAGUUUAAUGAAACCACACUUUGAAGCUUUAAGAGGAUAUUUGGCUAUUUAGUCGAACGAGAAAUCGAAACCCAGCACGUUAGGGCACGUUUUCUCGAUUUUCCAAACGCGAAAUAUCGCCUUAUUUAGAAAAAUUUUCCUUUUGAUGUUUGGUGUUAAUGCUUGACAAAACAAUAACGAAUACGACAAGGUGAGCAAAGUAAAGUGAGUAACAACAAUACAAUAGGCAAAAUGAAAUGACGAGGCGAUUACAUAAACAAAGCAUACAAAUAAAUAAAUAGAACUAACAUUUAAAAAAAAGCAUAAGUGUACACGAAUAAAUAAACAAACACCAAAUAACAAUGAUGACAAUAAAUACAAUUAUGUAAAAAUGUAUAUACAUGUAUAAUUUUAAGCCAUGAAAUAAGAAACGCAUAUAAAUUAUAGAAUAUGAAAACAUAGAUAAAUAUAUACAUAUGUGUAAAAAAUAAUAUUAUAAAAAGGGUACGUAUAUAUGUAUAAAAAAUAAAUGUAUUAACAAUGAAUAUAAUAAGGGUAAGAAAACAAGUAUAUACACAAUAUAUAUGUAACGUAGGUACUAAGGAUAUAUAUAUACAAUACAGUAUUUAAAAUAAUAUUUACGUAAUAUAAAAUAUAAUAUUAAAAGGUAUAUGUACAUACGUAAUAUAUAAAUACAUAUAUAAUAUAAUGUUAAAAUAUUUACAUAAUACUAAAAUAUUUAGGUAAUAUAUGCGUAUAUUGAAAACUAGUAAUAAUAUUACCGAGGUAUAUACAAAUAUAUCAAGUAUAUACACGUAUUAUAAAUAUAUAAAUAUAUGACAAAGCAUAAACUAAUAAAAAUAAUAAGAAUAAUAAUAAUGAUAACAUUGGAAUAUAAAAGAAACAAACAUAACAUUAAUAAAAUAUUAAAAUAAAGUGAAAUAAAAAUAUUAAAUAUGAGAAUAUAUAUAGGUAUACACGUACAUAAUAAAAAUAUAUACUAAUACAUAAUAAUAAUAAUGGUAAUACUAAUAAUACUAAUAAUAUAAAAAUAACAAGGAUAUUUAAUAAAGAUAUAAAAAUCAACAAAAAAGGACUAAAAUUGAAUUGAAAGCAAAGUUGUGGGGCCAAUUUGAAAUGAAAACAAAGAAAAAGGACUUAAUUGUAACACGCAUGCAACUUGGAGGGUCAAAAGUGCAAUAAACCCAAGUAUUAAAAACGCUGCGCAGCGUGGGGGACCAGAAUGAAUUCGGGGCAACACCAUGGAGCCAAAUUAAAAAUAAAAAAACCUUGAUUGUAAACUCCCAGAAAGGCGGAAGGGCUAAAAGUGCAAUUAGCCCUUCCAAAGAAAAAAACACGCGGAUCUUCCUUGGUGCAGGUCGGGUCGACCCGACCCGUGUUCAAAACGACGUCGUUUCAUUUAUUUAAACCGGGGGUCCAAAACGGUGCGUUUUGACCCCCUAUAAAAGUCAAAAAAACUUCAAAAAAAAAUCAUUUGUAACGCUGAGGGAAAAAAAAGAAAAGGGAGAGAGGAGAGGGGAGCCCGGAGCGAUUUCCGGCCAAGGGAGGGGUCACCGGACGGCCACCGGAGGCUCGCCGGCGUCAGCGCCGGCCACCGCACGCCGUGGCCGGAAAGGUAAAAUUUUUUAUAUUUUUUUUAUAUUUUUUUGUUAUUUAUUCUUGGUCUUAGAAUGUAUAGAUUUUAGGUUUAUAUUAAUAAAAAAGGUAUAGAUAUGUAUAUAGAAAUCGAAAGAAAAUGGAUGAAAACAAAAAGGUAACCUUUUCCGUUUGCCUUUUCUUUUUCCCGAAUGCUUGCUAUCUCAGUACUGAGAUCUAUGUAUUUUUUUUAAAAUUCUAGCUUCUGUUUUUUUGUAUUAAAAUGCCAAAAAACAAACAAAAAGAAGAAAGAAAAAAAACCCCUGACACAAUUUUUUAUUCGGGUUUUUAUAACCCAUUUUCAUCUAAUUUCCUAUUGUUUCUGUUUUGUCUCUUUGCAUGGGAUGGGCACGAUGGAGGUGACAGAGGCAUGGUGGUACAGAGGAGCAGGUGGCCGACAUGGUGGCAUGGAGAGCUGGGCGUGGCAGACGAGGAGGCCACGCGAGGCAUGCAGCGCUAGGGCUUGGGGGGCAUCUUUCUGCCGAAAAUGUUAAUGUUGUCUGGGCUGGGUUUUUGAUUUUUGUUUCGGGCCAUGGGCUACAUUGGGCUUGUUAUUUUCCUUUGUAAUUGGACUGUUGUUUAUCUUGUUUUAAUAUUCGGGCCUGGGCAUAAAAUUGGGCCUUACAAUAGUCUUAAGUGUCUAUCACAAGAACCUAGAUAUUGUAAAUCCAAUAUCUUCCAAACAAUUCAACCAUGAUAUUAAUGAUGAUGGAAGCAAGAUUAUCCACUAUCAAUGACAUAAAAUGAGCUGUAAAUGCUGACGAACAAACAUGCACUGUUUUUCCAACCUGUGGAUUGAAGAGCAUUGACAAGCUAACUUUGCAGACCAUUUGAAUCCAAUACUAUACAUAAAAAUGCCAAAGGAGAAUAAUUCAUCUUGGAAAAAGAAUUACUAAUAUGCAAAAGCUUACCUUGUUUAACAAGAACACAGCAUAUGCUGCUCUUGUCGUGUCUUGACCUUCUAAAAACAGCGGAAAUUCUGCCAGCUUUACAUUUGCUGAAAGUGUUGUAUCCAAUGACAAAUCAGAAGAUGCAGGGUCUAUUGAAGACGCAUGGUCAUUAAUAUAUGAGCGAGAACCACCCAAGCGCAGAGGAUAACGCAAGGGAACUUGUAAAUAGGAUGCAAUUAGUGAAACAGCCUGCAAAUGAUGAAAUAACAGGAAACAAGAAACAAUAAUAGGUAUGAUUAAAAUUAUAGCCUCAGCAUGAGAAACAAGCAAUCAAGAUGCAGCCCACUAUACCAUAUUACCAUCCUAGCAAUUAAAAAUUACUACAGCAUCUUCAAGCAACAAGGGAUUGUAGGUGGUAGGUCAAAAAACUUGAUAUCCACAGCUUGAUAUUAUCAGAAAAAACAAAUUCAGUAAUAAAUGAUAACUUCACAGAAGAAAUAGAACGCACAUGUGCAACAUAUCCCAAGGCAGUUGCAGAUCUCUGAACCUCCUUUUUGUCAGUGAAAAAACUCAUCUUUGUAAAAGGAAGCAAGGUGAGAUUCAGACCUAAAAUUGUCAACGAUCCUUGAUUGACGGGCUUUGAUGCAGAAGGAUUCCCUAGUGAAGACAGGAACAAAGGAACUUCAUAUCAAUACAUCACCAGACACCACCUCUUUGUGAAAGUCAAAACAAAAUUCAAAAAAAUAUAAUCAUGAAAGUAAGAGAUAUGUAAAAAGUUCAUAAUAUUCAAGAGCAAAAAAAAAUUGUUUUGAUAUGAGGAGAAUUGAAUAGUAGAUUGCUAAAAGAGGAAUAACUGAAUACAGCCAUCAUAACCAAAAGAAGAGUCAAGUGAUAGGUAAUGGUACUCCCUAAGCUGUUUAGGAAUCAUAAAAGACUUGUCCAGUUGACAAAAAUAACUCAUUUUAUUCUCCCCUAGUAAAACAUCAUAUUGGACCAACCAUAUUUGAUAUCAAAGGAUAUGGAUAUCCAGGCAUGCCAUUUAUAGAUAUUCCCAGUGUUGCAAGAAGGAAUUGUUCAAGAGAAAGAAGCUGCUAUUGUUGGUAAAGUUUUCCUCAAACCAUUUUGAACAUCCAAAAUCUCAAGAACAAAAAAGAAAACGUAGGAGGAAAUAUAACAAGCAUCACAACGGGUUCUCGAUGAUAUAAGUGAGAGGAUAAAUGUUAAUUAAGAUUAUAAAAAUAAACCACAAACUAAACAGGAAAGACAUGGAUUUCAAAACGAGGAGACUGGCUGCUAAUUAAAACCAUAUGCGGUGUUGUCUAGGGCGCAAGGCGCAUUCUAGGUGCUAACCUUUAUAUUGCCUCAAGCACAAGGCACAAAAGGAAGCGCUAGCCUGAGUGCAGUAAAGCGCAAUACAUAUAUGUGAGAGUUUUUGCAAGUCUGUGUGUCUACAACAUAAAAGUUUUAAGAUAUAUAGUAAACUCUAAAGUGUGGUCUGGUUUAUCCACAAAACUUGCAAAAUUUUUAUAGGUGAAUGCUCAAAUAUUGAGAAUUAUAGAGUUUGAUAUUAUCCCUUUCUUAUUAGUAAAGGUGUAUCAAAUGAAAACAGUAAAAAAUAAAAUAAAAUAUUGAGAAAUUCAACAAGGCAGGCUUUUUCUAAUGCCCAUUGCCUUACAAAAAAAGUGUGCCUAGGUGCACCAGGCAUACGCUUGAUCAAAUGGACCUCACCUGGAAGGGUCCAAGGCGUUUGGUUGUAUAAAACUAAGGCGUAGGCAUGCCUAGGCGCAUGCCUUGACGACACUGACCAUAUGUUGGCUUUAUUGCAAAGCAUUAGCAAUCCAAAACUACUAGCACAUUACCUAAUCUACUACUGCUAGAAUAGGACUCAAGUUCUUGCUCCUGUGCAGGUCCAACCAAGAUCUUUACAGGAUACAAUAAUGAAACUUGUGAUAUCAUAUAUUGUUGCCUUGCUCGAAGCUUCCUUUGCACAUUUUUAAGUUUAACACAACCCCUUUCUUCAGUGAGUAAUCUAUUUGCUUCCUGUGAUAAAAACAACAUAUAAUCAAUCAUGCCACGCAUGCAAGACUACCAACCAACUAUCUAACAAAAGAUACAAAGAAGUAGGAGAGCAAGAAGGGGAUAACCCUUGACUAUGCAAAGGAAUUCAUAGAAUGAGAAUCAUCUCAUCUAAGCCCCUCAACCACCUUCACAGGGGGUGGAGGUGCAAAGAGAGAGGUCUUAUUGAUCCGAGAGGAGAAUAUAUAACAUCUAAAGCUGAAUAAGAAGAAACCUUGAAAUAUAUCAUAAAUUCAGAAUUCAUGAUAAUAUAAAAAUGAAAUUCCAAAGCUAAUUUAAGCUAGAAUAAAAAUGCUUCACCUGUAAUCACUUCCUUGCUACAGAAAGAGAGGUACCAGCAACCAACAAUGAUCUUACUUCAGUACUAAGCAUUUCCUCCUGUUUUUUAGCAUCCUCUGUUGCAACUUUGCAAUGAGUUGACAUGUUUGCCAUAACUACUUUCCUUGCCUCGAGUCUCUCACGCAUUUCCUCAAGCUCGUUCAGUUUAUUCAAAGACUCAUUUUUUACCUGCACAGCAUGUUCCCACCCAUUAAUCAGUGGGCCAAUUAAUUAGGUCACAGAAGACAAAACUAAAUUAUCACUCACCAGGUCCCCUUGAAGUGUCAUAUGGCUUUAACAAUUCAACGUGCAAUAUCUAGUAAAAGUAAAAUAAACAUAGAAGAAUGCAAAUGCAAUUCUUAAACGCCUUUAAAUGGACAACAUGAAACACUUUAAGAGCCCUAUAAAACAGAAAACUGGAAAAAAAAUCUGAAAAGGAAAAAAAAAUGAAUUGAAACAAUAAAUCCAUCUGGUACAAACAGCAACAAAUCUCGAAAUAAGCUUUGGCUUUAGCCCAUUAAAGCCCGGGCAUCCGGCCAAAUAAACAGUGACUGCCAUGUCAACUUUUUGAGACGGUAGAAAAGAGCUCAAAAAUCUCAAUUUCCAAAAAUAAGGACAUAAGAAGGAAAACAAUUUACUUAUUCUUACAGUAGAAGAGCAAAAUGAAACUAAAUGAAGGAUAAGGGAACUGAUGCGAAUUGACAUUGUUAUUUUUGGGACUAAAAAGAAUACGCAGAUUGAAUAUUUAAGAUUUUGUAAGGGAAAAGUUCCAUUCACCGACACAAUUAUCAUCGCCCUUUAUCCCAGUAAAGCUUAAUUGACAAUUUUUCUGUCUCGUGUUCUUGCUAAAGCAUUUGAGCAACCCAACAGAAAUCAUUAUAUUUCAAACUGAAAUGAUUGGCUUUAACAAUUUCACAACCUAUACCGCCCAACCUAGUAAGUAAUUUAGGUGCAGACACCAGAAAUCUAUUUUCUUUGCACUCUACAACUAAAUAGCAUACCACUUAUCAAUCAAACACAGCUGAAAACUUCAGUGAGGGAACAUUAUGUAAAAUGAAAAAACUAUAACUUCAACUUGAUUCAUAGCUCGGCAAGUUCAGGGAAUUGGGACUUCUACCACGAUGAUCCAGUUCAAUGUGAAACAGUGAUCCAUAUCAUGCAUAUCGGUUCCCGGAACAAGAGGUAAAACCAGCAAAUUAGGUAAACAAUAAUCCUACUAUAUUUCAGAAUAGCAACAUUGAGCAUGAAAGCUAAAAUUAUAGCAUAUUACGGGUCCUUGCUCUCUACAACUACAUAUAAAAUUAGUAAACAAUAUUACUACAUUAAGGAUCCAGAAAAACUUUGUUUCAAUUGUUGAUCACUUGAUCCAACUAUUUUAGAAAGUUUAUUCUUCUUUUUCCUUUCCCUUAUUUUCUAAAUCAGGAAAAACAGUAGCAUAUAAAUUGGAUUACUACUCCAAGUUUCUGAAAUUUCAACAAUAUCCCUUUUACCUUUUCACUCAAGUCAUUACCCCCCAAUUAACAAAUAUAUUCCCAGUUUCCCUUUCCCUUCAAACACCCCUUUUUUUUUCCUCUACCCAAAUUCAGCUUAUGUUCAAAAACCCAAAAUUGGUUUGCUAAAAUAACAUAAUUUUCAAACACAAAGAUAACCUAAUUUUAAUCAGAAAAAAAAAGCAUUACCUGAAUUAGUGACUGGAGUUUCUCUUGAAGACUUUGUUUCUUCUCAUUAGCUUCCUUAAGGGCAGAAGUUAAACUCCACAAUCUAGCUAGCUCGUUGUCGAAAUCUUCCCAUUCAAUUAGUUGCACAUUUUCAUGUGCAGCAUUGAUUUUCUUCGGGUCGGUAAUUAGGGUUUUGACUCGGGCUUGUUCUCGAUUUUCCAUGAAAUAAUUGAAGAGGAAAGCUUUCGAUUCUGUAAGUUUAAAAAGGGAUCAUAGAUCGACCUCAUGGUACUGGAUCUCGCCCGGUUAGAGUGUUCUUUUUCACGCCGAUCGAAUCAUUUUCUCGGGAAACUUUGCUAGCUAGGGGUAAUUUUCUCGGGAAAAUGGAGGGAAAAACAGAUUCGGGAGUUUUUAUUUGGGGGAGUCUAAGGUAUAACGGAGAAUGACAGGUGGCGGUUAACGGAGGAAUCUCACGAUUCAUGUCAUUUUCACUUUUUCGAUUUAGAAAUUGCUUAAAUACUUUUAAAAAUAGAUAAUAAGAUAAACUUUCUUUUUGAAUAAGAUAAAACUUUCAUUGAAAAUAAAUAAAUAAAUUAAAAAAUAUUUGAUGAUUUUUAAGUUGGUAAUUUUUUUUUAUAAAAAUUUGGUAACUUCUUUGAAAGUUGAUAUAAAAUGUAUCACGACCCGACUUGAGAUUUAAUUUGUCCUCGUCAGAAGUCCGACCCAAACAAGGGAAUAUGACUUGCCACUCACCAAUUUUUUAACCUUCCAACUUGCCAGCUUUAUGGAGUAACUCGGCACCUUGCGACACUACCUAACAUACCGUGAGAUUUAAGUACAAAUAUCUCUAAGGGUAUGUGUCAAGCUUAAGAGAAAUAACAUAUUAUUAUACAUAUUAUUUAGUUACCCCUAACAUGUCACGUCAAAAAAUCAUACUAUAAAAAAUAGUCCUCACAAGAUAGGAUAGAAAAAAAAAGUCAUCAACAAAAGUAAUUAAGUAACCUUUUUAUAAAACAAAAAGAUUUAUUUUAUUUUGAAAUAAAUUAAUUCUCUAACUUAUAUAAGAAAUUAAGUAAAAUCUUUUUAAAUAAUAAGACAUAAUUUCUCGAAAAAAAAUAAUCAAAUGAGAGCUAAUCAAAAUAAUUUAUUUUUUUAGGCCAAACAAUUUUACUUCAACUAUUUAUAAACACUUUUUAAUCAAUUUUAUUUUAACUCCCAUUAUAAAUUUUAUAAAAAGGAUAAUAUAUUAAAAAUACCCUUAAAUUAUUAGAUUUUGUAUAAAUAAACUCUUAUUUUUUUUAGUUAAAUAAACUCCUAAAUUAUUAAUUUAGUCAUGAAAAUGUUGAUAUAAAAGUAUGAGAAUAAUUUAUUAAAUAAAAAAUUAAUUAUUUUAAAAUAUUUAAAAUAUUUAUAUACAUAAUAAACUUAAUUAAAUUCUCUAGAAAAAAAAUUUAUAUUCUUUUAAAUUUUAUGUUGAUAUAUUAUUUCUAUUUGUCUAAUAAAGUGCAUAACGAGGCAAUAACUAUUUUUUAUGUAUAAAUUAAACAAUACUACAACUUCCGAAGUUAAUAAGAUUAUAUCUAUACUCACCAUCACAAUUAGAGACAGGGGUGAGUAUUCGAUCGAAUUGAGUUAAAAAAUUUUGAAUUAGUCGAGUUAACAAAUCUUAUUUUAGCAAUCGAAAUCAAUUUAAAUUUUUUUAAAUCAAAUCGAAUCGAGUCAAAAAAUUUCAAGUCGAAUUAACGAAUCCUAUUAUUUAUACUCAAUAUUGCGUUUAUAUGGGCUGAUUAUUUAACUGGUAGACGAAGUACAAGAUUAUUUAACUAUAUAAACAAUAUAAUGGUUUUGCAUUGUAACUUAAUAGGUAAACAUUUAUCAAAACGAAAUAAUUUUACCUUUUAAGUUAAUGGUUUUGACUUUUAACUUUUAACUUUAAAAAAUAUAAACAUUUAUCAAUACGACGUAAAUUUACAUUUUCGUAUUCGGAUUUUCGAAUAACUCGAAACGUGUAAUUCAUAUUCGAGUUAAACUAAAAAUUUUAAUUUUUUUAUUUGAGUUAAUCUGAAUAACUUGAUUAAAUCGAAUAACUCGAAUUGUUUAAUUUGAAAUUUGAUUUUUUUAUCGAAUUUUUCAAAUCAAAUCAAAAUUUACUCACCCUUAAUUAGUCAUCAUAACUAAAUUAAAGUUGCCCCAUUAUGCAAUUGCAAGUCUUCAAAGCCUAAAAGUUGUAACAAUUCAAAAUUUCAAUGGAAAUUAAAAUUAAUAUUUUUAUCAUAUAUUAGUCAAAGUUUAUUGCAUCAACAAUAAGUUAAGAUAAAAACCUCAAAUUUUAAAAUAUUUUUACCUCAAUAUAAAAUUUAAGAGCUUUCAUGUAUAAAAACUAAAGGUUAGAGCUUUCAUGUUUAAGGGCUUAUUUAUACUUCAUCUUUAUAAAAAAACACUUAAAUAGUAGUUUAAAUUAUAUAGUUAAUCACUCAAUUUUAGUAAAUUUUCAUUUUAGUCACUCGUUGUUAAUUUGGCUAAUGUAAAUAUUACAUUACACUGAUUUUAGUCACCUAAUUUUCAUAAGAUAGAAUUAAUUUUAUUUUUCGGUAAAAAAGAAAAGAAAAACUCAAAAUUUUACAAGCAAGUACCUAGGUUUUUAUAGAAAAAACUUGGAGUUUUAUAUGAAAAACCUACGUUUUUAUUGGAAUAGUCAUAUUAUCUUUUUUUAUUUCAUUUAUUUUUUUCAUUUAUAAAAUUAAUUUUAGCUUUUUCAAUGAAAAGAAAACCUAAUUUUUUACUAAGAAAAUCAUUUUAUCUUUUUAAUUUCUUUUACUUUCAUAUUUAGAAUUAAUUUUAAUUUUUUUUCCAAUAACAAUGAAAAAAAACUUGGAUUUUUACAAUGAGUUUGUUGGGUUUCCACGAGAAUUGCUUGAGUUUUAUGAAUAACUCAAUUCCUUAAAAAAUUCUAAAAAAAAUUAGAAAAAUAAGAUUAAUUAAAAAAAAUGGAGCAAAAUGAAAAUUUACUAAAAUUAGAUGGCUAAAAUGAAUAUACAAUUGCAUUUUCGUUAGCCAAAUUAACAUGUGAUCAAAAUGAAAUAUUAUUAAAAUUGAGUGAUUAAAAUGAAAAAACUAUUUGAUUUAUUUACACCCUGAUUUUAUGAGCAAAUUCCCCAGCACAAAGCCUAUUUUGACAAUAACAGUUCAAAUGAAAAGUCUUCGCUUACUCUUUGAACGAAACUCUUCUCCCGCUAAAACCACCUCUUCUUCCUCCAAAUUCAAACGCCCAAAGCUUUCUUCCAUCUCUAAUGGCUCUGAUUCAUCACAAUCAUCAUCAUCUCAAGAUCCCCUUAAAACCCAUUUCUCCUCUCUCAUCAAAUCCUCCGAAACCACCCUACAACUCCGGCAAAUCCACGCUCAAAUCCUGCGCCGCCACCUCUCUUCCAGUGCCAAUCUCACCACCCUCUUAAUCUCCGUUUCUUCUUCCUUCAAAUCCAUACCUUACGCGCUCUCUAUUUUCAACUAUUCUCACCACAAAAGCUUAUUCCUUUUCAAUGCUUUGAUUCGUGGCUUGACGGAGAAUUCCCAUUUCCAAUCCUCAGUUUCACAUUUUCUUCUCAUGUUGAGACAUAGAGUUCGCCCUGAUUAACUUACAUACCCUUUCGUGCUCAAGUCUAUUGCGGGAUUGGGUCUUCAUUUCCUUGGUCUGAUCCUUCAUGGGAGAAUCAUAAAAUCUGGGGUUGAGUUCGAUUCGUUCGUUCGGGUUUCGUUAGUGGAAAUGUAUGUGAAGCUCGAGGAAAUGGGUUUUGCGUUGCAAGUGUUUGAUGAAAGUCCUGAGAGAAACAAGAGUGAGAGUAUAUUGUUGUGGAAUGUGUUGAUUAAUGGGUGUUGUAAAGUGGGGGAUUUGGAGAAAGCUAUGGAGUUUUUCGAGGCUAUGCCUGAAAGGAAUAUUGGGUCUUGGAAUAGUUUUAUAAAUGGGCUAAUGAAAAAUGGGGAUUUGAACAAAGCAAUGCAGCUUUUUGAUGAAAUGAAGGAGAAGGAUGUGGUUUCUUGGACUACAAUUGUUAAUGGGCUUUCACAGAAUGGAGAUCAUCAGAAGGCGUUAUCCAUGUUCUUUAAGAUGUUGGAGGUCGGUUUAAGGUCGAAUGAUCUUACUCUUGUUUCAGCUCUUUUCGCUUGCGCUAAAAUUGGUGCACUUGAAGUUGGAGUCCAUAUCCAUAACUAUUUUGUGGAAAAUGGGCUUCGGUUGAAUAAAGCAACUGCUGCUGCUUUGGUUGAUAUGUAUGCAAAGUGUGGGAAUAUCCUAUCUGCUAGUAAGGUUUUUGAAGUAACUGUUGCGCGGAAGCGUGUGAAAGAGUAAAAUUAUUGUACUGAAAAAUCACACUAAGUUCAAUUCCCAGGAAAGAGAGGUGGAUCACGAGGAUCGCUUACAUACCAGAUCUUUCCUAGCCAGAAUAUCCCUCUAUCGUAAUUUAAUAGCACAAUAAAUCACUACAAUGACACUUGCAAAAUAUGCAGAACAAAAAAUAAAGAACACUAGAAUUUUAACGAGGUUCAGCAAAUUUUGCCUACGUCCUCGGGCACUACCAAAUAUAUUUCACUCCAAAAAAUACAAGUGAAAGUUUACAAAUAGGGAGAGAGAACAAUUGCCUUAAGUAGAGAUUGGCAAGUGUGGGAUGAAGAAAGUAAGAAAUGGUUAGGCCUAUUUAUAGUUGAGGUUCAAGGAUCAACUUGCAAUGUCCCUAUACAAUUAGGGACCAAAAUUGCAAUUAUCUCAUGCCAACUUUUAACCCAACUUGCCAACCAAUUUUACUUUCUACUUUCGGUGACCACCCUUUUUGACUUUUCAAACAAUGGGUGGGUUCCAAUAAUCUCCACCUUGAAGAUUUGAUUAGGCUAAUCUUAUCUUCACACAAUUCUUUCUGCCUUUGACAACAAUACUUGAUAGUGCCUUCUUCAACUGUUAAACUUGCAGGAUAUUAAUCAAGUUCAAACAAUGUUCGAACUUGGUUGAUGUUACCACCUUGCUCAUCAUAUCUGCGGGAUUAUCUGCAGUCUUGAUCUUCUGAAGACAAAUUUUCCCCUCUUCAAUAAUUUCCCGCACAAAAUGGAAUCGUACGUCGAUAUGUUUUGUACGUGCAUGAUAGACUUGAUUCUUUGCUAAAUGAAUAGCACUUUGACUAUCACGAUACACGUUAAUAUGCUCCUGAACCAACCCCAAGGUUUUAGCCAUACCUUGUAACCAAAUAGCCUCCUUUACAGCCUCUGUUACAGCCAUGUACUCGGCUUCUGUGGUUGACAAUGCAACUGUAGACUGUAGUGUAGACUUCCAACUUAUUGGUCAUCCAGCAAGUGUAAACACAUAACCAGUGGUUGAUCUUCGAUUGUCCAAAUCACCGGCAUAGUCAGAAUCAACGUACCCAAUAACACCUUUACCAAGUGUAUUAUCCUGCUUGAACAGUAAUCCAACAUCCACGGUCUUCUGAAUAUACCGUAGAAUCCAUUUCACAGCUUGCCAAUGUCCUUUUCCAGGAUUAUGCAUAUACCUGCUCACUAUACUAACUGCCUGUGAAAUGUCAGGUCUUGUACACACCAUUGCAUACAUCAAGCUACCCACUGCAUUAGAAUACGGAACUUGCAACAUGUAUUCUCGUUCCGUAUUCGUCGAAGGAGAUAGUUGUGUAAAAAGCUUGAAAUGAGAAGCCAACGGGGUACUUACAGGUUUUGUCUGCUCGUUCAUGCCAAACUGCUGUAGUACCUUUUUCAAAUACUGCUUCUGAGACAAGCUAACUCUAUCAUGAGCUCUAUCUCUCCAUAUUUCCAUGCCGAGAAUCCUUUUAGCUUCUCCUAGAUCUUUCAUCUCAAACUCGAGAUUGAGUUGAGUCUUCAAUCUUUCAAUUUCAACUUUGCUCUUAGAUGCUAUUAGCAUAUCAUCAACAUAUAAGAGCAAGUAUAUGAAAGUUCCUUCUUGUAGCUUCUGAAAAUACACGCAAUGAUCAAAUUUACUUCUUGUGUACCUUUACCCUUUCAUAAACUGAUCAAAUCGCUUGUACCACUGCCUCGGAGAUUGCUUCAAUCCAUAAAGCGACUUUGUCAGUUUGCAAACCCAAUUUUCUUUUCCAGCAACCUUGAAUCCAUCUGGCUGAGUCAUAUAGAUUUCCUCUUCCAAAUCACCGUGUAAAAACGCGGUCUUCACAUCAAGCUGAACUAGUUCAAGAUCAUAUUGCGCAACCAAGGCUAGCAAAAUCUGAAUAGACGAAUGCUUCACAACUGGAGAAAACACUUCAUUGUAGUCUAUUCCUUCUUUCUGAGCGUAACCCUUUGUUACUAAUCUAGCCUUGUAUCGAAUUUCAUUUUUAUCAGGAAAUCCUUCCUUCUUUGCAUAUACCCAUUUGCAUCCAAUUGCCUUCUUUCCCUUGGGUAGUGUCACCAACUCCCAGGUCUUAUUUUUCUGAAGAGACUGCAUUUCUUCAUUCAUUGCUUGCUUCCACUUUACACCAUCAGGGUUACUUAUUACUUCUGUGUAAGUAGAAGGAACAUCAUCAUCUGUAUUUGGAAAUGCAUAGGCCACUAUAUCAUCAAAGCGAGCAGGCUUACGAAUCUCUCUUCUUGGCCUUCUAUAUGCAAUUGAAUCUUGUUGCUGUAGAGAUUCUUGGGUAGGAACCUCUUCAUCAUUUGUCCCUUCAAUAUUAGCUGGAUCAUCGUUAACCUUUUCAAGCUCCACAUGCUGCAAAGUACUAACGGUUUUGUCAUCCUUUUGUGAAUCCUUGUACUUCAACAUGGUUGAUUCAUCAAAAGUCACAUCUCUACUGAAAACAAUCUUCAUUGUAUCAGAACACCAGAGACGAUAUCCUUUUACUCCAUCAGUUAUACCCAAGAAUAAUGCUUUCUUUGCUCUUGGGUCUAACUUAGAUUCUUUUACAUGAUAAUAUGCAGUGGAACCAAAUACAUGCAAAGAAUCAUAAUCAGUAGCAGAUUUACCAGUCCACAUCUCUAUAGGAGUUUUUCCAUUUAUUGCAGCUGAUGGCAAACGGUUAAUUAGAUGGCACGCAUAUGUAACUGCCUCAGCCCAAAAUUCUUUGCCCAAUCCAGCAUUGGACAACAUACAUCGAACUUUCUCCAGUAUAGUUCGAUUCAUUCGUUCUGCCACCCCAUUUUGCUGUGGUGUAUCCCGAACAGUGAAGUGUCGCACAAUGCCCUCAUCUUGGCAUACUUGUAGAAAUGGAUCGUUUUUGUACUCAGUACCAUUAUCUGAUCGAAGUCGUUUGACCUUUCGACCAGUCUGAGUCUCCACCAUCUUCUUCCAUUUCAGAAAUGCAUCCAAAACUUCACUUUUUCUUUUCAUUAGAUACACCCAUACUUUUCUUGAAUAAUCAUCAACAAAAGUAACAAAAUAGUGCAUACCUCCCAAAGAAGCUACUUUGGUAGGUCCCCACACAUCACUGUGAACGUAGUCCAGAAUUCCUUUCGUAUUGUGAAUUGCUGGACCAAAUUUUACCCUCUUCUGCUUGCCCAGAACACAAUGUUCACAGAAUUCCAUUUUGCAAGAAUUUGCACUUUUCAAUAAGCCUUGCUUCACCAAUGUCUGCAAAGCUUUUUCACCAGCAUGUCCCAAUCGCAUAUGCCAUAAUCUGGUAGCCUCUGAAUCUACAUCUUUUGUAGAAACUGUUGAUGUUGAUCCAAUAACUGUACUUCCAUUUAAAAAAUACAAGUUAUUUCUUCUUGUGCCUUUCAUCACCGUCAGUUGCCCAGCUACUACUUUUAGUAAUCCAUCUCUCAAAGUGAUUGUGAGCCCUUUAGAUUCUAGGGCACCUAAUAAGAUGAGAUUUUUCUUCAGGCUAGGUACGUAGCAAACAUCUGUCAAGACUUGGAUUGAGCCGUCGUGAUUCUUCAAUUGGACUGUACCCACUCCCAUUGUCUUACAAGCACUAUCAUUGCCCAUAAGAACAAUUCCACCUUCUAGCUCUUUAAGACUAGAAAACCAGUCCUUAUUAGGACACAUAUGGUAAGUACAUCCUGAAUCCAAAAUCCACUCAUCCGUUUGACAUGCCAUUGCCAUGCCAACCAAGCUAAAGUCUGACUCCUCAUCAUGCUCCGCUACACAUGCAUUAGAAAUAGCCUUGCCCUUUUGUAGCUUAGGACAAUUCUUUUUCCAAUGCCCUUUUUCACGGCAAAAGGCACAUUUAUCUUUGGCGGGUCUCCCUUUGGACUUUCCUCUUCUACCAGAUUUGCUGCUGUGUGAACGACCUCUUACUGUUAAGACUUCUGCGGUUGUAUCUCUGUGAUCUCUUUUAUCUUUCUUUCGAGUCUCAGAUCUAUACAACGCACUACAGACUGCAUCAAAUGUGAUCGUGUCCUUCCCAUGAAGCAAUGUGGUGGUAAGAUGAUCAUAUUCAUCAGGAAGGGAAUUCAACAACAAUAAUGCAUUGUCUUCAUCUUCAAAUUUCUCAUCCAAAUUUAGCAAGUCUGCUAAAAUUUUAUUGAAUGAGUUCACAUGGUCAUUCAUCGACAUACCGGGUGCAUACGUGAAUCGAUAAAGUUUCUUUUUCAUAUAAAGCCUAUUUUCAAGACUUUUCGUUAGAAACUUUUCUUCCAGUGUAUCCCAUAACUUCUUCGCUGAUGUCUCCCUCAUGACAGAGUACUUCUGCUCUUUGGCCAAACAUAGGCGGAUUGUACCACACGCCUGUCUAUUGAUUUUGGCCCACUCCAUGUCAUCCAUCUUGUCAGGUUUUUCUUCAAAUGCUAUAUCUAGCUCUUGCUGACAUAAGACAUCCAGGAUCUCACAUUGCCACAUACCAAAAUUAUUGGUACCGUCAAAUUUCUCUACUUCAAAUUUUGCAUUUGUCACAGUAGUCCUUGCUGAUGACGAUGCUGCUGCCAUUUUUCUCCUCAAUCCCAACUACUGUAUACGUGAACAGUACUGUAUACGUGAAUAGUACCGUAUACGUGAAUAGUGCCGUAUACGUGAAUAGUACUGUAUAUGUAAAUAGUACCGUAUACGUGAAUAGUGCCGUAUACGUGAAUAGUACUGUAAACGGUCGUAUUCCCCAAGUACGAACCUGGCUCUGAUACCAAUUGUUGCGCGGAAGCGUGUGAAAGAGUAAAAUUAUUGUACUAAAAAAUCACACUAAGUUCAAUUCCCAAGAAAGAGAGGUGGAUCACGAGGAUCGCUUACAUACCAGAUCUUUCCUAGCCAGAAUAUCCCUAUAUCGUAAUUUAAUAGCACAAUAAAUCACUACAAUGACACUUGCAAAAUAUGCAGAACAAAAAAUAAAGAACACUAGAAUUUUAACGAGGUUCAGCAAAUUUUGCCUACGUCCUCGGGCACUACCAAAUAUAUUUCACUCCAAAAAAUACAAGUGAAAGUUUACAAAUAGGGAGAGAGAACAAUUGCCUUAAGUAGAGAAUGGCAAGUGUGGGAUGAAGAAAGUAAGAAAUGGUUAGGCCUAUUUAUAGUUGAGGUUCAAGGAUCAACUUGCAAUGUCCCUAUACAAUUAGGGACCAAAAUUGCAAUUAUCCCAUGCCAACUUUUAACCCAACUUGCCAACCAAUUUUACUUUCUACUUUCGGUGCCCACCCUUUUUGACUUUUCAAACAAUGAGUGGGUUCCAAUAGUAACAAAAGAGAAGGACAUUCGUACCUGGAGUGUCAUGAUAUGGGGUUGGGCAACCCAUGGGUUUUAUGGACAAGCUAUCCGAUGCUUCAAAAAGAUGAUGUUUUCAGGUGUGGACUUAGUAGUUUUCAUUGAGCUCAACCCUUUAUUCUAAUCUUUCUGAAUAAACUCAAGUUUGUCGUAUUUGCAGGAAUAAAACCCGAUGCGGUGGUCUUUCUUACCCUCCUGACUGCAUGCUCACAUUCUGGACAAGUAGAUCUUGGGCUUAACUUCUUUGAUAGCAUGAGGUUUGAUUACUCCAUUGAGCCAACCAUGAAGCAUUAUACGUUGGUCGUUGAUUUGUUAGGCAGGGCAGGCCGACUGGAUGAAGCAAUGAAGUUCAUACAAAGGAUGCCUAUAAGUCCUGAUUUUGUGGCAUGGGGAGCACUUUUUGUGCUUGCAGAGCUCACAAAAAUAUUAAAAUGGCAGAACUAGUGUCAGAAAAGCUCCUUCAGCUUGAACCUAAACAUCCUGGGAGCUAUGUUUUCUUGUCAAAUGUUUAUGCAGCAGUUGGUAGAUGGGAAGAUGUGGAGAGGGUAAGAAUGUUGAUGCAGAAUCAAGCUGUUGGCAAAGAUCCGGAGUGGAGUUAUAUUGAAGUCAAUGGACAAGUGCAUAGUUUUGUAGCUGGUGAUCAUGAUCAUAAGCGUGCAAGAGAAAUAUACUUGAAAUUAGAGGAAAUAGUGUCUGGUGCAAGAGAGCAAGGAUAUAUGCCUGAAACUGGGUGGGUUCUUCAUAAUAUUGAGGAAGAAGAGAAGGAAGAUGCAUUAGGAAGUCACAGUGAGAAAUUGGCGCUUGCCUUUGCCUUAAUGAACACUCCUCCGGGGACAACUAUUAGGAUAGUGAAGAACUUAAGAGUAUGUGGAGAUUGCCAUUCUUUGAUGAAAUGUGCUAGUAAGAUGAGCCAAAGAGAAAUCAUAUUGAGAGAUAUAAAGAGAUUCCACCAUUUCAAGUAUGGGGUCUGCUCAUGUGGAGAUUAUUGGUAAAAUGGUAAGUAACAGCAACAUUAAUUUGCUUUGCUGUUAAUAGCACAUGAUUAGUGCUUCUACUUGGUUUAUUUAGAAUAAUGCUUUUAGUUAAAACAUGGAUGUAGCUACAGCAACACAAGUUUUUUUGUUUGAUAAUUGGUAGCAAGUACAUUAAAUUUCUCCAAUGGACCUUUCUGCACAUAUAUAUUAAACUUGAAACUCAUUAGUUAAGUUUGUACUUUAUUUAGGUAUCUAAUUAACGUUGUUAGAUUUUUUCAAUUUCAACUUAUCAUCUUGUGCCACUUCUUUCUCUUCCCUUUAGUGAAAUUUAGCACUUUAAAAGAUGGGUUGCAUUUUGCUCCCUCUGUCAAAAAAAAUGGACAGAUUAAGCUAUACACGUUAGAUCAAAGAGCAAAUAGGUCUUUUUGUUUAAAAAUCCAUCAAUUUUUGUUGUUAAAAAUCAAUCCAUUUACAUCAACAUAAAAUAUAUAACUGUUUGGGUAUCUCAUCAUCCAUGUUAGUUUUUAGCAAUACAAAUGGAUAGAAUUUUUAACAAAAAAAACCAGUUUAUUGUUUGAUCUAACAUACAAUGACUAAUUUGUCAAUUUUUUAAGUAAAUAAAGCAUAAUGCUAAUUGACUCUUAGUAUAAUAUCUCUAUGGUACUUUUAUCAAUACUAUCUCUAUUUAUGAAAUUAAAAAUACUUAAAUAAUUAGAUUUAUUGUAUAUUGUGAUAAAAAAUUAUGUAAGAAAUGCAUUUAUUAAAAAUCCAUAUAAAAUCUAAAUGAUGAUUGUAAAGUUAAAUGUUCUGGUGCAAGAGAGCAAGGAUAUAUGCCUGAAACUGGGUGGGUUCUUCAUAAUAUUGAGGAAGAAGAGAAGGAAGAUGCAUUAGGAAGUCACAGUGAGAAAUUGGCGCUUGCCUUUGCCUUAAUGAACACUUCUCCGGGGACAACUAUCAGGAUAGUGAAGAACUUAAGAGUAUGUGGAGAUUGCCAUUCUUUGAUGAAAUGUGCUAGUAAGAUGAGCCAAAGGGAGAUCAUAUUGAGAGAUAUAAAGAGAUUCCACCAUUUUAGGUAUGGGGUCUGCUCAUGUGGAGAUUAUUGGUAAAAUGGUAAGUAACAACAACAUUAAUUUGCUUUGCUGUUAAUAACACAUGAUUAGUGUUUCUACUUGGUUUAUUUAGAAUAAUGCUUUUAGUUAAAACAUGGAUGUAGCUACAGCAACACAAGUUUUUUUGUUUGAAAAUUGGUAGCAAGUACAUUAAAUUUCUCCAAUGGACCUUUCUGCACAAAUGAUAUAUGUCCCCAUAAAGAACUUGGUGCUCACGGUAUUGCAUGACAGGUAGCCAUAGGUUAUUCGCUCUCUUGAUUGGUAUCUUACAUUCCUCAAGGUCCAAAAGUUGUUCCUUCUUUUUGUCUGAAGUCCAAACCUAAGAAAAGCAUUGAUGGGCCUUUAAAACUUUGCUCAUUUCACUACAUGAACUAUUGGAUGUUUUGUGUUCAAAUUAGUUUAUGCCAGUAGUGAAAGUACAUCUCUUUCUCCUUAUCCAGUUAUUCUUUUCAGUUGUCAUCAUCUUUCUGUGUCUUGCCUUCUGAAGUGUUUAGAUGACUGCAUUUCUCAAUAUAAUUUUCAUUUGACCUAAAUAGUUGAAAUUAAAGUCCCUUAUCAUGCCAUUCAUUACUUUGCUUCUAUAUGGUAGUUAUUCUUCAAUGUCCAUGAAUUGACAUAUAUCACUGGAAGCAUAAUCUUACUUCUAAGCAUGGGAUUGACCUUCUUUAAUGCAGGUUCUUCUGUAAGACUCAAACCAUAGAUGGGCAAGGCUUGAGAAAAUAAAGUUGUAAGUGUUGAACCAGGAAGGACGAUGUUGGCCAUGUUAUAAACAUUCCUCCAGAAUGACUAAACAUCGAGGAAAAGGUUCAACCAUGAGUGGUCCACUGAAACGUGCUUGGUCGAACACGUGCCAAUUAUCAGCUACGUAUCAAAUCCCACAAUUAUAAAUGUAGAUUGGGUUCCAUGCUCUGGUUAAUCCAUUAGAUGACACGGUCCAUUGAAAAGGUACUAAAUUACUGAUGUUUGGUCCAUAUAUGAAUCUGUUUAUUUAAUGGCCAGCAUUAAUUGUUAAUUCUCUUGUUUGCGGGUGACUUUUCCUCUAGCAUGCCUUAUGGAAAGAAGUGUCAGUGACAACCUUUUAAUCAACAGCAACUUACCCUACUAAUGAGCAUUUGGAGCAUUUCAUAGCUCGUUCAGUUUAUUCAAAGACUCAUUUUUACCUGCACAGCAUGUUCCCGCCCAGUAAUCAGUGGGCCAAUUAAUGAAGGAGAGGAUAGUUUGCUAGACACAUGUUUUUUGUGUGAGCUUUCUGGUCUUUUAUGUAGUUGUGGUGUUGACAAUUUUUGUUGUUCUUUACAUAAAUUCUUAUUGGCUAAGCGCUUGGUUUUCUUUUAUUGGAAAGUGCAUCACAACCUGUCGUUACUCAACAAUGGCCAAUUUUCUUGCAUAUCACAUCUUCAGGCAAUGUGAUUAUGUUGAAAAUUGGCCUACCAUGCUUGCUGUAAUACUUCCGGAUGAAGUACGUGCUAGCAAUUGUUCAUGCUGCAGCACGUAUGCUUGCUGUAACAGCAAGAUUUUUGUUUUAGUUUCACUGUAAUCAGCCUAGUUGGAAAUGAACAAGCUGAUGACAGCUUGAUAUGUUUAGGUGUUGAAUGACUAAUUUAGGUGGCUUGUUUCUGUGUACAAGCAAUGUUUUUAAAGUUAGUAGGCUACUUAGUGGUAGUAGGUAGUAAUAACUGAUGUAGUUGGCUAUAAAUGUAUUGUUUUUUUAUUGAAAAAUUAAGCAUAUCAGUGGUUAAAACAGAUUGCUUCCUUGCUGCACGUUUGUGAGCAAGUAAAUUAUUCUUGCAGCUUGCUUCAUUGUCUUGUUCUGUUCUCUGUUUUCUUCCUCUGCUGUCAAAAAACCCAACAGAUUAGCUAUCGUGAAGAUUUCAACAAAGUCGGUUCGUGUUGAUUCAAGGAAAAAAAGAUAUUACGAUUUGAUUUCCUCACCUAAUUGUUUUACUAUGCGAAGUUGGAUUGUGAGGAAUAUUUUGUUGAUUUCUGCAUUUUGAAUAAAGAGCUCUUAGGUUUGUGUGGCCGACGUUUAUAGUUUUAUCUUUCGAUUUUAUCUUUUUUUUUGUAUGAAAUUUAAAGUUUAAUCAAAACUAAUUGUUAUGUGUAUGUAAUAGCUAUUUGAAUUAAAUUAAAUUGACAAAUCAACGUACACUAGUGCAUACUAAAAAAAAUGUAAUAUAAAAUUAAACCAAAAUUGAAUCUAAAACUUAAAUAUUUUAAAACCUCAAACAUAUGGCAACUCUUCACUCCUCUUUCCCUCUGAAGUUAUUUUAAUUUAAAAUAUAUUUUGUAUAAUGUGUUAUAACAAUUCAACUAAACAAAGUGAUUCUCUUUGCAUAACAUAUUAUAUGCUUAUAUAAACUUUUACACAAUUUGUUAUAGAUACAUUUUUAAUAAUUGAAUGAUGACUCCAUUAAAAAUGCAAUAUCAUAAUAAUUCUACAUUUCUUGCAUUAAUAUAAAAUUUUCCUUUUUUUUUCCUCCAAGCCUUGUUUAUUAUCUUUUGUUUUGCCAAAUGGCAGUGCCAGCUUUCAGGCUAGCUAUCGCCCGCCUUUUUCUCCCUCCCAUUAAUCCUUUUUUUCUUUUUUCUUCUCAUUCACUCCACAUGUCUUCUUUCUUUUCAGUUUGUAGAUCUAUUUUAUGAGAAUCUUUAUUUUCUUCACAAGUUGUGAUAGACAGAUGACGACGCCUAUGUUCGUUAAAACUUCAUCGGCCACCAAUAAUUUUUCAGAAUAAUAAAUAAUUUCAUGAGUCGAUUUGGAUUCUUGUUAUCAUAAGUUUUAUAUAUUUUUUAGUUUGUUUUUCAUUGUUUAAUAGGUUUUUAGUUUUAGAAGUUUUUGUCUACUCUUGUAACACGUUUUUUAGUCUUGCUUAUGCAUGUAACCUUAGUUUUACAAGUGAUUUUAGAGAUGGUUUUGUUACCGUCUUCUCUAGUUUGGUGAAUGCUCAAUUCUUUUGUCCAUUUUUGCUCGUCACUUUGGACCAUUCGAGGCUGAUUUUCUUUAUCGCAUUAAGUGCUUGCGAUCACUCCAAAUAUAUCGUGCUUAAGUUGUGAUAAAGCCUGUACAAGCCCAAUUUUUAUGCCCGGGCCCAAUUGACCCAACAAAACCGAACGGCCCAACAGACUAAGGCCCAAACCCAACAAAGACUAGGGUUUCAGAACCCUAGCCCCUCCAUCAGCGCCGCAUGCUAGGGUCUCUGACUUCUGCCCCGUCGGCGCAAACGGCGCACCUACCCCGUCCGUGUCACGUCUCCUCCAUCGCCCUACACCUGCAAACAAUAAAGAGAGAAGCAGACAACACAAAACAGGGGAAAGAUUGAAUCUUUUUUUUUUGUUCUUUCGGUUAUAAAGCCGAACGUAUCAAAUAAGAAAAAGGGGGGAUUUUUUGCAAAAAAAGAAAAUCACAUCAGAAAUAAGAAAAGGAACAAAGGUUGCUGUGUUCUUCAUUUUAUUCUUUUUUGAUUCGUUUACUUUCAUUUAUUUUUAAACAAAUCCGUUAAAAAAUAUAUCAAUAAAAAGGAAAAGAAAAAAAGGAGCGCACCUGAAUCGCUCUCUGGCUCCGUCGACGGAGGUUCUCUCGCCGUUGUCGGCCCGGAUCUGAAGGAGGGAUUCAGAGCCCUUGUCUCGGCGCUCGUAGGGGUUCAAGGACCCGAUUUUCAAAUCGCCCGAAGGCCAGGCUUUUUAAAAACCCUUUGUUGCGCUUCGUUGGCCGCCGUUUCGGUGGCGGUGCGACGGACAGACGGACGAUGGUGAAAAGCCAAUCGUCGGAGGGCAUGAAGAGAGAGUGGGGGAAAGAGUUCUGAAUUUUUUUUUUUAAAAGAGGGAUGAAAUGAUUUUUUUAGGGGUUUUGAUUUAUAUAAGGAUCCAAAACGGCGCCGUUUUGGAAGGGUCAGAAAGCCCCUAAAACGACGCCGUUUUUGCAUAAGACCCGAGACCCAACCCGUCUGCCUUAGGGGAUCCGCGUGUUUUUUACGGAAGGGCUAAUUUCACGUUUAAUCCUUCCGCUUUUUAAUUAUUUUAAAAUUAGGUUCUUUUGAUCUUUUUAAUUUUACCCGGAAAUUGUUUUCGUUUUCAAUUUGAUCCUUACCCAAACUACGUCGUUUUAAAGAAAGGGCCAUUUCUUUGUUGGUCCCUCCAUGUUUUAUGCUUGUUUAGAGCAGUCCUUCCCUUUUCGUUUAUUUGCGUUUUGAACCCCCCGAAUUUUGUUUUAAUGUUUAAUCUAAUCCUUCUGCUAUUUUGUUUAUUUUCUUAACAAAUUUAUUAUUAUUAUUAUUAUUACAUAUUCAUUUAUAACAUCUAAUUUUAGAUUUAAUCAUAUAUAUAAAUAUACGUCCAUGAUAUAUACCUACUUUUUAUAUAUACUUUAUAAUUUAUAUAUACAUAUACACAUUUUAAUUUAUGUACAUAUCUACACAUAUUUUUCAUACUUUACUCAUAUAUAUAUACAUGUACUUAUACAUAUUCUUUAUAUCUUAAAAUCCAUAUUUUUCUUAUGUAUAUAUUUUAUAUUUUAUAUUUUAUAUAUAUGUGUUUAUAUAUUCUACGAUAUAUAUUUAUAUGCAUAAUAAAUACAUAUCUAUAUACGUUUCGAUUUUUAUAAACACAUAUAUAUGUAUGCAUACCUUUAUAUUUCUUAUAUUAAAUACAUAUAUAUAUAUUUAUAUAUCCCUUUAUACUUCUAAAAUCAUAUAUUUUGUAUAUAUUCUUUAUAUUUUAUGAUUCCUAUAUGUACCCACAUAUAUACUUUUUGUAUUGUAUGAUUGUUAUUUACGUAUAUGUACGUACAUACAUACUUACACCUAUUUUCAUGUAUAAUAGCCUUAUAAUAUGUGUACAUACAUGUAUUUUUCAUAUUUCCAUAUACAUACACAUAUAUCUUUUUAUUUUAUAUAAUCUUACUCAUUUUAUUUAUUUAUUUAUUUACAUGUCUAUUAUUAUUAUGCUCUAGUUUUUAUUUAUUUAUUUAUUAUUUGUUAUUGUGCUUGCUUGAUCCUUUUAUAUAUUAAUCUUAUUUUUUAUUUUUAUUUUGAUCAUGUCAUUUUACUUACAUUAUCAUCAUCAUUCCGUUACACUCAUUUUUUUGUUUAGAUUUCAAAAAAAAAAAGAAGAAAUUUUAAAAAUAAGUAACACUCGGUAUUUUGGAUCUUCGAGAGAAUCGAGUCCUAACGUAUUGGGUUCCGACUUUCUUCGUUGAAUUUAAAUAAUCGAGAUUACUCUUUUAAAAAUGAUAAAAAAGCUCGUUAUCGAGAAUUCAAUACGUUGUGUCCCAACGGAUUGGACGUAACACGGUGUUUUCUCGAGACGAGGAUUUUUCGAAAUAAACGUAAUAUUCAAUGUUUAAUCUUUUGAGAAAUUGUGCCCUAACGUAUUGGGUUGUGAUUUCUUCAUUUGAUUUAAACAAUUGAAUAUCCUUUUAAACUUUAUUACAUGGAUCUUUUCAAACUCAAGUUUUAAACAACCUCGGGAAUUAAAAGAGGAUCGUGUCCUAACUUACUGGUCGUAAUCCCUUUUUUAAUUCGAGAUCGUUAAAUAUCUUUUAAAUAAGCUUUUUUCAUUCGCGUAUUGGGAAUUCGACAUAUUGUGUCUUAACUUGCUAGAUAUGAUAUUCUGUCUCGAAUAACGUGAAAUAUGCCCCUUUUCCUGAAAAUUUUCAACGUUUUAAUACAAGGAUCGUAUUUUUAAAAUUCUUCUAAGUUAUCAAUUUUCGACACUAAGACAUUAACUAAUCAACUAGGUACCAAUUUUGGGCGUAUCGAGGGUGCUAAUCCUUCCUCGUGCGUAACCGACUCCCGAACCCGUUUUUCUGAAUUUCGUAGACCAGACUUGUUGUUUUAAUAAAAUUAAAUUGUUUAUUAAAAACAACCACUUUUCGAGGUGAUCCAAUCACCCCUCAUAAAAAAGGAUUGGUGGCGACUCCCGUUUUUUUAUUUUCGUCAAAACCCAAGUCGACCCCGUUUUUCAUCCAAAAAAAUGGUGUCAACAAAGCCAAUUGUCAACAUGUCAUAACGUUCUAUUUAUGCUAAGGCUAAAGCCUUCGUUGGGUUGUUGGAGCUUGUCAUUUACCAUCUACGACGAGUGCUUAUUUUUUUCCCUGAAUUGUAUGAUUCCAUUCAUUGAAUGAAUUAACGAAUUUACCUUUCAAAAGAAAAAAAAUUCAUAAAUUUUGAAAUACAAAAUGAAUGUGUUUUGAUAUUUUUAGGGCAAUGGUUUAGUGGUUUAAAUUUUUUUAUUUAAUAUGGUGAAUUUAAUUAUAAUUUUUUAUUUAUUAGAUAGUAGAAUAUCUCUUACCAUUUAUAAUUAAGUUUAGGUUAAAAUAUUUUAUUAAAUUUUUGGACUUUUCACAAAUUUUAAAUUUAAUCUGUUUACUUUUAUUCAAGAAUUUAAUCUCUCUGCAUAUAAAGGAGGUAAUUAUGGCAAGGGGAAUUACCAUGGCAGAGGUAGCGGAGGCUGAGGAAGAGAUGCUGGAUAUGCUGAAGAAAGAUAGAUGGCUGAGAAACAGAAAAACUUUAGGAACAAUAUUCAGUGUUAGAAGUAUGGGGAUGUGAAGGCAGAUUGUUGGAAAAGGGGAAAACAAGCAAAUUAUGCGGAAGAUGAUGAAGAGAUUUAAGUUAUUUAUGAGCUGUCUAGAUGACACCAUAGCUUCAACUAACAUUUGGCUUCAAGGGCGUAUAUCUCAUGAUGAAGAGAUUGUCUCUCUUCUUUUUUCUCAUAACAUAUUAUACGCCAUGAUAAUAAAUUUUGAUAUGCCUAUAAAUUUGAGUCUCUAUUAUUUGUAAUAUGACAUGUUUUAAUUAUUUUUUAUAUUAUGCCAUGAUUUGGUUCACUCCAUAAGUUAUAUAAAUUUAUUAUAAUAAUUCAAUUAAUUUAAUUUAGAUUAAUUUUACAUUUUUGUCCUAACUUUAGUUUUUAAUAAUUGAAUCAUCCCACCAUUAUAUUCAAUUACAAGUGUAAUACGAUUUUGCGUCAUCCCGCACCAUUAUUCUCAGUGUAAUUUUUGGUAGUGAGCAUUGAAGGGGAGAGAGAGAGAGAACAAAGAAAGAACUUACUGUAAUUUUUGGUGUAUGUAAUCGAUAACCCUCAAUGCUUAAAAUGAAAAAGAAAAUAGAAAACAAAGGUGGCAAAGUUAGUUACAAUGCCAGCUAAUUCGUUAUUGCUAUCCACAUGAAGAAUUUUAUAACCCCAACUACACGAUUUUAUGUCUACCAGCUCUCACUUUUCAUAUUUUUUGGCCAUUAGUUAUUCUAAGAUUUAACAUCACCGUUAAGCCAUGUUUAAACUCUUUUUCUUAUAUAAUAAUUAUAUUAUAUUUAAAAUUGAAAAAACUAACCAACCAAAUAUAUAUUAAUUAAUUAAUAGAAGUUUUUUGGUCAUCGAUUAAAAUAAAUCAAGAAAGACGUUGGAACCACCAACUUCUCUUUAAGAACAACACGAAUACAAGAAUCUAUGCACAACAAGUUCUAAAAUGUAUUAAGUAAAUUCAUCAUCAUGCCUUAAAAAAAGAAGAUCUCGAUAUAUCUGCUUUUGCCAAAGCAUCCGCCAUACCAUUACUUUGCCAGUGAAUAAUUGUGAACUGAAACUUAGCCAAUUGAGUGAUAUUAAUUAUAGAAAUGAUUCUUCUUGCAACCAUAGAUGAAACACCACUGAGACUAACAAACUUGGAGAAACUUGAUUUGAGUUUUAACAUCUUCAGGAACAACACAAUUUCGUUUCUUGAAGGACUUUCAAACUUAAAUUAGUCCUUGGAUAUGCAUAAUAACACUCUGCAAGGCUCAUUAAUAGAUAUUAAAGGUACUGAAGCUAUAACUUUUUUUUCUUGAUAAUUCUUUUUAAAAUAUUUCAUAAUUAAUUGUUCUGAAUUUGUACAUUCACUUCUCACAUUUCUGGGUUUUUUUUGUCCUCAACUAAAUUAAACUUAUGCAAAUUUCUUGAAUAUUUAAGUUAAGAGUUAACGUCAAAGUCAAGAGUUGAUAAGUAUUUUGUGGUCCAUUCAUAUCUUUAUUACAAAAAAAAAAUAUUCAAGAAAUUUGCAGCUAGUUGGAGUUUUGCAAUAAGGAAUUUCCACCAAGAGUUUUGGAGGAAUCAUAUCUCUAACAAAAGAAAGACCUUCAUUUGACUAAAUUUUUUAGUAUUUAUUUUAACUUCCAUUUUUAUUAAAAAAAAGGUAAAAAAAUAUGCCAAACAGGGUCUUUAGGUUACUUUUUUUAGAACUAUAUUAUGUUAUAGUACCAUAUAAGUUAGAGGAGCACAAGUUUAGAUUCAUCCAAUUUUUGAGGAAUUAAUUAAAUAUAUAUUAUUUUAAUAUUAUAGUGUAUAGGGGCAAAGUUAGAAAAAAAUUUUUGUGGAGUCGAAAUUAAAUUAUAGUUUUUACAAUAGUUAAAAAAAAUAAUUUCACUAUUUUAAAAGCAUAUAUGUUGUAAGCACUAAAUUUUUGUCCGACUAGAGUUUGUGUUUAAUUUUCAAAAUUUCAAAAAAAAAUUUUAAAAAUAAAAAUUGCAUUUUGACCCCUAAAUUUUUCCUAAAUUUCAUUUUGACCCUUAAACUUUCAUUAAAUUUCACUUAGACCCCUAAACUUUCAUUAAAUUUCAUUUUAAUCCUAAAUUUUCUAAAAAUUACAUUUAGCCCCAGAAGUUUUGCUGUAUUUGUGAUUUGGUCCUUCAGACACGUUACGUGAUUUGGGGCACCCACUUCCCAGAUUUUCAGGCCACAAUCACCCACUACCUGCAAACAAUGAGAAAGAGGACAAAAUUUGGAGCUUUUAAAAAGAAAAAAAGAGAAGAGGAAGAAAAAAAGGAGAGAAAAAAACAAGCAGAAUUUUUAGAGAAAAAUAAAAAAAGAAGCUCUCAAUCCGGCCGAUUGCCUCCACCGCCACCACGUCCGUUGCGCCACCACCAUUGUCAUCUCACCAUCGAGUCCUAAACGCAAACAAAACAAAAACAAAGAAAAAAGCAAGCAAAAGAGAAAAGGAGAAAGUGCAAAGAAGAAAAAGAAAAAGGAAAAGGGGAGAGAGCAUACCUCCGUGCACGCCAUUGUCGGCCGUCGCACCAGGCGGAGGGACAUCACCGGCGAGACAAAGGAGGUGCUGCUGAUCGGGGAGAAAGAAAGGAAGAAAAAGAAGAAGGAAAGAAGAAAAGGGGAAGAAGAAAGAAAGAAAAAAGAAAAAAAAACUAAAAAAAAUAGCAGGCCAUUUUGGUGGACCAGAUUCAGCCCAACAAGAAGCAGCCCAAACCAGUCCUUUGGCAGCCAAUAGCAACAGCCCAACAGCAAAAAAAAUAAUAAAAGGGGAGGCCCAAAAUUUAAGCCCAUAACUUUGGGCUUUUGGGUAAUUUUUUUUCUUUUUUUCUUUUUAAUCUAUUUUAUUUUAUUUUAUUUAUUUAAAUGGUGUUUUAUUUAAUUUAAAUUAGUAUGCUUUAAAACAGUUUUCAUAAAUAUUAUUAUGUCAUUUAAUUGCAUAUUUUUUUUAAAAAAUAAUAAUAUUUUAAUGCAUAAGGCAACGAACCGAUUUAGCAUCGAGUCAUCGAAUUCAUCGCUAUGUUGGAUGGAUAUCGAUAGCUCGUGUUAAAUUCGGGACACCCUUUUAAAAAUAAAAAUAUUCAAAAAUCCUCGUAUUUUAAUAAAAAUUCUCGUGUUUUAUUAGAAUCCCGAUUAAAUAUUAAAUUGAAUUGAGUUAACAUUAAUUCGAUGGUUUCAUCGCCAUAUCGGGAUGAAUAUCAUCGAUUCGUGUUAAAUACGGUAUUUUUUAAAGAAAAAUUGUGUUUCAAAAAUUUUCAUGUCUUCAAAAUUUCUCGUGUUUCGUAUUUUAUCAAAAAAUUUAUGUUUUCAAAAACAAAUUUUCUGUUUUAAAAAUUUUCGUGUUUCAAAAAGAAGAUUCGUGUUUUCAAAAAUAAAAAUAAAAAAUCUCGUGUUUUAAAUUCUUCGUGUUUUUUAAAAAAAAAUUUUGUGUUUCUAAAAUUCUUGUAUUUUAAAAUUUUCGUGUUUUCAAAAAAGAAAAAGUUGUUGCGCUUUAAAAUUCUCGUGUUCAAUCGGAUCACGACUAAUAUUAAAUUGAACUCGUAUUUUUGAAAAUGAAGACAAUGCGCGUUUAACGAGAUACCAAUUUUGGGCGUUGCGAGGGUGCUAAUACCUUCCUCGCGCGUAACCGACUCCCGGACCCUAAUUUUCUCUGGAUUUUUACGUGGACCUAAAAUUACCUCUUUUUUAGAAAAGUUUAAAAAUAAAUUUUUCUUCUAAAAAGAGAAUUUUAUAGGUGUCCGAUCACACCUAGAAAAAAUAUCGGUGGCGACUCCUUUUUCAAAUAAAAUCGAGAUUCAGUUUUCAAAUUUACAAUAAUUACUUCGACUAGCGCCCGUGCCGAAAUUUUUAGGUCGCUACAGCUGGCGACUCCGCUGGGGAACCUUUUUGAGAGUCGAGUCGAAUUAAACUCGCGUUGUCAAAAUUUUCAAAGUUUCUUGUUCAAAUUAACAUUUAGUCGUGAUCCUUAAAUUUUUUGUUUUCAAAAAAAUCAUGCAUUUGCAUCGUGUUGUAUAUAUUCUAACUUGUUUUAUCAGGUUGUUUUUCAGCUUUAAAUUUUUGCGGUUUUAGUUUUGGUUUAGUUUUUCUAAAUAAAACGUAAAGGUUUACAAGUUUCUCCCCACACACCGUGCACGUGCAUUUAUGUUGCAUAACAUGAGCUCUAUACCCGGGCUCUGUCCCUGUUAAGAGAAAGUAAAUGCUACGCCUUCGUGAGUUAACUCGUUCCUCCGCACAGGCUAGUGAAUACUUUCGGGUUACAUAUGACUUAUGCUUUCGUGAGUUAACUUGUCCCUCCGCAUAGGCAUAAGUAAAUGUAAUCCCUCGAAUUGAUCUCGUAAGCCUAUGAUGGGCCAUGACCGAGGCUCUGUACUAAUCUUAGUAGAUGACAGUGCAGACGAUUCGAGUACCCACCUAGAACCAAAACCGCAUAUAGUGAACCAUACGAGCUAUCCAAUUAGAGUCAUGCCGAACCUCUGUCCGCUUAUAGUCAUCAAAAUAAGUACACGGGGAAAAUGCCUUUUGCCUUUCAUUUACACUGUUUAUGCAAAAUAAUUGGAUUGGGUAGUUUAAUUUGUUUUUCAAAUUAUAUUUGUUGUGUUUACUAACCAAGUUUGUUUGUUUUUACUUUUAUUUUCAUCAUGCAUCAUAGGCAUCAUAUUAGGAAGGUGUUGAUUAAAAGUUGGUUGCCAAAAAACGGGUUUCUGAUGGAAGAGUCAAUUACACAAAUAACCGAGAAGAAUGCCGUGGUUCGGGACUGGUCUCUAAAAAUUCAGAGAGAAAAGAGGGAUAGUCUAGUGGAAGGGUGUGUCACUAAUUUGCCCGAACAUAUAACUGUAAAUGUUCGCCAAAAUAACUUUGAGGAUUUGGUUCAAAUUUGGAAUCAGUGGGAUUCAGACACUAGAGACAUUUUCACUCAGAGGUAUGGAGAUAUAGCUCACCUGAUCAUCAUCCAUGUAGACGAACAGUUGAUUCAAGCCAUGGUUCGGUUCUGGGACCCAGCUUAUCAGUGUUUCACCUUCAAUCAAGAAGACAUGACUCCAACCAUAGAAGAGUAUGCUGCUUUACUCCGCAUCGACAAUGUACAAUUCGGCAAAAUAUAUGUGAAGGAGCCUAAACCGAUGACCUUCAAGAAAAAGUUAGUGAGACUGACAGACAUGACUGAUGCAUGGGCCGAAAAACAGAUAAAGAAGAAGAAUGAAACCAUUUGCAUUCCAUGGUCCUCCCUACGAGAUUUGGCUCUGAACCAUCCCAACAUGCUGAAAAGGGUAAAUCUAUUCGCUUUGGCCAUUUACGGUUUGGUCAUUUUCCCAAAAGUUCUCGGACAUCUCGAAGUUGCAGUAGUUGAUUUCUUCGAAAGGUUAAAACAAGGAAUCAACCCUGUCCCGACCAUCCUAGCCGAGACCUUCAGGUCCCUGAGUAGUUGUCGAAAAAAAGGGGAGGGACGAUUUAUCAGAUGCGCGCAGUUGCUCAAUGUUUGGAUUUUGAGUCACUUCUGGAAGGUAGAGCGCACUCCGUUCCAUAUGUUUUCUAAAACAUUCUCCCCGCUAGAAGCUUACCUCAAUAAAGAAUGGCCGAAGGAAGUCACCGAGCAACAUUGGGUAUCAGUUUUUCAAAAUCUUCGCACCGAGAAUAUAACAUGGAGAGCACCCUGGAUCCGUCCUUCAGUUCUGCUAUACAAAUGUGGAAGCCAAGAUUGGGUACCUCUACUCGGGUUUUGGGGAGGAGUUGGAUAUGCUCCGCUAUUAGUCCAAAGGCAAUUUUCUUCGCGACAAUUCCUCCCCGCAACUGGAGGAUUAGCACAGUUCGAGUUCGCUUUUGCGGGUGAAGGAUAUAUGAAGAGAGUCCGAGACACUGCAAAGUAUUGGAAGGAAAUUCAUUUCAUGGAAUUAGCUUUGUAUGUUGAUACCCUUACCCAAGAUUACGACAUAUGGAGGAAGCAACGGGUAAAUAGUCAGCAAAUCUCAUCAACAAACUACACCAUCCAGAAUCCUUUCUCGGAGAAAACGCCGUCUGAGCUAGAAAUGGCAAGACAAGAAUUCGAACGAGAAAAGGCCAAGAUGUCUCGGGACCUUAGUGCCCUUCAAGAAGAAAACUAUCAACUGAAGAUUGAAGUUCAGGUUGAAAGGUCCAGGACUGAAAAGUACAAAAAGAAGCCGAGAUUGUGAGAAACGACUUAAGGGACCUUCAUUUGGAAAACAAGAAAUUAAGAAACACUAUAAAGAAUAGCGGGUUGGGUAAGUCGACAGCAGAAUGGAAGGAAGAAAUUAGCAAUAUCAAGGGAGGAAUGGAGUUUUGGAAGGGAAAAGUAAAGAAAGAGGAGGAAAAGGCUGCGCGCGCUGUGAUAGAGUUAAGAAGGAAGAACGACGAGUAUGAAAUAGUGACUGCAAAAUUUGCGAAUAGUCAGUCUGAAUAUCAAGAAUUAAAAAGGAAAGCACGAGAUCUAGAAAAUAUGCUGCAAUCUCGUCAACAACAAUUAGAUAACCUCCUGAAGGCUCUAGAGGAAAAGCAUGAUCAGUACGAUAGGGACAUUCAGGCGUAUGAAGGAACUCUCAAAGAAAAAGAAAUGCAACUCGACUUCUUGAUCAAUGAAAUUCGUAAAGCGGCUAUGCAAGUUGUUCAAUUAUCAGAUGAAGCCGAAGUUAUCAGUUGCCAAUUCCCUCCGAGCCAAAGAUCGAGCAUAUCAGAGUUUUUAGAGCAAGUGAAUAAACAAGGCAAUGUGGCUAGGAAAUUUGUGUAACUGUUGGAAAAAUGAGAACUUUGUGUAAUAGACUAUGUUGAUAAAUGAAAUGCCUAAAUAUGGGGCUAUCUUGAAAUCAACACCAAAUUCUUGCAUGUUUACUCAUAACUAACAUUUAUGCAUCAUUUAUUCUUUGGACAUUCAUCCAUUCAUAUACUCAUUCAUUCAUUCAUCACGAGUACAUAUCACCAUAAUCAUCCACCGAAACUAAAGAACCGUAUAAUCCGCAGUUGCAAGAUUUCAAAUCUGGAACCACGCAAUUCCUAUAAAACGCGCCGACAAGCUAGAGUAAUGGAGGAUGAAUUCAAUGAGAGAAUUGAAAGGAUGGAAAGGGCUCAAAAGGAAUUACAAGAGUAACUGGCCAAAUCGCAGCAAGAGACGAGAGACCUAAUGGUGAGAUCUCGAGAGGAAUCACUCGAGCAAAGAGAUCAGAUGGCUAAAAUGAUGGAGAUGAUGACAACUUUGGUCAAAGGAAAAGGACCCAUGCAGAACUCCGAUGUUAUGGAACCUCGGUCAAGAAUUCACCAUGAUCAGGAUCCACUUUAUCCCCCAGGAUUUACUCCACCUCAUGUCCACGCAAUACAACGAGGAUACCCCCAAAGGGAACCUACAGGCCUAGAACAACAUCUUGCUCCGCCCACUAAUUUGGGGCAAGGAAUGUUAGCGUCGAACCUUGGGGCUAGUCCUGCUAAUCCACUAGUUCCAGAUCUGGAUGACCUAGCAGAGGCAGCCAAGUUGAAAUUGGAUAACCAUGACGCAAAAUAUAGGAGUCUAGAGGAAAGACUCAAAGCAAUAGAAGGCACUGAAGUCUUCUCCGCACUAGGUGCCAAGGAACUCAGUUUGGUACCUGAUCUAAUUUUGCCUCCGAAGUUCAAAGUGCCUGAUUUUGAGAAAUAUGAUGGGACAAGGUGCCCAAAAGCACAUCUCAUUAUGUUCUGUCAAAAAAUAACCGGUUAUGUGAACGAGGAUAAGCUACUCAUACAUUGCUUUCAAGAUAGUCUAACAGGGUCAGCUCUUCGGUGGUACAAUCAACUUAGUAGAGAAAAGAUUCGAUCCUGGAAGGACUUGGCGUCAGCAUUUUGCGAACAGUACAAGCAUGUAUCGGAUAUGGUGCCAGACCGUAUGACCUUGCAAAUGAUGGAGAAAAAGCCAUCAGAGACCUUUAGACAGUAUGCGCAGAGAUGGAGAGACGUCUCAGCUCAAGUGGAACCCCCACUAACAAAAACGGAGAUAACCGUUCUCUUUAUCAAUACUUUAAAGGCACCGUUUUAUGACAAAUUAGUGGGAAGUGCCACGAAAGAUUUCGCGGAUAUUGUAAUAUCCGGUGAACUCAUAGAGAACGCCGUCAAGAGCGGUAGAAUGGAAGGAUCAGAAGGCUCAAGAAAAGCAGCACCCUUAAGGAAGAAAGAGCCAGAAGCCCUCAUGGUGGGAACUGGGAGUCGUUACAUUCCCAAUUCAUAUCCUAAUCAACCCCGACCUCGAGAUUAUCCACCCUCGAGUUUCCAUUAUCCCCCUCAAACCCCUUGCUACCAAGCACCACAUCCGUCCUGCCCCGUAUACGCUACGAACAACCAAAGACCCGUCACCACUUUCCCACAAAACACGGUACCCACCCAAAGCCAACCCAGAAACGAACCAAGACCAUCAAGGCAUAAUCCUGAGAGACCGCAAUUUACCCCCAUCCCUGUGUCGUAUGGGGAAUUGUACCCAAAACUUUUAGAAAAAUAGCUAAUUUCUCCCCAUUACAUGGCACCCCUUAAACCUCCAUACCCAAAGUGGUACGAUCCAAACGCUAGUUGUGCAUACCACGCAGGGAACCAAGGGCACUCUACUGAGAACUGUCUCACUUUCAAAAGGAGAGUUCAAGGACUCAUUGAUGCGGGUAUCCUACGAUUCGAUAGUGCUAGUAAAGCCACGGAGAACCCGUUCCCUAACCAUACCGAAGGGAAUGUGAGCACAGUGGGGAAAGAGGAUGAAUGGAAGGUCAGAAGAUGUGUAUCAGAAAUAAGGACGCCUCUGCAGAAAAUCUGGGAGGUAUUGGUUAAGAAAGGAUUGCUCUGUCACUCUGAUAGAAUUUUUGGAGAAGAAGGUCAAAGUUUUUGCAAUUUUCAUGGGAUUGUUGGGCACGACAUUCAGUCGUGCGAGGACUUUAAAAGGUUACUUCAAGACUGGAUGAAUAAUAAAGAGAUCAAGGUCCUUAACAAGAGUGAAGAUGCCAACGAAAGAGAAGUAUGUGUCUCUGAUAGCCAAUCACCAGGUCCCCCUUAUAGUGCUGAUCGACCGUUGGUAAUUUAUUACGACGCGAUGAGAGAGCCCUUGAAACCACAGAUGGUAAUUGAAGUACCAUCUCCUUUCCCGUAUAAGGACAACAAAACAGUACCGUGGAGAUAUGAUGUUAAUAUCGUUACACCGGAAGUUGAAAAGUCCAAAGCCAUAAUUGAAGAUGUUGGGGAGGUAGGUCAUUUUACUCGAAGUGGACGAUGUUAUUCUAAAGAAGUUGAAUCGGUAAAGAAAAGUAGCGACUCGAAGCAAAAAGGAAAAGCAGUGAUGCACAAGGUCGAAGUCGAGCAAGAAAUUCCACCCGUGCAAGAAACUAAAAAGCUUGUGAAUGAGGAAGAAGCUCAAGAAUUCUUGAAAUUUAUUAAGCACAGUGAAUAUAGUGUGGUGGAACAAUUGAGCAAGCAGCCAGCACGAAUCUCAGUUCUAUCUCUACUGUUAAAUUCAGAGCCACACCAGAACGCUUUAUUGAAGGUGUUAAAUCAAGCUUACGUGGCCAACAACAUAUCUGUCGAAAAGCUUGAUAGGUGGGUAAACAAUCUGAAUGCGGACAACUUCAUCUCUUUUAGUGAUGAUGAGAUACCGCUAAAUGGUAGAGGUUCGGUGAAAGCGCUGCAUAUCACGACCCGCUGCAAGGGCUACAUAAUACCGAACGUACUCAUCGAUAAUGGGUCAGCGUUAAAUGUUAUGCCAUUGGCUACACUUUCCAAAAUACCGAUGGAUUUGUCCUACUUAAAGCCCUGUCAUUCCAUGGUAAGGGCAUUCGACGGGACGAAGUGCAAAGUCAUGGGAAAGAUCGAAAUCCCUUUGGAAGUGGGCCCCUACAUCUAUGAGGUCGAAUUUCAAGUUAUGGACAUUACACCCUCUUAUAACUGCCUUUUGGGAAGACCUUGGAUUCAUUCUGCAGCAGCAGUCCCAUCAUCCCUCCAUCAAAAAGUGAAAUUCAUCAUGGAUGGCUGUUUGGUCACAGUCGAGGGCGAAGAAGACAUUAUCGCAUCUAUCUCUGUUGAUGCGCCAUACCUGGAAGUAAGCAAGGACGUAGUGGAAUGUUCCUUUCGAUCCCUUGAAUUCAUCAAUGCCACUUUCGUCGCUGAGGGAAAUAGAAUUUCGAUGUCAAAACUGUCGAGAAAUACCAGAAUGGGUGUCAAGUUGACCGUAGGAAGGGGAGCUUGUGCGAGAAGAGGUUUAGGGAGACAUAUGCAAGGAAUAGUGAGGGCUUUAAAGCCAGUGCACCACAAGGCCUGAUACGGUUUGGGGUUCCAGCCUGACAUGCGCCAAAGAAGAAGACAGUGGAAGAAGGAUCAAGAAAGAAGAAUUGCAAGAACUUUGGGCCGAGAACCAGAAUGGGAACCAAUAGAGUACCCUCCUUUGUCAAAAACAUUUACAUCUGCGGGAAUGAUGUACCCUGGACAAGAGGAUCCACGAAACAUGCUGGGAUUAAUUGAAAAGGAUUUUCAGAAUGUUAGUAUAAAUGUCAUUGACAAAGAAGCUGGUGCAAGUAAAGAUGUCUCGAGGAUACGCCAUUGCCCUCCUGGUUUCAUGUUGAACAAUUGGAUAGCUGAGGAGCUUCUUGUAGUUUAUAAGCCUUCAGAGUAAUGCUAAACAUCAACCUUCUAUUGUGUCCUUAGAUAUAAUAGAGUUCUUUUGUAAGAGUUUGCAUUCGCUCUUUAUCAUUUAAAUGAAUAUCAAUGAAGAUGCAUUUUGUCACGAUUUUUCGCAUUAUCACUAAUUUCAUAAUCAUUUUCUCAUUUCAUAGCCUAUCCUUACAUUUGCCUCAUUGCCAUGACAUAAAAUUUUGUUUGUUGUUUCCAAUACUUGGAUGUCCCCCGAUAGCUUCCUUUUCCAUUCAACUUUCAGGUGCUCAGAUAUUGACGACAUGAAUAAGCCCGUUACGAAUCUUGAAAUUGAUUUUGAGAAGGCUGUUUGCUUAGGAGAAUUUGAAGCCGAAGAAAAUGCUGAAGAUUAUGUCUCGUCUCUUGAAUUGUUAAGAAUGGUGGAACAAGAGGAUAAACAGGUUCUGCCUCAUGAAGAAUCUGUAGAAACAAUAAAUUUGGGCACUGAAGAGAGGAAACAAGAAGUGAAGAUUGGGACUUCUAUUUCAGAAAGUACCAGACGUAGUUUGAUCACUUUACUCCGCGAAUACAAAGAUGUUUUCGCGUGGUCAUACCAGGACAUGCCAGGGCUAGAUGAAGAUUUAGUGGUCCAUAAGCUCCCAUUAAAGCCAGAAUGCAAGCCCAUCCAGCAAAAAUUAAGACGGAUGAGGCCCGAAAUCCUGUUGAAAAUAAAAGAGGAAGUCAAGAAGCAAUUUGACGCUGGCUUCCUACAAGCCUCCAAAUAUCCAGAAUGGGUGGCUAACAUAGUCCCGGUACCAAAGAAAGAUGGAAAAGUACGAAUGUGCGUGGAUUACCGUGACCUGAAUCGAGCAAGCCCAAAAGAUAAUUUUCCCUUGCCACAUAUUGACACGUUGGUGGACAACACAGCAAAACAUUCAUUGUUUUCUUUCAUGGAUGGAUUCUCGGGGUAUAAUCAGAUCAAGAUGGCUCCUGAGGAUAUGGAGAAAACUACCUUCAUAACAAUGUGGGGAACGUUCUGCUACAAGGUGAUGCCAUUCGGGUUAAAGAAUGCUGGGGCAACAUAUCAGAGGGCUAUGGUGACAUUAUUCCAUGACAUGAUGCAUAAGGAAAUAGAGGUCUACGUCGAUGAUAUGAUUGCUAAAUCUCGAGGAGAAGAAGAGCAUGUAAUGAACCUCAAGAAGUUGUUCGAAAGGCUGAGAAAGUUUCAGCUAAAGCUUAAUCCAGCCAAAUGUACAUUCGGGGCUACCUCGGGAAAGUUGCUAGGCUUCAUUGUCAGUGAAAGAGGUAUCGAAGUUGAUCCAGAUAAAAUAAAAGGCAUCCAAGAAUUACCACAUCCGCCACGCAAAAGGAAGUUAGAGGAUUUUUAGGGAGAUUAAAUUACAUCGCCCGAUUUAUCGCUCAACUUACCAACCAAUGCGACCCAAUCUUUCGGCUUCUUCGAAAACAUAGCCCGGGAGAAUGGAACGAGGAAUGCCAAGUGACCUUUGAUAAGAUAAAACAAUAUUUGUCCAGUCCUCCAGUGCUAGUACCGCCAACUCCGGGAAGACCAUUAAUUUUGUAUCUGACAGUGUUCGAAAGUUCAAUGGGUUACGUACUGGGACAACAUGACGAGUCAGGAAAGAAAGAAAAGGCGAUCUACUACCUCAGCAAAAAGUUCACUGAAUAUGAGGCAAAAUAUUCGUCCGUUGAGAAAUAUUGUUGCGCUCUGGUUUGGGUAGCUCGGAGACUCAAACAAUAUAUGUUGUAUCACACGACAUGGCUAAUUUCAAAGCUGGACCCAAUAAAAUACAUGAUGGAAUCGCCGGCACUAUCAGGAAGAAUGGCACGAUGGUAGCUCCUCCUUUCGAAAUAUGACAUUGCCUAUGUAAGUCAGAAGUCAAUAAAAGGGAGCGCAAUAGCUGACUUCUUAACAACUCGAACGACAGAGGAAUAUGAGCCUUUAAGAUUCGAUUUCCCAGACGAAGACUUAAUGUGCAUCACAGAAAUAGAAUCCGAGUCAUCAAAAGAGAAGUCAUGGAAGAUGUUCUUUGAUGGUGCGUCAAAUGCUUUAGGGCAUGGAAUUGGAGCAAUCCUGGUAUCACCAGACGGGAAUCAUUAUCCGUUCACUGCAAGACUGAACUUCUUCUGUACCAAUAAUAUCGCAGAAUAUGAGGCCUGUAUCAUGGGGUUUCGUGCAGCUAUCGAACGAAACAUCGAGAUCUUAGAGGUGUACGGGGACUCAGCCCUAGUGAUUUACCAAAUCCGUGGAGAAUGGGAAGUGAGGGACUCAAAAUUGAUUAAGUACAGCGAUUUAGUGGCUGGAUUGAUCAAGGAAUUCAAAGAAAUAACUUUUCAUUACUUCCCACGAGAAGAGAACCAACUGGCUGAUGCCCUAGCCACUUUGGCUUCAAUGUUCAAAGCAAGUAGAGAAGCAGAAAUAAUGCCCCUCAAAAUGAGCAUAUACGAGGUCCCUGCACACUGUUGUAGCAUUAAGAAAGAAGUAGACGGACGGCCUUGGUUUCAUGAUAUCUUAGAAUAUAUCAAGAAUCAAAGGUAUCCCGAACAAGUAAAUGAGAACGAUAAAAGAACAAUUAGAAGAAUGGCAGCGGGAUUUGUUCUUGAUGGGGAUAUCCUGUAUAAAAGAGGAAAGGAUCAGAUGCUUUUGAGAUGUGUGGAUGAUGUUGAAGCCAGAAAAAUACUUGAAGAGGUCCAUGAGGGAGUUUGCGGAACGCAUGCCAAUGGUUUCAAUAUGGCCAGAAAGAUCAUGAGACUCGGUUAUUAUUGGCUGACAAUGGAAAGUGACUGCAUCAAUUUUGCCAGAAAAUGCCACAAAUGUCAAAUCUACGGCGAUAAAAUUCAUGUAGCCCCUUCACCCCUUCAUGUCAUGACUUCUCCGUGGCCUUUUUCUAUGUGGGGCAUGGAUGUCAUAGGGCCAAUUUCUCCAAAAGCUUCAAAUGGACAUCGAUUCAUUUUUGUGGUUAUCGAUUACUUCACAAAAUGGAUUGAAGCCGCUUCAUUUGCCAAUGUGACGAAGACUGCAGUGUGCAAGUUUUUGAAAAAGGAAAUCAUUUACCGAUAUGGUUUGCCUGAAAGAAUCAUCUCAGAUAAUGCCACGAAUCUGAACAAUAAGAUGAUGAAAGAAGUGUGUGAGCAGUUUCAAAUAAAGCAUCAUAAUUCCUCGCCCUAUCGCCCAAAGAUGAACGGGGCUGUUGAAGCAGCUAACAAGAACAUUAAGAGGAUCAUUGGGAAAAUGACUGAGACAUAUAAAGAUUGGCACGAGAAACUUCCAUUUGCUUUGUUUGCAUAUCGUACAUCUGUGCGAACAUCUACGGGAGCAACUCCUUUCUCUCUAGUCUAUGGAAUGGAAGCUGUGCUACCUAUCGAGGUUGAGAUCCCCUCUCUGUGAGUAUUGAUGGAAUCAAAGUUAGAAGAAGCAGAAUGGGUUCGAGCUCGAUAUGAUCAGUUGAACCUCAUUGAAGAAAAACGUCUAAGGGCAAUUUGUCAUGGGCAAAUGUACCAAAAGAGAAUGAUCGCAGCCCAUGACAAGAAGGUACGACAAAGAGAGUUCCAUGAAGGAGAACUCGUUCUGAGAAAGAUUCUCCCAAUACAAAAAGACCUGCGAGGAAAAUGGGCACCAAAUUGGGAAGGACCAUACGUUGUAAAAAAGGCAUUCUCGGGAGGAGCUUUAAUCCUUACCAAGAUGGAUGGGAAGGAGUUACCGAAUCUGGUGAAUUCGGAUGCGGUGAAGAAAUAUUAUGCUUAAGAUGAAAACCCGAAAAGGGCAUCUUAAAAAAAAAGGGUGAAAACCCGAAAAAGGUGUCUUGAUUAGUACAAAAAGAUUAGGAUGAAAACCCGAGAGGGCGUCCUAAUGAAACAAACCUGGCGGUCAAACGAUAGGUCAAGUAGUGAGACUACAGUAUUUGAAGCACUUCUGAAAGCUCGAAAUUUUCUACGCAAGAAGCCAUGCUCGAAAAGAUAAUUGAUUGAGGAACGUAGAAGAGUUCAUGUGUUGAAUAUCUAGAGCAUUAGUAUCCGUUGAAUACGACCUUUUCUUUCUUUUUGACAUUUUUACUCUCAUUGGUUAACUUUCUUUGUUUGCCACACUUGAAAUAAAGGAAUAUGAGAUAUCCUUUGUGUCCCUACCUGACCAUUUUCAUGCAUCUCAUUAUGUGUUUAUUUAAUGAUAAAUAGUGAAAUGACAUACUCUAAACAAAAGAAAUGUCAAGCAUUACCCGGAUAAGAAUUUGAUAAGUGCAAGAUCUUCAAAGCAAGAACAAAGUUUAACCAAGGGCAAAAGGGUGAUAUCUGAGAAACGUCGAUUACUCGUAAAGCUCGAAGACAGGUAUGAGGCCUGAAGAGAAGGUCGAGAAUCAAAGCAAUGAACGCAGAUCCUCAAAAAUCAUGGCAAAAAUGACAUACGACCAAUAUGCUUAAGGAGCACUGCAUAAUCAUGUAGGCAUAAAGGCAUUUAAGACAAACAUGUGCAUAUCAUGAUGACUUCAUGCAUGGCAUAUACAGGUAAUCCAGUAAAGCAAGAAAUCUUGAAUCGCACAGAAUCAAAGGAAAAGAUACCCGAGUUCUACCAAAGGACUGGUUUUGGUAUUUUGAUGUUUAAUAUUCAUGCUUUCCAAGGAAAAUCAACUCAUAUUGCGAGAAAUGAGUUGAGCCUCAAGACACGUUGAGCUAUUUUUAAUUUUUUUAAAAAUCAACUCAUAUUGCGAGAAGUGAGUUGAGCCUCGGGGCACGCCGAGGUAUUUUUAGUUUAUGUUUUAAAUUGACUCAUAUUGCGAGAGGUGAGUUAAGCCUUUUAAUUUUUGUUUCUCAAAAUUCAACUCAUAUUGCGAGAAAUGAGUUGAGCCUCAAGACACGUUGAGGUAAUUUCAAUUUUUGUUUUCAAAAUUCAACUCAUAUUGCGAGAAAUGAGUUGAGCCUCAAGACACGUUGAGGUAAUUUCAAUUUUUGUUUUCAAAAUUCAACUCAUAUUGCGAGAAAUGAGUUGAGCCUCAAGACACAUUGAGGUAUUUUCAAUUUUUGCUUUUCAAAAUUCAACUCAUAUUGCGAGAAAUGAGUUGAGCCUUAAGACACGUUGAGGUAAUUUCAAUUUUUGUUUUCAAAAUUCAACUCAUAUUGCGAGAAAUGAGUUGAGCCUCAAGACACGUUGAGGUAAUUUCAAUUUUUGUUUUCAAAAUUCAACUCAUAUUCCGAGAAAUGAGUUGAGCCUCAAGACACGUUGAGGUAAUUUCAAUUUUUGUUUUCAAAAUUCAACUCAUAUUGCGAGAAAUGAGUUGAGCCUCAAGACACAUUGAGGUAUUUUCAAUUUUUGCUUUUCAAAAUUCAACUCAUAUUGCGAGAAAUGAGUUGAGCCUCAAGACACGUUAAGGUAAUUUCAAUUUCUGUUUUUAAAAUUCAACUCAUAUUGCGAGAAAUGAGUUGAGCCUCAAGACACGUUGAGGUAAUUUUCAAUUUCUGCUUCUCAAAAUUCAACUCAUAUUGCGAGAAAUGAGUUGAGCCUCAAGACACGUUGAGGUAAUUUCAAUUUUUGUUUUCAAAAUUCAACUCAUAUUGCGAGAAAUGAGUUGAGCCUCAAGACACGUUGAGGUAAUUUCAAUUUUUGUUUUCAAAAUUCAACUCAUAUUGCGAGAAAUGAGUUGAGCCUCAAGACACGUUGAGGUAAUUUCAAUUUUUGUUUUCAAAAUUCAACUCAUAUUGCGAGAAAUGAGUUGAGCCUCAAGACACAUUGAGGUAUUUCCAAUUUUUGCUUUUCAAAAUUCAACUCAUAUUGCGAGAAAUGAGUUGAGCCUCAAGACACGUUGAGGUAAUUUCAAUUUCUGUUUUCAAAAUUCAACUCAUAUUGCGAGAAAUGAGUUGAGCCUCAAGACACGUUGAGGUAUUUUCAAUUUCUGCUUCUCAAAAUUCAAUUCAUAUUGCGAGAAAUGAGUUGAGCUUCAAGACACGCUGAGGUAAUUUCAAUUUCUGUUGUUAAAAAAAAAUCAACUCAUAUUGCGAGAAAUUAGUUGAGCCUCAGGACAUGCUGAGGUAAUUUCAAUUUCUGUUUUCAAAAUUCAACUCAUAUUGCGAGAAAUGAGUUGAGCCUCAAGACACGUUGAGGUAUUUUCAAUUUCUGCUUUUCAAAAUUCAACUCAUAUUGUGAGAAAUGAGUUGAGCCUCAAGACACGUUGAGGUAUUUUCAAUUUCUGUUUUUCAAAAAUCAACUCAUAUUGCGAGAGGUGAGUUGAGACUUUUAAUUUCUAUUUUUCUAAAACCAACUCAUAUUGCGAGAGGUGAGUUGAGCCUUUUUCUGUUUUUCAAAAAUCAACUCAUAUUGCGAGAGGUGAGUUGAGCCUUUUAAUUUCUGAUUUUCAAAAAUCAACUCAUAUUGCGAGAGGUGAGUUGAGCCUUUUAAUUUCUGUUUUUCAAAAAUUAACUCAUAUUGCGAGAGGUGAGUUGAGCCUUUUAAUUUCUAUUUUUCAAAAACCAACUCAUAUUGCGAGAGGUGAGUUGAGCCUUUUUCUAUUUUUCAAAAAUCAACUCAUAUUGCGAGAGGUAAGUUGUGCCUUUUGCAAAUUCUGUUUUCAAAAAUCAACUCAUAUUGCGAGAAGUGAGUUGAGCCUUGGCUCACGUGCUGAGCUAUUUUCAAUUUCUAUUUUUAAUGUCUAGUUUUAANNNNNNNNNNNNNNNNNNNNNNNNNNNNNNNNNNNNNNNNNNNNNNNNNNNNNNNNNNNNNNNNNNNNNNNNNNNNNNNNNNNNNNNNNNNNNNNNNNNNNNNNNNNNNNNNNNNNNNNNNNNNNNNNNNNNNNNNNNNNNNNNNNNNNNNNNNNNNNNNNNNNNNNNNNNNNNNNNNNNNNNNNNNNNNNNNNNNNNNNNNNNNNNNNNNNNNNNNNNNNNNNNNNNNNNNNNNNNNNNNNNNNNNNNNNNNNNNNNNNNNNNNNNNNNNNNNNNNNNNNNNNNNNNNNNNNNNNNNNNNNNNNNNNNNNNNNNNNNNNNNNNNNNNNNNNNNNNNNNNNNNNNNNNNNNNNNNNNNNNNNNNNNNNNNNNNNNNNNNNNNNNNNNNNNNNNNNNNNNNNNNNNNNNNNNNNNNNNNNNNNNNNNNNNNNNNNNNNNNNNNNNNNNNNNNNNNNNNNNNNNNNNNNNNNNNNNNNNNNNNNNNNNNNNNNNNNNNNNNNUAGAUAAUGUGAAUGUAUUUAGAGGUGCUUAUAUAGUAUUCAAAACUAUCAUAUAAAUUCAAUUUUCAACCAUAUAUAAUUGACAUUAUGGGAGUUGGAAAAUGAUAGGGGGCACUAUAGCAAAUGUUAUAGUUGUAUAAAAUUAGGACUUUGUGAUGGAAUAGUUUAGGGCAUAUUGUUUGAAUAUUCCAUAAACAUUAAAAAAAAAACCAAAUUUGUAAUGGAAUAUAAGAUUGGGUUUUCUUUUAUUAUCAAUUUAAAGCCAUGAGAAUCUUUAUUAUUUAAAAAUUAAUGUAAUUGUUAAAUUGAAAUUGCAGGGGAAUUUCAAAUAGGAGAAAAUAUAAAAGAAAUGGAUCCAAAAACAGUGGGAAGUAGUGUUGUAAAAUAUGGGAGGUGGAGAUUUGGAAUGACAAAGAAAGCAAUGGGGCAUUCAUUAGUUUAUAGCCAACUUUAUCCAUUUAAAGGCCUCCAAAAUUAUACCUCUGGAAUUAUUCACCAUGUUCGCCUCACUGGUAUUUCUCACCAUUUCUUCCCUUAUUUAUCUUCUGCAAAUUUGUUUUCUUACCAUUUCUUUCGCAUUAAUACUAACUUUUUUAAUUUACAAUAUGGUAGCCAAUACUGUUUCGGUAUUAGUAAUAUUAGUCGAUACAUAUCACUUUUAAGGGUGAGUUUAAAGGGAUAGGAACAAUUCCGUGUGUUGACUUAAUAGUCAGGGUGUUCACCGUUCUAGGUAUGGUUUGAGUUCAAGUUAAGUUGUGCUAGUCACGUUACUGUUAGGGUUUUGCCCUUCUCUUGUAAUUCAGCAAAAAGAAAUUAAUAUAUGGUGAAAUUGCACUUUAACUCCUCCAAAAAUGAAAAUAUUUAUAUUUAAUUCCUUCAACAAUAAUGAAAUCGUAAGUUAAUGCAAGAUAAAUGACACUUUAACUUAACAAUCUCCGCUCCCCUUAAAAAAAAAAUCCUAACUUCACCCUUAAUCAUCUUGAUUUUAGAUUGGUACCAAGUAGAUUAAAUUUUGUUCUUAUUAAAACAUUGGUGUGUUUCCUUCUGUUUCAGCUAAUACCAACUUAUACCGAUAUGUACCAAACAAUAUUGGUAGGACUGAGAAAGAAAUCAAAAAAUUGAACUAAUUUUUAUUUAUAAUUUUAUUUAUAAUUUAAAAAUAAAAAUAUAUUUAAACAGUGACAAUAACUCAAAUUUUAUAUAAAAACUAUUUAAAAAUAUUAUCAUAUAAGAGUUAUUAAUUUAUUUGAAAAUUAGUUUCUUUUAAAAAUAUUUAUGAAUAUUUUUAAAAAUUUUACAAAAUAAUAUCCAAAAUUCAUAGAAUAAUUUAUCAAGAUAAGUUCAAACACCCAAAAUUAAUAGAUCUUGAACCAAAUAAAUCCAACUAAAAUAAACCCAAAAUUAAUAGACCGAGAAUCAAAUUAUCAUAGAAGAUAUACCAUACACACUAAUACCCAUAAUUACCCAAUAAUUCUUCUCACACUUUGCAGGUUUAAAACCCAACACCUUCUAUUACUAUCAAUGUGGAGACCCUUCAAUCCCAGCAAUGAGCGAUGUUCAUUAUUCACCAUGUUCGCCUCACUGGUAUUUCUCACCAUUUCUUCUCUUAUUUAUCUUCUGCUAAUUUGUUUUCUUACCAUUUCUUUCGCAUUAAUACUAACUUUUUUAAUUUACAAUAUGCUAGUCAAUACUGUUUCGGUAUUAGUAAUAUUAGUCGAUACAUAUCACUUUUAAGGGUGAAUUUAAAGGGAUAGGAAUAAUUUCGUGCGUUGGCUUGAUAGUUAGGGUGUUCACCGUCCUAGGUGUGGUUUGAGUUCAAGUUGUGCUAUUGUAAUUCACCAAAAAGAAGUUAAUAUAUAGUGAAAUUGCACUUUAACUCCUCCAAAAAUGAAAAUAUGUAUAUUUAGUUUUCUUCAACAAUAAUGAAAUCGUAAGUUAAUGCAAGAUAAAGGACACUUUAACUUAACAAGCUACGCUCCCCUUAAAAAAAAUCCUAACUUCACCCUUAACCAUCUUGAUUUUAGAUUGGUACCAAGUAGAUUAAGUUUUGUUCUUAUUAAAACAUCAGUGUGUUUCCUUCUGUUUCAACUAAUACCAAUUUAUACUGAUAUGUACCGAAUAAUAUUGGUAGGACUGAGAAAGAAAUCAAGAAAUUGAACUAAUUUUUAUUUAUAAUUUUAUUUGUAAUUUAAAAAUAAAAAUAUAUUUAAAUAGUGACAAUAACUCAAAUUUUAUAUAAAAAUUAUUUCAAAAUAUUAUCAUAUAAGAGUUAUUAAUUUAUUUGAAAAUUAGUUUCUUUUAAAAAUAUUUAUGAAUAUUUUUAAAAACUUUACAAAAUAAUAUCCAAAAUUCGUAAAAUAAUUUAUCAAGAUAAGUUCAAAAACCCAAAAUUAAUAGAUCUUGAACCAAAUAAAUCCAACUAAAAUAAACCCAAAAUUAAUAGACCGAGAAUCAAAUUAUCAUAGAAGAUAUUUACCAAACACACUAAUACCCAUAAUUACCCAAUAAUUCUUCUCACACUUUGCAGGUUUAAAACCCAACACCUUCUAUUACUAUCAAUGUGGAGACCCUUCAAUCCCAGCAAUGAGCGAUGUUCAUUAUUUCCGAACAAUGCCGGCCUCCGGUCCAAGGAGUUAUCCGGGAAGAAUUGCAAUCAUCGGAGACUUGGGGCUCACGUAUAACACAACUUCAACAAUUGAUCACCUUAUGAGCAAUCACCCGAACCUGGUGCUGUUAAUCGGCGAUGCAAGCUAUGCCAACUUGUAUCUCACCAAUGGCACCGGUGCCGAUUGCUACUCUUGCGCUUUCUCCGACACUCCUAUUCACGAAACGUAUCAGCCUCGUUGGGAUUAUUGGGGAAGGUAAAUUUUAACGAUGUUUCAUGGAUUUAAAUAGCGGUCACAACAUGACAUUACGAUAGUAUUUGUUAUAAAUGUGCAGGUUUAUGCAGCCUUUGGUGUCCAAGGUUCCCUUGAUGAUGAUAGAAGGGAACCAUGAAAAAGAAGAACAGAUUGAGAAGAAGACAUUUGCGGCUUAUAGUGCUCGAUUUGCAUUUCCAUCGGAGGAGAGCGGAUCAUCGUCGACAUUCUAUUAUUCUUUUAAUGCAGGUGGCAUUCAUUUCGUGAUGCUCGGUGGUUACACCGACUAUAACAAAUCAGGGGAUCAAUACCAGUGGUUGAAGAAGGACCUUGCAAAAGUUGAUAGAAAAGUGACUCCAUGGUUGGUUGCAACAUGGCAUCCUCCAUGGUACAGUACAUAUACUGCACAUUAUAGAGAAGCUGAAUGUAUGAGGGUAGAAAUGGAAGAUUUAUUAUACAAAUACGGAGUUGAUAUAGUCUUCAAUGGACAUGUAAGUCGUGCUUUAUAAUGAAUUAAUUCAAUUACAUUCACUCGAAGAGCUGAUGGUCGUGUUCAUUUGGUGAUAAUCAAUAGGUUCAUGCCUACGAGAGGUCGAACCGAGUGUAUAACUACAACUUGGAUCCUUGCGGUCCUGUUCAUAUUACGAUUGGUGAUGGUGGCAACCGAGAGAAAAUGGCAAUUACACAUGCUGAUGAACCCGGAAAUUGCCCCAAACCAUCGACAACUCUGGAUAAAUUUAUGGGUGGGUUCUGUGCAUUUAACUUCACAUCAGGGCCGGCAAGUGGUAAAUUCUGCUGGGAUAGGCAGCCUGAUUAUAGUGCAUAUAGAGAAAGCAGCUUUGGACAUGGAAUCCUUGAGGUAUAUUAUGCAGAUAUUUCAUUAAGAUUAAUUUCUAUGGACCGUAAAAAGGACACAAAGGGUACUUUAAUUAUACAAAAAAAACAUUAACAGCAAGUGUUUUGCAGGUGAAAAAUGAGACUCAUGCACUGUGGACAUGGUACGGUAAUCAAGAUGCUUAUGGGACUACUGGUGAUGUGGUUUAUAUAGUUAGGCAACCUGAUAGAUGCCCUGUUGAACCCGACGUAAUUAAUUAAGAGUAAACUCCAAAGCUUAAUUAAGUUGAUUCAUCUGCAGUCACCAUUAAAAAGUGAUGCCAAGAAAGUUUAGGUUUGAAUCUCGGCAUCUGUCCUCAGACUAUGAUUUCUUUUGUACCAGUAAAUAUCUUUCAAAGCUAUAAAUACAUAUUAAACAUCAAAAUCAGACAGCUGAUAAAUCACAAAGGGAUUAUGUACGUAUGUAUGCAUGCAUGUAUGUUGGCUUCUAAAGAUUGAAAAGUAAAUAAUUAAGGAUUCAAAAGGAACAUUAUUGUGAUAUGAUUUGCAGGUUCGUAAUUUUAAUUAAAUGAAAUAAGUUUGAUGUAACUAUGCAAGUAGUACUUAGAAUCCUAAAAGUUUGAAAUAAAUAUUUGUAACUUUGUUGAAUGUUUUCAUGAGAGUUCCUUUCUCAUGGAGGUCAAUUUCUUUGUUAUAAGAUACGGUCCCAUGGUUUGACAUACUAAGAUUAAAUAGGCUCUUAUGUAGGCUAACACGUAUCCUACUUUAGGGUCAACACGUGUCUCUUGAGUAUGGGUUUGCCUGCAUGGUGGUGUGAACCCAUUAGGUGCGGACUUAUACAGACGAACUAUAUGGUUUGGUUAACUAUAUCCGAAAUAAAAGGGGUCAGAUCGGUCUUAAUCAGAAAACAAAUAAUUUAUGGCGGACACUACAACAAACUUAAUAAUCACAUUUGUUAAUAACAAAUAAUUAAUUUGUUUUGAUAACGUAAUUACAAGACAUAAUUUGAAAAUAAUAUAUGCUUGCUUAGAUACCAUUAUUCUCAGUACUCCAAGUAACAUAAAUAUUGAAAUGAAUUUGUGAGAGAGCUAAGAUGGUUGUAUUCUAAUAGAGAGAUUUCUAUUGCUGGUAAAGAAGACUUUAGCUCCACUAUCGUGCGGCCGUGACAUUAGCUUAAGCUCCUCAUUAAGCUAAUUAAAUGUGAUCUCUAGAUUAACCAACAAUGUCUUCAUAAAGUAGACAACUAAAUGAUCGAUACCACCAGCAUCCUUCCAUAAAUAGCUGCGAAAUAGGGCUUCAACUUCUAACAAAAACGCCUCUUCCUAUCAUUGGGGUCAUGCAUCAAGGUUUAAAAAGUUCCAUAUUGGAUGCAAAAUAAAUGAUAGAACAAGUAAGAGCAGGAUAGACAUUGAGCUUGUGUUGAGUGUACUAUCAAAUGAAGCUCUAGAGAGAAAUGGAGGGCUGAAUCCAGGGUAAUUGAGCCCCGGACCGCCACCUCCGCCAUUGAUCGGUGUGGUUGUCGUAGUUGGCACAUUCGGAUUGUUCCACGACCCUGUUUUUGGCAUAGCUGUCCCUCCGGAUGUGCUGGAAAUUUCAUAACUUAAGCUUUUAAAAUCAAUAAAAUAACAGUGACAAAAACUACAAAUAAUGAUGGAAUCCAAUUUGGUUGGUAAUUUUCAAAAAAUAGGCGAAAGGAGCUAUUAUUAGCUUUUGCUGGAACCCAAUAGAGGUGCUCAUGGGCCGGGCCGGGCCGGGCCCAGAAAAAAUUUCGGCCAGUGUCCUAGACCCUGGCCUGGCCGAGGCUGAAAUAUGAGCCUAAAAUUUUAUCUAGGCCAGGCCUGAAAAAAAAUUCAUAAGCCCGAGCCCAGCCCGGCCCAUUUUUUAAAUAAACACCAAAAAAAAUUUAAAAAUAAAAAAAUUUAUUUUAAAAAUAUUUUAAAAAAUAAAAAUAAAAAAUAUUUUAAAAAUAAAAAAAUAAAUAGAUUUAUUAUAUUUGGGUCGGGUCGGGCCGGGCCAAAAAAUGUUAUGUGAGGCCCGGUCCAUUUUUUAAAUGGGCCUUUUUUUUUGUCUAAUGUCAUAUUUCGGGCCUAUUUUUUACUUAAACCCUCCCAUAUUUUGGGCAGGCCAUUGGGCCGAGCCGGGCCGCCCGGCCCAUGAAGACCUCUAGAACCCAGCAAUGCGCCCAUGGAUAGAGAUGACAACAAGGUGAGACGGGACGAGUUUUUGCUCGCCUCAAUUUCGACUCGAUUUUUAUAUCCUCUACUUCGAUUUAUUCUGAGCUCGAUUUUAUUUAAAAAUGUAAAAAUAAUUAUAAAAUUAAAAAAAAAGUGUUUUAGUAAGUAAAUCAAGGCAGACAAAUCGAAUUUUCAUCUAAAUCUAAACUCGAAUUGAUCUUGAACUACCCAUGUAUGACUCCAGUAUCCAAAUAUCUAGAGUGUUUUUUGACCGUUGGAUGUCUUUCAAGAAAAGAGUACCCAUCCAACGGUUGAAAAAGUCUCACCUAAACAAGACGGUAGGAAAACAUUACAAGUAAAGAAGUGGCCAACAGACAUAAAUAAGCCUGGAAACGUAAAAGGUGUAAACCUUCACAAAGUGACGACUGCAUGUAGGAUACGAAAAUGGACGGUUAGAGAUCAUGCCGAGAAACACGUGUCAGACAUCUACUCAAUUACAGCAUCACCAUGAAAGGCUCACACCCACUUGAGAAUCAAAGGAUUAUGCAAAGUUGAUUCAUGUUAGUUAAUUAGGAUUUAAACAAUAUCUUAUUUUGCGCCUUUUUGUUUUUCUGUCUUUGAUCCUCUUACAAGCCACAAGGGUUUCAAUAAUAAAUUACACCCAACUUCAAAAAGUUAUUAAAUGAGCAAUAAAUUAUUCAAAUUUUUUUAUUUAAGUCACUAAACUAUUUAAAAGUUUUUAUUUAAUUUACUGGGCUGUUAAAUUUUUUUUUUAAAAAGGAGGUUCAGCUAGUGAACUCCAAGCAACAAUUUAACAAUCGGUAUGGUGGAUAAAUACCCGCUGACGAGUAGAUCCAAGUUGAUCUAACGGUUAGUGUCGGAGAUCGGAGAAUGAAGAGAAAAACUGUUUGGAUUUUAGUUUAUAGAUUUGUGACGUUAAAAGUUAUUUCAUAAAAAAAAAUUAAACUGUAAAAGAGAAGGGAAAUUAAAGCUUUUGAGUGUUGCAAGCAAUGCAGACAAAGAAAGCCGUACAACAGUAAUUUUAACAACCCGAUGACUUAAAUGAAAAUUUUCGAGUAGUUCAAUGAAAGAAAAUACAAAAAAUUCUCUCUGCUGCGUUGUUUUCGUCUUCUUUGCAGGUAAGGAGGCUAGCUGGCGUAAGGAGGUGGUGGAUGUGGCACAGCACACGCGGGGAAGGCCUUGGUGGCUGCGGCGCCGGAAGGAGGGCUGUUGCAGCUAGGGUUUUCUGAUUUUUUUUUUGUUUUGGGCUAGGGUUGUGUUGAUAGUUGUAUUGGGCUAGGUUUUUGGGCUGGGUGUAGUUGGACUAGAUGCAUCUGACUUUGGGUUUGUACCGGGUCACUGUAAAUGGGUUUGGUUUUUAUUGUUAUUGGGCUGUGAACUAUUUGAGUUUUAAUUAAUUUUUAUUUAUUUGGUUUUUUAUUGUGGGCUGGGCAAAUUGGGUAUUACAAUCAGCUAAUUAGGAAAGACUGUGAUGAUAGUCACACCUUACAUCCAAAAGCAAAGCUUUUUACAUGUGUAUGUGAGGUUGCUAAGCAAAUCUGAUGAGCCUUCACUGAUGUUUUAAGGUUAAGUUAAUGUUCCUUUUCGGCAAAGAACAUUAUCGAGAUCACGGUAUUUUGAUCGCCUUUUGCUUGUUAUGUUAUUUGUUCUGAAACGAUUGCAUAAUCUUUACUGUGAUUGCAGGAUAUAGAGCAACUUCUGAAUUUCAUUGGUGUAAAGAGUUGAGGACCACGACAUGUUCUUGCAAAUUUGAAGGAGCUUCUAAGGUCUGUCCGGUCUUCAGAAUAUAUAGAUACCUGAAUUAAUUUUGAUUUUGUAGGAUCAACUAUAAUUAGCUACUUAUUACACUAUGAAUAGACAACCUCACCUUCUUCACACACUACACGUGCGGAUUUUUUACCAAUCCCAUUUCAAAGGAUCACACUUUUUUGUUGUUUACAGAAUCAUAAUUAAUGUUAAUUAAAGUGGAAUAUUUCAGAUUUCUGAUGAUGAGCAUAUUCUUGAGUAUUGCAGUAAAAAAAUGGGUGUGGAACUUAUUUGAACUUUGAAUGUAUGUUCUGUUGGUGAGAAUAUAAAGUUGAUAAAGAUUUGGUAAAUAGAAUAAAAUAUUAUUUUUAUUAGAAAAAUUAUUUGGUAGACUGCCAAUCGAGUUAUAAUUAUCAUGACGUAAAACAUGUCAUAUUACAAAUAAUAAAAUUAUAAUGACUCAAAUAUACGAACAUGUCAAAAUUUACGUAAAACGAAUUAUUAACAUGUCAAUGUAUAAUACGGUACGCAAAAAUAGGAUAAUUGCUUGUUUUUUAAAUUGAAUUGUUAUAACAUAUUAUACAAAAUACAUUGUGAAUUAAAGCAUAAUAUGAACAUGAUAUCAAAAUAUUAAAUAUUUUUUAAAAUUUGAUGAUACGAAUAAUUAUGUAAAAUAUAACAUGAUACAAAAUAACUUGAGAGGAAAAGAGGAAUAAAGAAUUGCAUUGUUUGUGAGGUUUUAAAAUAUUCCAGUUUUAGAUUCAAUUUUCUAGUAUGUUUGGUUUAAUUUUACAUUAGAUUUCCUUUUUAGUAUGCACUAGUGAACGCUUGGCAGUUAAUUUAAUUUAAUUUAAUUUAAAGAGAUAUUGCAUAUACAUAAUAAUGGAUUAUGAUUUUACAUUAAACUUCAUAGAAGAAAAAAGAAAUAGACGGUUGAAAAUGAUAAAACCAUAAGAUAAAAGAGCUUUUAUUUAAAAUGCAAAAAUCAACAAAAUAUGCAUUAUCGCUCAACUUAGCAUAAUUAAACAUUUAGGUGUGGAAAUCAAAUCACAAUUUGAGUAGCUAAACAUAUCGCUUGAAAAUGUGAUAAGUAAGAAAAUUGCCCACAUUUGAGUAGCGACAGGUGGUAAUGCAUUUCCCAACAAGAGAAAACCAAGCUCUUCGCCAGUAUGGAUUUAUGUAGAGGACAACAAAAAUUGUUAACAACACAACUACAUAAGAAACCAAAAAGCUCACACAAAAAUCAUAACUAUCUAUCAAACCAUCUUCUCCUUUAUCUUCUGAUACAGUUGAUAUUGUUGAUGGUGAAUCGGUUUUGGAACAACUUUUAUGCAGUAUAGGUCCACAAAGAAAAGGGUUUCCUUCAUAACUGUUUUCAAUAAAGGUCUCAAAUUGAGCUUUUGGUUCGGGAAUACUACCUGACAAGUUGUUAAAUGCCACGCUGAAAACCUCCAAAGAGUUUAACUCUACCAAUUGAUUGGGGAUUUCACCACUUAAGUUGUUGUAAGAAAGGUCCAAACUCUCAAUUUGAUGUAGUUUUGAGAGUGACGAGGGUAUAACUCCGGUCAACUUAUUGUGUGAAAGGUUUAAAGAAUGGAUUUCACUCAAGUUCCCUAAUUCUGGUGGGAUAUGACCAGUUAAGUUGUUGCAAGAUAAAUCAAUCCCAGUCAUAUAUGAAAGGAUGUCGCCCUUGUAUGAAUAGAACCCACUCUUUGUUGUGAACUCUAUUACUUCUUCUAAGUAGCUACUAGGAUAGUAAGAAUCCAUUCCCAAAUUUAGUAUCAUACUGCGUGUUGUUUCAUCCUCUUCUAUAGAUGGCCCAUAGAACCAAGUUUCUAGAAUCUUCUUCGUUUGCAUUGGAAGAGAUAAAUUUCCCAAACAAGAAGGUAUAGGACCAGAAAACAUAUUUUGAGAAAGAUCUAUGAUGCUUAAAGAAUGCAACUUGCAUAACUCAAUAGGAACUUUACCAUGAAAAUGAUUAUCUUUCAAGAGAAGAACACUCAAAGAAGAAAGCGUGUAAAUCCAUUUUGGAAUACUACCUGUCAAAUUGUUUCCUCUAAGAUCUAAAGUCACUAUUGAAGAGCUAUUAUAAAAAGCAAGUGAUAGUGGGCCUCUCAGUCUAUUCCCGUGGAGGUGGACAUGCUCUAUGUAUGGUGGAUUAAAACAUGACGGUAUAGAGCCAGAUAAAUUAUUUUGAGAAAGAUCCAAAAAUUCCAACCUAUUCAACUUGCAAAAUUCCAUUGGAAUGGAACCUUCAAAACCAUUGUUGGACAUAGCUAAUCUCUGCAAAAACGAUGCAUUCCCUAUCCAUCUUGGGAGCUUUCCAUGCAACUUGUUGUUACUGAGAUCAAUUUCGCUUAGUGAAUUUGGAAACUCAAAAGUAGACACAUCAACAUUUGUCAUCUCUCCUGAAAAAUUAUUUCCAUCCAAAUAUAAAUGCUGCACCCCAUUUGCGCUGAGAAUCACAGGAACUACAUUUCCACUGAGGUUGUUAUUUGAUAGUCUCAAAAUGGUCAGUGAGCCUUUCGUGAUCAACUCUUCUGGUACUUUUCCAUACAAAUGAUUGUCUAAUAGAUCUAAAAAUGAUAAGUCCUUCAUGCCACUUAAACAAAGUGGGAUAUUAUCUUCAAAAGCAUUCUUGGAUAAGAAUAACCGACUCAAAUGUGGAAAAGUUGAACAUAUACCAGUUGGAAUUUGACCUUGUAAUUUGUUUUCAGAUAUGUCAAUUGAAGAUACAUCAGAAAUAAGAGCCGACGAAAGUGAGAGAGGACCUGUAAAUGAAUUACCCUUCAAGAUGAGAUCUUCUAACUUUGUGUUGUUUUCUAGCAACCAAGUUGGUACAGUUCCACUGAGAUUGUUAUGAGAAAGAUCCACAUAUCUCAAGUCAUAUUGGUAGUAAAGGAAGGUAGGAAAUUUACGAUUGAGUUGUUGAGAUGCUAUGCACUUUGGCAAUCUGAUGACUUCCAAUUGGAACUUUGGGAUUGAGGUAUAAAAGGAAGAUUCCAUUACCAUCUUGUUUUCAUUAAUCGAAAGGGCUUUGAGGUUUGAAAGGUUUGCAAAUGGUGCAAAUGACAGCGGAAUUUGAAAAUGGUUUCUUGAAACAUCUAACACACGAAGAGAUGUCAAGUUACUAAAACAACGAGGAAGCAUCCCCUCAAGUGCAUUGUUGCUCACAUCCAAUACUUCAAGGUUCUUUAGAUCACACCAUCCUGAAAAAUUUAUAAAUUCAUGGAAGAAAUUUUAAUUAAAUUUGGUCCUAUUAAAUAGAAUAGGAGAUAUUAUAUUACAAAAGCUAGUAAAGAAAUCAAUUUGAGCCAUAAAAUUAUUUACCUUGAUUAGGUAAGGGACCAAUAAGUCCACAAUGAUAUAAAGACAAUGUUUUAAGAGAAGCGAAUACUCCAAUGCUUUGCAAAAUGUUGGUGUUGAGAGUAGAAUAGUCAAGAUAUAUUUCCUCCAAACUGCUCGACACAUUUGAAUCUAAGCAAUGUCAAGAGGUAUUAGAUAACGGUAUUAUAGAAAGCCUCUACUAAGUAGAAUGCUUUAUUUUCUGUGAAUGAAAUGAAGUAUAUAAAUAUAUAUAUAUAUUUUUUAUGAGUUAGAUUAUUCAUGAUUUAUCUGAGAUAAAUUUUGAUAGAGAGAAGAUGUUGAAACUUUAAUAUAACUCUUCAUCCAUUUUAUUAAUUAUACUAUUUUUUUUCUUUUUAGUAUUUUCUUAUAUUAUUUUUUAAUAUAAGUAAUUAACUGAUAUAGCUAAGUUGUAUAAUUUUCAAACUCCAAUCAACAACACUAUAAAUAAUAUUUAUAAAAUAAAACAUGUCUACACUAAAUGUAUGUUUAAAUUUCAUAAAAUUGAAGAUAUUUUUAAAUUAUUCAAAAUUCACAUGUCUACACUAUAAAUAAUAUUUAUAAAAUAAAACAUGUCUACACUAAAAUUAUUAUAUUACCUUUAAAGAUGCCAAUAGUAUAUAAAAAAAUCAAAUAGGUAUUUUACUCAACAAUAAAUAAAACUCAAAAGAAUUAUAAGUAAACUCAGCGGAUUAAAUGAAAAUUUUAAAGCAUUAAAUCUUGGCCCAAAAAUAGAGUUAAGUUAAAAUUCAAAAUUCAAAAUUAUUUUAUUAAUAUUGUUAAAAUUAUUUUAUUAAAUCCAUGUUCAUUACGUCAUUUUUUUAGUUACAUUACUACUAAGUUUUUUUUUUAUUUCAAAAUGUCACACCAACAAGCUAUUUUAAAAUUUUAACAAUUUUAACAAUUUAACUAGGAUUUUGAUUUUUUUUUAUAAAAAAAACAGGGAUUAAAUUCUUGAAAAUAAAAGUAUAAGAAUUAAAUUACAAAUUAGUAAAGAGUACAUAGACCUAUCAUAUUUUUUAAAACCAAAAAGUUAAAAACAUAUGCACUUUGAAAUUUAUAAAAAGAUUGCAAUGGAAGUUUAAGCACCUCUCAAUGUAUGUUUAAAUUUCACAAAAUUAAAGUUUUUUUUUAAAUUAUUCAAAAUUGACAUUUAUUUAUUUUUGCCAAAAAAUGCCAUUUAUUUAACGCUAAUAUGUAUUUUUAUGUUUUAUACUAUUAAAAAUAUAUGAAAUUAAAAUAUAGUUAUAUUACAUAUUUUCUCAUAAAUAUAUGUUUUUAUUUAUUUAUAAUAUCAUUUUUUAUUGUUAUAAUUAUUUUUUAUCUCAUAAAAAUUCAAUAAAUUAUUUUAAAAAAUAUAUUUAUACAAACAAAAUAAUUAUAAACAUUAAUAUUUUAAAAUGAUGAAAAUUUUAAAGAAUUUUAGUUUCAAACCAAAGUCCAAACACAUUAUAAUGGAUGAUUUAGAAAAUGUUUCACCAAACCCAUAUUUUACUUUCAAGUAUGAUAUGAUAUAACUUUAUUAAUAUUUAUGACAAUAACCGUUAUUAUAAUAUUUGACAUCAAAACUAAAUUUCUAAAUUAAAAAAAAAAAGGAAGUUUAAUUAAAUGAUACCUUGGUGGAUCACCAAAUCUUUCAAUUCAUUAUAGCUCAUAUCUAGUUUCCUUAAGUUGAUAAAUGCUUCCAAAUCUAGGAAAACAAAAACAACAAAUCAACUUCAUUAUAUUCUCUUAAAACAUUAUUAUAUUCUUGUUAAAAAACUAAUACUUUUACCUUUCAUAUCUAUUGAUCCUUUCAAUUCAUUGCCUCUUAUGCUCAAAGAUUUCAAAUUUGAAAGCUUGUUAAGGGAUGCAAAUACACUAGUAUUGAAGUGAUUUCCAUCUAAAUUAAGCUCUUCCAAGUGGGUCAAUUCCAAUUUUCUACCAUCAUCUACAAAAGAUUUAUAUAAUUUCAUCAUCUACCAUCACUAAUUUCAUCUACCAAUUUGUUAAAUUGCUCAAUCCUAUACAUAUCCACGUACAAUUCAAAAAAUCAUUAUGUUAAUAAUUUUAAUUUCUACUUAAUAUUUUAAUGAAAUAAAAAUGAAAAAAAAAAGUAAAUCUAAAACUUGAAUUGAAGAUAAAAAUCCUCAAACGUGAAAUGUGAAUGUUCAAAUUUGAAACAAUUAAUUUUAAAAGGCUCUAGAAAGAAUUAUCAAGAAAAACAAAGUUAUAGCUUUAGUACCUUUAGUAUCUAAUGAGCCUUGCAAACGGUUGUUGAACAAAGUCAAAGACUUUAGGCUUGAAAGCCCUUGAGGAAAGGAAAUUGUGUUGUUCCGAAAGAGAUUACCACUCAAAUAAAGUUCCUCUAAGUUUGUUAGCCUCAAUUGUGUUCCAUCUAUCAUUGGAAGAAAGUAAUUAGUAUAGUUAACAUCAUUCAAGAUAUAAAUAGUUAGGAAAAAUGUUUGUUUGAGAAGGAAGAGCCAAUUUACAAGCUUUCCGAUGAAUUGAUUCAAUAUAUAAAUACUUUGUUUGAGAUACCUUCCUACUUAAAUUACUCAAUUUUGAAAUUUAAUCCCAAAUAUUGAUUACUUAUAUAUAUUCAUGAUAUGAUAAAAUCAAAUGACUUAUUGCAACAACUUUUCCUUCAACAUGAAUUUAUUUUAAAGAAUGCUAUUCUUCAAAUAAUUCCAACUUAUAUCAAUAAUUUCCAAUUUAAUGAGCCAUUGAAAACCUCAUUUAUAUAUUAUAUAAUUAGUUACUACAAAACUUAAAUAAAUAAUAAUACUCCAUUUUUGCAAUAAAAAUUCACUAAAGAAAAUACAUUUGAAGUCUGUCAUUGCCUUUUGGAAUAAGAGUCGGUCAAGAAAGUUACUAUGCAGAAAUACUUAUACCUUUGUUUGAGAUGCUUUCAAUGUCGUUCCAACUUAAAUCCAAGUACUUCAAAUUUGUCAAAUUAUUCAAUCCUGAAAUUCAAUCCCAAAUAUUGAUCAGUUAUAUAUAUAUAUUCAUGAUAUGAUAAAAGCAAAGACAUAUUGCAACAUUAACUGUCCCUUAAACAAAAAUUGGUUUUAAAGUAAAAAAGAAACAUAUAAAACCAGUCUACCUUUAAUAUGAAUUGACAUAUAAAUACUGUACUUAUACCUUUGUUUGAGAUGCUUUCAAUUCUGUUCCAACUUAAAUCCAAGUAUUUCAAGUUUGACAAAUUAUUCAAUCCUGAAAUUCAAUCCCAAAUAUUGAUUAGUUAUAUAUAUUCAUCGUAUGAUAAAAUCAAACUUGAACAUACAUUGAUUUUUAAAUCAAGGAUGAAAGAUUUCUCAUAUGAAACAAAAUGCUAUUCUUCAAAGAAUUCCCACUUAAAUCAAGAGUUUCCAAGUUAUUGAGUCUUGAAAGCAAUUGAAAACCUGAUAUAUAUAUUUACUUGUUAAUUGUUUUUUCUUUCUUAGCCAUAUGAAAAUUUUACUAAAGCAAAAGUGGAAUUACGACGGAUAAAAAGAAUGGAAAACUAGGUACCAAGCCUAGAAGACCAUCCUCAAACUCCACUAUACAAAUAAAAACUAACAGCAGACCAAACUUAAUUUACCUCUUUGAUGACCUGAUCCUUCAAAUUUGUUGAUUGAUAGAUCUAAAUACCGGAGAGAUGAAAGCUCACUCAAAGAUAACAAAAUGCUAUCAUUCAAGUAAUUGAAACUUAAGUCAAGGAUCUCCAAAUUACUCAAUGUGGAUGAUAGUUUUCCAAAGCCUAUAGAAAUAUUCUUUUAAAUAUAUACAAGUUAGUGACUUUUCUUCCAUAAAAUAAAAUAAAAUAUAAGUAAUUGCAAAUUAACGAUGGUAAGAGUAGUGGGAUAAUAAAAGAUGUAAUUAAGGAAAAACUAGAGGCACGACCUUCAUUUUCAAGGUUACCACUUAUGGCAUUCCCCCGCAAAUAAAGACUCUUCAAUUCCUCAAAGGGAAGAAACAUAGAGGUAUUGAGAUACCAGGCAUUGAGAUUCCUAUUAUCCGUUUUGUAUCCCAUACUGUCAAACCAUCUUGUAGAAUUAAGGGAGAGUUGUAUGAGUCUCCUAGUGGUGGUGUUACACUCAACUCUUUCCCAUUUACAACAAUCUGAACCCUUCACCUCAACCCAACUUUGCAAUUGAUUUUGAUAAUUGAAGAAAGGCUUGAGAUGCAAGAGAGCGAUUCUCUCAUGCUCCAAACAAGCAUCAGUAGUACACCAUCUGCAUCCUUCUAACACCAACAACAUUACUGCCAUCCUAAUAAGCCUUAACCAUUUCCACUCCAUCAUCAUCAUCUCUCUGUUUUCACUUCUCUCUCAGUUAUAUGUUACUUUUUGUUAACUUCUAUAUGUAAAUAAUCUAAAGCAGCCUAACCUUCUUAUUUAUAUACAAGCAGAACAUACUGGAUCCCACUAAUUCACUAUAAUGUAAAAAUAAUAUAUAAUUAAUUAAUUCCUCAAAAAUUGGAUCAAAAUCUAGGCUUUUUAUUUACGUAAAUUCCUUAUUGCAAAAACUCCUGGUGGAAAUUCGUUAGGAAAGGAUGAAUGGACCACAAGAAUGUUGAUGUUAAUCUUGAAAAACGAAUGGCCAAAAAAAUAUGAAAAGUGAGAGGUGGACAUAAAAUCUUGUGGUUGGGGUUGCAAAAGUCUUCAUGUGGCUUUCUUGUGAGCUUCAUUUAUACCCUUCUUACACAUAUACAAACUUAGUCUUGACUUGGCUUUAUUAAUGGAAAAUUUAGGUCUUCAUUUUUGGUUUCAUUCAUGGAAAUUUUACUUCUUUGAUUUUGAUUUUGCUUUUAUUCUUGCACAUUUUAGGUUUUGAUUUUGAAAAUUUAGUUUUUUUCAUCUCUAUUAUUAUAAAAUUUCUUGAUUUAAUUAAUAUCAUGAGUUAAUUUAAUAUUUUAAAAAAUAAAAUAUUACAUUCACUAUUUUUAAAAAAAUAGGAGUAACUAUAAAAUUUAAUUAUUUAUAUAAUAUUUUUAUAAAAAAACUAUUUAUUUCUACUAGACCACUACUUUAAAACUAUCAAUUAUCAUAUAACUUCUCUUUAAUAAUUCACUAUUCUUUGAACAUUCAUUAGUUUUUGAAACAUAAAAUUUAUAAAUAAUUAUUUUUAAAAUGACUUGAGUUUUACUUGAAUCAUUUUUGUAAUUAGUUAAUUAAAUUGGGUUAUUUUUAAAAAAAAUCCUCUUAACUAAUAGCAAAAAAAAAAAAAGAAAAAAAAAAGCCAUCAUGUAGAAAAUUCUGGUUUGUUGGAAAGAUAAAGACUUGCACCAUUACUUUAAAUUUUGAAAUGUUCAACUUGAUAUUGACAUCUGAUAAUAUGUACAAAUUUCUCAUUGUUUUGAAUUUUAGUGAUAUUACACAUAUGAUAAUAUGUUUGUCACACCAAAUUUUGAAAUAGUAGAACUUAAUGAAUUUAACAAAUACUUAAUGAAUUUAAGAAAUAUCUAAAAUAUCAAAUUAAAGUCUAGGAAUUAAAUCUACAACUUCAGUAAAGUACAAGAACUAUUGUAGAAUUAAACCUUUAUAUAAUAAUUUCCUUCUAUGAACCACAAUUCAAGUGCACCCCACAAGCAACAUUAAAAAAUUGGCAUGUGUCUAUUUUUUUAAAAAUAUUUAUUUUUUUAAUAUUAUAUACUACACCUCUAUAGGAUACGUGUCAAUCCUUUAACUCUCCUUAUGGAAUUUAAAAACUCCACUAACAAUGUACCAAAUAUUAAUCCUAAUUAUUAUACUAUUCAUGGAUAAAGAUAAAAUAUAAUAUUUGCUUAAAAAUCUCAAUUAUAUAUAUUUGGUCACCCAUUGUGAUGUAAUAUAGCACCGUCUACAAAAUAGUUGGAGGAAAGUGUUAAGAAAAUAUCAUUACAUAUAUCAACAUUCGCAUAAUUCAUUGCAUUAACUUUCAAAUGUUAACUAUUGACUUCUGCGUCAACUUUGAGCUUAUAUAGGUCCCCCUCAUGGAAAUUGAGAAAAACAAAUUAAUAUGUAUAUUCUUGUGGGUGGAAAUUUAGUGGAGAUGCCCAUCAUCUUUCCUAAUUAAUAAAAAUGAAGACUUAGAAAAUGUGCAAUCAUAAUCCUAGUCGUCGUUAUGGCCCCAAGAAUAGUUAUCUUAAUUUGUCUCUCUUCAGGAUUAAAGAUAAAAAAUAAAUUUUAUAAAGUUAGAACUAUAAUUUUAUAAUUAUAUUAACAUAUAAUUUCAUAAAAUUUUAAAAAUGUAUCUUUUAAUUUUUUAAUUAAAUUGAUAAUUCGUUAACUCAUAAUAUUAUUUUAUUUUUCAAAAUAUUUACGAGAACGAGUUCGUAUUCUAUUGUGUGGAAAAUUUUAGUACAGAUUAUUAAGUUAUUGGAGAAGCCAAAUCCAACUUGUUUGACCAAGAAAGUUUUUGUCGCGUGGAAAAUGGACAUUACCAUUUCCUUGAAUGACCUUCAAUUUAAUGUAUUCACACCAAAUUUCAUUAAUGAGUAAAACAAAUAAUGAAUAAUAAUGAAAAUUGGAGGAAAUUGUUAAGAAAUUAUUAUUACAUAUAUCAACAGUCACAUAAUUCAUUGUAUUAACUUUCAAAUGUUGACUAUUGACUUUUACAUCAACCUUGAGCUUAUAUAGGCCCCCCUCACGGAAAUAAUCUCAUAAUUAAUGCCUGAAAAAUUAUUAUACAUCAAUUUACAGUUUUAAUCCCUAGACUUACUCAAUUGAAUUAAAAUUUUAGUUUUUAUUAUUUAAUUUGAACUAUUACUUUAGAUUUUGAAAUGUUCAACUUGAUAUUACAAAUUUCUCAUUCUUUUGAAUUUUAGUGAUAUUACACCUAUGAUAAUAUGUUUGCCACACCAAAUUUAGAAAUAGUAGGACUUAAUGAAUUUAAUAAAUAUCUAAAAUAUCAAAUUAAAGUCUAGAAAUUAAAUCUACAACUUCAGUAAAGUACAAGAACUAUGGUAGAAUUAAACCUUUAUAUAAUAAUUUUCUUCUAUGAACCACAAUUCAAGUGCAUCCCACAAGCAACAUUAAAAAAUUAAAAUGUGUCUAUUUUUUUAAAAUAUAUUUUUUUUAAUAUUAUAUACUACACAUAUAUAGUAUACGUGUCAAUCCUCUAACUCUACUUAUGGGAUUUAAAAAAUCCAGCAACAAUGUACGAAAUAUUAAUCCUAAUUAUUAUACUGUUCAUGGAUAAAGAUAAACUAUAAUAUUUGCUUAAAAACCUCAAUUAUAUACAUUUGGUGACCCAUUGUGACGUAAUAUAGCACCAUCUACAAAGUAGUUGGAGGAAAUUGUUAAGAAAAUAUCAUUACAUAUAUCCAACAGUCACAUAAUUCAUUGCAUUAACUUUCAAAUGUUGACUAUUGACUUCACGUCAACUUUGAGCUUAUAUAGGCCCCCUCCUCAUGGAAAUAAUGUCACAAUUAAUGCUUGAGAAAUUAUUAUACAUCAAUUUAUAGUUUUAAACCCUAUACUUACUCAUUUGAAUUAAAAUUUUAGUUUCAAUUUGAUAUAUUUUGUUCCUCUUAUUAAUAUUAAUGUUAUAGAUUUAUUAAAAUAACUAACAUUAUUAAUUCUCUAACAUUUAAAAAUUAAAAUUAUGUGGUUAUUAAAAUUAUGAUGCUAAAUUGAGAAUUAAAAAUUAUCAAGUUUUAAAUGAUCUCGGGAAUUAAGAAGAGAUCGUGUCCUAACUUAUUGGGCAUGAUCCUUUUUUUUCUCAAGUUUUAAAUGAUCUCAGGAAUUAAGAAAAGAUCGUGUCCUAACUUACUGGGCAUGAUCCUUUUUUUUUUAAAAUCUAAGAUAGCUAAAUAUUUUUUAAAUAAGUAAAUUUUUGGCAUUCAUUCGCGCAUCGGGAAUUCAAGACAUUGUGUCCUAACUUACUGGAUAUAAUUCUCUUUCUCGAUUAAUGUGAAUUAUGGCUUUUUCCCGAAAAUUUUCAACAUUUCAAUAAAGGAUCGUAUUUUAAAUCUCUUUAAAGUUUUCAAUCUUCGAUACUAAGACAUUAAUUAAUCAACUAGGUACCAAUUUUGGGCGUAACGAGGGUGCUAAUCUUUCCUCGUACGUAACCGACUCCCAAACCUGUUUUUCUGAAUUUCGUGGACCAAAAUUAUUAUUUUAUUAAAAUUAAAUUGUUUAUUAAAAAUAACCACUUUUCAAGGUGGCCCGAUCACACCUUAUCAAAAAGGAUUGGUGGCGACUUCCAUAUUCGUUUUCAUUUUUUAAAAUCCAAGUCGACCCCGUUUUCACAAAAAAAAAAAGUGUCAACAAUUAUAUUAAUAUAUAAUUUCAUAAAUUCUUUAAAAAAAAUUGUAUCUUUUAAUUUUUUAAAUUAAUUUAGUAAUUCAUUAACUCAUAAUAUUAAAUUUUUUAUUUUUCAAAAUAUUUACGAGAACGAGUUCGUAUUCUAUUGUGUCGAAACUUUUAGUACAGAUUAUUAAGUUAUUGGUGAAGCCAAAUCCAACUUGUUUGACCAAGAAAGUUUCAGUCGUGUGGAAAAUUUUAGUUUUGUGGAAAAUAUAGAUUAACUUCUAUAUAUGUAUGUAAUCUAAAGAAGCCUAAGCUUCUUAUUUAAUUAUAUACAAGCAGAAGAUAUUGCAUCCCACUAAUUCACUAUAAUAUAAAAAUAAUAUAUGAUUAAUUAAUUCCUCAAAAAUUGGAUCAAUCUAGGCUUCUUAUUUACGUAAAUUCCUUAUUGCAAAAACUCUCGAUGGAAAUUCGUUAAGAAAGGAUGAAUGGACCACAAAAAUGCUUAUCAACUCUUGACUUUGGCGUUCAAUGCUAAGUUCAUUUUAAAAUUCUUUCAUGGAGAGAAGAUGGGAUGACAAGAAUGAUAAGUUUUAAGUCAUUUAAGUUUACACAAAAUUUUAAUCACUCACAAAAAAUCAGUCUUGAUAUUCUAUUAAAAAAUUUAAACAUGGCUUAACGUUGAUUUUAAAUCUAAUGUCGAUGUCAAUCUUGAAAAACGAAUGGCCAAAAAAAUAUGAAAAGUGAGAGGUGGACAUAAAAUCGUGUAGUUGGGGUUAUAAAAUUCUUCAUGUGGACAUAAUAUAUUUUUUAUGCCCUUCUUACACUUAUAUAAAGUUAGUCUUGAUUUCGCUUUAUUAAUGGAAAUUUUAGUUCUUCAUUUUUUGUUUUAUUCAUGGACAUAAUAUUUAUUUUUAUUUUUUAUUUUUGUGUUAUGGUCUAUGUUCGAGGUUUAUGGCUAUCCCCUUUCAACAACGUCGUCUCAACGGUUCAAACAUACACUUGCAGGUAAAAUAAUACUUUUUAAAAUCACAAAUAUUUGAAAUAAUAUAUUGCAGCUAUAUAAAUGCUUUCUUGUUUAAGAUACUAAUAAAGUAAUUAACAAAGUAAUUAUUAUACCUAUAAUAAUUCAAAAUGCCACUUGUUAUCUAAUGAAGUAUAGGGGUGCAAAUGAGACAUCCGUACCCGCAAGCUAUUCGAAUUCGGCUCAAAAAAUUUUGAAUUUGAUUCGGUAAUUAUUGCGCCGAGCUAUAGGUCGAUCCGGAUUCAAGCUUAGUAAUACUUGACUCGAGUAGUUUGGGAGCCUUAUUGAACUUUUCAUAUUUUUAUAUUAUUAGAUUACAUUAUUGCCUUUAAUAUAUAUUGUUAACCCUAAGUUUAAUUAUUGAGGCGAGCUCGAACUCGAGUACAAAAAUUGAUAAACAGAUUUAAUUUCGAGCUUAAAAAUAUAUGUUCAAUCGAGUAUCAAGCUUUGAAUUUCAAAUUAAACUUGAGUUUAACCGUAUUGAGUUCGAAUAGAUUCAAUUACACCCUACAAUAAAAUAUACCAACAAAACCUACAUUCCAUAUUUGCUUAAAAACUUUGCUGUAAAUUUUAUAUAUGUGUGUGUUUAACGUGAGUUCCAUCUAUGUCCAACUUGAUGACGAUGAAAGUUCCUAUGGUGUAAAAAGUUUUAGUUAUGUGGAAAAAUAAGGUCUUCUCUUCACACGUUUAAUAUGCUUACUUGUGACGGUCAUUUCGGGCUUGACAUCAAUUUUCAAAAUGUUCUAAUUGGUGGAAAACUUACGUCUGCUUUUAUGAUUCUUUCAAGUCAAUUGGAGAAUGCCUCUGUUACACUUCAAAAGAAGUAGAUUUUGAACUCAACAUGAACCUGUGAGAUUUGAUGCCUAAAAUAUAGGUAUAAGGUUUCAAUUCAAGGAAAUGUUGGAAGUCCAGGAAAUUUCUUAGUCUCCUCUCUUUGGAUGUUUUUGAACAAAAAUGUUUUAAGUCUCUUCCGAUGCUAAACUUCUGAUUGGUCGUCGGUUCACUGACCCUUUGGUACACAGCAAUAUGAAGCAUUGGCCAUUCAAGGCCAUUGCUGGUCCUGGUGAUAAGCCAAUGAUUGUACUACUAUAGAUUUGAAAUGAUUGUACACAUCUGAUCGGCUCUUUGUAAAUUUAAAUCUUACAAAUUCGGAUAAUAUUCGAAUUUAAAUAUUUCAAUUACUAUCUGCAAUAGAUUAAAAACAAACGUGAUUAUCAAUCCUUGGAUAUCCACAUACAGAUUAUGCAAUACAAUCUCUUAAGGCAUAUAGAAUUUGGGUCUUAACCAAGCUAUGUUGCUUAAAAGCUUGCUAAAAGCACCCCUAACAAAGGGGUAAAUAAAUAAAAUAUCAAGCACCAGUUAUCAAAGCAGAUUGACCACCUUAUAUCUAUGUAUGCUACUACAAAACUUGCACCAUUAAAAUCUCAAGCUGGUAAUUGGAGCUUCAUGUUAUUCUUGCAGCUGCAGGCAUAAUAAUCAAAUAAGUUGCAAUCAUUCACAUAGGUACUAUGAAGUGCUUUCCAGAGCGUGAGAAACCUCUGGAAGUAAUAGUAGAAGAAAUCAGCAUAAAGCAAUGUCUGGACAAGACCGCAAAUCCAAGCUGAUCAAAGGCAUCAAUCAUGUAAACUAGGUGUUAGAAAUAACAAAUAUAGCAUAGAAUAUAACAAAUAAUGAAUAACAAUGAAUAGUACACGUUACCAUUUCCUUGAAUGACCUUCAAUUUCUCCAUUGAGAUAUAGUAAGAGGGAGUGGAAUAGAUGUAAGGUAAUAUUUGAUGUAUUCGGUAAAUGAAUAAUAACACCACAUUCCAUUAAUGAGUAAAACAGAUAAUGAAUAAUAAUGGAAGUUUUAUAAAAUAAAAAUAAAUUAAAUCAUAUACAUAUAAUGUAUUAAAUCUUAUUCGUGAAGUUCACAAUGAACAAAAUACUAAUCCAUAAUGGAGAAAAAUAACCUAAACUUUAAACAUUUGUUCAUUACUAUAAACAUAUGUACAACUUUUUAAAGGUUUUAUAUAAACUAUUAAAAGGUAUAAACACUCUCAUAAAAAUAUAUUAUUAAGUACGUCUUCUUUUACUAGGAAAGUUCCUAUCCUGUAGAAAAAUGUAGUUUUGUGAAAAAAGGUCUUCUAUGCACUAAUUUGUGGCAAUCACAUGGGGUUUGGGAAUUUCAAUUUUGAUAGCCAACCGAGAUUCACUAAAUUUAAAUUUUAUUAUGAUUAAUUACGCUCUUCGUUUUGGAGAAAUAGGUAAUCACAACAACUAAUUUAAUUAAAUGUAAUUUAAUAAUUAAUUUUUUUAUAAUUUAAUUACAUUAACUAUAUUUAAAUUUAAUAUUUAGUAUUUAUAUUUUAAUUUAACAUAAUUUAAUUCACUUACUUUUAUAAUAUUAUUAGUUCGUCUAAAUAGUUGACACCUUUAAUUAAUUCUUAUUAAAAUGUUAAAAAUGUUUAUACUUAUUUUCCAUGUUAAAAUAUAUAUUUUUUUGUGCUUUUAAAAACAAAAUUUCACAAUAUCAUUUCCCGAUAUAAAAAUUAAAUCUCAAAUUAAUUUAUAUUUUUGUAUUUUUUUAUAACUAAUGUUAUCAAGAACUCUUAAUAGUGCAACUGAUUCCACCAUAAUAUUUAUAUUCUUUAAAUAUGAUUUACAAUUUAUGUUUGGAGUUCGUGACUGUCAUUCUUAAUAAUGUCAUUUCUAAUGUUCGAACAUGCAUCUCCCCUUGAGAAUGCAAUAUUCAUUACUAUUGCACCUAAUUAUUUUGAUAAUUUAAUUUUAAAUAUUGACAUAAAAAUAUUUUUAAAUAUAUUAUUAAUAAAUUUAAUUAAGAUUAUAAAACUUGAGGUUUUUUUUAAUUCUUCAAAAAUGUCAUUUAUUUAUUUUUGGCCAAAAAAUGCCAUUUAUUUAACUCUAAUAUGUGCUUUUAUGUUUUAUUUUAAAAAUAUAUGAAAUUCUAAUGAUAGUUAUAUUACAUAUUUUUUAAUUUUAAAUAUCAUUGUUCUUUUAUAAUUUGUUUCAAGUAUGAAAUGAUAUAAUUUUUUUUAGUAUCUAUCACAAUAACCUUUACUAAGAAUUGAAACUAAAUUUCUAAAUUUUGAACAAAAAUGAAAGUUUAAUUAAAUGAUACAUUGGUGGAUUCAUUACCCCUCAUAUCUAGUUCCCUUAAGUUGAUAAAUGUUUCCAAAUCUAGGAAAACAAAAAACAACAAAAUCAACUUCAUUAUAUUCUCUUCCAACAUUAUUAUAUUCUUGUUAAAAAUCUAAUAUUUUUACCUUUCAAUCCAUUGCCCCAUAUGCUCAAAGAUUUCAAAUUUGAAAGCUUCUUAAGGGAUGCAAAUACACUAGUAUUGAACUGAUUUCCAUCUAAAUAAAGCUCUUCCAAGUGGGUCAACUCUAAUUUUCGACCACCAUCAAUAAAAGAUUUAUAUAAUUUCAUCACUAAAAUGAAUUGGCAUAAACUUUUAUUAUAUAUAAGAAUUUAGGUAAUUGGUUAAAUAUAAAUGCAUACCAUUUAAGGAUUGAAAGCUUUCAAUUUCAUUCCAACUUAAAUCGAGUUUCUUCAAAUUUGUUAAAUUGCUCAAUCCUAUACAUAUCCUCAUCCAAUUCAAAAUCUGAAAUUAGUAAAGAUAAAAUUGCACAUUGACCCCCUAAAAUUGAUAAAAAUUUAAUUUAAUUCUUUAAAAAUUAUAAACAUAUGUAGCGACCUAAAAAUUUCGGCACGGGCGCUAGUCGAAGUAAUUAUUGUAAAUUUGAAAACUGAAUCUCGAUUUUAUUUGAAAAAGGAGUCGCCACCGAUAUUUUUUCUAGGUGUGAUCGGACACCUACAAAAUUCUCUUUUUAGAAGAAAAAAUUAUUUUUAAACUUUUCUAAAAAAGAGGUAAUUUUAGGUCCACGUAAAAAUCCAGAGAAAAUUAGGGUCCGGGAGUCGGUUACGCGCGAGGAAGGUAUUAGCACCCUCGCAACGCCCAAAAUUGGUAUCUCGUUAAACGCGUGUUGUCUUCAUUUUCAAAAAUACGAGUUCAAUUUAAUAUUAGUCGUGAUCCGAUUGAACACGAGAAUUUUAAAGCGCAACAACUUUUUCUUUUUUGAAAACACGAAAAUUUUAAAAUACAAGAAUUUUAGAAACACAAAACUUUUUUUUUAAAAAAAACACGAAGAAUUUAAAACACGAGAUUUUUUAUUUUUAUUUUUGAAAACACGAUUCUUCUUUUUGAAACACGAAAAUUUUUAAAACAGAAAAUUUGUUUUUGAAAACAUAAAUUUUUUGAUAAAAUACGAAACACGAGAAAUUUUGAAGACAUGAAAAUUUUUGAAACACAAUUUUUCUUUAAAAAAUACCGUAUUUAACACGAAUCGAUGAUAUUCAUCCCGAUAUGGCGAUGAAACCAUCGAAUUAGUGUUAACUCAAUUCAAUUUAAUAUUUAAUCGGGAUUCUAAUAAAACACGAGAAUUUUUAUUAAAAUACGAGGAUUUUUGAAUAUUUUUAUUUUUAAAAGGGUGUCCCGAAUUUAACACGAGCUAUCGAUAUCCACCCAACAUAGCGAUGAAUUCGAUGACUUGAUGCUAAAUCGGUUCGUUGCCUUAUGCAUUAAAAUAUUAUUAUUUUUAAAAAAAAUAUGCAAUUAAAAUGACAUAAUAAUAUUUAUGAAAACUGUUUUAAAGCAUACUAAUUUAAAUUAAAUAAAACACCAUUUAAAUAAAUAAAAUAAAAUAAAAUAGAUUAAAAAGAAAAAAAGAAAAAAAUUACCCAAAAGCCCAAAGUUAUGGGCUUAAAUUUUGGGCCUCCCCUUUUAUUAUUUUUUUUGCUGUUGGGCUNNNNNNNNNNNNNNNNNNNNNNNNNNNNNNNNNNNNNNNNNNNNNNNNNNNNNNNNNNNNNNNNNNNNNNNNNNNNNNNNNNNNNNNNNNNNNNNNNNNNNNNNNNNNNNNNNNNNNNNNNNNNNNNNNNNNNNNNNNNNNNNNNNNNNNNNNNNNNNNNNNNNNNNNNNNNNNNNNNNNNNNNNNNNNNNNNNNNNNNNNNNNNNNNNNNNNNNNNNNNNNNNNNNNNNNNNNNNNNNNNNNNNNNNNNNNNNNNNNNNNNNNNNNNNNNNNNNNNNNNNNNNNNNNNNNNNNNNNNNNNNNNNNNNNNNNNNNNNNNNNNNNNNNNNNNNNNNNNNNNNNNNNNNNNNNNNNNNNNNNNNNNNNNNNNNNNNNNNNNNNNNNNNNNNNNNNNNNNNNNNNNNNNNNNNNNNNNNNNNNNNNNNNNNNNNNNNNNNNNNNNNNNNNNNNNNNNNNNNNNNNNNNNNNNNNNNNNNNNNNNNNNNNNNNNNNNNNNNNNNCUCUUUUUACUUAAUUAUUUAUCAAUUUACACUAGUUCGAGUUUUUGUAACAGUAUCAUGGAGACUUAUGUACUAGGAGUUAGAUUGUAUUUUGCCUCUUUUACUCAAAAAAUGAGUAAAUUAAUCCUUGUACGUUAAAUCAAUGAGCAAACUAGUCCUUUUAGUUAACAUUUUCAUUCAUUUUUACUAUUAAAAAUUGGAGUGACUAACGAAAUAACCAGAUAGUUACACAUUACAUGCCAAGGGUGAAGCCAGAAAAUUCUUUUAGGGGGCCGAAAUUAAAUUUUAAUUUUUAAUAGCUUAUAUCUUUAUAAUUUUUAAAUGAUUAAAUCAAAUUUUUAUCAUUUUUAGGAGGGGACUAAAGUGUAAUUUUAUCUUUACUAGUUUAAAUUUCUAAAAUUUCUAAAAAGCCUAAAUGGAUAAUUUUCAAUUUUAGAGGGGUCAGGGCCCUUGCCAGCCUCCCUAGAUACGCCACUGUGGCAUGCCACAUGUACCUCAUGUCAGCAUACAUGAACCCGUUUUUAACAGUUAAAAUGGAUGAAUUUUUUAGUAGAAGGAUUAAUUUUCUCAUUUUUUGAGUAGAGGAAAGAAAAUGCAAUCCAAUGCCUAAUACAAGGGCCUCUAUGUCUUUCAUUAUUACUCAAUUAUUUGUCAUCAAAAGUUGUAUAUGUUCAAAUAUAAAUACAAUAAAACACAUAUGUAGUUAUUAAACAUAUCAUGCUAAUGUCAUUGUUUCUUCUUUAUCCAAAAUUAUUGGACUUAUAAAAUUCUUGAGAAUAAGAAAACCCCAUUAAACUUCCUUUUAAGUAAAACGUGUGUUCAAAAUCUUGAACUAGGUUUAUGCAGCAAUAGAAAUUCACAAGCUGUUUUUUUUAUACAUGAGAUGUGAAUCUCAAAAUUUUAGGGUUUCUGAUCUCAUAUAUUUUGGGUCCAGAUUUAAUGCUAAGGAUUUGUUGAGAAAGUUGAAAGGGAAGAAAAUGAUGUUCAUUGGGGAUUCACUAAGCUUGAAUCAAUGGCAGUCUCUAACAUGCAUGUUGCAUGCAUUUUUGCCACAAUCAAACUACACUGUUCACAGAGAAGGGAACCUUUCGACCUUUUAUUUGCCUGUGAGUUGCCAAAUCUAGUAGCUAUUUUAUUUCCUUCUUAUAAUUAAAACUUUUCAAUGUCACCUUUAGAAGGUAGCUGCAUGAAUCAAAUGAGUUAAAUCAAAUAGACUAAUUACUAUUGUUUGGCAAAAAUACCGAGUAGACCUUUUUAAAAAUAGUUAUUAUACUUUUAUUACAACAAAAUAAGCAGGGGUGAACCUAAAAUUUUUUUUAGCAGGAUAGAAAUUUAAUUAUAAUUUUUUCAUAGAUCAAAAUAUAAAUUUAUUAUGAAUUAAUUUAUAAUUUUAUCAUUUUUAAAGGGAUUAAACAGAAAUCAUUUCAUUUUUAUGGGGGUUAAAGUGUAAUUUUACUAUAUAUUAAUUUAUAAUUUCUUUAUUUAUAAGACUAGAAAAAAUUUUCAUGGGGGCCAAAGUACAAUUUUACUAUAUAUUAAUUUAUAAUUUCUCUAGUUAUAAAAGAACUAAAUUAAAAACUUUUCAUUUUUUAGGGGGGCCAAGGCCCUGCCUACCCCUUUCAGAUUAUUCGCCUCUGAUAAUAAGCCAUUAAACUUUAAUUUAUAACCGUUACCAUUAAUUUUUAACUUAUAUCCAAAUAACCCCUUACCAUUUUAUUUAUACUCAAAAUAAAAUUUAACAUAAAUAAAGGUGAGAGAGGGGCCUUGGCCUAUUGGUUAAAAUAGAAAAUUUUCAUUUAGGUCCAAAGGUAAAGCCAAAAAAUCAUUUUAGGGGGUUGGAAAUGAAUAAUAAAUUUUUGGGGAGACUAAUAUUGCAAUUUUAUCAUUAUAUCAACUUAUAAUUUCAUAAAUUUUGAAAAGAUUAAAAGACAAAUUUAUCAAUUUUUGGGGUUGUCUACUCUCCUGAGUUGGUCUCUAUUGAAAAUUAAUAAUUCCAUAAAAUAUAGCUUUCCUAAAUUUAUAAUUUUAGCUCGACCCUAAAUAUAAAAUUCUUUGCUUUACCCCUGAUAUUAAAUCAAAAGAUAGAAACUUAUUAUGUUACUAUAAGAAUAUAGGGAUUUAUUUAGCAAAAGCAAACUAUUUCAAGGACUUUUUUGGUAGUUUGCACUUAUAGUUGGUAUUAGUUAGAAUUAAGUGCCAAGAUUAAGUUUCCUUUGAGAUAUAUAGUUGGUUAAGCAAUUUAAUAUAAGUGGAAAUUUAGACCCCUAAGUUAUACCCUUCAUGCAUUUGGACAACUGUGUUGAGCCAAAAAAAAAAUUGCAGGAGUAUGAAGUUUCGUUGAUGCUAUCACGCAAUGCAUUUCUUGUGGAUAUUGUCCAAGAAAAGAUUGGCACCGUUCUGAAGCUUGAUUACAUUAAAAACGGCGAAUCAUGGAAAGGAUAUGACUUUCUCAUCUUCAAUACCUGGCAUUGGUGGCUCCACACUGGAAGAAAACAACCGUAAGCAAAACAUAAUUUCAGCAAUUAAAACCCGAUUUUUUAAUUGCAUCCCGAGUAGAUUUGUAAACAAAUACAACACUCGAAUUGGGUUGGGUUUGAACCGGAAUAUCAUUCCUAUAGUUUUGAUUAGACCUGUAGUUUAAAAGUUAAUUAUUUAUUUAAGUUUGAAAAUUCGUUUGAAAUUUAGAAGAAUAUUUAGAUAAAAAUAUUAGACUUCAUAAAUGAGCUUGAGUAAAAAAAUUAAACCCGUUUUUAAUAUGGGUUAAGCUUAAGCUCAAAAAAGUUAAGGAUCCAGACAUGUUGAUGAACUUAAAAUGAAUUUGCGAUAACUAUUUACAAAUAUUAGUAUGUUGGAGCAAAAUUUUAAGCCAUUGUUUGGUCCAACUAAAUUUAGGCAAAUAUAAAGUGCGUUAAUAUCAUGCUUAAAAUUGAUUCAAACUGAUCCCAACCCAUAACCACUUCUAAUUCUGAUUAGUUUGACUCAACCUUUUUAUUCUUUUAAAUACUUAUAAAAUCUCUUAUCCAAUUAUAUUUAUAUUUGAGCAAAAAAUGAUGUAUGUAUGUAUGUAUGUAUGUAUGUAACUUGAAAAAUGAAUUGGAUAUUAGAUGGGAUUUCAUUGAAUCAAGAGGAAAGGUGAAGAAAGACAUGGAUCGUAUGGCUGCAUAUAGAGAGGCACUAAGAACAUGGUCAAAAUGGGUGGAUUCCAAUGUUAACACUACAACUACCCAAGUGUUUUUUCAAGGCAUUUCUCCGACUCAUUUCAAGUAAGCUUUAGCUCUUCUCUUCUCUUCUCUUACCAUUUGCAUUAACUUCCUUGUUCUUAUUUUACUUAAAAGAAAUGGAAUUAUGAAAAAAAUUGAAAGCCAUUUUUUUUCCAAUAGAACUUAAUUCAUUUUAAUCCCAUCAGAUUUGGUUCAAAUUAGAGGUGUUUAUAAGUUGGUGAGUCAAUCGGCUUAGUUCGCUUUAGACUGCACUUGAAGUUAAGUUUUCAAGUUUCGAGCCAGAUUAGCCUUACUUGUUUUAUUAGUCGAAGAAAACUAUUUUUAAUUGUUUUAUAAACAAUGAAAAUGGACCAUUUAGGUAAGCUUAAGUUUGGAAAAUUUUUGAAAUUGGGCUUAAACUUGACUUGGAAAAUGAACACUUAUAGUUGAAAGAAACUCAUUUGUCAUAAAGCACAAAUACUUUUAUGAUUAGAGACGUUAAUGGGCUUGAACUUAAAUUUUCUUUUUGGUUUAAGCUUGGUUCGAGUUGAAAACUCGUAUUGUUUAAAAUAUUUCUAAUAUAUUAUUGUUUAAAAUAUUUCAUAAAUAUUUUCAAAAUGAAAUAUGUGUAAGAAUCAUAAAUUCAAGCUGUAGUGUUUCCUCAUAUAAAUUAUGAAUCACUCUAAAUAUCUCAAAGAGAAAAUGACAGUUCAUUGACAUCUAUAUAAAGAUUUUUUUUUUUAAAAUAAAAAUCAACAAGUCUCUUACGUUAUCCAUAUAUAAUAUGUGGAUGUACAAUUAUAAACUUCACCUCAAACAAUUUGGUAUUUUGAUCCACAAUUUUGACAGUGGCAAAGAAUGGAAUGGUACCAAAUCAACAACUUGCACACAUCAAAUCAGACCGGCUACCGAUUUAACGUACGAAAGUGAUCCACCUCCGGAAGUGACGAUCGUAAAGGAAGUGCUAAAAAACAUGUCGACGCCGGUGGUUUUGCUCGACAUAACCAGAUUAUCACAGCUGAGGAAAGAUGGUCACCCAUCAAUUUAUACUGGUCUAAAAGGAAAUGAUUGUAGUCAUUGGUGCCUAGCUGGUGUUCCUGAUACAUGGAAUGAAAUCUUAUAUGCAAUUCUUACAAGUAGGAAAACUUAAUUCAAGAUUAUAAUUUUUUUUUCAAUUUAAUGUAUUUAGUUAAUAAAAAUUAAUUUCCCAUUAAUAGAUGAAGAAUUUUAAAUUUAAUAACAUAGGUGUAGCCAUCAAUUUAAUGUAUUUUUUACCCGAACCCAAAUUAAGUCAAGCUCAAACCAAUGGAAAACCUACAAUAUUAUUCAUAAUAAUAUUGAAACUUUAGAUUUUUUUAUUAGUAUUAUAUAUUUUAAUAAUUAAUUUUAAAUAUUUUUAUUAAUAAAUAGUAUUCAGGUCGCGCCAGCCCAAUUUAAAAGAUAUUUAACUCAAUAUAAAUUCAACAUAUUAAAUGAAUAAUUCAAAUGUCAAAAUGAGCAAAGGAAAAUCUAGAGUUGUAAGCUUUGCAACUUUAAAUUGGACAUGAGAGUUUCUUUUAUUGGAUACAUGCCACAUUAUUUUUUAACAAAAUUCCUUUAUUUUAUCAAUUGAAUUUAAAUUAUUAUAUUAAUAAAAUUAUUUAAUUAUUUAAUUGUGUUUCAACCUUUUACAUAAAAUAAAAUUUUCUCUUUUAACUUUUUCAUCAUUUAAUUUUUCACUUUUUAAAAUCACCCUCAAUUUCAAAUAUAAAUUUACUUGUGUAAAAAAAAAUCUAAAUCUGUUAAUUGCAUCUAGAACUUUUCAGAGUUGGUCUUGUCAAAAUUUUAAGUCUAUUUGCUAGGCCCAAGUUUGGCCUAAAAAAUAGACUUAAAAUUUUGUCUAAAUUUAACCCGGAUAAAAUAUUAAAAUCAGGCUCGACUCAACUCACCUGAAUUAAUUUUUCUAUAAAAAUAUUAAAAAUAAUAGGUCAAAAUACUAAAAAUAUUAAAAUAAAUAUUUUUUAAUAAUUUAAAAAUAAAUUUAAAAAUAUUUAUACUUAGAUAAAAUUAACAAUAAAAUAAUUUUUUAAUGUUUAUUAAAAAAUGGGCCGGACCGGGCUCGGGCUUAUGAUAUUUUUCCCGGGCCGGGCCUGGAAAAAUAUCAGGCCCAUAUUUCGAGCCGGGCCAAAAAAAAUUUCUGGGCCCGACCCGGCCCAUGGACAGGUCUAAUCUUAGACCUUUUCAGUGUUGGUCUUGUCAAAAUUUUAAGUCUGUUUGCUAGGCCCAGGUUUGGCCUAAAAAAUAGACUUAAAAUUUUGUCUAAUUUUGACCCGAAUAAAAUGUUAAAACCAGACUUAGACUCAACCCACUUGAAUUAAUUUUUUAUAUAAAAAUAUUAAAAAUAAUACGUCAAAAUAUUAAAAAUAUUAAAAUAAAUGUUUCCUAAUAAUUUAAAAAUAAAUUUAAAAAUAUUUAUACUUAGAUAAAAUUAACAAUAAAAUAAGAGUUAUAUAAUAUAUAAAUAAUAAUAAAAUAAUAGUAACAACAAGAAAAUAGUAAUUUUUUGUCUUUUUGUUAAUUCAUAUCGGACCGGGCUUAACCCGGUUGAGAACGGUACUUAUAUUUGUACAAAAAAAAAAUCAAAAAAAAAUGUGAACGGUACUUAACCCGGUUGAGUCGGAGCUCCAUGACCCGAACAGCAAUUUAUUUUUCAAUUCUUCUUCGUUACGCAAAAAGGAAAAAAAAAAAAACAGCUCAUGAAAAUGGCAUGGUCAAAUACUCUGCUUCAGAUUCACAUCAAAUCCCCUUCGAUCCCUUCUCUCCAUUUCCCACAUUCCCUCCCAAAAAGCUCCCCAUUCCUUCUUAAUCCUAACCCUAUAAAUCCCAUUCCCAGAUCCCUCAGAAUGCAAUUCCUUCACAGACCCAACGCUGUCCCACUCGUAUCAAGAGCCAUGGACAUCAUCCAAUCGUCUCCUCCCACGUGGCAAUCCGCAGUCCUCAGUAACCUCUUGAUCUUCGUCGUCGGCACCCCACUUUUAGUGGCGGGGCUUUCUCUCUCCGGAAUUUGUGCUGCGUUCUUGCUUGGCACUCUCACUUGGCGCGCUUUUGGCUCCCCUGGGUUUCUCCUCGUUGCUUCGUACUUCGUUAUUGUGAGUUGCUAAUAAUAUAUUAUGAAUUGUAGCUGAAUUAUGGGAAUUAAGUUAAAUUUUGGAAAUUGGGUUUUGAUUUUGUAUCCAUCUGGUAUUAAAAGUUGCUUGCUUUGGAGAAUUAGCUGUCAUUGUUUGGUAGUAUGGCAAGGAAAAUAAACUUAAUUUAUGUCGAAAGGUUACUUUUUAAUUAGUUAGCUAUUCAAGUUUGAUUAGUUGUAUUUAGAGAAAUUGAUUGUACUAGGUGAAAUGAGAUCAAAAGAUUAACAAAAGUUACUUGAUGGUUUCUAGCUUUUUAGCUGAAAUAAAGUCCUGUAUGAAAUGAUAUAAUAUUUUAGUUUUCUAUUAUGGCUUGUUUUCCUUGCAAAGUAUGAAUCUUGAAUUAGUUCCUGCCUCCCUCUUCUAAUUCUCCUUACCCAUUUCUAGUUGAAAGUUAAUUGAAAUUCCAUGUGAUUUUGUGUUAUAAUUCCAGUUCAUAAUCUGAAUGGAGACAAUAAAUUUGGAUGAAGGAGCUUUAAGCAGUGGGAAAAAUCCAUAAUAAUUUGUAAUUCUCUAAAUCUCUAAACAAUCUUACAUCUCUUUGUCAUGCCUUUCAAACAUAGUUGGUAUAACUAUGUUCAAUUGUCUUAGCUAUUGUUUAAUCAUUUUUAAUUUUUCAUUCCCCCUGCUCCCCCAAAAAAAAAUGUUUGUCUGAGCAAUGAGUCUUUCUCAAAAUCAAUUUCCAAGGCCAUUUUAUUUGAUUAUGACUUUGUGAGUAAAACAUGUUUGUAUUUGUUAGGGAACCGCAGUAACAAAAGUGAAAAUGGCUCAAAAGGAGGCCCAAGGGAUUGCUGAGAAGAGGAAAGGAAGAAGAGGACCUGGGAGUGUAAUUGGGUCCAGUGCUGCUGGUUGUGUAUGUGCUGUUCUAACAAUAUAUGGAGUUGGAGGAGAGGCAUUUACACGUCUUUGGCAACUUGGUUUUAUUGCUAGUUUCUGUACUAAGUUGAGUGAUACAGUGUCCAGUGAGAUUGGGAAAGCAUAUGGCAAAACAACGUAAGUAGUGCAUCUCUGUUUGUUAAUGUAUAGGCGCUUUAGAUUAACUGUAUUAAUAAUUCUCCUUAGUUCAUUCUAAAGAAAGGAUAUUUCAAAUCAAGUGGAAUUUAGAUCCCUUAUGGUUCUUGCUAUAUUCGAGCUCUAUUAUUGUCAUAUAUGCUGGUGAUAAAGGUCGCUUUGACAUCCUAUAUAGAAACAAAAUUUGUGAGUGUUAAUAUUGCCUCAAAUCUUUUUUUUUUUCUUCAAAGGUUUAUGUCAAUUGCUACUCUCUUUUUUUUUUACUGUUAAACUACACUUUAGAAUUGCAAAUAUAAAGUGUGUGAUGUGCCAAAAUGAACAGGUACCUGGUGACAAACUUUCAGAUUGUUCCUAGGGGAACAGAAGGAGCUGUCAGUGUUGAAGGAACUGUUGCUGGACUUCUAGCAUCUAUACUGCUUGCCACUAUUGGUUGUCUAUUGGGUGAGGUAGUACUUGCUAUGUACUCAUACUAUGUGAAUAAUUUGUUCUGCCAUUCAUGAUACCAUUUUUUUUUAAUAACAAGCAUUAUUGUGAUCAUUACAAAAUGUUUACACCUUGUAAGAACCUGGAAUUUUUUCUAGUCUCUGCAACAAUAGACUAAUUGGUGGGGUGGUGCCUAGAUGGAAUGAUUUUGCAGAUAUAAUUUGUUGAAGGUGUUUUUCAAAGGGAACUCUUAGCAAAAUAGCAGAUCAUGAUAUAUUUAUAAAUUGAUUUUGACAUCUCAGUUUAGGCGUGUACGACCUUUGUGAGCAUUAUUUUGCUGGGAACUUAAAUUUCAAUUUAAUAUAGUUCAGGUAUUACAAUUUGGUAAAUUGGAUAAUAUUUUCAAGGGGAAGGAGAAUUAAAUUAGUUGAAACCGAUUUUUAUUGUUAGUGGUUUUUUGUAUGUGAGUGGAUGAGGUUGUCUCUCUAGCCUUGCUGCAUCUUUAGCUAGGAUUUUCUCAAAAAUCUUGUAUAUAUCCCUAAGGUUAUGGUGUUGUUCAUAGUAUUGACGCCAUAACCUCUAUACACUUUCAAACUGAAUAUGAUCAACAGCUUCUAGAGAAUGCAUAAAUGAAAUAUGGGUAUUUGAAUUUAUAGAGAUGUUCUAAGCUUCUGUUUUUUGCUUUUUCAUUUAUCUUUGCAAGCAGAUAAAUGUACCUGAGGUAUUGAUAUGUGUAAUAGCAUCCCAGAUUGCUAAUCUUGGUGAGAGCAUAAUUGGUGCUGCAUUCCAAGGGAAAGAAGGAUUUCGUUGGGUAAGGAAUCAUUUGAAUAAUAGGAUGGUUUCUGUCAUCCUGUUUUCUUAACCAUUUUUUCUUAAAUUUAGUGCCUAUGUAUCUUCUAGAUUUUAGUGUUACCGAUGAAUCAGGCUUGAUUCUAUAUGAAUGUAUGGUUUGAUGUGGUAUAUCGAUGAGAUGAUUACAUGUAUAUCAUUUUGUGGACUCUCAUCAUGUUUGGAUCUGGCUGCACUCCUAAAGCUGUAGUGAGGAAGAAUUAUAUACCCACUGUUUUGGGGUAAAGAAGAUCGAAGAGUAAAUUUAGAGAGAUCAGCCUGUUAUAAAACUGCCUGCUAAGGAUUAAUUCUAGUCUUAAUUUUCAUUCGAUGAAAUCACGGUAUUGUGCAUGUAAAAGGCUGUUAUGUUGGUCUGAUUCUUCUUUUUGCUUUGAAGUAUCCAUGUUCAACAUAUAGUCACACAAGAAAUAUGGAGAUAUGACCUUCAAGAUACAUGAUAAACUUUAGCACAAAUCUCUAUCAGACACUUACCUGAAUUUGAGCGAAAUAUCUGGGUUGGCCAUAUAUAAAUCUGCCUAGGAUCUAUCAUCUUAGCAUGUUUAUAUGCUUUUCAUUAUAAGGCUGAAACUUGGAUUCUUUUACCAUAUUGAUUUUGGUUUUCAUCUUGCAGCUGAACAAUGAUGCUGUUAAUGUCAUCAACAUAUCCAUAGGCUGCAUUUUGGCAGUCUUAAUGCAACAACUACUCCAAAACUGGCAAAUGUAAGUUCACCCCAUCAUCUCUUUUGCGAUGUCAGGUAAUUAUUGCAGAGUUCAUCGACACUGCAAUCGACAUAUUGCAAUGUGGGGAAAGAAAAGAAGAAGAAGAAAGAGAAAGUCUUCAAUGUAAUGCAAGAGAUGAGCACAAAGGUGCAACAAUUAUAGCAAUGAUUUUGCUAACCUUGAAAGAUACUCAAAUGAUAUGGAAAAUCAUUAGCAUAACCAUUUGUUCCAUGAGUAUAUUUUAAAAAGGCUUCUCUCUUUUAUAGUCUUGGUAUUCAAAGAUGUAUUCCUUUUAUCAAUCUCCAGUUAGAAAUGAAUUAGAUGCUUUUUAAAUUGCAUUUCUUAACCAAAAUUAUUGGCUUUUUUUUUAUUGUUGUUGAGCCGCACUGGAUUUAUGGGUGUAAUUGAAGCACAAGCUUGACUUGGAACUUUUAUGUUCAAAGUUCGGCCCGGGCCCAAGCUUGAGUUCAAUUAAGCCAUUUGUGAAUAUAUCAACCAAUUGUUCCUUUGUAAAGACAUGUCUAGUUUGGACUAAACCAUCUUGGAUUUUUUUUACAAGGUGAGAGUCAAUCUCUAUAUGUUUCGUUCUCUCGUAGUAUUCAGGGUUGGUUGCAAUCUGAAUUGCUGCUUGACUAUCAUAGAAUAAUAUGAUUGGUUCUACUCGUUUAAAUCCAAGUUCCUUCAGUAGUCCAGUCAACCAAACUAACUCAGCCAUAGUUCUAUACUUUGCCUUUGCUGAAGAUCGUGAUACUGCAUUUUGUUUUGUUUUGUUUUUUCCAAGAGAUGAGACUUAAAACUUCUGGAGGAUGGUCAGGAUGGGUGUUUGGUUUACAAGGUAAAGAAAACGGUGAAGGUGGAGUUUGUGAGGUUUUCUUUUUACCUUUCCCUUUGGAGGAGGAUGAAGGUUGGAUCAUGAAAUUUUCUGGAAGUUUUUCUGGUGGUCUAGAAAGAAUGUCUGCAAGAACAUUGGUUUUCCCUUUUAUGUGGAGGACAUUCUGUCACUAAUCGCUUUGACAUUGGACUUGAAGCCCAAUUCGAAUCACAAUAUGCUACAAGUUAUGGAGAACCAACUACAGCACAGAAUAAACCUUGUCCUGGAUCCUUUUUAAUGUAUCUGACUAUUCUAAGAGCAGCUUUAUAAUGCGACUUCUUGGGUCGUUGCAUAAACUGACUGGAUGUUGUACCACAAACGUCAUAUCUAGCCUUGUAUGAGUCAAGUACAAAAGCCUUCUAAUAAGCCUUUGAUAUAAUGAAACAUCUGUCAAUACCUCAUCAUCAUGAUUCAUUUGCACCAUCUCAUCUUACUGGAGAUGUCAAGUUUUGAUUUUGUUCUAAAGGAGUGACAACUAUCUUUCCUCCCCCUUACCUCGUGUCUGAAAUUAAUUCAAGAGCAUAUUUGCGUUGAUUCAGUACAAUUUCAAACUGUGAUCUUGUGAUUUCAAUGCCAAGAAAAUACUUUGAGAUCACCUAAAUCUUUCAUUUUGAAAUUUUGAUGCACAGUUCCUUUAAGCUCAUUUAUAAGCUUGGUAUCAUUUCCAGAAAUCAACAAAUCGUUAACAUAUAUCAACAUGACAACCAGCUUAUAACCUUUCUUCUUGAUAAAACGAGAAUAAUCGUACUUACUUUGUGAAUAACCAUUUAGAAGAAUAGCUUUAGUAAGCUUUAGAUUCCACUGUCAGACUUAGCAAUUGACAUACUCUAGUCUCUCUUUGAUUGCGAAAAUCGUCUGGAAGAGUCAUAUAAACCUUCUCAUGUAAAUCUCCUUGCAUUAUAGGCAUCCAUUUGAAACAAGGGCCAACCAAACUAUACAGCAAGAGCAAUGACCGUGCAAAUUGUGACUUGCUUCGCAACAGGGGAAAGUGUCAUGAAAAUAAAAAACCUGCCUGCUGAGUAUAACCCUUCCUAACAAGUCUGGCUUUAAAUCUUUCAACCGAGCCAUCAGAGCUGUACUUGACCUUGUAGACCCAUAUGCAACCAAUGGGCGUUUUACUAGGAGGUAAAGGAACUACCUCCCACGUGACAUUUGAUUCCAAUGCUUGAAUUUCUUGAUCCAUGGCCUUUAUCCAAUGUUUAUCCUUAAUUGCUUCACUUUAGGUUUAAGGUUCAAUAAUAUGGGAAAUGGAGGCAGCAAAAAAUUGUGUAUGCAAAGGUAAAUGAGCAUCAGCUAUACAAUUAGAUAUAGGGUACUAACCUUUAUGGAGUGAAGAAGAUAAAGAAGAGCAAUUUAAAUCUUUCAUCCAUGUAGGAUCCUUAAAAGAACGAGUAGUGCGAUGUAAAGACAGCUGGUAAGGUAGUAGACUACGAAGGUAAUAAGGACUGGUUGGGAAAUGGAGCUGAAGAACGACAAGGAGCUAAGGAUGAACAUUUCAAAUGGGAUUUUUCCAAUUCAAAGCUGAAGUAGGUAAUCUGUUAACAAUAUAACAAGCAGCAAGGAUACACUCGCCCCAAAAUUUGGUAGGUACAUUAGACUGAACUUUGAAAGCACAUGCUAUUUCUAACAAAUGUCGAUGCACACAAGAACUUUGAUGUAUUAUGCCUAAGAAGAAAAAAAAGGAGUAUAUUCAGAGUUAAAGAACUCAGUACUUAUGACUUCCAAAAGUUUUAACAACAGUUGAAAAUUGCGUGUGAACCAAGGCUAUAAACUGUUUCAAAAUGACAAUAGUGUCGGUUUUAAGCUUAAACAGAUGAACCAAAGAAAAAGGAGAAUCCGCUCGAGAAUAACUAAUAGGAAAUGGCAAUCGUGUUUGUUUAGUAAGAGGACGAACAUGGCAUGGACUAAUAUAGUCACUGUUCCAAAAUGAAAGAAACAUGGCCAAGUCCGGCAUGCCAAAGGAAAGACUGAUCAUGAGAUGUCAAAAAGGAAGAAAUGGGAGAAGAUACAAAAGAUGGCAAUUGAGGCUGUUGAUGCACCAGAAUGUAAAGAUCAUUCUGUUCUUUACCAAUCCCCUUCACUUGUCCACUGCAAAGUUGCCGUAAAAGGCAAAAAUCGGGAUAAAAGGAUACAAAACAAUGUAAGUCUCGAGUUAACUUGAAAACGAAAAUUAAAUUGAAAUGAAAGUCUGGGACAUGAAGGGCAUUGGUUAACUUGAUAGAGGAGGACAAGACAUAGGAACCCAUGUGAGUAAUAGGGACGGAUUUACCAGUGGGAAAUUGGACAAAUGAAGAAUGAAAAGUAAAAGGAACAAGAGAAUCCAAAUAUUGGCAAUCAGAUAUCAUGUGGUUGGUGGCCCUCGUCUCCAAAAUCCAUUGGAAAGAUGCAGGCCAAGAAACCAUACCUGCCAUGUGAGCAGCUACUCCAACAGUUGAAGUGAACUCAAGACUGAGUAAAUUCAAGAUCAGUAGAUACUGUGCCUGAAUAAACACAGGUGCAAAUACUAUGGUAGCAUUGUUAGUCAUAGUUGACCUUUGUUUUGUAAAUUUAAAAUCAACAGGAUACCCAAUAAGCUUCUAACAAGUUUCCCGUUUGUGACCUUUAAUCUUUCAAUGGUCACACACAUCUUUCAAUGGUCACAGAAUACAAUGUUGUAGGUUCAGAAGGAAAAGAUAUGCCAGAAGAAUGUUGUCUUUGAGCUUCCUCUUGAACAAGCACGGAAUUAGCUUAAUUAACAGAAGGUAAGGGUUCCAUUAACAAAACCUGACUUCCAACAACAGCAUAAGAAUCAUUCAGGCCCAUCAGAAACUGAAAUAACCACUGUUGUUGAAUAAGUUGUUGAUUCAUGCGGGAAUUUUCACAAGAAAAAGAACCAAAGCAUCGUAAUCCCACAAAAGCUUCAAUCGUGUAAACAAAACUGAAACAGAGUAAGUACCUUGAGCAUGGGAAGCAAUCUCACCAUGAAGAACCAUCGACUUUCUCAUAUCGUUCUUGAAGUUCUUUCCAUGUUGACAAAAAUAAACUGUGCGGUAUAAUUAUAUAAUUAACGUCGCUCAAAAUUAACAUAAAAUUUCAAUAUUUGUAAAUUCGAAUAAAGAAGGUGAAAUUCAAUUAUAUUACUUUAUAUACUCAGUGCUUUCUAUGUAAAUUAUUUUCAUUAUUUUAAAUAUAAAAUGUUUAUAUUAACAUGAUAAAAAAUAAAUUAAAUUAUAAAUUAAAUAAAAAAUAAAAUUCAGUUUUAGUUACAUUCAAAUACUCGAUUUUUGGGGUUUUCUGCGCCCUAAUAGUAGGAAAAGAAAAUUCUCAUCAAACCCUAAAGCCCAUAAAAGAAAAAGUGAGAAGUUUAGUUGAUCUAUCAGAAUCUCAAGCACUCACCCUUAAUUUGCAGUAAGUUGCGAGUCUGCAAUUCUUUAGACCCCUUUUCUCAAUUGAUUUUCUUCUUUAACCAAUCGUUUCUCUCGCGCUCUGUUUCUUUUAGGAUGGCCGAUGAACAUAUUUCCACAGUCCUGGAGCAGCUACGACGAAUCAUGGCCGACGAAAGAUUUCGGAACUCGGAGUUUCAGAUAAACUUGCUUGUAUGGAGACUCGAAGCUUUUCAAUCUAUGAUUCUUUAACAUGGGGACGGGCUAUUUUCGGUUCGGCUAUUGGAGCGUGGGAUUACUGUUCAUGCACUCGAUCAAGUGCUAUAUAACAUAGAAGAUGUAAUUAACGACGUCUUACAUUUAGGAGUAUCUACUGAAUUAGCAGCAGCAGGCCUUGAGAAGUUUGCUUCUACUCAAUCAAAAGCAGCAUCAGCAGAAACAGCCACUCUUUACAUCUUGCGCAAGAGGUUGGAAGAAUUGGAGGAGGUAUUGAUUGGUAAUCCGCAUGAAUCGCAUCCCUUGCACUCUAAACGAUCUUUUUUUGUAAAAUUGUCAAAGUUAUAUGGUCUAGAUGUGGUUAAGAAAGAUAUAAUAAAUGUAAUUUUGGGUGAAAGUUUCAGGGAUAGUAGCGACAGCAUUAAAACCAUCAUUAUUGUUGGCAUGGAAGGAACGGGGAAAACAUAUCUUGCGCGGUGCAUUUGUACUGAUUGUCAAGUUCUGGAAAUUUUUGACAACAUAAUUUGGGUGAAUGUUUCGGAUGAUUUUGAUUUAGGUAAAAUUGCAAGAAAAAUUAUUCUGUCUCUUGAAGGUUUGGAGCAUGACUCUUUGCGUCUCCUAACAUUAGUUCCAUUGCAAAGUCUGUUAGAUAGAAUUCAGCGAAAGAUUGUUAACAAGAAAUCACUUCUUGUUUUAGAUGGUGUGGGGAGAUAUGAUUGUGAUGAUUGGGAAGCACUUAGAGCUGUUUUUCAACAUGGCAUGUCGGGGAGUGGGAUUCUAGUGACUACUCAUGAGCACUCGGUUGCAGGAGCAAUGGAAUCAUCUUAUAAAUUUUGUUUGGGAAAGCUGUCUGAUGAGUUGUGUUGGAUGAUACUUCGUGAAGUUGGAUUGAAUGAUGAUACUCUUGAAUAUGCGGUAGAGGAUAUAGGAAGGGAACUUGCAAGGAGGUGUGAAGGACUACCCUUUGCUGCAAAGGUUUUGGGAGAUGCUAUACGACAUUAUGACUUUGGAAUAAGAGGAUGGGAUGUUUUUCUGAGAAAUUGUAUCUGGAAAUCUCCUAGAAUACCCAAAUAUAUGUCUAAAAUUCUAUCACUAUCUUAUUGCAAUCUACCUUUGUCUGUAAGACGGUGCUUAUCGUAUUGGGCUAUCUUCCCCAAAAGCUUUGAGAUUUCAAAAACUCUUUUGGUGCAACACUGGAUGGCACAAGGUUGUCUGUACUCAUCUGAUAAUUUAGAAAUGGAACUAAAAGGUGAAGAGUACUUUAAAUGCUUAGAAGCUCAUUCAUGUUUCCAAUAUUGUACCAGAGAUGGUGGUAUGCUUACUUGUAAGAUGCAUAGCUUAGUACAUGAUUGUGUCCAAUCUUUGUCCCCAUAUGAUUUAAUGAUGAGGUUCGAGUCUGUUAAACAGCUGACCUUGAAUUUAUCUUCUUGGACGGAGGAGGUCAAAGUUGUUGGCACUCAUCAUUUGGUAAUGAUGAUUGCUCAAGGAGCUGGUUUUCCCAUGGACAUUAGUGGUGCAGAGAAAUUGAGGACCCUUGUUGCUGUUACUCAAGGGUGUUUGAUAACUAGUCAAGCAUUAUCUAACUUAUUUAAACAAUCCAAACAUCUGAGGUUAUUGGAUUUGAGCUUGACUAGUGGGUGGCAUAAUUGUUUUGGGCCAUCCGGACAAGGUAAUAUACUAGAUGAAAUUCCGGUGGAAAUCUGCAGAUUGAUUAAUUUGAGGUACCUUAGCUUGGCUGGCAGCAAAGUAUUGAAGAUAUUACCAGAAACAUUGUGUGACUUGCAUAAUUUGCAAUCCUUGGAUCUUACUGGUUGUAGUAGUCUUAGAAAAUUGCCAGAUGGAAUGGGGAAAUUAAUGAACUUGAGGUAUUUUUAUACCUGGUGUUGCUCUAGUAUAACUUCCUAUCCAAAAGGGAUUAGCUGCUUAACUUCUCUUUGAGAAUUAACCAAUGUCAUUGCUAGAGCUGAUCACAAUGAUGCAAAGGAAUUCACUCUUGGAGAUUUUGAAAAGUUGAACAACCUUUGUGGACAUGUUCGUGUGAAACUGGUAGGGAAUGCGAUGGAUGCAGAUGAGGCUAUUAGAGCUAACCUUUGGAACAAGAAGGAUCUUGACCGUAUCAGAAUAAAUCUGGAUGGGGAUAUAGGGAAAGAAAGCCAAGACGUUAUAAAGAAAGCAUUAAACCCGCCUUCCGACUUGAAUAUAGAGUUCGUAGGUUGGUGGUUCUAGUCCAGAAAUGUAAGGAUGCUGCAAAGCAACAGGUAGUCUCUCUGUCUCAUUUUCUCUUUUGUUGUAGCUUUGAUGGUUCAAAUUCAGUAUUUACUCCUAUGAUUCAUUCAAACCCAAAUUUCAGUUGUGUUAUAGUAGUUCUAGUUUCUGUUGUUAUCAUCUGAUUAGAUGGAAUAUUAUGAAAUCUCUUAUAACAUUACAAUGACAAAGAUAUCGGCUUGUCUAUCACAUGAAAUUUCUCUCUUGCUAAAGCAUGCUCUGAAUGAAUCACUUUAAAACGGCAAGAUAACUUAGAUUAUCCUUAUUUUCUUUUGCUGGACAUACAUAUCCCGUGAGAGACAUUGUCGUUAUCGGUGGUACUGUAGUUAAAGUUGGAGUAUAUUUUUAGUAUUUUAGUUUUUAUAUUAGGAUUUAAUCAGUUAUUAAGAUGGAUUUUUUCUGGAAAAAACAUGGAUACUUUUUUCUAAAAUUUUUUAUUAACUCUUUUGAAAUUUGUUAAAUUUUUAAUUAUUUUUAUUAGUUUUUGAAUUUUUAUGAAUUAUAGGUAGGCUACCACACGAAUUGAUCACGUCAAUAUUGUUAAAAUUUUAAUAAUCUUUUUAAUUCAAAAGAAAGUAAUAUAACUAAAUUGUAAAGGUUAAGUGUAAAAGUCAAAAUGACAAAAUAAGUCAACAUUAAAAGAUUAAAUUUAUCACGAUGCCUUUUUUAUAUACUCAUAAUUAAUUAUAAUAAAAAGUUAACUUUAUUCAGAUAUAUUUGUUAUUUUAAAUAAAUAUUCAGAAUACAACUUGAAAAUAAUCUCAUGUUUAUAAUUAUAACACGAAAACUUUACUUACUAUAUAAUGGAAGAGUAUUUGGUAUAUUAACAGUGUGCCUUUUUUUAUUGCACAAGUAUGUGUAAAAGAUUGAUAUAUGUCUUUAUUUUUUAAUAUUUUAUUAUACUUUCUAAGACACUUGUCAAUCUUUUAACUUUGCUUAUAAAAUUUAAAAAUUCCACUAAUAAUCUCACCUAGCAAAAUGGAUUAAAAACAUUUAAAGUAAUUUAGUUGAAUUAUGAUAAAAGGUCAAUGUAUUCUAAAAUGCUAAAUGGCAUAAAUUUGAGUUUGUCAAAUUCUCUAGCAUUGGGAGGUAAGUCAAAUUGCAAACUAAGUUGAAUAUUUUUUGGCUUUUCAGUAAUCAUAUUCAUGCUAAUAUUUUUAGAUUUAAUUCUCACUUUCAAUAUUAAAAGAGGGUUCAAAUGCAACUUGGAGUCAACAUGAACAUGAUACUUUGAAAACCCUAAAGGGCACUUGCACUCUUGUUUUGGAGGUGAGGUUAAGAAGACCUACAACAAGUUUUAAUAGAAUUUGAUAUAGUUGAAAAAGAUUCAGAGGAAAAUGGUACCAAAAUCUACAGUCGUGGAAUACGAUGACUGUAUUAAAAUAUAUGAAAUUGGUUGAUGGUUUUAUUUAUUGUCUCUUAAUAUUUUAACUAAUCAAUUAAGUAGUAAUGAGAAGGACAUGACACUUAAUCAUUAUAGUUUCUAGUUAAAGUUUAGGAAGAUGCAUUGACAUCAAUUCACUAAUUUUUUAUGAAAAAUGUUUUUAACCGGUUCAUAUCCCCAAUACCAUUGAACGUUGAAUCAAAUGGUUUUGUUGAUUAGAGAAAGACACUAAGAAAUGUAGAGGAACAUGUAUGCGUAAGAGAGAAUUUGAGGCACAUUUAAUAAGUUAACUUUGGAAAUUUUAUAUGUGGAUAAUAGCAACGAAGAAAGAGACUGUUGAGAAUGAUCAAACUUGGAGCAUAUGUUUAGAUCCAUGUGGAGGUACCUAUUAGGUAAGUGAAACAAGCAAUUGAAAUGAUGGAGAGUUUAGUACACCGGUAUCGUACUAUGAUAAUUUAUGGUCAUUUUUAAUUAAUACAAGUCAAAAAUAAUAAUAUUUAAUAAACCUAAAAUUAAUGGGCAAAUAGUGAUGAGUUAUCCUAAAAUAGAAUUGAAGAGGAUAAGGUCCUACAAUUAAUAAUAAGAAAAGUGAAGACUCUUUGAAAAGAUUAAGGAUGUACUUUGAUUAAGAGUGGUUAUAAAAAAAAAAAUUGGGGGGAAGGGAUAGAGUGGAGUAAGGAAAGUGGUGUGAUUGCCCAUUAACAUAAGUAAGAAAUAUGCGAAUGAUUGCCCAUUAACAUAUAGAGUAGGUAAAAUUGACUUGUUUUUCUAGAAAGACAAUAGAUAAGCCUAAAAAGUUAUAAAAAGUAAUUGUUAAAAUAGUUAAAAUGAGAGGAAAAAAUAAGAUAUUUUUGUUUAUGAGAAUUAAGUGUCGUGAGUCGGGACGAAAAGAUUAAUCAUUGUUACGACAGUAAAUACCUUGAUUACAACGAAAAAGAUAAAAUACCAUUUUACUUUAUAGAAAAUUCUCAUGAUUUUAUAAAAUAUACCAUGAAUAUAUUAAAUCAUAUAAAAAGCGUAAUUCUAUAACUCAUACCUAAUUUAAAUACAGGAUGGUAUUUAGAAUGAUUAUAAGAAAAUGCUUGUUCAUGAAUGUUGUGAGUUUUCCGAAUCUUGGGGACAAUGUACCCUCUGGCUCCCGUCAGGAUUCACCUGGUAAUUUAUAAAAAGGAAUAAACAAUCACUUGGUAACUCACAACUCACAAGGCAUAAAAUAUAAUCACGUCAAGCAGCAAAACACAAACCUUUUUUAAUAUUCCAAUCUAAUACAAGUGAUAAUAUCAACUCUUAGAGCCCUAACUCUUAAAGUAUCAGCACAUAAUUUUAACCACUUACUUUUAAUAAAUACCACCAUCACUACCAUUAUCACCAUCGACAGAGCCUCUCAAUUCAUAUGUCCUGCAAAAAAUGGUGUCAACACUAACAAAAAAACCAAAAUUAUAUCAUUAAAAUAUAUUUGUAUUUCUUAAAAGGCAGAUCAUUCAGUUUUUCUGGACAAGUUUCCCUAUGCAAUCUAAUACAAGUGAUAAUAUCAACUCUUAGGGUCUGUUUGAUUGACGGAAUUGAUUUUCCGGAAAAUCAUUUCCAACUUUUCCAGCGUUUGAUUGGCGGAAAACAUUUUCCAUUUGGAAAAUGAACUCCAAAACAAGGGAAAAUGAGUUACAUUUUAGGGAAAAUGUCUUACUCUUUCAAUUUCUAUAAUUUUAGGCUUUUCCCACCUACCUCUAAUUACACAAAAUAUUUUCAGAUUUAAUUUACUAAUUUUGGCUUUUACAAGGUCAAGAUUUGACUAUCCCAUCAAAUGUCCCAAAUUUAUAAUUUGGUCCCUCUUCUCUUUUCCAUGCUUCAAUCUAACCCCUUCUUUGCUUGUUUUUGAUUUAAAGUGCCCGAAUUUUGUUCCUGUCAAUAUUUAAACACAAAACGCACCAAUUACCAGGGAUUAAUUUGAGAAUAAGUCGAGUUGAACACGUAAAUUAUGCAAAAUGAACAAGUUAUCAUUGACCAUUAGUGCUACGUCAGCACAAACAAACGGUGUUAGUGCAGAGAUACCAACCUAGGUGACAGAAUAUAAAUUCAGGUACCAAUUAGAUAAAAAAAAAUCAUACACCAAAUAAAUACUUUUGAAUAAGUUCGAAAAUAGACGACAAAUUAUCCUUUCUUUUCUCUUUUUAUCUACCUGUAAUAUUUGAAUAUGAAAAGAAGUUACACAACUUUUCAAUUUCAAUAGUAGUUAUUUAACUUUGCCUAGUUGAGUUUUACAUAAAAUUUCUUUCUUUCGUUGAACAUGCUCUCAAUGAAUCACUUCAAACCCCCAAGAUCCUAAUAUUUUGCAGAACAUAUCAAUUGAGAGGCUCUAUCGAUGGUGGUGGUGGUGUUAGAAUCCGUUUAUGCUGGUGGUAGCAUUUUGUAUUUUUUUUUAUCGUAUUUAUUAAAAAUAAGUGGUUAAAAUUACGUGUUGAAAAUUUAAGAUUUAGAGCAUAUCGCCACUCGUAUUAAAUUGUAAUAUAAGCAUCGAUUGUAAAAAGAAAAGUUUGUGUUUUGCUUGUACUGUCUCAUAAAAGACAUUAAGUAAUUUCGUUGUCGUGUUUAUAUUUUAUGCCUUAUGAGUUACCAAAUGGUUGUUCAUUCCUUUUUAUAAAUUACUAGCCGAAUCCUCUUCAGUGAAGGAGCUUGAAAAUUUUUUGGGAGGGUCGGAAUUAAAUUGUAUAUUUGUAUGAUGGUAAAAAUAGAAUUUUAUAAUUUUAAUAGCUUAUAUCUUUAUAAUUUUUAAAAGGUUAAAUCAAAAUUGUAUCAUUUUAAGAGGUCAAAGUAUAGUUUUACUAUUACUAAUUUAAAAUUUUAUAAAUUAUAAAGGGCCUAAAUUAAAAUUUACUAUUUUAAGGGGGCUAUGGCGCCUUGGGUCUCCACUACAUUAUGCCACUGAUCCUCAUGGAAGACAGAGGCUACCUUGACCCCCAAGAUUUAGAAAAUUGCCAUUUGACCUUUUUAAUUUUAUAAAAUUUUUAAUUUAGUUUAUUAAAAUUCUGUAAAUUUUCAUUAAACAAUUUUUAAAACUUUUAAUUAGAUCUCUCAAAUUCUUUUUGGAAAUUCUUAUUUUCUCAAUUAAUUUUUUAAUUAAACUAUUCAGAAUUUUUGAUAAUUCUCAUUAAACCUUUUUAAAAUUCUCGAAAUUUUAAUUAAAUUGGUAAAAUUUGAAAAAUUUUAGUGAAGGGAAUCCCUCCCACAUAUUGAUCAAGAAAGCUUUGAAAAAAUAUUAAUUAAUUAUAUGUUUGAGAGAUUAAUAAUGUACUAUUUGGCUCCCAACAAUAAUAAUUCACUCUUAAUUUUGCUUCUUUUCCCUUUUUCUUUUACUUGUUUUUGUGAAAGAUAUCAUAAUAUAUGUUUUAAAUAAUUAAUGUAAUAAUAGAAAUAUUAAAAAAUAUAGUUAAUAGUAACAAUAUUUUAUACAAGCACAAUGACUUAUUCAAUUCUCCAAUUUUACAAAAAGAGACCAAUAAGUGAUUAGAUGUAAUGACAGGUCACAUUGCAUUCCCAAAAGAACUGCCUAAGUUCGAACAUCAUAAGUAAUAUAAAAACUUAAACAAAGUCAUGUAACAACCCAUAUAUCAAGUAUCACCAAAUACCAUUUCAUUCUUAUUCCAUUGUUUAGUUUCUAUUUUCAAUCAACUGAAUAUCGUCCGAUGGAACUAUAGCAAAACGGGCUCAAAUACACGGGAAUAAGUUGGUCACACAAGUUGACAGUAUAUUAGGGCUGCUCAGACAAGUUGACAUUACAACAGAAUUGCUCACAUAAACUGAUAUUAUAUCAAGGUUAUUCAUCUGGGCUAAACCUUCAAUAUGUAUAACCCGAGAAUUUGAGACAAGCCCAAGAACUCAUCCUAUGUAAAAGGGGUGCCAAACCCUAGUGCAUAGUAGGGUAUGUUGCCGCCCCUUAGUGUUUUGAAUAAAGGGGAACUGUAGUAUCAUAUUAAAACAAUACUAUUUAAUUACUCAUUAUUCAAGUAAAACUUUUGUACUAUUUUCCUAAAAUAGGAUCUAUGAAAUGAUUUAAUUACACCUAUCGCUGUUAUUUUAUCAUAAAAUAGUGGUAAUUUGUUUAUAAGAAUAAAUUCUAUAUUCUGAAAAGCUCAAAGUUUUCGAUUUCUAUAUAGAGAAUUAACUUUCUCACUAAAAGUUCAUGAAAGAUUGGUUGAACUGGGCAAAAAAAUUGGUCGAAUUAGAUGCGAUUGAACUGGUUGAACUAAAAUAUUUUAAUAUAUUUUUAUUUUUUAUGAAUUUUUUAUGAUUUAUUUAAUUGAAUUAGACUAAUCAAUCAAACCAAUUGAAUCAAUUGGAUCAACAAACUAGUAACCUUAUUGGUUUGAUCAUCGAUUUAGUUUUUAAAACCUUAGAUUUCGUCAUACCGUUUCAAUUAUUAUACCUUAUAAAUAAAAUAUAAAGUAAACCAGUGGUGAAAUUAGGGGGAUUGGCAAGGGCCCUGGCCCUCCCUAAAAUGAUUUUUUUUUUCAUAUGGACCCUCUAAAAAAAUUAAAAUUUUAAAUUAAUAAAAAUAAAAUUAUACUUUGGCUCCCCUAAAAUAUAAAAAUUUGAUUUAAUCUAUUAAAAAUUAUAAAGAUGUAGUCUAUUAAAAUGGUGAAAUUGUAUUUUUCUAUCGUAAAAAUUACAAUUUAAUUUUAGCCCAUAAUUUUUUUUUUCUAAUUUCGCACCUGAAAUAAGCUAUAUUUGAUUAAAUUUAUUAUUUUACCUUACAUACAAAACACAAAAUAAACAUUUAACUAUACAAAAUUAAUUGAUGAAUUGUUUUACUCAGUUGAAAGUAGAACAAAUAAUUGAUCCAAGAGGAAAGUGAAAUUUAUCCUUUUAUACGUCGAACAUUAGCGAAAAGGACAAAAAAGAAAUUUUGGGUUAUUUGGCUUUUGUUUCCUGCUGCUCUCCUCAAUCCAUUGACGCUGUUUCACCCCCUUUCUCUCGAUUUCUCAAUGUUUCUUUUCCUGUAAUUUGUUGUGAUUUGAAGUAUAAAUCAGGGAGAAGUAAAAGCUAUCAUAAAAAUGGCGGAGGCAAUUCUUACGGUAGUCUUGCGACAGAUAACAACAAUCUUGAGUGACCAAGCGGUAAAAGAGAUGACGAUGUGGGGAGACCGCGAGGCUGCUCUCAAAAAUCUUGAAACAUAUCUGAAAUCCAUCCGAUCCGUUCUCAAAGAUGCAGAGGACCUUCAAAUUACAGACGAUGCAAUCAAACUGUUGCUAGAAGAUCUGAAAAUUGUAAUUUAUGAAAUCGAGGAUGUGUUGAAUUUAUGGAGCUGUAAAGUACGGAAGGCAGAAUCUGUUCGUGCCAAGGUAAAUUGUCUACUUGAAUUCAUUGCAUAUCGUCGUAGUUCUGAUAGAAUAAAGAAGAUUUGUGAAAAACUGAGUCCAUUUGAGCUGAAAAACAAGCUGGAUCUGGGCAAGAGUAAAAUUAUAUCUCCUCUGCGGAACAAAGAAAGUACUAGCUAUUGUGAUCUAUCAAAAAUUAUUGGUCGAAGCGGAAUAAAAACUGAGUUAGUGUUCCGUUUAGUUUNNNNNNNNNNNNNNNNNNNNNNNNNNNNNNNNNNNNNNNNNNNNNNNNNNNNNNNNNNNNNNNNNNNNNNNNNNNNNNNNNNNNNNNNNNNNNNNNNNNNNNNNNNNNNNNNNNNNNNNNNNNNNNNNNNNNNNNNNNNNNNNNNNNNNNNNNNNNNNNNNNNNNNNNNNNNNNNNNNNNNNNNNNNNNNNNNNNNNNNNNNNNNNNNNNNNNNNNNNNNNNNNNNNNNNNNNNNNNNNNNNNNNNNNNNNNNNNNNNNNNNNNNNNNNNNNNNNNNNNNNNNNNNNNNNNNNNNNNNNNNNNNNNNNNNNNNNNNNNNNNNNNNNNNNNNNNNNNNNNNNNNNNNNNNNNNNNNNNNNNNNNNNNNNNNNNNNNNNNNNNNNNNNNNNNNNNNNNNNNNNNNNNNNNNNNNNNNNNNNNNNNNNNNNNNNNNNNNNNNNNNNNNNNNNNNNNNNNNNNNNNNNNNNNNNNNNNNNNNNNNNNNNNNNNNNNNNNNNNNNGCAUCUUUCUAACACCAACAACAUUACUGCCAUCCUAAUAAACCAUAAGUACCAUUUCCACUCCAUCAUCAUCAUCAUCUUUCUGUUUUCACUUCUCUCUCAGCUAUAUGUUACUUUUUGUUAACUUCUAUAUGUAUAUAAUCUAAAGAAGCCUAAGCUUCUUAUUUAUAUACAAGCAGAACAUUUUGCAUCCCACUUAUUCAAUAUAAUAUAAAAAUAAUAUAUAAUUAAUUAAUUCCUCAAAAAUUGGAUCAAUCUAGGCUUCUUAUUUACGUAAAUUCCUUAUUGCAAAAACUCUUGGUAGAAAUUCGUUAGGAAAGGAUGAAUGGACCACAAGAAUGCUUAUCAACUCUUGACUUUGGCGUCCAAUGCUAAAUUUAUUUUAAAAUUUCUUCAUGGAGACAAGAUGGGAUGACAAGAAUGAUAAGUUUUAAGUCAUUUAAGUUUACACAAUUUUAAUCACUCAUAAAAACAAGUAUUGACAUUCUAUUAAAGAAUUUAAACAUGGCUUAACGUUGAUUUUAAAUCUAAUGUUGAUGUUAAUCUUGAAAAAAGAAUGGCCAAAAAAAAUAUGAAAAGUGAGAGGUGGACAUAAAAUAGUGUAGUUGGGGUUAUAAAAUUCUUCAUGUAGACAUAAUAUUUUUUUUAUGCCUUUUUUACACUUAUAUAGAGUUAGUCUUGACUUUGCUUUAUUAAUAGAAAUUUUAGGUCUUCAUUUUUUGUUUUAUUCAUGGACAUAAUAUUUUCUUAUUUUUAUUUUAUGGUCUAUGAUCGAGGUUUAUGACUAUCCCCUUUCAACAACGUCGUCUCAACUGUUCAAACAUACACUUGCAGGUAAAAUAAUACUUUUUAAAAUCACAAAUAUUUAAAAUAAUACAUUGCAGCUAUAUAAAUGCUUUCUUGUUUAAGAUACUAAUAAAGUAAUUAACAAAGUAAUUAUUAUACCUAUAAUAAUUCAAAAUGCCACUUGUUAUCUAAUGAAGUAUAGGGGUGUAAAUGAGACAUCCGUACCCGCAAGCUAUUCGAAUUUGGCUCAAAAAAUUUUGAAAUUGAUUCGGUAAUUAUUGAGCCGAGCUAUAGGUCGAUCCGGAUUCGAGCUUAGUAAUACUUGACUCGAGUAGUUUGAGAGCCUUAUUGAACUUUUUAUAUUUUUAUAUUAUUAGAUUACAUUAUUGCUAUUAAUAUAUAUUAUUAACCCUAAGUUUAAUUAUUGAGGCGAGCUCAAACUCGAGUACAAAAAUUGAUAAACAUAUUUAAUUUCGAGCUUAAAAAUAUAUGUUCGAUCGAGCAUCAAGCUUUGAAUUUCAAAUUAAACUUGAGUUUAACAGUAUUGAGUUCAAAUAGAUUCAAUUACACCCUACAAUAAAAUAUACCAACAAAACCUACAUUCCAUCUUUGCUAUAAAUUUUAUGUAUGUGUGUGUUUAACGUGAGUUCCAUCUAUGUCCAACUUGAUGACGAUGAAAGUUCCUAUGGUGUAAAAAGUUUUAGUUAUGUGGAAAAAUAAGGCCUUCUCUUCACACGUUUAAUAUGCUUACUUGUGUCGGUCAUUUCGAUCUUCACAUCAAUUUUCAAAAAGUUGGAAAACUUAUGUCUGCUUUUAUGAUUCUUUUAUGUGUGUGUUUAACGUGACUUCCUUGUGAGUUCCAUCUAUGUCCAACUUGAUGACAAUGAAAGUUCCUAUGGUGUAAAAAGUUUUAGUUAUGUGGAAAAUUGGUGGAAAACUUACGUCUUUUUCACUUGCUUUUAUGAUUCUUUUUACAUGAUAUUACUAUAUAAUUAAAUUGAAAUACUGAUAAAUUUGAACCCAUAUGAUGUAAGUCUAGGCAUCAUCUAAUUUAUUGAUAUUUAAUUAAUUAAUAUAUAUACUUUCAAUUAUAAGAAUUGAAACAUAACUUUCAAGUCAAUUGGAGUAUGCCCCUGUUACACGUCAAAAGAAGUAGAUUUUGAACUCAACAUGAACCUGUGAGAUUUGAUGCCUAAAAUAUAGGUAUAAGGUUUCAAUUCAUGGAAAUGUUGGAAAUCUUGGAAAUUUCUUAGUCUCCUCUCUUUGGAUGUUUUUGAACAAAAAUGUUUUAAGUCUCUUCCGAUGCUAAACUUCUGAUUGGUCGUCGGUUCACUGACCCUUUGGUACACAGCAAUAUGAAGCAUUGGCCAUUCAAGGCCAUUGCUGGUCCUGGUGAUAAGCCAAUGAUUGUACUACUAUAGAUUUGAAUAUUUGUACACAUUUGAUCGGCUCUUCGUAAAUUUAAAUCUUACAAAUUCGGAUAAUAUUUGAACUUUGAAUGUAUGUUUUGUUGGUGAGAAUAUAAAGUUGAUAAAGAUUUGGUAAAUAGAGUAAAAUAUUAUUUUUAUUAGAAAAAUUAUUUGGUACACUGCCAAUCGAGGUAAUUAAAACAUGUCAUUAUAAAUAAUAAAAUUAUGAUGACUCAAAUAUACGAACACGUCAAAAUUUAUGUACAACGAAUUAUUAACAUGUAAAUGUAUAAUACGGUACGCAAAAAUAAGAUAAUUGCUUGUUUUUUUAAUUGAAUUGUUAUAACAUAUUAUACAAAAUACAUUGUGACUUAAAGCAUAAAAUGAACUUGAUAUCAAAAUAUUAAAUUUUUUUUAAAAUUCAAUGAUACGAAUAAUUAUGUAAAAUAUAACAUGAUGCAAAAUAUCUUGAGAGGAAAAGAGGAAUAAAGAAUUGCAUUAUUUGUGAGGUUUUAAAAUAUUCCAGUUUUAGAUUCAAUUUUCUAGUAUGUUUGGUUUAAUUUUACAUUAGAUUUCCUUUUCAGUAUGCACUAGUGAACGCUUAGCAGUCAGUUUAAUUUAAUUCAAAGAGAUAUUGCAUAUACAUAAUAAUGGAUUAUGAUUUUACAUUAAAUUUCAUAGAAGAAAAAGAAAUAGAUGGUUGAAAAUGAUAAAACCAUAAGAUAAAAGAGCUUUUAUUCAAAAUGCAAAAAUCAACAAAAUAUUCAUUAUCGCUCAACUUAGCAUAAUUAAACAUUUAGGUGUGGAAACAAGUCACAAUUUGAGUAGCUAAACACAUUGCUUGAAAAUGUGAUAAGUAAGAAAAUUGCCCACAUUUGAGUAGCGACAUGUGGUGAAGCAUUUCCCAACGAGAGAAAACUAAGCUCUUCACCAGUAUGGAUUUAUGUAGAGGACAACAAAAAUUGUCAACAACACAACUACAUAAGAAACCAAAAAGCUCACAAAAAAAUCAUAAGUAUCUAUCAAACCAUCUUCUCCUUUAUCUUCUGAUACAAUUGAUAUCGCUGAUGGUGAAUCGGUUUUGGAACAACUUUUAUGCAAUAUAUCUCCACAACGAAAAGGAUUUCCCUCAUAACUGUUUUCAAUAAAGGUCCCAAAUUGAGCUUUUGGUUCGGGAAUACUACCUGACAAAUUGUUAUAUGCCACGCUGAAAACCUCCAAAGAGUUCAACUCUACCAAUUGAUUGGGGAUUUCACCACACUCAAGUUGUUGUAAGAAAGGUCCAAACUCUCAAUGUGCUGAAGUUUUGAGAAUGAUGAGGGUAUAACUCUGGUCAACUUAUUGUGUGACAAGUUUAAAGAAUGGAUUUCACUCAAGUUCCCUAAUUUUGGUGGGAUAUGACCAGUUAAGUUUUUGCAAGAUAAAUCAAUCCCAAUAAUAUAUGAAAGGAUGUUGCCCUUGUACGAAUAGAACCCACUCUUUGUUGUGAACUCUAUUACUUCUUCUAAGUAGCUGUCAGGGUUGUAAGGAUUUAUACCCCUUUCCCAUUUUCUCAUCACAAUGGAUGUUGAUUCAUCCUUUUCUAUAAAUGGAAGAUAGAACCCAGUUGCUAGACUCUCUUUCUCUUUCAGUGGAAGAGAUAAAUUUCCCAAACAAGAAGGUAUAGGACUAGAAAACAUAUUUUGAGAAAGAUCUAUGAUGCUUAAAGAAUGCAACUUGCAUAACUCAAUAGGAACUUUAUCAUGAAAAUGAUUAUCUUUCAGGAGAAGAACACUCAAAGAAGAAAGCGUGUAAAUCCAUUUUGGAAUACUACCUGUCAAAUUGUUUCCUCUAAGAUCUAAAGUCACUAUUGAAGAGUUAUUAUAAAAAAGCAAGUGAUAGUGUGCCUCUCAGUCUAUUCCCGUGGAGGUGGACAUGCUCUAUGUAUGGUGGAUUAAAACAUGACGGUAUAGAGCCAGAUAAAUUAUUUUGAGAAAGAUCCAAAAAUUCCAACCUAUUCAACUUUCAAAAUUCCAUUGGAAUAGAACCUUCAAAACCAUUGUUGGACAAAUUUAAUCUCCACAAAAAUGAUGCAUUCCCUAUCCAUCUUGGGAGCUUUCCAUGCAACUUGUUACUGAGAUCAAUUUCGCUUAGUGAAUUUGGAAACUCAAAAAGAAAUGUUCACACAAAGUUUUUUCCAACAUAUGUCUGUCAUUUGUGGGGUCUUGAAUUUAAUAUCAAUGGUUGAAUUUUCAUAGCUAAUAUGUGCGCAAAAGGCCUAGUGGGUGGAAUUUUAUGUCAGGAAAGCGUUUCUACAAUGACAUAAUUAAUUGCAUUACUUUUCAAAGAUUGACUAUUGACUUUGGUGAGCUUAUUAGGUUAAAUUCUGCUGCUGGUCACUGUUCUUUGUGAAAGUUGUAAAUUUAGUCUAUUUACUUCAAUUUGAUCAAUUUUAAUCCCUAUACAUUUUGAUUUUUAAAAUUUUAGUUGUGACCCAAACAAUAGAGUUAAAUCAAUUUAAUUAAAACCAAUUACUAGUCCUAUAUUAUGUGUACAAUUGUUGAUUUAGUCCAUACUCUCCAAUUGGAUCAUUCUAAGUACCUAUAUUUUUCAAAUUUUAAAAUUUCAGUCUUGAUGCAAAUGACAAUCCUUAGUCCGUUAACUAGAUUUUUAGUAACAUAUGAAAAUAAUAAGAUGAUAUGACAUUACAAAUAUGAUAAUAUUUUUGCGUUAAAUAUGUCAACAAUGACAUAAUUAAUUGCAUUAACUUUCAGACGUUGACCAUUGACUUUUGCUUCAACCUUGAGCUUAUAUAGCCCCUACAAUAAUUUAGGUUAUGGAAAUAAUCUUACAAUUAAUGCCUGAGAAAUUAUUAUAGAUCAAUUUAUAGUUUUAAUCCCUAUAAUUACUCAAUUGAAUUGAAGAUUCAGAUUUUCUUAUUUAAUUUGAUAUAUUUUCUUCUCUUAUUAAUGUUAAUGUUAUGGAUUAGUUUUUUUAAGACAACAUUAUUUUAUUCAAUGAAUAAUAUCAUACAAUUCGAGGAGAAAAUAACAAACACUCGUUGUACUCGUUAAAGGACAAGUUCCAUCAACACAACAAAACCUUUAACUUCAACAUUAAUAGAACAUUAUGGCAUGUUGAAAUCGGCUCUGUCACAACUCAAGCACAACAUAUCAGGAGUGAUUACAAGCACUUAAUAUGGUAAGAAAAUUAACCCCGGAUGGUCCAAAGCGGUGGGCAUAAAUCAGCAAAAGAACUGAGCAUCCACCAAACUAGAGGGGAUGCGGCGACAAAACUAACCCUAAAAUUACUCUCAAAAGCAAGACUAAAAAGCGUACUACAAGAGUAGACAAAAACUUCGAAAAGUAAAGACUUAUUAAACAAUGGAAAAAUAAACAAAAAAAACAUAUAAAACUUAAGAUAACAUGAGUCUAAACCGAGUCAUGAAAUUAUUUAUUAUUUUGAAACUCUCAAAACAUAAACAAAUUAAGAAGUCAACGAAGAGGUACCCACUUUCUAAAAGAAAGUGUUGGUGGUCGGUGGUGUUUCAAUGAUGAUAGGCAUUGUCACCUGUUCAUCACAACUUGUAAAGAUAACAAAAAUACCCACAAAAUAAAUCUGUAAAUUGAAAAGAACGAAGACUCAUGGAGUGAAUGAGAAGAAGAAAAAUAAAAAGGGUUAAUAGAGACAAAGCAGGGCGGUAACUAGUUCAGAGGCUAACACCGCUGCUAGGCUAAAAAAAGAAGAAGAAGCAAACAUGUUAUGGAUUAGUUAAAAUAACUAACAUCAUUGAAAAUUUCAUUACUUGGCUGAUUUGGAUUUUUUUUUUUAAAAAAUUGAAACUAGAAACCAUAAAUGAUCUAACAUUUAGAAACCAUAAAUUGGGUUCAAUUGCUUUGCUGUCCAACUCCAUCCAUCUAAAAUCGCAAGGAUGUACCCAUGUUCAAUAUGCAGUACAGACCCAAAAAUUGACCAUAUAAUGUGGCUCAAGAGAAUUUUCGAAUGGUUUUAAAGAAUUAUGAGAACACAAUGAAUAAAGUUAAGGCAUCAUUUAUUCAGCUUGCUAUAAUGCAGGUCAUUCCAAUAAAGAAGCAUUUUUUAACUAUAUUUUCCGUUACCCCAAUAACAAUGGCACAGAAUGUUCUCCGAUGAACAUAGAACUCACCAUUUUUAGGAACACGUGUAGUUGAGGAUGAGAAUUCGGAUCAACUGUAACUUCAAAUGGUGGAAUGAAAACAUUGUCCAGAAUAUUCUGAAAAGAUUUUUCAAUUCCCAUUUGCUUGUACACAUUAUACAAUCGUGGUGACUGCAGAAUUAAGUCAAAAUCAAGUGAAGAAGGUUACCUUUGACUUGAGAAAUAUAUCACAGAGAGAGAGAAAGAGAAAACAGUAAUCUGGAAAGAUGAUGCUUAAUAUGGACAUGAUACCCUAGAAACCGAUCGAUCUUAAAUUUUAAUUUCUAAAAUAUUAUUAGCUUGUGCAUACUUUCAAAUACUUUUCAUUAGAGUUACCAUAAGACUAAUUUUUCCAAUUUUAGAUGAUUCAAGAAACUAUUUGGGGGCAAUUCUUAAAUAAACAUGUCCAAACAGUAGUCAUUAACAAGAAAGCAUCCAAGAAAACCAGCAGUUAAUACUUAAAUUAACAUUAUCAAAUGGAGAUGUAAAGAAGAAAGAAUCCUACUGCAAAGCUAGAUAGCAGGAGAAUCACUAGAAUGAAGAGAAAUACUAUUGGCACUAUACCUGGAUUAACCAAACAGUAGUCUCACUAUAAAUUUCAUUGUUAAUAAACCAACUUGCCAAACUGGUCCCAUUCACUUUGUUUCCUUCCAUAUAUGGACACCCUGUACUCUGCCAUCUAGAAAAUAUAUAUAUUAUUCAGUGUAGUCAGAGGCGCAAGGAGCACUCUAGGUGCUAGAAUCCUUUUAUUGUACAAGGCACAUGGCGCACAAAAAAAAAAAAAAACUUGCUUAUGUUAAGGCACAUGUAUGCGUGUUUUGGUAUGUCCAUGUCUGUAUAUAUAUAAGCCGAAGAUAUAUAAUUAUAAUAAUAAACUAUAAAAGUGCUCCAGUCUGAAGUACAGAACAUGCCAAAUUUUCUUUCUUUUGUCAACCAUAUGCAUAUUUCCAUAUGAUGCCAUGCCUGGUGUUGAAUACUCAAAUAUUGAGAAGUUGAGAGUUCGAUAUUAUCCCUUUGUUACAAUUAAGAAACAAUUAAAGAGAUAGUAAAGAGAACUUCAAUUAGAAGGCCUUUUCCCCCUACAUGCACCAGGCAGGCGCUUAGCCUGAAAAGGUCAAAGGCCCUUUUACUGUCUGGUGAUAAGGCAAAAAACAUUGGACAAAGUUGGUGGGAGGAUAGAAUACUAAAAGAGCCCAAUGUUGUCACUUUUCUAAAGUAAGCUCAUAUGCCUUUUUUGUACCCAAACAAUAUCUUACCCUUUAAUUUGUACCUAAAGAAAUUAUUUCUAAUAGAAAGUUUACUUUUGUUAUGAUCAAUGCUGGAGGCCAAAACUGAUUUGGGCUAAGGAAUUGGUGGUGAGAGUUGGAAGGCAAGAAGAAAGAAAGUUCUUUUGAGUGUUAUAUUUUUCAAAAAAUACAAAUUGUUCAUUUUUUUUACCACAUCAUCAUGCCAGGUCAGCUUCCAUGUGGAUAAAGAAAAUUUUGGCGGCAUUGAAACAGAGGCUUCAUGGGCUUUUAGUAAUUUAGCCCUUGGAAGGAAUAUGACCAUCCAAAAAAAGGCAGUUGAUGCUUUAAGGUCAAUUAGCCGAAACAAUAACAACAAUUCCUAGGCUUCAAUAAAAUAAUUUAGACAACAAAUAAAGCUUGAAGGUUGAGUUUUGCACUGCAGCAGCAUUGGGCUUUACAAGGUGAAAACCCACAUUGCACAAAAAUAUCAAAGUUUCAGAUCUAUCAUAAUUUAAAAUUCUAACUAAACUAAACGCCAAGAAUGCUGAAUGCCUAAUCAAAAAACAUAAGAUUAACCCAAGGACCUAAUUGGGUAUGCUAAAAUUUGUCUUGGAAUGAAAUUAAUAAUAUCCUUACUAUUUCACUUUUUUUUUCUUCAUAUGUUUGGUGUGAGCAUGAUACAGAUUAGACUGAUUUUAAAGUAAAAGUAAAACGAUACCAAACCUAAACAUUUUGGUUUUUUUUUAAUUUUUUAUCAGAGCCCUGUUUGAUGCAUUUUUAGUUUUGUUUUCUAAUAACAAAUGGAAAGUUAAUUAAAAAAAAACCCUAAUCCAAUGAGUUCUUUUAUAGAUAUAAGAUAAGUCCUGCAAAGUUUUUGUUUUUUAGAAAUAAAAUUUUAUUUUUGUUUUUUAAUUCUUCAUACCUAUUUUAAUAUCUAAGUUCCGGAUUCCUAACUGCCCUUUCAAUUAUAUAGUAUUCAAGAUUUGAACUUAUAUUUUUCUAUAAAAAUAUAAUGUAUUUUAUUAUUGUAUCCUACAUUCAUUAAUACUUAGUAGAAAUAACCUAAUAAAAUGAUUUUUUUCAUAUAUUAAUAGAGAUAAGAUUCGUGCAAAAUUGUUGGUUGAAAAUUCAUUAGGAAAGGAUGAUUGUACGAAUGUACCAUCAUUAUAAGUGAGCUCAACGAUAAGCCUCCUAUCAAUCACCAGUGUGCAGAAAACAUUUGAAAUCGAAACACCCGUUCAUACAUCAUACAUCAUCAUAAGUGAGCUCAACGAUAAGCCUCCAAUCAAUCACCAGUCUACAGAAAACAUUUGAAAUCGAAACACCCCGGACAUCUCCAACAAAUCUGCCAUAACGUUAGCAUCUCUUCCAUUUUUUCUAAACAAAACCUCACUAAGCUCAUCAAAUGUGCCAAUAUUUCCAAGGCCUAGAUUUCUCAUUGAUACACCAAGAAAGCUCGACUAUGGAGUCGGAUUCAACCAUAAGCUUUCAGUCUAUAAUCCACUAGGAAUCCAAAAAGAAACACUCUCGAACACCUAAAGAACCUGAAACAUAGCAAUGACAUGACCCUUUGAAUUUCUAAGAACCUCACCUCACCACGUCGAGCUAAGAUUACCUAAUGUCGAACCUUCACGGUUAAACUUUUACCAGCCUUCACCUUACUCUUGAUAUGAUGAUUAUGGAUACUCCCUUCACAAUCCCACAAACACUCCCACCAAAUUGACUCAACAAAAUUUGCACCUAUAGGUUUUCUGUUUAUAUUUGAUUUUGUUCACACAUUGCCUAAAACUACUCAUGAUCCCUCUCCAACCUAUAAAUACGAGGAUAAUGCGCUUCAACGCGCUCAAACCCACGUCCUCCUACAUUAGCAACAAUACUCAUGUCAAUCGAGUUAAAACACAAUCAAUAGAUUUUUUUUAAAAAAAAUCUUUAAAUGUUAUAUUAUUAUAUAAGAAUUUGAAACAUGACUUCCGUAGGUUUUAAAUCUAAUGUUGACACUAAUCUUGAAUAAGUCAUUCCACUCCCAUCUUAACUAAUGGCCAAAGAGAUAUCAAAAGUGGGAGAUGGCCAUAAAAUUGUGUAGUUUGGGUUAUAAAAUUUUUGGGCAAACUACAUAUAUUAUCAUUUAAUUAUAUAUUUUUUUCAAUUUAAACACUUAAAGUAAAAAAUUUAUAAUUUAAGCACCCACAUUAUAUAGUUUAGUUAUUUUGAUCACUCCAGUUAAAAUAAAAAAUGGCAAACUGAAGCGACAAUUAAAAAAAUGUAUAAUAACAAAUUUAACCCUCAAAUUUUAUAUAUUAUAUCAAUUACAUAUUACAACUAAUUUUAUAAUUAUUGAUAUUGAAUAUGUCCCUCACUACGUUAGGGAUUUUUUUUAUAAUUUGUAUUUAAUUAAUAUUUAAAAUUAAUUUCAAAAUAUGUGAAAAUUUUAUAAUUAUUUGGUGUUAGUCCCUUUAUUAUACCCAAAUUUAGGAUUAAGCCCCUAUAUUUUAAUUUUGACAUAAUUUGUUUCUUUCACUUUUAUAAUCUCAUUAAUUAUUUCAAGUAACUAACACUUUUAACAAUAUUGCCAAAUAAAAUAAUGUCAUAUUUUUUUUUCUUAAAGCCAUCACUUCUAACUAAAUCAUGACUUAAUCACUUUCUAAUUAAUCAUACUAACUUAGAUUUUUCUUUUGUUGGAAUCAGUACGUUUAAGGAAAACCCACCUUAACAUUUGUAGAUGUCUUCAACAAUUUCCUAAGCACGAUACAAUAAAGCUUGGUGUGUAUAAUUUUGUUUUAUGGAAGCUCCAAAUUAUGUUGAUUCUUGAAUGAUACGGUCUGCAUGGGUUUGUUUUGGGUGCUAUUAGUGUACUAGCACAGUUUGUAGAGGAUAAAUAUGGGAGAUUAGUAGAAAAUUCUGAUUAUGUUUUACAUGUGCAACAAGAUAAGCUAUUGGCUUCUUGGUUACUUUCAACUGUUAGUGAUGAAAUCCUAGCCUAUCUUACUAGUGCUCGUACUAGUUAUUAUAUGUGGGAAACUAUUGAAAAGAAGGGUUGCGACUAAGUCCACGGUAAAAUUGUCCAGUCAUGUGUUGUAUUCACAGAAAAAGGGUCAUUUGUUUGUUAAAGAAUAUUUGUCUAAGAUCAAGUCCAUGUGUGAUAUGUUGGUUGCAACGGGUUGUUUGAUUUCAAAUCAAGAAAUGGUUAGCAUCAUUCUUGCAAGGUUGCCAGUUGAGUGUGAAUCAGUACGGGUAGUAGCUUCAGCUACUGGUGUGUCACUUGAUCUGUUGAUUGAGAUGCUGCUUGAUUGUGAAGCUCGAAAAUUGAGUUCUUGAAUAGUGUUCUCGUACAACCUAACAUAGCUAGUAAACAAGAUUGUGAUGAGGGUGAUCGGACCAAGGGUUCUGAUUAUAACAGUGGCUAUCAAGGGAACAAACAGACAUAUAUAGGUGGUUUUCAAUGCAAUAGAGGUUCCAUCGAGGUUGAGGCCGUGAGGGUUGUUUUUCUAACAAUCGGCCCCAAUGCCAGUUGUGUGGUAAAAUUGGACACAUUGUCCAAAAGUGUUAUUACCGUUUUGAUGAAAAGUUUUGCAGGUAUUGCUAGGAUGGUAAUAUGGUAUAGUGGGCUGCAUCUUGAUUGUUUGUUUCUCAUGCUGAGGCUAUAAUUUUAAUCAUACCUAUUAUUGUUUCUUGUGUCCUGCAAUUUCAUCAUUUGCAGGCUGUUUCACUAAUUGCAUCCUAUUUACAAGUUCCCUUGUGUUAUCCUCUGCGCUUGGGUGGUUCUCGCUCAUAUAUUAAUGACCAUGCGUCUUCAAUAGACCAUGCAUCUUCUGAUUUGUCAUUGGAUACAACACUUUCAGCAAAUGUAAAGCCGGUAGAAUUUCCGCUGUUUUUAGAAGGUCAAGACACGACAAGAGCAGCAUAUGCUGUGUUCUUGUUAAACAAGGUAAGCUUUUGCAUAUUAGUAAUUUUUUUUUCCAAGAUGAAUUAUUCUCCUUUGGCAUUUUAUAUUAUAUAAUUAGUCACUACAAAACAUAAAUAAAUAAUAAUACUCCAUUUUUACAAUAAAAAUUCACUAAAGAAAAUACAUUUGAAGUCUAUCAUUGCUUUUUCGAAUAAGAGUCGGUCAAGAAAGUUAUGCGCAAAUACUUAUAUCUUUAUUUCAGAUGCUUUCAAUUCUAUUGUCACUUAAAUCCAAGUACUUUAAAUUUGUCAAAUUAUUCAAUUUUGAAAUUCAAUCCCAAAUAUUGAUCAAUUAUAUAUAUUCAUGAUAUGAUAAAAGCAAAGACAUCUUUCAACAUUAACUUUCCCUUAAACAAAAAUUGGUUUUAAAGUAAAAAAGAAACAUAUAAAACCAGUCUAGCUUGAAUAUGAAUCAAUAUAUAAACACUAUACUUAUACCUUGGUUUGAGAUGCUUUCAAUAUUGUUGUCGCUUAAAUACAAGUAUUUCAAGUUUGUCAAAUUAUUCAAUCCCAAAUAUUGGUUAGUUAUAUAUGAUAUGAUAAAAUCAAACUUGAACAUACAUUGAUUUUUAAAGUUGAAAAUUACUUGUUAAUUUUUUUUCUUUCUUACCUAUAUGAAAAUUUUACUAAAGUAAAAGUUGAAUUACAACGGAUAAAAAGAAUGGAAAACUAGGUACCAAGCCUAGAAGACCAUCCUCAAACUCCACUAUACAAAUAAAAACUACUCAAACUCCACUAUACAAAUAAAAACUAACACCGGACCAAACUUAAUUUACCUCUUAGAUGACUUGAUCCUUCAAACUGGUUGUAUGAUAGAUCUAAAUACCGGAGAGAUGAAAGCUCACUCAAAGAUAACAAAAUGCUAUCAUUCAAGUAAUUGUAACUUAAGUCAAGGAUCUCCAAAUUACUCAAUGUGAAUGAUAGCUUUCCAAAGCCUGUAGAAGUGUUCUUUUAAACAUAUACAAGCAGUUAGUGACUUUUCUUCCAUAAAAUAAAAUAUAAGUAAUUGUAAAUUAACAAUGGUGAGAAUAGUGGAAUAGUAAAAGAUAUAAUUAAGGAAAAAAAAUAAAGGCACGACCUUCAUUUUCAAGGUUACCACCUAUGGCAUUUCCCGACAAAUAAAGUCUCUUCAAUUCCUCAAAAGGAAGAAACAUAGAGGCAUUGAGAUACCAGACAAUGAGAUUCCUAUUAUCCAUGCCGUAUUCCCAAUUGUCUUCCCAUUUUGUAGAAAUAAGGGAGAGUUGUAUGAGUCUCCUAGUGGUGGUGUUACACUCAAAUCCUUCCCAUUUACAACAAUCUGAACCCUUCACCUCAACCCAACUUUGCAAUGGAUUACGAUAAACGAAGAAAGGCUUGAGAUGCAAGAGAGCGAUUCUCUCAUGCUCCAAACAAGCAUCAGUAGUACACCAUCUGCAUCCUUCUAACACCAACAACAUUAUUGCCAUCCUAAUAAACUAUAACCAUUUCCACUCCAUCAUCAUCAUCUCUCUGUUUUGUAUACAUAUGGACUACAAUUCAAGUUUCAUGCUUAUAAUUAUACCAAAUCAAAGUUCAUGUAUCAAAUUGCACAUUAAAUCAAAAUUUAUGUAUACAUUUGAUAUUUAUCUCAUUUAUGGGAGAUUAACUUUCUAAUGGUAUUGUUUUGUUUACAUUAAUCCAAAUAAUAGGAAAUGAUGAAUUAGUUUAACGCAAAUUGUAAUUCUAUUAAUGUUUCUUCUCAAACUUUUGGUUGCUCUUAUUUACAUGUUUUAUUAAUUGAUAGAUUUAAAUUCUUGGAAUAUAUUCGGUUAGAAUGAAGUGCCCCGAAUCCUUAUUUAAAUAAAAUACAGUGUUAAAAUAAAAGAAAAGUAAAAUCCCUACAGAAUUAUACUUCUUUUAUUUUAUUUUAGAAUAAGGCUUUUUAAAUCUUAUUAAACUCCAUCUAUUUGAUAUUGAUUAGAAUAAAGAGUUUCACUCCUAUUAGAAUAAAGUUUUACAAGCCUAUAAAUAGACAUAGUCUACUCCUCUUGUAAUUAAUUCAAAUUCGACAUAGUGAAUUUUCUUCUCCUCUGCCCGUGGUUUUUUCCCGAAAGGGUUUCCACGUAAAAUUUGUGUGUUCUUUAUUUUUCUAUUUCUAUUUUCUUUGUGAUAUAUUAUCAUUACCGACAUUUAUUUUCACAAAUUGGUAUCCGAGCUUCUGGGUUGUUCAUCGCAAUCACUGUAAUGACGUCUUUGAAGUAUGAAAUUCUACUGUUGGAUCGCAACACCAGAUUCGCAUUUUGGCAGAUAAAGAUGCAGGCAGUUCUUGCACAGAUGGACUUAGAGAAAGCCCUGCUAAGGUUAGAUAAGAUGCCUUCAACAUUGAUGGAGGAAGAGAAGAAGCACAAGGAUUGAAAGGCGUUAACACAAUUACAUCUGCAUUUGUCUAACGAAAUUUUGCAGGAUGUGAUAAAGGAGAAUACCGCCGCUAGAUUAUGGAAGACGUUGGAACAACUAUGUAUGUCGAAAACUCUAACUAGUAAGCUGCAUAUGAAGCAGCGUCUUUAUGCUCAUUGUUUGGAGGAAGGUGCGUCUAUGCAUGAACACUUGACAGUGUUUAAAGAAAUUCUCUCAAAUUUGGAGGCCAUGGAGGUUCAGUAUGAUAAGGAAGAUUUAGGGUUGAUUCUACUUUGUUCGUUGCCCCCGUCUUAUUUAACCUUUAGAGAUACAAUUUUAUAUAAUCGCGAGUCUUUCACAGUUGAUGAGAUUUAUAAUUCUUUAACCUCGUAUGAUAAGAUGAUGCAUCUUAUGGUUAAAACUGACUCUCAAUGAGAGGGUCUCAUUAUUCGUGAGAGAUAAGAUCAGAAUAUUGAUGAUGAUCAUGGAAGGACACAAGAACGGAAUCCUCGUGGUAAAUCUAAAGGUAGAUCGAAGUUUUCAAACAGAGGUAAAACUUGUAACUUCUGCAAGAAGAAAGGGCACAUUAAAUCUAAGUGCUAUAAGCUACAGAAUAAGAUCAAAAGGGAGACUGUGAAUCAAAAUGGAAAACAACCAGAAAAUUUUGGUAAGGCUAAUGUUGUAGAAUACUACAGUGAUUGUGAACUUCUAGUCGCUUCUGUCAAUAAUUUUAAAGUGAGCGAGGAGUGGAUCCUUGAUUCGGGUUGCACCUUCCACAUGAGUCCCAAUAGUUAUUGGUUUACAACUUACGAAAUAGUGUCUGAAGGUGUUGUUUUAAUGGGAAAUAAUACUUCAUGUAGAAUUGCAGGUGUUGGAACAAUUAAAGUUAAGAUGCUUGAUGGAGUUGUCAGAACACUUAGUGACAUAUGACAUGUUCCAAAAUUGAAGAGAAAUUUAAUUUCAUUGAGUACUCUUGAUUCAAAAGGGUACAAAUACACAGCUAAAAGUGGUGUUUUGAAUAUUUCUAAAGGUUCCCUCAUUGUGAUGAAAGGAUAGAGAAAGACUACCAAGUUUUAUGUUUUGCAAGGUUCUAUUGUUACUGGUGAUGCAGCUGUCGUAUCCUCUUCCUUGUCAGAUGAUGAUAUUACUAAACUUUGGCAUAUGCGCCUAGGGCAUAUGAGUGAGAAUGGCAUGGCAGAAUUGAGCAAAAGUGGACUUCUUGAUAGGCAAUGAAUUUGCAAACUGAAGUUCUGUGAGCACUACAUUUUUGGGAAGCAAAAGAGAGUUUGAUUCACCAGAGGAAUCCAUAACACAAAGGGAACGUUUGAGUAUAUUCAUUCUGAUCUGUGGGGGCCAUCCAGAGUACUUUCGAGAGGUGGAGCUAAUUAUAUGCUAACUUUUAUUUAUGAUUUUUCCAAAAAAGUGUGGGCGUUCUUCCUGAAGCAGAAAAACGAUGUGUUUUUUGUAUUUAAGUCUUGAAAAACCAUGAUUGAAAAACAAACGGGAAAGUAAAUAAAACACCUCCGCACAGACAAUGGCUCAGAGUUCUGUUUUGAUAAGUUUAAUAAAUUGUGCAAGUCAGAAGGGUUCAUGAAACACUUGAUAGUUCAUCAUACUCCACAGGAAAACGGCGUUACAGAAUAAAUGAACAGAACGAUCAUGGAGAAGGUUCGAUGUAUGUUGUCAAAUACCAACUUACCAAAGUCAUUUUGGGCUGAAGCAGCCUCUACUGCAUGAUUUUUAAUCAACCGAUCUCUAUCCAUUGCCAUUGAGAAAAAGACUCCACAAGAGGUAUGGUCUUGUAAUCCUGCUGACUAUUCUGAUUUAAAGAUUUUUGGUUGUCAUGUGUGUGUGCAUGUUGAUAAUGGAAAAUUGGAAUUGAGAUCCAUUAAAUGUGUUUUUCUUGGUUAUAAAGCUGAUGUAAAAGGGUAUAAGUUAUGAUAUCCUAAAAAUAGAAAAGUUGUGAUUAGCAGAUAUGUUAUUUUUUAUGAAACUGCUAUGCUACCUAACUUAUCUCUUAAAGAAUCUCUCAAUAAAGAAAAUCAAAAGUAGGUGGAGCAUCAGAUUAAUACAGAAUCUACAACAGAGUCGACUACUGAAGCCAGUACAAAAAUUCAAAAUAGAGUUGCUCCUUCACCAUAAUACUCUAUCGCCAAAAAUAGAACUAGAAGAGAAAUUAGACCUCCAAAGAAGUAUGUCAAGUCUGAUCUAGUUGCUUAUGCUUUAAAUGUGGCUAAAGAUAUAGAUGUAAAAUAAGAGCCAUCUAAUUAUUCUGAGGCGAUUAGUUGUGAAGACUCAGAAAAGUGGAUGUUUGCUAUGCAAAAGGAGAUGGAAUCACUCCACAAAAAUAAAAUAUGGGAUCUUGUGAAACUUCCUAAAUGUAAAAAGAUUAUUCGUUGUAAAUGGGUGUUUAAAAAGAAAGAAUGGACUCCAAGAGUUGAAGAACCCAGAUAUAAAGCAAAGUUUGUUGCAAAUGGUUACAGUCAAAUUCCAGGAGUGGACUUCACAGAUGUGUUCUCUCCAGUUGUGAAGCAUAGUUUGAUUCAAGCUUUACUUGGUAUUGUGGCCAUACAUGAUUUGGAGCUUGAACAGUUAGAUGUAAAAAAUGCUUUUUUGCAUAGAGAAGUUAAGGAGGAUAUUUACAUGCAACAACCAGAGGGUUUUACAGUCUCAGAAAAAAGGACUAUGUUUGCUUGCUGAAAAAGUCUCUUUACAGUUUGAAACAGUCACCAAGACAGUGGUACAAGAGGUUUGAUUCAUUUAUGACUUCUCAUGAUUUUAAAAGAAGUAGCUUUGACAGUUGUGCUUACUUUAAGAAAAACAAUGAUGGUUCUUUUGUGUAUCCACUCUUUUAUGGUGAUGAAAUGUUGAUAGCAGUGAAAGAUAAAUGAGGGAUAAGAAAGGUCAAAGCCCAACUAAGUGAAGAAUUUGAGAUGAAAGAUUUGGGACCAGCAAAGAAGAUACUUGGUAUGGAGAUUCUCAAAGAUAGAAAAGUAAGUAAAUUGUACCUAAGUCAAAAGGGGUACAUUGAGAAAGUUCUUUGCAGAUUCAAUAUGCAGAAUGCUAAGCCUGUUAGUACUCCUUUAGCAGCCCAUUUUAGACUUUUAUCGGCUUUGUCUCCACAAUCAGAUGAUGAGAUUAAGUACAUGUCACAUGUUCCAUACUCUAGUACAGUGGGAUCUCUCAUGUAUACUAUGGUUUGUUCACGUCCAGAUUUAUCAUAUGUAGUUAGUGAAGUUAGCAGAUACUUGGUGAAUCCCGAUAAAGAACAUUGGAAAGUAGUUCAGUGGAUUUUAAGAUACUUACGAGGUACUACUGAUGUUUCCUUACAGUUUGGAAGAACUAGAGAUGAAGUCAUUGGGUAUGUUGAUGCUAAUUUUGCUGGAGACUUUGAUAGAAGAAGAUCUCUCACAGGUUAUGUCUUUAUAAUCGGAGGUUGUGCAAUCAGUUGGAAAGCCACUUUGCAAACUACAGUUGCUUUGUCCACCACUGAAGAUGAGUACAUGGCGAUUACUGAGGCUUGUAAAGAAGCUAUUUGGUUGAAGGGACUCUUUAGUGAACUCAAUAAAGGCUUUCAAAUCAAUACAGUAUUUUGCGACAGUCAGAGUGCUAUCUUCUUUACAAAAGAUCAAAUGUUUCAUGAGAGAACAAAACACAUUGAUAUUCGGUAUCAUUUUGUUCGUGAUAUUAUUGCUUGUGGUGAUAUUGUUAUGAGCAAAAUUAGUACUCAUGAAAAUCCUGCAGAUAUGAUGACUAAGUCACUUCCUAUAACCAAGUUUGAGCAUUGCUUAGACUUGGUUAGUGUUCAUUGUUGAAGUUAAACCCUUAAGGGGUUUUAUGGAAUAGGUGGAAAACUUGAUCGUUGAGAGUUCGCGAUGAAGAACUUGUUCAUUAAGAAUUCGUGUCAAUGUGGAGAUUGUUAGAAUUAAGUGACCCGAAUCCUUAUUUAAAUAAAAUACAGUGGUAAAAUAAAAUAAAAGUAAAAUCCCUAUAGAAUUAUACUUCUUUUAUUUUAUUUUAGAAUAAUAUUUUUUAAAUCUUAUUAAACUCCAUCUAUUUGAUAUUGAUUAGAAUAAAGAGUUUCACUCCUAUUAGAAUAAGGUUUUACAAGCCUAUAAAUAGACAUAGUCUACUCCUCUUGUAAUUAAUUCGAAUUCGACAUGGUGAAUUAUCUUCUUCUCUGCCCGUGGUUUUUUCCCGAAAGGGUUUCCACGUAAAAUCUGUGUGUUCUUUAUUUUUUCUAUUUUUAUUUUCUUUACGAUAUAUUGCUAUUAUCGACAUUUAUUUUCACAUAUUCUAAUUAAUUAGAUAUUUCCUUCCUUCCAAAAGCCUUUCAAAAUAGGUUUAGUUUGACCAAGAUACUCUUGUAGAAAAUUUUAGUUUUGUGGGAAAACGAAAAACUAGAUUUAUUUUUUAUUCUAAUUGGUUUCAUAUGCAAGGUAUAUAAACUUUUGUGUCGCUGCAAUUUUUUUCCAACAUAUGUAUGUGAUUUGUGGGGUUUCAAUUUUGAAUUUUUUUUAUAAUUUAAUUAAAUUGUGAAAGUAUUUGAAAGUUUUUAAGUUGAUACAAUGUUUAGAACUACCCCAACACCCACCCAACCCUUAAAUAGGAGGAUAAACAUGCUUCAGCACGCUCAAACUCACAUUCUCCUACAUCUAUGAUAAUACUAAUGCCAACCGAGUUAAGACUCAACUAGCCUUGAAUUUUGAAUUUUACUUCUGAUAUAUUUUGAAUUUUGAAAUUUUAAUUUUGACCCAAACAGUAGCAGUUAAUUUAAUUUGAUUAAAUUUAAUUACUAGACCUAUAUUAUGCGUACGAUUAUUGAUUAGUCUAUACUCUCAAAUUGGGCAAUUCUAAGUACCUAUACUUUCUGAAUUUUGAAAUUUCAGUCUUGAUGCAAAUGACAAUUGUUAAUCUAUUAAUUAGAUUUUUAGCGAGUAAUAUGUAAAAAUAACAAACUGGCAUAACAUUACACAUAUGAUAAUAUGUUUAUUGCACCGCAUUUGAAAAUAGCCGAAUUUAACAAAUAUCGUUAGUGAGGAUUGGAAAUUAGAGUCUAGGGAUUAAAUCCACAAGUUCAGUAAAUUACAAGAACUAAUGGUAGAAUUUAACCUUUAUAUAACCUUUAAAUUCUAACCGUGGUUUGCACACUACUCAGCCGACCAUUGGCUGUGGUGGGAACACAAACUGUUUGAAUUUGACAUCAGUGAUUGAAUUUUCAUAGCUAAUAUGUACGUUCCUUCAAUUUCUCCAUAGGAGGGAGUGGAAUACAUUAUAUAAGGUAAUAUUUGAUAUAUUCGGUAAAUGAAUAAUUGCAAGAUAUCUCAUUAUCUAGUAAAAUAAAUAAUGAAAAUUUUAUAAAUAAAUAUUAAUAAAAUAUUAUUACAUAUAUCAACAAUGACAUAGUAAGUUGCAUUAACUUUUAGAUGUUGACUAUUGACUUUUGCAUCAACCUUGAACUUACAUAGGCCCCUACAAUAAUUUAGGUUAUGGAAAUAAUCUUGCAAAUAAUGCUUGAGACAUCAUUAUACAUCAAUUUAUAGUUUUAAUUCUUGUACUUACUCAAUUGGAAUAAAGAUUUAGUUUUUUAUUUUCUUUUGAUACAAUGUCUAGAAUUAUCCAUAGCCCUUUUCCAACCCUUAAAUAAAUGAAUAAUGUGCUUCAGCGUACUCGAACUCACAUCUUCUUACAUUGACAAAUUGCUGAUGCCAAUUAGUUAAUGUUAAUGCUAUACUUUAGUUAAAAAUAACUAACAUUAUUAAAAAAUUCAUUAGUUGGCUCAUGUGGAUUUUUUUUCAAAAAAAUUGAAAUUAAGAACCAUAAAUUCUUUAAGACUUAAAAAUUAAAAUUAUGUGGUUAUUAAAAAAGAUUUAUUUUUUAUUAAAUUAUUAUUUAAAAUAAAUUUAUCUCAUCAUAAUGAUAUGAUUUUUUUCUUUAAAAAAUCCACAUUAACCAACUAAUAGAAUUGUAUAAAGCUGCCACCAAUCUCUUAGCAUGAUGGCAAAAGAUUCAGAGGCAGCCAGAAAAUCUUUUGAGGGGCGUGAAUAAAGUUAUAUAUUUUUAUAAUAGCAAAAGUGAAAUUUUAUUAUUAUAAUAGUUUAUAUCUUUAAUUUUUAAAAUAUUAAAUAAUUUUUUUCUUAUUUUUGAGGGGAUAAAGUAUAAGUUUAUCAUAUACUAAUUUUAAAAUUAUAAAAAGACUAAAUGUGAAAUUUUUCAUUUUAAGGGGUGGGGCCCUGUCAGGUCUCCUUGGCUUCACCUUGAUAAAAGUAUUAUGUAAUACGUAUAAAGUUUGAGUUUAAUCCCAAACAAUCUCAUUUCUUAUCCCUCAUUAUAAAAUAAUAAAAUAAAUAGAGCAAUUGAUAUGAGGAGACAAGUAUAAUAGGGCAAUUUUAACCUGGGCCAGAUUUCAAAACAAAACCCAAACCAAAUAAUAAAAGAGUCCAAAAUAAUUAAAACAAUCCAUCCAUUUUACAAACAAACCCAAAUUAGCAGCCCAAAUACAAAUUAAAACUCAAUAACCCAAAACUAACUAUAGCCCAAUUAGCUAAACACUUAAACGCAACAAAAAAAACCCUAUCCCCCUAAGCCUCCAACGCUGCAUGACCACCUACGCCGCACGUCGUCGCUGCCGCUCGAGGCUCGCCUAUCUUCGACCAUCCACGCAUCUGACACUUGCAAAACCAAGGCAACACGCAACAACAAAGGCCAAAUAGAGGAAACAACAAGGAAACAGACAAAAAAGGAAGAAACAAACAGUUUUGAUUCGGCUAUAAAAGCCCGAAUCUCACCCUUGUAAUUUUUUUGCGAACAUUAGAAAAUAAAAAAACAAAAACAACACUUUCAAGGUGAAUUUCUACUUUUAUUUCUGUUUUAAAUACUUAUUUGAUUCUAUAUUCAUAUUUUUAUUUUAUUUUUUAUAUAUAUACGAAAAUAAUAAAAUAAAAAAAGGAAGAAAGGGCUCACCGGAGACGCCCCGUGAUCGUGCCGUCAGAAGGCUCUUCUCCGUUGUUGCCAUCGGAUCCGAGAGGGGGUCGAGAGUCUUCCUCUUUCGCUUUUUUGGGUCGAGAGGGCUGGGCUUCCAAGGGAGCUGCGAAACGGGGGCUAAAAAUGCCCUUUUGCGCAACACCGACCACCGGCCACGACAGCACUACGACGGCGACCAUGGCCGGCCAAGGGGUGGGCUGAGAGAGAGACCAAGAGAUACUGAGAGAGUUCUCUGUUUUUUUAGAAAAAUGAAAGUUGAACCGUUUUUUUCUUCUUUUUUUUUGCUAUUUAUAUAGGGUAUAAUACGACGCCGUUUUGGACUUAAGCAUCAGUGGCCAAAACAAUGCCGUUUUGCAUCAGACCUGAAAAUCGACUCGAAUGCGGCCAGGAUCUGCGCGUUUUAGCUUUGAGGAGCUAUUUGCAUAUUCAGCCCUUCCGCUUUUGUAGUAUAGUGCAAUCUGGUCCUCGUUGUUUUUAUAUUUUGGCCGCAUAAUUUUUUGAUUGUUUUACUUUGGUCCGAGCUGAAACGCUGCGCAUAGGGGCUAGGAAUAUUGCCCAGUCGGUCCCUCAUUCCUUAAGCGCGCUCUAUUUCAGUCCCUAGCAACCCUUUUUUUUAUUUGUAAUUUAAACCCCAAAUUCUGGGUCGAUUUUAGUAUCAUCCUUAGUCCAUUUAAUUUAUUUGUUCACUAUUUUUUAUUUAAAAAACUCUUUUAUUAUUAUUUGUUUUAAGUUUUUUUAUUUAUCAUUUAUUUUAAAUUGUUUUACAUACUAUUUAUUUAAAUUUUUUAUAUAUUAGUCAUUUUAAACCAUUAUAUGUACAUUAUCUUUUAAAUUUUUAUAUACAUAUAUUUUUUUUAAAAAAAACUGUUGUAUGUUUCUUAUUUAUUUAUUUUAAACUGUUAUUAUUAUUCAUUUUAAGUUUUUAUAUACUGUUUAUUUGAAGCCGGUUAUUAUUUAUUUUUGAAUUGUUCUUAUAAAUUAUUUACUUUAAAUUAUUAUUUACUUUGAAAUUUUUUUGCAUAUUAUUUUGUUUUGUUUUUUUUAUUGUUAAUAUUAGUAUAAAAAUUAUAUACAUUGUGUGAUUAUUACCGCCAUGUGUACUAUAAUUAGUUUCUUCGUGUUUUCAUAUUAUUAUCACUCAUUAACAUAACAUUUUUUUCAUAAAUUGUUAUUUUAUGUUCUAUGUUAUCAUUCCAUUUCACUUCAUCACUUCGAAAGUUGCAUUCAAUUUGUAUUUACCCAUAAUAAACCGUUCUAUUUUGUCACAAAUAAAACAAAUGCACCUCGUUCAAGCAUUGUACUCACAAUUAUUCAAAACGGGGAAAAGUUUUAAAAUAAGACAAUAUUUCGCAUUUUGGAGAUUUGAGAAAUUGUACCCUAACUUACGGGGUUUCAAUUUUCUCGUUGAACCUAAAUAGCAAAAUAUCCUUCUAAUUUUCAAAAUUUACGAAAUUCCAAUAAAGUUAAAGGCUAGCUUAUUCUCAAGGGUUCUAAGUGUCGUGUCCUAACUUACGGGAUGUGACAUUUAUUAUCUCGAGACGAGAGGAUCUUUGACAUUCGUUUCAAUUUAUUCAAGCAAAUUCUUUUAAAUUAAAAUAGCGUUAACAAAAGGGGGAUCGUGUUUUAAAUUCUUUCGAAGUUUUUCAAUUUUUAACAUUUAGACAUUAAUUAAUCAAUUGAAUACCAAUUUUGGGCGUGACGAGGGUGCUAAUCCUUCCUCGCAUGUAACUGACUCCCGAAUCCGUUUUCUCAAAUUUCAUAGACCAAAAUCACUGUUUUGAUAAAUUAAAAUAUUUUAUUAAAACAACUAAAUUAUGAGGUGACCUAAUCACACCUCAUAAAAAAAAGAUUGGUGGCAACUCUCGUUUUAAUUUCCAUUUUCAAACCAACGUCGACCCUUUUAAAAAAAUGGUUUCAAUAUUAAGUUAUAAGUUGAAUGAAUUAAAAAUAUGUGAAAAGUGUAAAUAGAGACUCUUCAAUCUCAUUUCCUCUAAUGCUCUUUUUUUAAAUUUUUUUUUAAAUUUUUUAUGUACCUUUUAAAUAGUUAAUGAAAAUAAAAAUAUUUUGAUAAUUUUCACUUCGAAAUGCAAAAGCCAACAACAGUUUUUGACUACAAAAGCGGUGUGUUCUUCAUCACUUCUCAGUGGAAAAACACUUCUGCAAUGUAACAACACUUUUAACCCAAAACGGCUUUUUCACCACAAUAGAGAAUGCACCCUAAAAUUGUAAAUAGAAAAAAGAAGGAUCAAACAUUGUUUCUACCCUGUUUUUGUCUCCUCUUUGAAAAUACUUUCCAAAAAGUUUUAUCAUUUUUUUUUCUGUUUACAAAUUCCUUAUAGAAGUGCUUUCUUUUGAUCCACUUGCAUCAUUGUAAUAAGUUUGCAUUGCCUUCUAACUUUCUAUGUUGAUUACAGUUUAUUAAGUUUUCUGUUGGAUCUUAUAGUCAAAUUCCUUUACAUCAUGUAUGUUAAUUUGCUUAGCCCUGAUAAAUGUUAGAUAUAGGGUUAUCAGUGUCGAAACCACUUUUUUGGCGAACAAAAAUUAGUUGUUGACUUUAAAAACGAAAGUUGGAGUCGCCAUCGAUCCUUUAUUGGGGUGUGAUCGGCUCACCUUAAAAACGAUUUUGGUCUGCAAAAUUUGAGAAAACAGGUUCGGGAGUCGGUUACGCAUGAGAAAGAGUUAGCACCCUCUUAACGCCCAAAAUUGGUACCGAAUUAAUUAAUUAAGGUCUUAAUGCCGAAUAUCGAAAAUCUGUGAAGAAUUUAAAAAUACGAUCCUCCCUUUUUGUUAAUGUUAAUUUUAUAAAAGAUGCUUGGAUAAAUCGAAGCGAAUGCUAAAGACCUUUUUGUCUUGGAAUAAUAAAAUGUCACACCCAAUACGUUAGGACAUGACAUUUUAGUCCUCGAGAAUAAGCUUGUCUUUUGAUUUUCAAAGCUCGUGCGGUGAAGUUUAAAAAGGAUAUUCAAUUGCUUUAACUCAGAUGAAAAAUCGGAGCCCAAUACGUUAGGGCACAAUUUCUCAAAAUUCCGAGCAUUGAAUAUUGCCCUUAUUAUUAUUAUUUUUAAAAUCUUCAUCUCGAGAAAAUGACAUGUCAUAUCCAAUAUGUUAGGACACGACGUAUCGAAUUUUCGAGAAUGAGCUUUUUAUUUAUGCUUUAAUUAAAAAAGGAUACCCGGUUUCUUAGAUUCAACGAGGAAGAUUGGAAUCCAAUAAGUUAGGACACAAUCUUUUCGAGGAUCCUAAAUUCCGAGUGUCGCGUUAUUUUUGAAAAAAAACUUUUUGAAUAAAAAUGCUCUCGAUACUUGAAUGAUAUUAAACGUAACCUUUUAACAACGAAUAAAAUGCGACGGGACGAUAAUGUAUAACGCGGAAUGACGAUUUGUAAACAAAAUAUACUCUAACGAAUGACAAAUAAUCAAUAAAAACAAAUAAACAUUAUCAUACAUAUAAGAGCAAUAAUCACAUGUAAAUAUUAACAUCAACAUUUGAAAGCUAAUGACCUAAAAGCCUAUCGCAAAUACAACAAAUUUAAAAUAACUAAAAAAAAAGCAUGAGAGAAAAGAAAUUUGAAAUUAUCAACAUAUAUACACAAAAUACACGUAUAUAAAAAUUUAAAAGAAAUAAUUAAUAGGAAGACUUGAAAUAAUUUAAAAAUAGAAUUAAAAAUGAAUAAUAAUAUCUAAAUGAAUUUUAAAAUAAAUAUUAUAAGAAGAAAGUCAAAAUAAAUAAAACCCAAAAUAAUACACAUAUAUUAAUCUAAAUAGGUAAUAGAUAUAAAUUACGUAUUAUAAAAGAAAACUAUUUAAAAAGGGUAAAUUCUAUUGGAUUAACAUAAAAAUAUAAAAUAAUUUAUUAUGAAAUUAAAUAAUAAUAUAUGAUAAUAAUAUAAAAAAACUUAAAAUAAUAGUGCAUAAUAGAAUAAAAUAAUGAAUAUAAAAAGGUUAGAUAAAUUGAUAAAAAAUAAUACUAAUAAUAAUAAUAGUAGCAGUAAUAAUAAUAAUAAUAAUAAUAAUAAUAAUAAUAGUAAUAAUAGUAAUAAUGAUAAAUUAAUAUUAAAGUAAUUAAUUUGAUAGCAAAAAUAACAAAACAGAUUACUAAUUUGGAAUUAAAACAGAAAUUUAGGGGUAAGACGUGCAAUAAAAUGAAAUGAAAAGGACCUAAUUGAAAUUAAUUUAAAAUCAGACUGACUAGCAAAGAAAUUAAACGCACAAGUCUCACCUGGCAAUCAAGUCAGAUCAUCAGAAACGGCGUCGUUUCGAACGUUUGUCUCCUCAACUGACAGAAGGACGAAAUUGAAAGAAAUAUCGAAUUAUGUGGCAAAAUUAAAAAAGACAAAGAAGGAUUAAAAUGAAGUAAAUAAAAAACAGAAGGACCAAACAGGAGAAUAAGCCAUUGAAACAAAACACGCGGAUCCUCCCCGGGUCAAAUCGGAUCAUCGGGUCAACCAACACGGAGACGUUUUGAAGCCAUUAAAUCGGGCUUAAACGGCACCGUUUUAUUAUCGUUAAAAACCUAAAAAAAUAAAACCCUAAUAAUUUGUUUUGCCAUCCUAAAACAGAUCAAGAGCCUAGCCUUCUCCCCACCGGUCUCCACUCACGAACCCAAUCUGACUCCGAUUCAGACGGAGCAAACCAGAUUCCAAUGGCGUCUGCUCUGGUAAGACGCUUCUUCUCUCCCUCUUUUUUUUUCGUUUGGUGCCAAAGAAGAAAACAAAGAAUCAAAGAAAUAAAAGAGAAAAAAAAACGAAGAAAAUCACCUUUCGAAAAAACUUUCUGUUUUGAUUUUUUGUUUGUAUUCAAUAUGCGUAAAAAAGGAUUACAAUGGCCUUCUCCCUCUUUAUAGCCGAAUAUUCGAAAUAAAAUGAAAGAAAAUACAAAAAAUUCUCUCUGCUGCGUUGUUUUCGUCUUCUUUGCAGGUAAGGAGGCUAGCUGGCGUAAGGAGGUGGUGGACGUGGCACAGCACACUCGGGGAAGGCCCUGGUGGCUGCGGCGCUGGAAGGAGGGCUGUUGCAGCUAGGGUUUUCUGAUUUUUUUUUGGGCUAGGGUUGGGUUGAUAGUUGUAUUGGGCUAGGUAUUUGGGCUGGGUGUAGUUGGACUAGAUGUAUCUGACUUUGGGUUUGUACCGGGUCACUGUAAAUGGGUUUGGUUUUUGUUGUUAUUGGGCUGUGAACUAUUUGAGUUUUAAUUAAUUUUUAUUUAUUUGGUUUUUUAUUGUGGGCUGGGCAAAUUGGGUAUUACAAUCAGCUAAUUAGGAAAGACUGUGAUGAUAGUCACACCUUACAUCCAAAAGCAAAGCUUUUUUUACAUGUGUAUGUAAGGUUGCUAAGCAAAUCUGGUGAGCCUUCACUGCUGUUUUAAGGUUAAGUUAAUGUUCCUUUUCGGCAAAGAACAUUAUCGAGAUCACGGUAUUUUGAUCGCCUUUUGCUUCUUGUUAUUCGUUCUGAAACGAUUGCAUAAUCUUUACUGUGAUUGCAGGAUAUAGAGCAACUUUUGAAUUUCAUCGCUGUAAAGUGUUUAGGACCACGACAUGUUCUUGCAAAUUUGAAGAAGCUUCUAAGGUCUGUCCAGUCUUCAGAAUAUAUAGAUACCUGAAUUAAUUUUGAUUUUGUAGGAUCAACUAUAAUUAGCUACUUAUUAGAGUAUGAAUAGACAACCUCACCUUCUUCACACACUGACACGUGCGGAUUUUUUGCCAAUCCCAUUUCAAAGGAUCACACUUUUUUGUUGUUUACAGAAUCAUAAUUAAUGUUAAUUAAAGUGGAAUAUUUCAGAUUUCUGAUGAUGAGCAUAUUCUUGAGUAUUGCAGUAAAAAAAUGGGUGCGGAACUUAUUUGAACUUUGAAUGUAUGUUUUGUUGGUGAGAAUAUAAAGUUGAUAAAGAUUUGGUAAAUAGAAUAAAAUACUAUUUUUUAUUAGAAAAAUUAUUUGGUAGACUGCCAAUCGAUUUAUAAUUAUCAUGACGCAAUAUUAAGGGUAAUUAAAACAUGUCAUAUUACAAAUAAUAAAAUUAUAAUGACUCAAAUAUACGAACAUGUCAAAAUUUAUGUACAACGAAUUAUUAACAUGUCAAUGUAUAGUAUAAUAUGGUACGCAAAAAUAAGAUAAUUGCUUGUCUUUAAUUGAAUUGUUAUAACACAUUAUACAAAAUACAUUGUGAAUUAAAGCAUAAUAUAAUCAUGAUAUCAAUAUAUUAAAUUUUUUAAAAAUUCGAUGAUACGAAUAAUUAUGUAAAAUAUCACAUGAUACAAAAUGACUUGAGAGGAAAAGAGGAACAAAGACUUGCNNNNNNNNNNNNNNNNNNNNNNNNNNNNNNNNNNNNNNNNNNNNNNNNNNNNNNNNNNNNNNNNNNNNNNNNNNNNNNNNNNNNNNNNNNNNNNNNNNNNNNNNNNNNNNNNNNNNNNNNNNNNNNNNNNNNNNNNNNNNNNNNNNNNNNNNNNNNNNNNNNNNNNNNNNNNNNNNNNNNNNNNNNNNNNNNNNNNNNNNNNNNNNNNNNNNNNNNNNNNNNNNNNNNNNNNNNNNNNNNNNNNNNNNNNNNNNNNNNNNNNNNNNNNNNNNNNNNNNNNNNNNNNNNNNNNNNNNNNNNNNNNNNNNNNNNNNNNNNNNNNNNNNNNNNNNNNNNNNNNNNNNNNNNNNNNNNNNNNNNNNNNNNNNNNNNNNNNNNNNNNNNNNNNNNNNNNNNNNNNNNNNNNNNNNNNNNNNNNNNNNNNNNNNNNNNNNNNNNNNNNNNNNNNNNNNNNNNNNNNNNNNNNNNNNNNNNNNNNNNNNNNNNNNNNNNNNNNNNNNAUGGUCUUCUAGGCUUGGUACCUAGUUUUCCAUUCUUUUUAUCCGUUCUAAUUCCACUUUUGCUUUAGUAAAAUUUUCUUAUAGCUAAGAAAGAAAAAAAAAACUAUUAACAAGUAAUUAUAUAUAUAUAUCAGGUUUUCAAUUGCUUUCAAGACUCAAUAACUUGGAAACUCUCGAUUUAAGUCGGAAUUCUUUUAAGAAUAGCAUUUUGUUCCAUAUGAGAAAUCUUUCAUCCUUGAAGACUUUAAGAUUGAGCGGUAAUCAGUUGAAAGGAAGGCUGGAUCAUAUUCAAGGUAGACUAAUUUUACCUGUUUCUUUUUAACUUUAAAAAUCAAUGUAUGCUCAAGUUUGAUUUUAUCAUACGAUGAAUGUAUAUAACUAAUCAAUAUUUGGGAUUGAAUUUCAGGAUUGAAUAAUUUGACAAAUUUGAAGUACUUGGAUUUAAGUUGGAACGACAUUGAAAGCAUCUCAAACAAAGGUAUAAGUAUUUGUGCAAAACUUUCUUGACCGACUCUUAUUCCAAAAGGCAAUGACAGACUUCAAAUGUAUUUUCUUUAGUGAAUUUUUAUUGCAAAAAUGGAGUAUUAUUAUUUAUUUAUGUUUUGUAGUAACUAAUUAUAUAAUAUAUAAAUCAGGUUUUCAACGGCUCAUUAAAUUGGAAAUUAUUGAUAUAAGUUGGAAUUAUUUGAAGAAUAGCAUUCUUUAAAAUAAAUUCAUGUUGAAGGAAAAGUUGUUGCAAUAAGUCAUUUGAUUUUAUCAUAUCAUGAAUAUAUAUAAGUAAUCAAUAUUUGGGAUUGAAUUUCAAAAUUGAGUAAUUUAAGUAGGAAGGUAUCUCAAACAAAGUAUUUAUAUAUUGAAUCAAUUCAUGGGAAAGCUUGUAAAUUGGCUCUUCCUUCUCAAACAAUCAUUUUUCCUAACUUUUUAUAUCUUGAAUGAUAUUAACUAUACUCAUUAUUUUCUUCCAAUGAUAGAUGGAACACAAUGGAGGCUAACAAACUUAGAGGAACUUGAUUUGAGUGGUAAUCUCUUUCGGAACAACACAAUUUCCUUUCCUCAAGGGCUUUCAAGCCUAAAGUCUUUGACUUUGUACAACAACCAUUUGCAAGGCUCAUUAGAUACUAUAGGUACCAAAGCUAUAACUUUGUUUUUCUUGAUAAUUCUUUCUAGAACCUUUUAAAAUUAAUUGUUUCAAAUUUGAACAUUCACAUUUCACUUUUGAGGAUUUUCAUCUUCACUUCCAGUUUUAGAUUUACUUUUUUUUUCAUUUUUAUUUCAUUAAAAUAUUAAGUAGAAAUUAAAAUUAUUAACAUAAUGAUUUUUUAAAUUGUACGUGGAUAUGUAUAGGAUUGAGCAAUUUAACAAAUUUGAAGAAACUCGAUUUAAGUGGGAAUCAAAUUGAAAGCUUUCAAACCUUUAAAGGUAUGCAUUUAUAUUUAACUAAUUACCUAAAUUCUUACAUAUAAUUAAAUUUUAUGCCAAUUCAUUUCAGUGAUGAAAUUAUAUAAAUCUUUUGUAGAUGGUGGUAGAAAAUUGGAGUUGACCCACUUGGAAGAGCUUUAUUUAGAUGGAAAUCACUUCAAUACUAGUGUAUUUGCAUCCCUUAACAAGCUUUCAAAUUUGAAAUCUUUGAGCAUAAGUGAGAAUCAAUUGAAAGGAUCAAUAGAUAUGAAAGGUAAAAAUAUUAGUUUUUUAACAAGAAUAUAAUAAUGUUUGAAGAGAAUAUAAUGAAGUUGAUUUGUUGUUUUUGUUUUCCUAGAUUUGGAAGCAUUUAUCAAAUUAAGGGAACUAGAUAUGAGCUAUAAUGAAUUGAGAGAUUUUGUGAUCCACCAAGGUAUCAUUUAAUUAAUUUUCCUUUUUUUUUAAUUUAGAAAUUUAGUUUUGAUCUAUGAUAUUAUAAUAACAGUUAUUGUCAUAAAUAUUAAUAAAGUUAUAUCAUAUCAUACUUGAAAGUAAAAUAUGGGUUUGGUGAAACAUUUUCUAAACCCUCCAUUAUAAUGUGUUUCGACUUUGGUUUGAAACUAAAAUUCUUUAAAUUUUUCAUAAUUUUUAAAUAUUAAUGUUUAUAAUUAUUUUGUUUGUAUAACUAUGUUUUUAAAAUAAUUUAUUGAAUUUUUAUGAGAUAAAAAAUAAUUAUAACGAUAAAAAAUGAUAUUAUAAGUAAAAAUACAUAUAUUUAUGGGAAAAUAUGUAAUAUAACUAUAUUUUAAUUUCAUAUAUUUUUAAUAGUAUAAAACAUAAAAAUACAUAUUAGAGUUAAAUAAAUGGCAUUUUUUGGCCAAAAAUAAAUAAAUGUCAAUUUUGAAUAAUAUAAAAAAAAACUUCAAUUUUAUGAAAUUUAAACAUACAUUUUGAGGUGUUUAAACUUUUUUUUUUAACUUUUUAUAAAUUUCAAAAUGCACAUGUUGUUAAUUUUUUGGUUUUAAAAAAUGUGAUAGGUCUAUGUACUCUUUACAAAUUUGUAAUUUAAUUCUUGUAUUUUUAUUUUCGGGAAUUUGAUCCCUCUAUUUUUUAAAUUUUAAAAUCCAAGUUCAAUUGUUAACAUUGUUAUUUUUUUAAAAAAUAAUUUAUUGGUGUUGACAUUUUAAAAUAAAAGAACUUGGUAGCGAUGUAACUAAAAGAUGAUGUAAUGAACAUGGAUUUAAUAAAAUAAUUUCAACCGUAUAAAUAGUUAGACUUGAAUUUUGAAAAAAAAAAUUUGUAAAGAGAAAAAUAUGCACAUUAGAUUUAAAUAAAAAUAAUAUUUUUUUUAGUUUAAAAUUUUCUAUUUUAUAAUAGAACCAUUGAUUUAAAUAAAUGAGAUUUUGAAGAAUUUCCAAAAAAAAAAAACUAUGUAGGUGAAAUUUAAAUAGAGAAUUUGAUAAGCUGAAAUUCUCUUUUGGAAUUCAUAAAUUUUAAAAUUCAGAAGCAUGUAUUUUGACAAUUUUGAUUUAAUAUGGUGAAUUUAAUCAAAAAAUUAUUUAUUAGAUUGUAAAAUAUUUCUUAACAUUUAUAAUUGAGUACAAAGUAAAUUAAGUUUAAGGGAAAAUAUUGGGUACUAUUAAUGAAAUUCUUUUCUUUUAUCAAUUUUUUUUUAAAAAAAUCGGGGUGGUACUAUUAAUGAAAUUCUAAACUUCAUAAGUAGGAUUGAGAUAAUAACAAAUUUCUUAUAUGGUAUAGUAAAAUAUUAAAAAAUAAAUAUUUAAAAGAAAUAGGUUAGUGGCCAUUUUUUAACUUCACUUGUAGAGUUAAAAAACUCCAUUACCAGUACCAAAUACUAACAUUAAGGUUAAAUGCUAAUUGAUUUCAAACAUAUUUGAGUUUUUUAAAAGAAUAUUCUCAUAUAUUUAAAAGAAAACAACACAAAGUUAGAAGAUCUCAUCUUGAAGGGUAAUUCAUUUACCGGUCCUCUCACAUUACCGUCAGCUCCUAACUCUAAAGUGUCUUUAAUUGACAUAUCCCAAAACAAAUUGCAAGGUCAGAUUCCAACCAACGUGUGUUCACAUUUUCCACAUUUGAGCCACUUAUUCUUAUCCAAGAAUGCCUUCGAAGGUGAUAUCCCUCCUUGUUUGAGUGGCAUGAAGGAUUUAUCGAUUUUAGAUUUAUCAGACAAUCAAUUGUCUGGAAGAGUACCUGAAGAGUUAAUCACAAAAAACUCGUUGACCAUUUUGAGACUAUCAAACAACAACCUCAGUGGACAUGUGCUUCCUGUGAUUCUCAAUGCAAAUGGGCUGUCAAAAUUAUAUUUGGAUGGAAAUAAUUUUUCUGGGGAGAUGGCAAAUGUUGAUGUCUCUAUUUCUGAGUUUCCAACUUCACUAAGGGAAAUUAAUCUCGGAAAUAACAAGUUUUAUGGAAACCUCCCAAGAUGGAUGGGGAAUGUGUCAUUUUUGGAGAGAUUAGCUUUGUCCCAAAAUGGUUUCGAGGGUUCUAUUCCAAUGGAAUUUUGCAACUUGAAUCGCUUGGAAUUUUUGGAUCUCUCUGAAAACAAUUUAUUUGGCUCUAUACCGUCCUGCUUUAAUACCCUAAACAUAAAGCAUGUCCACCUGCACGGGAGUAGACUAAGUGGCCCACUACCAAUCGCUUUUUAUAAUAUCUCUUCACUGGUUACGUUAGAUCUUAGAGGAAACAAUUUGACUGGUAGUAUUCCAAAAUGGAUUGGCACACUUUCUUCAUUGAGUGUUCUUCUCUUGAAAGAUAAUCAUUUUCAUGGUGAAGUUCCAGUUCAGUUAUGCAAGUUGGAUUCUUUAAACAUCAUAGAUCUUUCUCAAAAUAUGUUUUCUGGUAUUAUACCUUCUUGUUUGGGAAAUUUAACCCUUUCAACGGAAACAAAUAAGAUUCUAACUGAUUCGAAAAUUAGUCCAAGGUUAACAGGGGACGGAUUAGUGAAAACAUUGGGAGCUCUCGGAAAUUAUUACUAUCCUGAAGGCUACUUAGAAGAAGUAAUAGAGUUCACAACAAAGAGUGGGUUCUUAUCGUAUGAGGGAAACAUCCUUACAUAUAUGACCGGGAUUGAUUUAUCUUGCAACAACUUAACUGGUCAUAUCCCACCAGAAUUAGGGAACUUAAGUGAAAUCUAUUCUUUAAACUUGUCGCAUAAUAAGUUGACAGGAGUUAUACCCUCAUCAUUCGCAAAACUUCAUCAAAUUGAGAGUUUGGACCUUUCUUACAACAAUUUGAGUGGUGAAAUCCCCAAUCAGUUGGUAGAGUUGAACUCUUUGGAGGUUUUCAACGUGGCAUACAACAACUUGUCAGGUAGUAUUCCCGAACCAAAAGCUCAAUUUGGGACCUUUAUUGAAAACAGUUAUGAGGGAAAUCUUUUUCUUUGUGGAGCUAUAUUGCAUAAAAGUUGUUCCAAAACCGAUUCACCAUCAACGAUAUCAACUCUAUCAGAAUAUAAAGGAGAAGAUGGUUUGAUAGGUACUUAUGAUUUUUGUGUGAGCUUUUUGGUUUCUUAUGUAGUUGUGUUGUUGACCAUUUUUGUUGUCCUCUACAUAAAUCAAUACUGGCGAAGAGUUUGGUUUUCUCUCAUUGGGAAAUGCAUCACCACCUGUCGCUACUCAAAUGUGGGCAAUUUUCUUACUUAUCACAUUUUCAAGCAAUGAGUUUAGCUACUCAAAUUGUAAUUUGAUUUUCACACCUAAAUGUUUAAUUAUGCUAAGUUGAGCGAUAAUGAAUAUUUUGUUGAUUUUUGCAUUUUAAAUAAAAGCUCUUUGAUCUUAUGAUUUUAUCAUUUUCAACCAUCUAUUUCUUUUUUCUUCUAUGAAAUUUAAUGUAAAAUCAUAAUCCAUUAUUAUGUAUAUGCAAUAUCUCUUUGAAUUAAAUUAAAUUGAAUACCAAGCGUUCACUAGUGCAUACUGAAAAGGAAAUCUAAUGUAAAAUUAAACCAAACAUACUAGAAAAAUGAAUCUGAAACUGAAAUAUUUUAAAACCUCAAAAACAAUGCAAUUCUUUAUUCCUCUUUUCCUUUCAAGUUAUUUUGUAUCAUGUUAUAUUUUACAUAAUCAUUCAUAUCAUCAAAUUUUAAAAAAUAUUUAAUAUUUUGAUAUCAUGUUCAUAUUAUGCUUUAAUUCACAAUGUAUUUUAUACAAUAUGUUAUAACAAUUCAAUUUAAAAAACAAGCAAUGAUCUUAUUUUUGCAUACCGUAUUAUACAUUUACAUGUUAAUAAUUCAUUGUACGUAAAUUUUGACAUGUUUGCAUAUUUGAGUCAUUAUAAUUUUAUUAUUUGUAAUAUGACAUGUUUUAAUUACCCUUAAUAUUGUGUCAUGAUAAUUAUAACUCGAUUGGCACCAAAUAAUUUUUCUAAUAAAAAAUAGUAUUUUAUUCUAUUUACCAAAUCUUUAUCAACUUUAUAUUCUCACCAACAAAACAUACAUUCAAAGUUCAAAUAAGUUCCACACCCAUUUCUUUACUGCAAUACUCAAGAAUAUGCUCAUCAUCAGAAAUCUGAAAUAUUCCACUCUAAUUAACAUUACGAUUCUGUAAAAACCAAAAAUGUGUGAUCCUUUUUUAAAGCUCUUUUUUUUUUCCUUUAAUGAAAUGGGAUUGGUAAAAAAUCCGCACAUGUGUCGUGUGUGAAGAAGGUGAGGUUGUCUAUUCAUUCUCUAAUAAGUAGCUAAUUAUAGUUGAUCCUACAAAAUCAAAAUUAAUUCAGGUAUCUUUAUAUUCUGAAGACUGGACAGACCUUAGAAGCUUCUUCAAAUUUGCAAGAACAUGUCGUGGUCCUAAACUCUUUACACCGAUGAAAUUCAAAAGUUGCUCUAUAUUCUGCAAUCACAGUAAAGAUUAUGCAGUCAUUUCAGAACGAAUAACAUAACAAGCAAAAGGCGAUCAAAAUACCGUGAUCUCGAUAAUGUUCUUUGCCGAAAAGGAACAUUAACUUAACCUUAAAACAUCAGUGAAGGCUCAUCAGAUUUGCUUAGCAACCUCACAUACACAUGUAAAAAGCUUUGCUUUUGGAUGUAAGGUGUGACUAUCAUUACAGUCUUUUCUAAUUAGCUGAUAACCCUGUAUCUAACAUUUAUCAGGGCUAAGCAAAUUAACAUACAUGAUGUAAAGGAAUUUGACUAUAAGAUCCAACAGAAAACUUAAUAAACGAUAAUCAACAUAGAAAGAAGGCAAUGCAAACUUAUUACAAUGAUGCAAGCGGAUCAAAAGAAAGCACUUCUAUAGGGAAUUUGCAUUUAAGGCAUCGUAAACAGAAAAAAAAAUGAUAAAACUUUUUGGAAAGUAUUUUCAAAGAGGAGACAAAAACAGGGUAGAAACAAUGUUUGGUUCUUCCUUUUUCUAUUUACAAUUUUAGGGUGCAUUCUCUACUGUUGUGAAAAAGCCUUUUUGGGUUAAAAGUGUUUUUACACUGCAGAAGUGUUUUUCCACUGCAGAAGUGAUGAACAACACAUAGCUGUUGUAGUCAAAAACUGUUUUUGGCUUUUGCAUUCAAAAGAGAAAAUUAUCAAAAUACUAUUAUUUUCAUUAACUAUUUAAAAGGUAUAUAAAAAUUAGAUUAAUUUAUAUUUUAUAUAUUAUUAUAUUAAAUUGUUUAAAUCUUAUUUAUUAUUAUAUUUAAUUUUUUCAAAAUAUUUUAUAUAUUAUCAAUUUUACAACUAAUUAACAAAAUAUUUUACUAGGGAAUACGUAUAUGUGAAUAUCUAUAAAUGGCAUGCCUGGAUAUGCAUAUCCUUUGAUAUCAAAUAUUUUGAAAAAAAUAUUAUCAAUUCCACUGAUAUAUUAUCAAUUCCACUGAUAUAAAGCUCUUUAUAUUACCAAUAUAAAUAUAAAUAUUUUGAAUAUAAAUAUCCAUUGAUAUAUUAUCAAUUCCACUGAUAUAAAGCUCUUUAUAUUAUAAAUAUUUUAUAUUUUUUUUCAAAAAUAUGGAUAUGCAUAUCCUUUGAUAUCAAAUAUAAAGGUAAUAUUUAUAGGAAUUGUUUUUUAAUUAGAUAUUUUUAUAUAUCAGUGGAAUUGUCAAAAUAUUUUCAUUAACUAUUUAAAAGGUAUAUAAAAAGAGCUUUAUAUUGCCUCAAGCGCAAGGCACAAAAUGAAGCGCUAGCCUGUGUGCAGUAAAGCGCAAUACGUAUAUGUGAGAGUUUUUGCAAGUCUGUGUGUCUAUAACAUAAAAGUUUAAGAUAUAUAGUAAACUCUAAAGUGUGGUCUGGUUUAUCCACAAAACUUGAAAUUUUUUUAUAGGUGAAUGCUCAAAUAUUGAGAAUUAUAGAGUUUGAUAUUAUCCCUUCCUUAUUAGUAAAGGUAUAUCAAAUGAAAACAGUGAAAAAUAAAAUAAAUUAUUGAGAAAUUCAACAAGGCAGGUUUUUCUAAUGCCCAUUGCCUUACAAAAAAAGUGUGCCUAGGUGCACCAGGCAUGCGCUUGAUCAAAUGGACCUCACCUGGAAGGGUCCAAGGCGUUUUGUUGUAUAAAACUAAGGCGUAGGCAUGCCUAGGCGCAUGCCUUGACGACACUGACCAUAUGUUGGCUUUAUUGCAAAGCAUUAGCAAUUCAAAACUACUAGCACAUUACCUAAUCUACUACUGCUAGAAUAGGACUCAAGUUCUUGCUCCUGUGCAGGUCCAACCAAGAUCUUUACAGGAUACAGUAAUGAAACUUGUGAUAUCAUAUAUUGUUGCCUUGCUCGAAGCUUCCUUUGCACAUUUUUAAGUUUAACACAACCCCUUUCUUCAGUGAGUAAUCUAUUUGCUUCCUGUGAUAAAAACAACAUAUAAUCAAUCAUGCCAUGCAUGCAAGACUACCAACCAUCUUAAAAAAGAGACAAAGAAGUAGGACAGCAAGAAGGGGAUAACCCUUGACUAUGCAAAGGAAUUCAUAGAAUGAGAAUCAUCUCAUCUAAGCCCCUCAACCACCUUCACAGGGGGUGGAGCUGCAAAAAGAGAUGUCUUAUUGAUCCAAGAGGAGAAUAAAUAACAUCUAAAGCUGAAUAAGAAGAAACCUUCAAAUGUAUCAUAAAUUCAGCAUUCAUGAUAAUAUCAAAAUGAAAUUCCAAAGCUAAUUUAAGCUAGAAUAAAAAUGCUUCACCUGUAAUCGCUUCCUUGCUACAGAAAGAGAGGUACCAGCAACCAACAAUGAUCUUACUUCAGUACUAAGCAUUUCCUCCUGUUUUUUAGCAUCCUCUGUUGCAACUUUGCAACGAGUUGACAUUUUGCCAUAACUACUUUCCUUGCCUCUAGUCUCUCACGCAUUUCCUCAAGCUCGUUCAGUUUAUUCAAAGACUCAUUUUUUACCUGCACAGCAUGUUCCCGCCCAUUAAUCAGUGGGCCAAUUGAUUAGGUCACAGAAGACAAAACUAAAUUACCACUCACCAGGUCCCCUUGAAGUGUCAUAUGGCUUUAACAAUUCAACGUGCAAUAUCUAGUAAAAGUAAAAUAAACAUAGAAGAAAGCAAAUGCAAUUCUUAAACGCCUUUAAAUGGACAACAUGAAACAGUUUAAGAGCCCUAUAAAACAGUAAAGUGGAAAAAAAAUCUGAAAAGGAAAAAGAAAUGAAUUGAAACAAUAAAUCCAUCAGGUACAAACAGCAACAAAACUUGAAAUAAGCUUUGGCUUUAGCCCAUUAAAGCCCGGGCAUCCAGCCAAAUAAACAGUGACUGCCAUGUCAACUUUUUGAGACGGUAGAAAAGAGAUCGAAAAUCUCAAUUUCCAAAAAUAAGGACAUAAGAAGUAAAAAAAUGCACUUAUUCUUACAGUAGAAGAGCAAAAUGAAACUAAAUGAAGCAUAAGGGAACUGAUGCGAAUUGACAUUGUCAUUUUUGGGACUAAAAAGAAUACGCAGAUUGAAUAUUUAAGAUUUGGAAGGGAAAAGUUCCAUUCACCAACACAAUUAUCGUCGCCCUUCAUCCUAGUAAAGCUUAAUUGACAAUUUUUCUGUCUCGUGUUCUUGCUAAAGCAUUUGAGCAACCCAACAGAAAUCAUUAUAUUUCAAACUGAAAUGAUUGGCUUUAUCAAUUUCACAACCUAUACCGCCCAACCUAGUAAGUAAUUUAGGUGCAGACACCAGAAAUCUAUUUCCUUUGCACUCUACAACUAAAUAGCCUACCACUUAUCAAUCAAACACAGCUGAAAACUUCAGUGAGGAAACAUUAUGAAAACUGAAAAAACUAUAACUUCAACUUGAUUCAUAGCUCGGCAAGUUCAGGGAAUUGGGACUUCUACCACCAUGAUCCAGUUCGAUGUGAAACAGUGAUCUAUAUCACGCAUAUCGGUUCCCGCAACAAGAGGUAAAACAGCAAAUUAGGUAAACGAUGAUCCUACUAUAUUUCAGAAUAGCAACAUUGAGCAUGAAAGCUAAAGUUAUAGCAUAUUAUGGGUCCUUGCUCUCUACAACUACAUAUAAAAUUACUAAACAAUAUUACUACAUUAAGGAUCCAGAAAAACUUUGUUUCAAUUGUUGAUCACUUGAUCCAACUAUUUUAGAAAGUUUAUUCUUCUUUUUCCUUUCCCUUAUUUUCUAAAUCAGGAAAAACAGUAGCACAUAAACUGGAUUACUACUCCAAGUUUCUAAAAUUUCAGCAAUAUCCCUUUAACCUUUUCACUCAAGUCACUACCCCCCCAAUUAACAAAUAUAUUCCCAGUUUCCCUUUCACUUCAAACCCCCUUUUUUUUUUCUCUACCCAAAUUCAGCUUAAGUUCAAAAACCCAAAAUUGGUUUGCUAAAAAUACAUAAUUUUCAAACACAAAGGUAACCUAAUUUUAAUCAGAAAAAAAAAGCAUUACCUGAAUUAGUGAAUGGAGUUUCUCUUGAAGACUUUGUUUUAAAACUAUCUUAUACUAUUUGCUUUAAAUCGAUUUUUAUUAGCUAUUUAAAACUCGUUUUCAUGUAUUAUUUAUUUUUUUAUCACUUAUUUAAAUUGUUUUACAUAUCUAUUUUUUAAACCCUAUUUUAUUAUAUUUUACUUAUUUUAACUUUUUUACAUAUUUCAUUAUAAAUAUUAUUAAUUAUCUAUAUUGAGUUUUUCAUUCCAUAUGUAUUACUUAUUUAGAUAAAUAUAUACUAUUUUGUGUAUUACUUAUUUUGAUUUUCUUCUUAUACAAUAUUACUUUAAAAUUCAUUUAGAUAUUAUUAUUUCACGUAGUAUUUAUUUUUAUCUUCAUUUUUUAUUUAUUUCAAACUCAUAUAUUGUUUAUUUUGAAAUUUUAUGCAUAUGAUUUAUUGUUUAUAUUGAUGAUUUUAAAUUUCCUUUCUUGCAUGUUUUUUUUAUUUAUUUUAAAACUUGUUAUACUUUAUUUGUGUUAAUUUGCUUAGUUUUUCUUUCAAAAUUAACUUAUAAUUCAUUAGCUUUUAAUGUUAGUAUUUGCACAAUAUGUGAUGUAAGAUUAUUGCUUUCCUGUAUUGCUUAUCUGUAUAUAUUGAUUAUUUGUCAUUCAUUAGUAUACAUUUUGGUUUACGAAUUGACUAAUUUACCAAAAAAAGCCAUUUUUUUAUAAAUUACCGAAAUAGGCCGGUUUUUUAAUUAUUUACCGGAAUGGGCCAUUUCCCCCGAAAUCGCGCCACGUCGAAGCGAUGUCAGGGGACGGGGCAGAAGGUCGCGUCCACGUCAGAGCGACCUACUGACGUGGAAGGAAAUCGCUCCCCUGAGGGCGCGAUUUCCUUCCACGUCAGCAGGUCGCGCUGACGUGGACGCGACCUCCUGUCACUUUGCGCGGUACCGGGAAUGCGAUUUUGACCCUGAUUUUUACGCCUAGGUUUUAUGGCUUUUAGGGUUUAGGGUGCAGGCUUUUUAGGAGUUAGGGGUCCGGGAAAAUUAUUUUUCGAGUUGACGUUUCUGGUUAAAUAGUGGGAAAUCGCUUAUACUAGGAUGCUAUUUAAGAAGAAAUUGUGAAAUAGUGGCCUCGUGGACGCGAUUUCGCUACAGUGGUCAUGUGAGAAAUAAUUUUUUUAGACGUUUUCUGAGGAAAUAGUAUAAAAUCGCUGAUACCAGGAUGCUAUAUGAGAAGAAAUUGUGAAAUCGCGCCCUCGUGGACGCGAUUUCGCUACAGUUGGUCAUGUAGGAAAUAAUUUUUUUUGACGUUUCUGAGUAAAUAGUGUCAAAUCGCGCCCUCGUGGACGCGAUUUCGCUACAGUAGCAAGUUUGGGCUGAGGUUAUAAAUUAGGCAGAGAAUUUUCUUAGAAUGCAUAACUCAGAGCAGAAACAUUUUAGGUUAGGGUUAGGGAAUUUAGAGUUUCAAAAUGAGUGAAUGUAUUAGUGCUGUUAUUUACUACGAUGGUGAGGUUUGCCACACCGAGAAUGGUGUUGUUUUUUUGUCGAAGAAUACGAUGCGACUGUCAUUUAGCCAAAACAUAGAUUUGACAGAACUCCGUAAAAGAAUUAGGCGUAAAAUCUUCGGAACCACGCCAAUGAAAGUUCAGUCAAUGACGUAUCGAUUUUGUUCUUCUGUUGAUUCGGUGACAUAUGACUCGUUCGACAUAAAAGGUGCUCGUAGCUUAGAGGCAAUGGUGCAGACUCAUCUUGCUAGCGGAGCAACUUAUAUUGAGUUAUAUGUACAAUUUACGUCACCAAAUGAUGUACUUUCGUCCGGUGUUCGAGAUGUAUACACGACCCCUGGCCGACACUCGGUUAGUGUGUUACAAAAUACGGAACAGCCCAUGUUCGGUAGCGGUGUCGAAUGCACAUCCCCCCAAGACACUCUGUCGGUGGAUGGGACAUGUACGUCGGUGGCUCGACGGUUGACGCUGGAAAUACGAGCUGGUACGUUCAUUCUCUUAUUUUAUUUUAUUUCAUAUUUUGGGAAAUUUAGAACGAUAAGCGAAAAUGAAUAUAUUCAGAUUAGCAGGGGACAUGACCCAUUUGUUUAGUGUUCUUGUUUUGCUUCUUAAGAUCCACACAAUCAAGUCUUGUGCUGGUACGUUCAUUUUCCAAAUAUUUACUUUACUUUUUGUUUCUGGGCUUAUUUCAUUUUAUGUUGUACUUUUUUCCCAGUAAUUUACUGCUUAAUAUAAAAGAAUCGAAUAUUUAGGUUAAAUUGUGGGUGGGUUUUUGCUAGUUUAUUGAAUACUCAAAUUGGAGCCAUGUAAAAUGUGGAAACUUUAGCUUGAUAGAAAAUGUGACCCCCUUUUUUUUUAAUGUAUGGAAUAAAAAUUUUUGUAUUUUGUGAAUUUUUUUUUAGUAAUUUGAAUUUGUAUGUAUGUUCAUUGGAAGUUUAGAAGCAAGGAGUUCUGAUCAUUAGGACUUUAUGUGAUUCAUUCAUUUUGAGUUAUAGUGUAGUUAGUUGUUGGAUUUAGUGUCACUGUUGGCAUCUUAUUUUAGCUGAUUUCCUUUCUAUUUGUACCGAUAAACCUCUAGAGGUUUUGAAAUUAGCAACUGAUUUUUUUUAUGUGUGAGAGUUUUUAUGGAAAUCAAUAAGCUAAUUACAUUUUGCAGGAUCAUACAGUCGGGUUAGUGGUUUUUAUGUCAUGCUGGCCUAUGGUUUUGAGAUGAACAUCAUGAAAUCUGUAUAAGAUGAGGGUAUUAAACUAUAAACAUAGCCGAGGUAGCGAUUUAUUUCGUAUCAUGCUAUUGGAAGUUUUUUUGGGGCGGCAAUGUCAACUAAAUUUAUAUUCUUUUGAUCAAGUCGAUUAUUUCCAGUUGCACAACUAGCUUGUUGGAAAUAUUUUCUUUCUUUGCUCCUGUCCUUUUCACUUUCAUAUUUUAUGGGUGGUGUGAUGAUGGGAAGAUUCAUGGGUGGCUAAAGCCAUCUUACUCACUAGAAGUGAGGCUGUUAUUUUUAGAAGUUAGAGAUGCUAUAUCAAUUGAGGAUGCCGUGAGCAAAAGCUUGCUAAUAAUAAGUGACUGUUCAUAUGCGUGGGUUCUAUCACAUGUUGAUGGAGUAUUUGGUGCUCUUUCUUCACUAAUUUCAUAUGUAUAGAUAUAAUUGUAUAACAUCUCGACGUUGAUUACUGUUACGAGGGGAAAAAAACACAGCAUGUAAUGAAACUCAAAAAGUAGGAAUCCUAGAUCCUUGUAUUCAUUCAUAGGCAUUUUACAACAUUUGAUUUAACUUGAGCAAGAUUCCGUUUUGGGCCUGGUCUUUUCCUGUUCGUUCCCUUGUUUAUAUAUGAUGAAGUUGGUUCAGCAUGCAGGAAACUCGACAGCAUGCAGGCCAUGAAGACCAAGUCGUGCAGGAGCUGCUGGAACGAGCUGAACUUUUCCUAUUUUGUUCAUCUAGUAAUCUUAAGUUAAUGUAAUGUACUUUAGUUCAUUUAGAACUAUGUUAGGUUUAUGAUUGAUGUAAUUUUGAUGACAAUUGAGCUGUUAAGUCAGCUUUGUUUAAGUGUGUAAGCUUAGUUUUUCAAGUUUCAAUGUAUUAGUGGUAGUAGGUGAUGAUUAGGUAUCAUUAUGCAGAUUUUGACAAGCAAAUUGCUUGGUUUAUGUAUUGGCAUUAUGCCAUUGUUCAACAUAUGAAUGAAAUCAACUUUGUUCAUCAAUAUUCUCUCAAAUUUCCUCAGCUUAUUUUCUUUUUUCUUCAACUCGAAAUUGUUUGUUUGCUCAGCAAGAUUCGAGGCUUGCUCGACAAGAAACUUGCUGAGUCUGUUUGAUUCUGCUGUUGCACCAACAAUUGGUAUCAGAGCUUAUUUCUUAAGGGACCUGUUAUACAAAUCCAUGGCUUCAUCAAGUUUUUCACCAGCUGCACCUCAAGUCUUCAAUGGAGAAGGCUAUCACAUAUGGGUGGUCAAAAUGAAGACCUACCUGCAGGCAUUUGAUCUGUGGGAGGUGGUCAACUCUGAUGUUGAACCAGAGCCACUUAGAGCUAAUCCAACAGUGGCUCAGAUCAGGCAGCAUGCUGAUGAAAGGACCAAGAGGCACAAUGCUAUGUCUUGCAUCCAAAACUCAGUGUCUGAUGUGAUUUUCACAAGGAUUAUGGCCUGUGAAUCACCAAAACAGGCCUGGGACAAGUUGCAGGAAGAGUUUCAAGGGACUGAGAGGACAAGGCAACAACAGUUGUUAAACUUGAGGAGAGAUUUCGAGAAUUUGAAGAUGAAGGAAGAAGAAACUGUCAAGCAAUAUUCUGACAGGAUUAUGGCUGUGGUUAACAGCAUCAGGCUCCUUGGAGAGCAGUUCAAUGAAGCUAGGAUAGUGGAGAAGGUUAUAGCAACUCUGCCUGAGAGGUAUGAGGCAAAAAUCUCAUCUCUCGAGGACUCAAGGGACCUGUCCACCAUCUCCCUGACAGAGUUGAUCAAUGCUCUAUAUGCUCAAGAGCAGAGGAGAGCAAGCAGACUGGAGGAGCACCAAGAAGGUGCCUUUCAGGCAAGAACAAAUACUUCCUACAAAGGCAAGAAGGCUUGGAGAGACAAGCCAAAGGAUGAUGCUGCAAGGAGAGAAGGUCAAACUUGCAAGCACUGCAGAAAGGCUGGUCAUUCAGAAGAAAAAUGCUGGUUUAAUCCAGAUGCUGUGUGUCAGCAUUGUAAGAAAAAGGGCCAUGUUGAGAGAGUUUGUAAGAGCAAUGCCAAAACAAGGCGCAAUCAGGCUCAACAGAUGAAAGCUGAGGCUCGAGUAGCUAAGGAGGACAGUGACCAAGAGGAGCAAGUCUUUACUGUGUCAUGCUCAGCUGCUCAGGAAAGGUCCUCAUCUGGUUGGCUCCUAGACAGUGGAUGCACCAACCACAUGACACCUGAUGCUGCAAUCUUCAAGUCUUUAGACAGAAGCUGCAGAACUAAAGUCAAGAUAGGAAAUGGUCAUUUUAUUCAAGCUGAAGGCAAGGGUGAUGUUCUGAUAUGCACUCUUACAGGUACCAAAGUGAUUUCAAAUGUGCUGUUGGUGCCUGAAAUUGACAGAAACCUGCUCAGCAUAGCUCAGUUGCUGGAAAAAGGUUACUUAGUUGUGUUUAAAGACCACCAAUGCCAAAUCAGUGAUCCAAGUGGAUCCAAACUGAUGGCAGUCCCUAUGGCUGAUAAGAGCUUUGUGGUUGACUGGACAAAAAAGUCAGACAUUGCCUACACAGCCACUUCAGAUGAAUCCAAGCUGUGGCAUCAAAGACUGGGACAUGCCAACUUCAGAUCGAUGGCCCGAAUGAUCAGAGAAGACCUGGCUGAAAACUUCAUCAACUCAGUAGACCAUGAUGAUGUAUGUGAAGUAUGUCAGCUAGGAAAGCAGGCCAGACUCCCAUUUCCCUCGAAUCAAGCCUAGAGAGCCUCUGAAAAACUCCAACUGGUGCAUACUGAUGUGUGUGGACCUAUGAAGACUGAGUCAUUAAGUGGAAACAGGUAUUUCAUACUGUUCAUUGAUGAUUUCUCGAGAUAUUGCUGGAUUUACUUCUUAAAACAGAAAUCAGAGGUGGCCACUGUGUUUUGGAAGUUCAAAACUGCUGCUGAGACUGAAACAGGCUGCAAGGUGAAGACCAUAAGGUCUGAUAAUGGGACUGAGUACACCUCAGCUCAGUUCCAAGCCUUCUGUGAUAAGGCAGGCAUCAAACAUCAACUUGCCAACACAUAUACACCUCAGCAGAAUGGGGUAAGUGAAAGGAAGAAUAGGAGUUUGAUGGAUAUGGCCAGGUGCUUGAUGAUUCAGAAGAAUCUGCCUAAAGCACUAUGGGCAGAAGCAGUUAACACUGCAACAUACAUUCAAAAUAGACUUCCAACCAGGGCUUUGGAUCAAAAGACCCCAUUCGAGGCCUGGUUUAGCUUCAAGCCAUCACUGGCUCAUCUGAAGGUCUUUGGAUGCAUCUGUUAUGCACAUGUACCUGCUGUUAAAAGGGACAAAUUGUCUGAAAGGGCUCGACCUGGUGUUUUGGUGGGCUAUAGCACUGUUAAGAAGGGCUAUAGGAUUUUAGAUCCUUCAACAAACAAAGUGUCAGUAAGCAGGGAUGUGGUAUUUGAUGAGAGGUCAUGUUGGAACUAGGAAAGACAUGAACCUGAAGAAGUUUUUGAAGAACUUGCAGCAGACCAAGCUGAGCCAGACCAAGAUGUCCCUGAAAUGGAUAUUGAUGAUGAACCAGUCAGAGGAACAAGGCCAUUGGCUGAAAUUUAUGAAAGGGCUCAUGUAGCCAUAGUUGAACCAAGCAACUUUGAAGAGGCUGAGGCUCAGCAAGGGUGGAAGCAGGCAAUGGCUGAGGAGAUCAGCAUGAUUGAGAAGAACCACACCUGGAAAUUGGUUGAAAGGCCAGUCAAAAGGAAAGUGAUUGGGGUGAAAUGGGUGUACAAAGCCAAGCAGAAUGCUGAUGGUACCUUGAACAAGCUGAAAGCAAGGCUAGUUGUCAAGGGGUUCAGUCAGAGGUAUGGCUUGGACUACCUGGAGACCUUUGCACCAGUGGCCAGGCUCGACACCAUCAGACUGCUGAUUGCCUUAGCAGCACAGCUUGAAUGGAAGAUCCAUCAACUUGAUGUGAAAUCAGCUUUUCUGAAUGGUUUCUUAGAUGAAGACAUCUAUGUUGAACAACCACAAAGGUUUGAAAUAGCUGGCAGAGAGCAUAUGGUCUACAAACUGAAAAAGGCCCUAUAUGGAUUAAAGCAGGCUCCAAGGGCCUGGUAUAGCAGAAUUGAUGGCUACUUGACUGAUCUAGGAUUCGAUCGAAGCAAGAGUGAGCCAACACUGUAUGUCAAGAAACAAGGGACACAAAUACAACUCAUUGUGUCCCUGUAUGUUGAUGAUCUUCUGGUGACAGGAGGAGAUCGAGUAGUGCUGGCUGAUUUUAAGACCAAGAUGCAGGAAGUGUUUGAAAUGUCUGAUCUUGGGGAGAUGUCAUACUUUCUUGGAAUGGAGGUGUCUCAAGUAUAGAAUGAGAUAUUUCUAAGCCAGAGAAGCUUUGCCACAAAGAUUCUGACCAAGUUCUCCAUGCAAAACAGCAAGGCAACUAAAACACCUAUUGCUGUUGGAGAAAAACUAUCGAGCCAAGGUGAUUUUAAGAAAGUUUGUGAAACAACCUACAGGAGUCUAGUUGGUUGCUUGCUAUACUUGACUGCCACUAGACCAGACAUUAUGUAUGCUGUAGGAUUGCUCUCAAGGUUCUUGCAUUGCUGCAAUGAGAAGCAUUUCCAAGCUGCAAAGAGAGUGCUGAGAUAUGUCAAAGGCACUUUAAACUAUGGUUUGAAGUACAGUAAAGAAGGAAAUCUGAAGCUGAUUGGCUACACUGAUAGUGACUGGGCUGGCUCGAUAGAUGACAUGAAAAGCACCUCAGGGUAUGCUUUUAACCUUGGUUCAGCCAUGUUUUGUUGGAGCUCAAAGAAGCAAAGUCUAGUAGCUCAAUCUACUGCUGAAGCAGAGUAUGUGGCAACAGCAAGUGCUAUCAACCAAGCCAUAUGGCUAAGAAAAAUAUUGGCUGACUUGAAUGUGCAUCAAGAGCAAGCUACUGAGAUCUUCUGUGACAACCAAUCUGCAGUAGCAAUUGCUAAAAAUCCAGUGUUCCAUGGAAGAACAAAACAUUUCAGCAUAAAGUUGCAUGUUGUUCGAGAAAUGGAGCAAGCUCAGGAAGUAAAGCUGGUCCACUGUAAUUCAGAAGAUCAACUUGCUGACAUUUUAACCAAAGCUCUUAGUGUCACAAGGUUUGAAUAUCUAAGAAAGAAGCUAGGUGUUUGCUCCAUGCAAACCAAGGAGGAGUGAUGAAGUUGGUUCAGCAUGCAGCAAACUCGACAGCAUGCAGGCCAUGAAGACCAAGUCGUGCAGGAGCUGCUGGAACGAGCUGAACUUUUCCUAUUUUGUUCAUCUAGUAAUCUUAAGUUAAUGUAAUGUACUUUAGUUCAUUUAGAACUAUGUUAGGUUUAUGAUUGAUGUAAUUUUGAUGACAAUUGAGCUGUUAAGUCAGCUUUGUUUAAGUGUGUAAGCUUAGUUUUUCAAGUUUCAAUGUAUUAGUGGUAGUAGGUGAUGAUUAGGUAUCAUUAUGCAGAUUUUGACAAGCAAAUUGCUUGGUUUAUGUAUUGGCAUUAUGCCAUUGUUCAACAUAUGAAUGAAAUCAACUUUGUUCAUCAAUAUUCUCUCAAAUUUCCUCAGCUUAUUUUCUUUUUUCUUCAACUCGAAAUUGUUUGUUUGCUCAGCAAGAUUCGAGGCUUGCUCGACAAGAAACUUGCUGAGUCUGUUUGAUUCUGCUGUUGCACCAACAAUAUACCUCCACUGUGCCAUUGUGUAUUUGUGUUCGAUUUUCAGUUCUGUCUCACAAUCCCUGUCAUGUCUUAUGAGUGAUUUUCUGGCUCUAAAUAUCUAUGAUAUAUUUGUGCAGGCAUUUCACUGAAGACUCAGGAACUCUAUGCUAUUGUCUUUGCUACUCGUUACUUGGACAUAUUCACUAAUCAUAUCUCGCCUUAUAACACAAUCAUGAAGCUAAUAUUCCUGGGCAGCUCUUUCUCAAUUGUAUGGUACAUGCGGUAUCACAAAAUAGUUCGUAGAUCUUAUGAUAAGGACCAGGAUACAUUUCGACAUUACAUCCUUAUACUCCCUUGCCUGAUUCUUGCCCUUCUUAUAAACGAGAAGUUCACCUUCAAAGAGGUAUCGACAUCCUUUUGUUUGUUGGAAUAUGAUAACAGUAUGUUCAUAUUAAUUACUGGUUAACUUAGAAGCUCCCUAAACUGUUUAUCUGUUUUAUAUUAAUUAUUCAUUAUUAUCCUUCUGGUUAUAUUUUUAUAUAUUGAUUAUUGUCUUAAAAAAAAUUGUUGAGCAGGUCAUGUGGACAUUUUCCUUGUAUUUGGAAGCUGUUGCGAUACUUCCUCAGCUUGUAUUGUUGCAAAGGACUAGAAAUAUUGACAACUUGACUGGACAAUAUGUGUUUCUCCUUGGGUAACCACUGUAUUCUUUAAAAAUCCUAAUCAGUUGCAAGUUUUCUAUUUUAUUACCUUGCAAUUUGCAUGAAGGACCCUUAUUUCCUGGCUCAGUUCCCUAAAAUGUUGCCUCCUUCCUGAGGAAACAAAAGAGAGAAAGUCUCUAAAUAGAGUUGCCAUCAUAUUGCCGCUUGGUUGCCACUGAUUUCUUUUUGAUGAAAAGUUGAUAUGAUUAUAUGUUGGACCAAAGUUAUCUAUUUUCAGAUGUGAUUAACUGCAGUUGAAUUUUGCGAGUAUGACUGUUCUUGUGUAACUUUUGUUAUGUGCUUUCAUGUCGUUUUUAGUCUUUUACACUGUGUUCUGUCUAUCUUUGUUUGCUAUUAUCCUAAGUUAGGAGACAAGGUGCCAUUAGGAGCAAUGUGACGUCAAAAUUCAUUUCCCUUUAGCCUUCAGUUCUACCUUUUCUUCCCUUUCUUUAUGUAGUUUUUGGGAGUUGGGGAUCACAGCGAUGAUAGUCGGUACAUGUGACUUGAAAGAUGCCUAAAAACUUCAAGAGCAUAGUGUUGUAUAAAUCUUUUGGAGAAAUUUUUUUGGUACAUUGAUGCCAACUUACAAUAACCCUUGCCACUACAACCGUGGCUUUGUUGGCUUAUGUAUGCACUCUCUUUGUCUUUAUAGGUCACCAAAUUCCUAAUGUCUAAUUCUUGGUUAUGGACUAAUAUAGUUGCUUGUUAUUGCAGUGCAUACAGAGCAUUGUACAUAGUGAACUGGAUUUAUCGGUACUUUACUGAAGACCACUUUGUCCACUGGAUAAGUAUGUACUCUUCUCUGUCUCCCUUCAUCUUUUACUCCAAGUCGGUAGCCAUGGGUGUAUGACGAGUGUGUCAAUAUAUCUACCCCAACACAUUUGUGAUAUACUAUGCUAUAUGUGUUAUUUCUAACACCUUGUUUACAUGAUUGCUGCCUUUCAGCUUGGAUUUGCGGUCUUGUCCAGACAUUGCUUUAUGCUGAUUUCUUCUACUAUUACUUCCAGAGGUAACCCCCUUUCUGACACUCUGGAAAGCACUUCAUACCUAUGUGAAUGAUUGCAACUUAUUUGAUUAUUAUGCCUGCAGCUUGAAGAACAACAUGAAGCUCCAAUUACCAGCUUGAGAUUUUAAUGGUGCAAGUUUUGUAGUAGCAUACAUAAACUUACAUCAUAUGGGUUCAAAUUUAUGAGUAUUUCAAUUAAUUUUAAUUUCACUAUGUUAUAUUGUAAUAUCAUGUAAAAAGUAUCAUAAAAGCAGGCAUAAGUUUUCCACCAAUUAGAACAUUUUGAAAAUUGAUGUCAAGCCCGAAAUGACCGUCACAAGUAAGCAUAUUAAACGUGUGAAGAGAAGACCUUAUUUUUCCACAUAACUAAAACUUUUUACACCAUAGGAACUUUCAUCGUCAUCAAGUUGGACAUGGAUGGAGCUCACGUAAAAAUAAUUUUUCAUAUAAAAACUAAAAACUAGAAAUUGACUUGUAAUAAUUCUCAAGGUUAAGGUUGACGUGGUCAAUAGUAAUGAACUUAUGUUUAAGGUUUGGGUUAUUUUUCUCAAUUAUAGAUUAGUAUUUUGUUCAUUGUAAACUUUGCUAACAAAAUUUAAUAUAUGACACAUAUCUGAUUUAAUUUAUUUUUAUUUUAUAAAACUUUCAUUAUUUGUUUUACUCAUUAAUGAAAUUUGGUGUGAAUACAUUAAAUAUUACCUUUUAUAUAUUUCACUCCCUCUUACUAUAUCUCAAUGGAGAAAUUGAAGGUCAUUCAAGGAAAUGGUAAUGUCCAUUUUCCACAAAACUAAAAUUUUCCACACGACAGAAACUUUCUUGGUCAAACAAGUUGGAUUUGGCUUCACCAAUAACUUAAUAAUCUGUACUAAAAUUUUCCACGCAAUAGAAUACGAACUCGUUCUCGUAAAUAUUUUAAAAAAUAAAAAAUUUAAUAUUAUGAGUUAACGAAUUAUCAAUUUAAUUAAAAAAAGUUGAAAGAUACAUUUUUUAAAAUUUUAUGAAAUUAUAUAUUAAUAUAAUUAUAAAAUUAUAGUUUUAACUUUAUAAAAUUUAUUAUUUAUCUUUGAUCUUGAAGAGAGACAAAGUAAAAUACCUAUUCUUGGAGCCAUAACGACAACUAGGAUUAUGAUUGCACAUUUUCUAAGUCUUCAUUUUUGUUAAUUAGGAAAGCUGAUGGGCAUCUCCACUAAGUUUCCACCCACAAGAAUAUACGUAUUAAUUUGUUUUUCUCAAUUUCCAUGAGGGGGGAUAUAAGCUUAAAGUUGACGUAGAAGUCAAUACUCAACAUUUGAAAGUUAAUGCAGUGAACUAUGUGCUUGUUGAUAUAUGAAAUGAUAUUUUCUUAACAAUUUCCUCCAACUAGUUCGUAGAUGGUGCUAUAUUACAUCACAAUGGGUAACCAAAUGUAUAUAAUUGAGAUUUUUAAGCAAAUAUUAUAUUUUAUCUUUAUCCAUGAAUAGUCUAAUAAUAAGGAUUAAUAUUUGGUACAUUGUCAGUGGAGUUUUUAAAUUCCAUAAGUAGGGUUAGAGGAUUGACACAUGCCAAUUUUUUAAUGUUGCUUGUGGGAUGCACUUGAAUUGUGGUUCAUAGAAGGAAAUUAUUAUAUAAAGGUUUAAUUCUACCAUAGUUCUUGUACUUUACUGAAGUUGUAGAUUUAAUUCCCAGACUUUAAUUUGAUAUUUUAGAUAUUUGUUAAAUUCAUAAAGUCCUACUAUUUCCAAAUUUGGUGUGGCAAACAUAUUAUCAUAGGUGUAAUAUCACUAAAAUUCAAAAGAAUGAGAAAUUUGUACAUAUUAUCAGAUGUCAAUAUCAAGUUGAGCAUUUCAAAAUCUAAAGUAAUAGUUCAAGUAUUUAUUUUUCCAUAAAACCAAAAUUUUCUACAUGAUGGCUUUUUUUUUGGCUAUUAGUUAAGAGGAAUUUUUUUAAUAACCCAAUUUAAUUAACUAAUUUAAAAAAUGGUUCAAGUAAAACUCAAGUCAUAUUAAAAAUAAUUAUUUAUAAAUUUUAUGUUUCAAAAACUAAUGAAUGUUCAAAGAAUAGUGAAUUAUUAAAGAGAAGUUAUAUGAUAAUGGAUUGUUUUAAAGUAGUGGUCUAGUAGAAAUAAAUAGUUUUUUAUAAAAAAAUAUUAUAUAAAUAAUUAAAUUUUAUAGUUACUCCUAUUUUUUUUAAAAAUAGUGAAUGUAAUAUUUUUUAAAAUGUUAAAUUAACUCAUGAUAUUAAUUAAAUCAAGAAAUUUUAUAAUAAUAGAGAUGAAAAAAACUAAAUUUUCAAAAUCAAAACCUAAAACGUGCAAGAAUAAAAGCAAUCUGAAGACUUAAAAUUUCCAUUAAUAAAACCAAAAUCAAAGAAGUAAAAUUUCCAUGAAUAAAACCAAAAAUGAAGACCUAAAUUUUCCAUUAAUAAAGCCAAAUCAAGACUAAGUUUGUAUAAGUGUAAGAAGGGUAUAAAGGAAACUCACAAGAAAGCCACAUGAAGAAUUUUAUAACUCCAACUACACGAUUUUAUGUCCACCUCUCACUUUUCAUAUUUUUUUUUGGCCAUUCAUUUUUCAAGAUUAACAUUAGCAUUCUUGUGGUCCGUUCAUCCUUUCCUAACCAAUUUCCACCAAGAGUUUUUGCAAUAAGGAAUUUACCUAAAUAAGAAACCUAGAUUGAUCCAAUUUUUGAGGAAUUAAUUAAUUAUAUAUUAUUUUUAUAUUAUAAUGAAUUAGUGGGAUGCAGUAUGUUCUGCUUGUAUAUAAAUAAGAAGCUUAGGCUUCUUUAGAUUAUAUACAUAUAGAAGUUAACAAAAAGUAACAUAUAGCUGAGAGAGAAGUGAAAAUAGAGAGAUGAUGAUGAUGGAGUGGAAAUGGUUAAGGUUUAUUAGGAUGGCAGUAAUGUUGUUGGUGUUAGAAGGAUGCAGAUGGUGUACUACUGAUGCUUGUUUGGAGCAUGAGAGAAUCGCUCUCUUGCAUCUCAAGCCUUUCUUCAAUUAUCAAAAUCAAUUGCAAAGUUGGGUUGAGGUGAAGGGUUCAGAUUGUUGUAAAUGGGAAAGAGUUGAGUGUAACACCACCACUAGGAGACUCAUACAACUCUCCCUUAAUUCUACAAGAUGGUUUGACAGUAUGGGAUACAAAACGGAUAAUAGGAAUCUCAAUGCCUGGUAUCUCAAUACCUCUAUGUUUCUUCCCUUUGAGGAAUUGAAGAGUCUUUAUUUGCGGGGGAAUGCCAUAAGUGGUAACCUUGAAAAUGAAGGUCGUGCCUCUAGUUUUUCCUUAAUUACAUCUUUUAUUAUCCCACUACUCUUACCAUCGUUAUUUUGCAAUUACUUAUAUUUUAUUUUAUUUUAUGGAAGAAAAGUCACUAACUUGUAUAUAUUUAAAAGAAUAUUUCUAUAGGCUUUGGAAAACUAUCAUCCACAUUGAGUAAUUUGGAGAUCCUUGACUUAAGUGAAAACUACUUGAAUGACAGCAUUUUGUUAUCUUUGAGUGAGCUUUCAUCUCUCUGGUAUUUAGAUCUAUCAGGCAACAAAUUUGAAGGAUCAAGCCAUCUAAGAG
rnacentral:lncRNA from 1 species